GGGGUGGUGGUGGUGGCGGCGGGUACUACAACAACGACGAUGGGUACUACCAGCCGAGGAACUUGAACAACAGGAGCAGGGGCGUAGAGAGGUGGCCACGCGGACACCGAGAGGAUUGAGGCAAUGGCAUAUGUGGAAGUCUGGGAGGUCAGGAGAGGGAAGGGGCAAUGUGGAAGUCUGGGAGCCAUUUUGUUAUUAUAGAACUACGGAGUAUGUAAUAACCUAGCCUGUGGGUAUGUCGCAAUCCAGUCCCUCCCCAUCUGCGAGUUUUUUUGUUGCUCCAAUGAGUGCAUAAUGGUUGGUUGGUAAAUGUGGAAUCUCGUUGAAAGUAGCUUCAGGUCAUACAUGUGUUGCUUCUUUUUCUGGCUGUGUGAGUUGUCAUAUAUUUCCGGUUGGUUUAUUAUUUUUGUUAGAUGUCUUUCUACGUCAUUCCUGUUCAUUUUCCAGUGUUUGCGUUUGUGUUACCUUUGUUUGUUCUGGCCUGUAUUGUAGCUCUUCGAAAAAAGAAAAAAAAUACUGUUUGUUUCGGUGAAUGCUGAUCGAGAUUUUGGCUUUGUCUUUAAUAAUCCUGAUAAGUGUCACCGUAGCCGAUUAUGCAUAGUUGCGGCUAGGUCUUGCAUGCGCAGGAGCGCAAUUGAACACAAAAAAAUGUUUUUACGUGAGGUCUAUUUGCAUGGUUUGUUUACCGUUGGGAAGAUUCUGGGAGGACUUUGUCAGGCAAUUGACCAUUUUCGGUUUGCAAGUUCUCCAGCUACUCCGAUCGAUGCUGGAGAGCUUGCUGGCGGGACGCUUGUCGUCCCUCGCCGAAUGGGCACACAUGGCGGCCGGGACAGAGACGCCAACAGGGGAACGCCCUAUUCAAUGGUUGCAUGGUGGCCGGCCGAAAAUUGGGUCGGCUGCCGUUGGCUUUUCCUUAUGCAUGCAAUCAAAGGGACAGACUAGUACUGCUCUUCCAUCGGUAUUGUCUUCAGAGAGAUUAAAAUCUUUGUUAGUUUAAACUUUUUCUUUUUUAAGAUUGUUUUUUGCCCAAGGGGCUGUAAUAUUGUAGCUGAUUCUCUAGGAGCGUGUUUGGUUGAUGUAGCCAACAGUAGGUGCAUUGCAUAGCCUUCUCAACUCAGUCUGGCUAUGUAAAUGCAGUCUCAAAUGCAUUAUCUGCAUGUUGUUUGGUUGCCUUCAUGGGCAGAACCACACUGCUGGUGUUCGGUUGCCUGCAUGUUAGUGGACAAACCCAAGGCAUGGUGUUUGGUUGUAUGCAACGUCUGGUGUGUGGUAACCUCUUUGGCUAGUUGGUGAUGUUACCAGCACACUUCGGCACAACCAUGUAGCACACAUCAUAAGCAGAGCAGAGUAUAAAAAGAGGAUCAACUACUUAAGAGCAUAUUUCUGAUAAGCAGUACCACACUUCAUAACAGUUCUAUGCAUAAACCAUAAACAUAAACAGUUCAAAGCAGACUCGAUAGUACUUAGGGAGGCCCCGACCCUACUCCUUGGCGGCGAAGGCUUCGUCGUGCUUCCCGCACUUGUUGACGACCUCAAUGCAAUCGUCGUCGAUGAUGGUGACCUUGAGGGUGUCUGGAGUGAGGAGCUUGAACCUCACCAUGUAGCCGAUCUUGAUCUGAUGAACGGCUGCGUAGGUGGCCCAACCCUGAUCCAGGGUCACCCUGCCGUUCAUCAGCUUCACCGUCACCUUCCAGGAGCAGUCGGUGUUGUUCCUGAGCUUGAACUCCGUCGGCACCGUGACGAAGUGCUUGGUGAAGUCCAGGGGCAUGGGGAUGCACUCAAGCUUCGGUGCAAGGAUGACCUUGCAGAAGUGAGUUGGGCCAUCCUCUUGAUGGUAGUGGCCGUAGUUGCGGCGCUUGUUGCUGGGGGGGCUCCUCCAUGCCCUCAUCGUCGCCACCCUCAGGCGUCUUUGGGUCUUCCUCGGCGGUGGGCGGCAGCACAACCUCGUCGGGCAUUAGGUGAAGGGGUUGCUUGCCCUUGUUGUCAACGGUCGGGAGCACCUCCGUGCCCAUCUCAUUGCUCUCCUCGAUCUGCACACAAUUCAUGGAGUCAGGCACAGCACAGAUUUCAUGGCUUAUUGAAGAGCAUGUAGUUAAAACGGCAUGACUGUCACUCUUCUCCUCCUCUCCAUCGCCCCUAUAUUUACUCACCCUGCCCACCACUACUUACCCACCCCCUCUCUUCUCUAACUGUCAACCUUCCUCCUCCCCAUCGCCAUGAGCUCUAGCUCCAGCUCCAAAGCCAACCCCUUCCCUUGGGGUAUUGGCUGGAGGGCCUUCUUCCUCGGGUGGUCGGCUGGUGACCGCACCAAGUUCGAGAACACCAUGGAGGUGUGCUCGAACUUCGGCUCCAUGCCUGACAUGCGGAAGGAAUCUAAUGCAGUGUUCAUGAAGGCCAUUGCAGAAGAGCUGAAGACGUUGAUUCCUGACCCAGCGAAGGGCGCGAUGGUAGUUGACAUCAUUCGCUGGGCCAUGAAUCAGGCCGUCUCCGACGAGGGUAAACAGAGGAAGAAGUGGUGCAAGUACAAGAACUACUGGGCUCCUAAUGACCGCCGUGCCGCAGUGUACUGGGAGACGGCUAUCGCGCCGCCGGCGGUCAUCGGUGGGGAGCCUAAGGAGGAAGAAGAAGCGAUGCAGAUGCCAGCAAGGGCGCCGGAGCCAGGCCGUCGUACCUGGCAGAUCGACCUCGACUCCGCCGAGGACGACGACGAUGACCCGCCGGCCCGCACGGCGAUGAAGAAGAAGAUGAAGGCCAGCAGCUCGACCCAUCGCUCCGCACGCCGGUGACGGCCGCCGCGGUGAGCCGGUGUCCGUUGUGUACCCCCUAUCCCCCAAUCCCCCUUCUGCAUCCGCAUCUACCUCUAUUCUGAUCUUGCAUAUAUGAACUCGUAUGAACUGGUAUGAACUAGUAUGAACUACCCCUAUGCUUAUCUACCUCUAUUCCCCAUUCCCCUCCGCCGUGGAUCGAAUCUAUCGCCGGAUCGAACGGAAAAAGUUUUGCAUGUCGAACAAAGAGAAGUGCUUACCGCCAUUGCCGCGGGCCAACUGCUGAUCCGCUCGCCGGUGAUGGAGUCCGGUGGUCUUCUUGCUCUGCUCCGAUCCUCCGCCGCCGGUGAGAGUUGGGAGAGUGGGAAAGAGUGGGGAGAGGGAGCGGUGAGGGGCGGUGAGGCUAAUAACUGCCGGCGCUUCGGGAAGCAACGUGGCUUCUCGAGCGUGGCCGCGCGCGUGCAGCCGUCGCCGCCCACGUGCACCGCUCGGGCAUGGCCUUGAAGAAACUGCCGAUUCGUGCGUUCCCAGGGAGCCAGGCCCAGGAGUGCUUUAAGGUUCGUGUCAUGCGGGCCGAACAGUGAAAGCAGGCAACCAAUCGACCCGUUUUCGUCCCGCGCGAGCCAGGCCGGGCCUCAUGCAGGCUACCAAACACGCCCUAGCUGCUCACGGUGCACGUAUGAGCCAUGCAUCCUCAGCCUUGUGGCCGGACGGGGCUCAAGACUUUGUUCAUGCGUUAAUUGCCAGCAAUUUGACUGGCCGUUCUGGUUAAUGGAAUAAAGAGUAUUCCGGCUCAAAAAAAUUAAAAAAGCUCCAAAGCGGAAACGCCUCCUCAUCUCGAAUCUUGCUUUUUUUAAACACAGUACAGACGCAAGUGCUCAUACUAUUAUAACACACACACACACGUACAUCCUAUCCCUAUGAGCAUCUCUGAGAGAUCGAGCCGGCAUAUCAUCUUGAGAUUUUAUGAAUAAGUCACCAUAGGAUAAGUGCGAGCACCAGGACUUGAACCCUGGUGGGCUGGGGAUACCACUGUCCACAUAACCAUCCAACUACAGGUUGGUUCGUGUCUCGAAUCUUGUUAGAGCAAUCGCUCCUUGUUGUAUGCAUAGGAAUAGCGGAAAUUCAACAUGGGUCAUAUUACCAUAUGGUAUCAUUAUCCGAGCCGUUGGUCCACAUAGGGAUCAGUGAACACAGGCGUAUUGCAUGAUGCAUUUCUUUUUCAUUGCAUCAAUAUUCAAUGCGCCACUGCUUCUUGUCGGUUGUCCAUUAAUGUUGUGGCCCACAAUGGUGUUCUAACGACGCUACUUUCUACUUUUUCUGGACCGGAGCUUGUGGCACAUGGUCUGCUCCAUACUAAGGCCUACUCCAAUGCAUGACCCAAACAGACGUCCGUUUUGUCUGGAUUUCGUCCGUUUGAGGGUGACAAUUGGGUCGUAUCCACCCGGAUUUGAGUUUGCGUCGGCAGGACGCCCAACGAGCGGUCGCAUCUUCGACGCAUCUUGUCCCCGUGCAUGCAAACAUGAGAAACCAAGGAUUUAAGUCUCGGCCACGGUUCGCACUAGUUCACGUCGGCCGGCAACACAGCCAGCGGCCUAUAGUCUCAUGCCGCAACACAGCUAGCCUUUAAAAAGUACAUGUUUCACGCCGGCAACAAAGCCAGCGGCCGACACACCAGCCAGCCUUAAGAAAGGACCGCCAUCGCGGCCAGCGUGGCCGAGGUCUCACCUAGUUCAGGCCGUCACGGGCUAACAUCUCCUUCUGUCGGUUCAUGAACCAAGCCUUCCUCUCUAGUGACAUGUUGUUCUUGUUGACGCUCAUCAACACUAGUGUCAUCUCCUUGGCUUUUGUGCCGGCAUUGGUGGCCUCGAUCUCUAGCUUCUUGAGUUGAGCAGCCUCCUCUAUGUCGGGCUUCCUCUUCUUCACGGCCUCCUCCAUGUCAAGAUUCUUUGUUUGAAGAUCUAGGUAUAUCUUCAUUUGCUCCUCCUUCCCUUUGCACCUGCUCUCCUCCCGCACUUCCUUUUGGCUCAUCAUGUUCUCCGAAUUUCCUUGCAAGGCUAUAGAAGACACAUCACGCUUCUCGUCGGCCUUUGAGCUUGUCUUGCCCCUCGGCCUCUUGAGCACGUCUCCCUCAUCAGCCAUGGCCGCCUUCUCUCCUAUAUUCUUCUUAAGAGCAUUGUAUUGGUCCUUGAACUUGGGGCAAUCUUUGAUGAGCACCCAACAAUGCCCAACAUGAGGAGGGUGUGCGCCUUGGAGACGGUGGACUCCUUGUCGUCAAGGUCGGCCUGGUGCUGCAAUGCACGCCGCAGGUAACACUUGGCGGCGUACUCGACGACGGCCUUCUUCUCCGUCGUGACAGUUCGCCGGUUCCUCCUCUUGGCCGAUUCGGCGUCGAGCUUGGCGGCCUCCGCUGACGUGAGCUCCGAGCGAAGCUUCUUCACAGGCUUCGUUUUCUUCGCCACGGGGUGGGCAGCCAGUGGUGGGUUGCCGGGAUUCGCCUCAUCGACCAUGGUGGAUGGAGAGAGGGGGAAGGCCGAGGACGCGGGAGAGUGGAGGGCGAGGCCCGGGAGCGUUUUGGAGGAAAGGGAGGGAAAGUGGCCGCCUGUGCCACCGACGGGCGGGCCAAGAGGACAAGGGCACGCGUCACGCCCAUGCGCGUGCUGUCCGUUCUGCCGCAAACUCGUCUCAAUCUUGGGCCAGGAGUGGGUCGGAAGCGGACAGAAAACAAACGACGGUCCGUUUACGGUCGCGUGUUGGAGGUCCUGCUUUGUCCAUUUACCCCCAAACGGACACGGACGAGCCAUUUGGGGUCGUGCGUUGGAGUUGGCCUAAGCCAUCGGCCCAAUUUAUACAAGUCAUAUGCCACCGGGCAAUCCUCUAGUCAAUCGUGAUCCCUUCUAAUUCCUAUCAUUUUGGUUAAUUCACUUAAUCCCUUCCCGAUGGGGAUUAUUCAAAUCCAUGCAGUGCGCAUCAAACUGGUGCAUGCAAGCAUACAAGCCCAAUACAGCUGAAAUAUGUCUGCAUGUAAAAUGAAGCAUCCUCAGCAUCAGUUUAUUACAGUACCAUGGAGUUGAAAGCCAAACAAUUUCUUGAUCAGAAAAGGGAAACGUUCCUAGUAAAAAAAGAGGAGAAGCAGGUUUCGUACAUAGACAAUAUAUGAGAUGGUCCAGGAGAUGUCCGUGACCUAAGCAAACUGCAAAUUGUUGUUUGCAAGAAAAAUUCAAAUAGCUAAGCAUGGUCGUCAUUACUGCCAGAUGCGCCCCAUUCAUUAAAUAAGAAGGAGGUUUAACAAGGUAUCCAGGCACCGGCCAAAGGCCGAAAAGAAAAAUACAAGCCGUUACUCUCCCGGCAUCAGAAGACCCAAAUGUUUCGCCCCUGCUAGGAUCCAUAGCUUCGCCUCGUGCUUGAUUGGUUGGAGAGUGCUAAACGUUGGAGCGGAGCGGCCUCGAAAAACCCGUGCGUUCCUCUCAUCCCAAAUUGCUUUCGAAACGAGCAUAAAGAUAGAAGGCAUCACUUUCUUGUGUGCACUAUGGGCGGAAGCCGAUUCACACCAUCAAUCAUGGAUGCUCGUGUAAGUCGCCCAACCAGAAGUAUCCAAAUCAAUGAGUUGAAGGCAAACUCUAACCAUCUCCCAAACUCUCAAAGUGUAUCUACAUUGGAAGAAAAUGUGCUCGACCGUCCUUGUUCACGCCUACAGAGGGUGCACGGACCACUGUUUGGCCACCCUCGCUUGGCCAAGCAAACGGAUGUCCAUAACCUGUCUUGGAUGGCAAGCCAUGCAAGAAAAUUGACUUUUGGGGGGGGGGNNNNNNNNNNNNNNNNNNNNNNNNNNNNNNNNNNNNNNNNNNNNNNNNNNNNNNNNNNNNNNNNNNNNNNNNNNNNNNNNNNNNNNNNNNNNNNNNNNNNNNNNNNNNNNNNNNNNNNNNNNNNNNNNNNNNNNNNNNNNNNNNNNNNNNNNNNCUGAAGGAAAUAUGCCCUAGAGGCAAUAAUAAAGUUAUUAUUUAUUUCCUUAUAUCAUGAUAAAUGUUUAUUAUUCAUGCUAGAAUUGUAUUAACCGGAAACAUAAUACAUGUGUGAAUACAUAGACAAACAGAGUGUCACUAGUAUGCCUCUACUUGACUAGCUCAUUGAUCAAAGAUGGUUAAGUUUCCUAGCCAUAGACAUGAGUUGUCAUUUGAUUAAUGGGAUCACAUCAUUAGGAGAAUGAUGUGAUUGACAUGACCCAUUCCGUUAGCUUAGCACCCGAUCGUUUAGUAUGUUGCUAUUGCUUUCUUCAUGACUUAUACAGGUUCCUAUGACUAUGAGAUUAUGCAACUCCCGUUUACCGGAGGAACACUUUGUGUGCUACCAAACGUCACAACGUAACUGGGUGAUUAUAAAGGUGCUCUACAGGUGUCUCCGAAGGUACUUGUUGGGUUGGCGUAUUUCGAGAUUACGAUUUGUCACUCCGAUUGUCGGAGAGGUAUCUUUGGGCCCUCUCGGUAAUGCACAUCACCUAAGCCUUGCAAGCAUUACAACUAAUGAGUUAGUUGCAGGAUGAUGUAUUACGGAAUGAGAAAAGAGACUUGCCGGUAACGAGAUUGAACUAGGUAUUGAGAUACCGACGAUCAAAUCUCGGGCAAGUAACAUACCGAUGACAAAGGGAAUAACGUAUGUUGUUAUGCGGUCUGACCGAUAAAGAUCUUCGUAGAAUAUGUAGGAGCCAAUAUGGGCAUCCAGGUCCCGCUAUUGGUUAUUGACAAGAGAGGUGCCUCGGUCAUGUCUACAUAAUUCUCGAACCCGUAGGGUCCGCACGCUUAACGUUCGUUGACGAUAUAGUACUAUGAGUUAUGUAUGUUGGUGACCGAAUGUUGUUCGGAGUUUUGGAUGAGAUCACAGAUAUGACGAGGAACUCCGGAAUGGUCCGGAAGUAAAGAUUGAUAUGUGGAUAGUAGUGUUUGAUCUCCGGAAGGGUUCCGGAAUUCACCGGAAGGGGUUCCGGAUGUUUCCCGAAAUGUUUGGGCACGAGAACACUUUAUCUGGGCCAAAGGGGAAAGCCCACGAGGUUUUUGGAAAGCGCAAAAGGAAGUUUUGCGGAGUCCAGGGGCCAGACGCCAGGGUCCCUGGUGUUUGGGUCCAGACGCCGGGAACCCUGGCGUCUGGCCCUGGAGUCCGAGAAGGACUCUUGCCUUUCGGGUGAAACCGACUUUGUGGAGGCUUUUAGUCCAAGUUUCGACCCCAAGGCUCAACAUAUAAAUAGAGGGGUAGGGCUAGCACCCAAGACACAUCAAGAAACACCAAGACGUGUGCCGGCAACCCCGUCUCCUCUAGUUUAUCCUCCGUCAUAGUUUUCGUAGUGCUUAGGCGAAGCCCUGCGAAGAUUGUUCUUCACCAACACCAUCACCACACCGUCGUGCUGCCGGAACUCAUCUACUACUUCGCCCCUCUUGCUGGAUCAAGAAGGCGAGGACGUCACCAAGCCGUACGUGUGCAGAACUCGAAGGUGUCGUGCUUUCGAUGCUUGGAUCGGUUGGAUUAUGAAGACGUUCGACUACAUCAAUCGCGUUGAUAAUAACGCUUCCGCUUCGGUCUACGAGGGUACGUAGACAACACUCUCCCCUCUCGUUGCUAUGCAUCACCAUGAUCUUGCAUGUGCGUAGGAAUUUUUUCGAAAUUACUACGUUCCCCAAUAGUGGUAUCAGAGCCUAGGUUUUAUGGUUUGAUGUUAUAUGCACGAGUAGAACACAAGUGAGUUGUGGGCGAUAUAAGUCAUACUGCUUACCAGCAUGUCAUACUUUGGUUCGGCAGUAUUGUUGGAUGAAGCGGCCUGGACCGGCAUUACGCGUACGCUUACGCGAGACUGGUUCUACCGCUGUGCUUUGCACACAGGUGGCUGGCGGGUGUCAGUUUCUCCAACUUUAGUUGAAUCGAGUGUGGCUACGCCCGGUCCUUGCGAAGGUUAAAACAACACCAACUUGACAAACUAUCAUUGUGGUUUUGAUGCGUAGGUAAGAUUGGUUCUUGCUUAAGCCCGUAGCAGCCACGUAAAACUUGCAACAAACAAAGUAGAGGACGUCUAACUUGUUUUUGCAGGGCAUGUUGUGAUGUGAUAUGGUCAAGGCAUGAUGCUAAAUUUUAUUGUAUGAGAUGAUCAUGUUUUGUAACCAAGUUAUCGGCAACUGGCAGGAGCCAUAUGGUUGUCGCUUUAUUGUAUGCAAUGCAAUCGCCCUGUAAUGCUUUACUUUAUCACUAAGCGGUAGCGAUAGUCGUAGAAGCAUAAGAUUGGCGAGACGACAACGAUGCUAUGAUGGAGAUCAAGGCGUCGCGCCGGUGACGAUGGUGAUCAUGACGGUGCUUCGGAGAUGGAGAUCACAAGCACAAGAUGAUGAUGGCCAUAUCAUAUCACUUAUAUUGAUUGCAUGUGAUGUUUAUCUUUUAUGCAUCUUAUCUUGGUUUGAUUGACGGUAGCAUUAUAAGAUGAUCUCUCACUAAAUUUCAAGAUAAAAGUGUUCUCCCUGAGUAUGCAUCGUUGCCAAAGUUCGUCGUGCCCAGACACCAUGUGAUGAUCGGGUGUGAUAAGCUCUAUGUCCAUCUACGACGGGUGCAAGCCAGUUUUUGCACACGCGGAAUACUCAGGUUAAACUUGACGAGCCUAGCAUAUGCAGAUAUGGCCUCGGAACACUGAGACCGAAAGGUCGAGCGUGAAUCAUAUAGUAGAUAUGAUCAACAUAGUGAUGUUCACCAUUGAAAACUACUCCAUUUCACGUGAUGAUCGGUUAUGGUUUAGUUGAUUUGGAUCACGUGAUCACUUAGAAGAUUAGAGGGAUGUCUAUCUAAGUGGGAGUUCUUAAGUAAUAUGAUUAAUUGAACUUAAAUUUAUCAUGAACUUAGUCCCUGAUAGUAUCUUGCUUGUUUAUGUUGAUUGUAGAUAGAUGGCCCGUGCUGUUGUUCCGUUGAAUUUUAAUGCAUUCCUUGAGAAAGCAAAGUUGAAAGAUGAUGGUAGAAAUUACACGGACUGGGUCCAUAACUUGAGGAUUAUCCUCAUUGCUGCACAGAAAAGUUACAUCCUGGAAGCACCGCUGGGUGCCAGGCCUGCUGCUGAUGCAACUGACGACGUUAAGAACGUCUGGCAGAGCAAAUCUGAUGACUACUUGAUAGUUCAAUGUGCCAUGCUUUACGGCUUAGAACCGGGACUUCAACGACGUUUUGAACGUCAUGGGGCAUAUGAGAUGUUCCAGGAGUUGAAGUUAAUAUUCCAGCAGAAUGCCCGGAUUGAGAGAUAUGAAGUCUCCAAUAAAUUCUAUAGCUGCAAGAUGGAGGAGAAUAGUUCUGUCAGUGAGCAUAUACUCAAGAUGUCUGGGUAUUGUAAUCACUUGAUUCAACUGGGAGUUAAUCUUCCGGAUGAUAGCGUCAUUGACAGAAUUCUCCAAUCACUUCCACCAAGCUACAAGAGCUUCGUGAUGAACUAUAAUAUGCAAGGGAUGGAUAAGACAAUUCCCGAGCUCUUCGCAAUGCUAAAGGCUGCGGAGGUAGAAAUCAAGAAGGAGCAUCAAGUGUUGAUGGUCAACAAGACCACUAGUUUCAAGAAAAAGGGCAAAGGGAAGAAGAAGGGGAACUUCAAGAAGAACAACAAGCAAGUUGCUGCUCAGGAGAAGAAACCCAAGUCUGGACCUAAGCCUGAAAUUGAGUGCUUCUACUGCAAGCAGACUGGUCACUGGAAGCGGAACUGCCCCAAGUAUUUGGCGGAUAAGAAGGAUGGCAAGGUGAACAAAGGUAUAUGUGAUAUACAUGUUAUUGAUGUAUACCUUACUAGAGCUCGCAGUAGCACCUGGGUAUUUGAUACUGGUUCUGUUGCUAAUAUUUGCAACUCGAAACAGGGACUACGGAUUAAGCGAACACUGGCAAAGGACGAGGUGACGAUGCGUGUGGGAAAUGGUUCCAAAGUCGAUGUGAUCGCGGUCGGCACGCUACCUCUACAUCUACCUUCGGGAUUAGUAUUAGACCUAAAUAAUUGUUAUUUGGUGCCAGCGUUGAGCAUGAACAUUAUAUCUGGAUCUUGUUUGAUGCGAGACGGUUAUUCAUUUAAAUCAGAGAAUAAUGGUUGUUCUAUUUAUAUGAGUAAUAUCUUUUAUGGUCAUGCACCCUUGAAGAGUGGUCUAUUUUUGAUGAAUCUCGAUAGUAGUGAUACACAUAUUCAUAAUGUUGAAGCCAAAAGAUGCAGAGUUGAUAAUGAUAGUGCAACUUAUUUGUGGAACUGCCGUUUAGGUCAUAUCGGUGUAAAGCGCAUGAAGAAACUCCAUACUGAUGGACUUUUGGAACCACUUGAUUAUGAAUCACUUGGUACUUGCGAACCGUGCCUCAUGGGCAAGAUGACUAAAACGCCGUUCUCCGGUACUAUGGAGAGAGCAACAAAUUUGUUGGAAAUCAUACAUACAGAUGUAUGUGGUCCGAUGAAUGUUGAGGCUCGUGGCGGAUAUCAUUAUUUUCUCACCUUCACAGAUGAUUUAAGCAGAUAUGGAUAUAUCUACUUAAUGAAACAUAAGUCUGAAACAUUUGAAAAGUUCAAAGAAUUUCAGAGUGAAGUUGAAAAUCAUCGUAACAAGAAAAUAAAGUUUCUACGAUCUGAUCGUGGAGGAGAAUAUUUGAGUUACGAGUUUGGUCUACAUUUGAAACAAUGCGGAAUAGUUUUGCAACUCACGCCACCUGGAACACCACAGCGUAAUGGUGUGUCCGAACGUCAUAAUCGUACUUUACUUGAUAUGGUGCGAUCUAUGAUGUCUCUUACAGAUUUACCGCUAUCGUUUUGGGGUUAUGCUUUAGAGACGGCCGCAUUCACGUUAAAUAGGGCACCAUCAAAAUCCGUUGAGACGACGCCUUAUGAACUGUGGUUUGGCAAGAAACCAAAGUUGUUGUUUCUUAAAGUUUGGGGCUGCGAUGCUUAUGUGAAAAGAUUCAACCUGAUAAGCUCGAACCCAAAUCGGAGAAAUGUGUCUUCAUAGGAUACCCAAAGGAGACUGUUGGGUACACCUUCUAUCACAGAUCCGAAGGCAAGACAUUCGUUGCUAAGAAUGGAUCCUUUCUAGAGAAGGAGUUUCUCUCGAAAGAAGUGAGUGGGAGGAAAGUAGAACUUGAUGAGGUAACUGUACCUGCUCCCUUAUUGGAAAGUAGUACAUCACAGAAACCGGUUUCUGUGACACCUACACCAAUUAGUGAGGAAGUUAAUGAUGAUGAUCAUGGAACUUCAGAUCAAAUUACUACUGAACCUCGUAGAUCAAACAGAGUAAGAUCCACACCAGAGUGGUACGGUAAUCCUGUUCUGGAAGUCAUGCUACUAGAUCAUGAUGAACCUACGAACUAUGAAGAAGUGAUGGUGAGCCCAGAUUCCGCAAAAUGGCUUGAAGCCAUGAAAUCUGAGAUGGGAUCCAUGUAUGAGAACAAAGUGUGGACUUUGGUUGACUUGCCCGAUGAUCGGCAAGCAAUUGAGAAUAAAUGGAUCUUCAAGAAGAAGACUGACGUUGAUGGUAAUGUUACUGUCUACAAAGCUCGACUUGUUGCGAAAGGUUUUCGACAAGUUCAAGGGAUUGACUACGAUGAGACCUUCUCACCCGUAGCGAUGCUUAAGUCUGUCCGAAUCAUUUUAAGGAUGUCAAAACUGCAUUCUUGAAUGGAUUUCUGGAAGAAGAGUUGAAUAUGAUGCAACCGGAAGGUUUUGUCGAUCCAAAGGGAGCUAACAAAGUGUGCAAGCUCCAGCGAUCCAUUUAUGGACUGGUGCAAGCCUCUCGGAGUUGGAAUAAACGCUUUGAUCGUGUGAUCAAAGCAUUUGGUUUUGUACAGACUUUUGGAGAAGCCUGUAUUUACAAGAAAGUGAGUGGGAGCUCUGUAGCAUUUCUGAUAUUAUAUGUGGAUGACAUACUACUAAUCGGAAAUGAUAUAGAAUUUCUGGAUAGCAUAAAGGGAUACUUGAAUAAAAGUUUUUCAAUGAAAGACCUCGGUGAAGCUGCUUACAUAUUGGGCAUUAAGAUCUAUAGAGAUAGAUCAAGACGCUUAAUUGGACUUUCACAAAGCACAUACCUUGACAAAGUUUUGAAGAAGUUCAAAAUGGAUCAAGCAAAGAAAGGGUUCUUGCCUGUGUUACAAGGUGUGAAGUUGAGUAAGACUCAAUGCCUGACCACUGCAGAAGAUAGAGAGAAAAUGAAAGAUGUUCCCUAUGCUUCAGCCAUAGGCUCUAUCAUGUAUGCAAUGCUGUGUACCAGACCUGAUGUGUGCCUUGCUAUAAGUUUAGCAGGGAGGUACCAAAGUAAUCCAGGAGUGGAUCACUGGACAGCGGUCAAGAACAUCCUGAAGUACCUGAAAAGGACUAAGGAUAUGUUUCUCGUAUAUGGAGGGGACAAAGAGCUCAUCGUAAACGGUUACGUUGAUGAAAGCUUUGACACUGAUCCGGACGAUUCUAAAUCGCAAACUGGAUACAUGUUUACAUUAAACGGUGGAGCUGUCAGUUGGUGCAGUUCUAAACAAAGUGUCGUGGCGGGAUCUACAUGUGAAGCGGAGUACAUAGCUACUUCGGAAGCAGCAAAUGAAGGAGUCUGGAUGAAGGAGUUCAUAUCCGAUCUAGGUGUCAUACCUAGUGCAUCGGGUCCAAUGAAAAUCUUUUGUGACAAUACUGGAGCAAUUGCCUUAGCGAAGGAAUCCAGAUUUCACAAGAGAACCAAGCACAUCAAGAGACGCUUCAAUUCCAUCCGGGAUCUAGUCCAGGUGGGAGACAUAGAAAUUUGCAAGAUACAUACGGAUCUGAAUGUUGCAGACCCGUUGACUAAGCCUCUUCCACGAGCAAAACAUGAUCAACACCAAGGCUCCAUGGGUGUUAGAAUCAUUACUGUGUAAUCUAGAUUUUUGACUCUAGUGCAAAUGGGAGACUGAAGGAAAUAUGCCCUAGAGGCAAUAAUAAAGUUAUUAUUUAUUUCCUUAUAUCAUGAUAAAUGUUUAUUAUUCAUGCUAGAAUUGUAUUAACCGGAAACAUAAUACAUGUGUGAAUACAUAGACAAACAGAGUGUCACUAGUAUGCCUCUACUUGACUAGCUCAUUGAUCAAAGAUGGUUAAGUUUCCUAGCCAUAGACAUGAGGUGUCAUUUGAUUAAUGGGAUCACAUCAUUAGGAGAAUGAUGUGAUUGACAUGACCCAUUCCGUUAGCUUAGCACCCGAUCAUUUAGUAUGUUGCUAUUGCUUUCUUCAUGACUUAUACAUGUUCCUAUGACUAUGGGAUUAUGCAACUCCCGUUUACCGGAGGAACACUUUGUGUGCUACCAAACAUCCCAACAUAACUGGGUGAUUAUAAAGGUGCUCUACAGGUGUCUCCGAAGGUACUUGUUGGGUUGGCGUAUUACGAGAUUAGGAUUUGUCACUCCGAUUGUCGGAGAGGUAUCUCUGGGCCCUCUCGGUAACGCACAUCACCUAAGGCUUGCAAGCAUUGCAACUAAUGAGUUAGUUGCGGGAUGAUGUAUUACGGAACGAGAAAAGAGACUUGCCCGUAACGAGAUUGAACUAGGUAUUGAGAUACCGACGAUCGAAUCUCGGGCAAGUAACAUACCGAUGACAAAGGGAACAACGUAUGUUGUUAUGCGGUCUGACCGAUAAAGAUCUUCGUAGAAUAUGUAGUAGCCAAUAUGGGCAUCCAGGUCCCGCUAUUGGUUAUUGACAAGAGAGGUGCCUCGGUCAUGUCUACAUAGUUCUCGAACCCGUAGGGUCCGCACGCUUAACGUUCGUUGACGAUAUAGUACUAUGAGUUAUGUAUGUUGGUGACCGAAUGUUGUUCGGAGUUUUGGAUGAGAUCACAGAUAUGAUGAGGAACUCCGGAAUGGUCCGGAAGUAAAAAUUGGUAUGUGGAUAGUAGUGUUUGAUCUCCAGAAGGGUUCUGGAAUUCACCGGAAGGGGUUCCGGAUGUUUCCCGAAAUGUUUGGGCACGAGAACACUUUAUCUGGGCCAAAGGGGAAAGCCCACGAGGUUUUUGGAAAGCGCAAAAGGAAGUUUUGCGGAGUCCAGGGGCCAGACGCCAGGGUCCCUGGCGUCUGGGUCCAGACGCCGGGAACCCUGGCGUCUGGCCCUGGAGUCCGAGAAGGACUCUUGCCUUUCGGGUGAAACUGACUUUGUGGAGGCUUUUACUCCAAGUUUCGACCCCAAGGCUCAACAUAUAAAUAGAGGGGUAGGGCUAGCACCCAAGACACAUCAAGAAACACCAAGCCGUGUGCCGGCAACCCCGUCUCCUCUAGUUUAUCCUCCGUCAUAGUUUUCGUAGUGCUUAGGCGAAGCCCUGCGAAGAUUGUUCUUCACCAACACCGUCACCACACCGUCGUGCUGCCGGAACUCAUCUACUACUUCGCCCCUCUUGCUGGAUCGAGAAGGCGAGGACGUCAUCGAGCCAUACGUGUGCAGAACUCGGAGGUGCCGUGCUUUUGGUGCUUGGAUCGGUCGGAUCGUGAAGACAUUCGACUACAUCAACUGCGUUGAUAUAACGCUUCCGCUUCGGUCUACGAGGGUACGUAGACAACAAUCUCCCCUCUCGUUGCUAUGCAUCACCAUGAUCUUGCGUGUGCGUAGGAAUUUUUUUGAAAUUACUACGUUUCCCAACACCUCCCACAGGCCGUGUGUUUCCACAAAAUAGUAUCCUCCACACCCGCUUGUAGCUACACUCCGCGAAGGAGAAACCAAAGCUCUAGAAUUGCCAAAAAACUGCCGGACGCGCUACAAUGGCAGUGAAGUACAUCCUGAGCUGGGUUGCAGGCAGCAGCUAUCAGAAUUCGCUCUCUGACACUCGCUCUGAUAGAGAUGAACACUGGUGUUUGGCGUCGCGUAAAAUCUUGCGAUUUUUCUGACUUUCUCAUUCGCUAUUUUUUCUGGUACAAGGAAGAAACGGUGGCCAUUAGAGAUCCUACCUCGGUGCCAUGAUCUGGCUCACGCCCGUGCCAUACCACGAGCACCAAGACCGGGUCCUAGCCCUACAUGCACGGCACGCACAGCCGUGACACAUGCCUAACUGAAUUUAACUGAAAAAUGGAAAUUAACUACUGCUACCAAUGACUAGAUUAAGUUGUCAACAAAUCACCCCCUAAUCUUGUCGUUGCUGAUUUAUUCCCUAAGAACUCCAGUCAUGCCGAUCCUCCUCCUCAGCUCUUGAAACGCCAGACGUCCAAGUCCCUUCUUCAGAACAUCAGCAAGCUGAUCACUGGUUCGAAUGUAGUCGAUGUCGAUCUUCCCUCCCUUCAUGCACUCCCGGAUGAAGUGGAACCUGAUUUCAAUGUGCUUGCUCCGGUCAUGGAAGACGGUAUUCUUCGACAGAGAGAUCGCUGAUUUGUUGUCGACGAAUAGCUUCGACGGCACUGUCUCCUUGUUCAGCAUCUCGUCGAGCAGCCAUGCCAGCCAAAUCCCUUGACACACAGCUGUGGUGGUUGCAAUGUACUCGGCCUCGCAUGAAGAGAUGGCCACCACUCGUUGCUUUUGCGACUACCAGCUUAUAGGGUUCUCAUCGAGGAAGAAGAUGGUGCCCGUCGUGCUCUUCCAAUCGACGAUGUCCCUGACAUGAUCUGAAUCACUGCACCCUGUUAGCUUCAGCUCGCCCUUCCCGCGCUUGAACGCACAUCCGUGCUCCAGCGUCCCUGCUUUGUAACAAAGUAGGUUCUUCACCGCUGCAUAGUGAUUUGCAGCAGGGGCCUCCAUGAACCUCCUUAGAGCCUACAGCGAAGCUUACGUCUGGCCUUGUGUGGGUCAGAUACCGCAAACCUCCGAUGAUGCUUUGGUAGUACAUGACAUCCACGGCAUCCCCGACACCGUCCUUGCUCAGCUUCAAUCUUGCCUGUAUUGGUGUGCUGACUGGGUUGCAGUCUGACAGCCCAGCUCGCUCCAACAGACGCUUGGCAUAUGCCGUCUGGCAGAGCAUGAUCCGAUCACGCUCCCGGUGGAUUUCGAUGCCAAGGUAGAAGCUGAAUUUGCCCAAGUCACUCAUGCAGAACAGCUUGGUCAUUUGCUGCUUGAAGCUUGCGAUCUCCUCCGUGUUCAUGCCGGUGAUGAAGAGAUCAUCCACAUACACCCCAACGAGUAGCAGUGAGUUUCCUGUGCCUCGUCAGUACACCGCGUGCUCCGACGGACAACGCUCGAAGCCGAGUGUGCUCAGACUGUCAUCCAGCUUCGUGUUCCACGCCCUUGGAGCUUAGCGCAGACCGUACAUGGCCUUGCGGAGGCGCAACACCUUGCAUGGCCUUGCGGAGGCGCAACACCUUGUCUUCACGUAUCCCAGCGGCUGCUGCACAUACAGCUCCUCGAGCAGGUCACCAUUCAAGAAUGCUGACUUGAUGUCCAUGUGGUGUAUUUGCCAGUCAUGGUGAGCGACGAAGGUGAUCAACACAUGCACCAAGUCCAUCCGUGCCACGGGCGCGAACACAUCCUCAAAGUCAAUCCCUUGCCGCUGGACAUAGCCCUUGGCUACCAACCUCGCCUUGAGUUAGUCAUGAGAUCUUGUAUUACAGAACGAGUAAAGAGACUUGUCGGUAACGAGAUUGAAUUAGGUAUGGAGAUACCAACGAUCGAAUCUCGGGCAAGUAACAUAUCACCGGACAAAGGGAAUUGCAUACAGGAUUACCCAAAUCCUCGACACCGUGGUUCAAUCGAUGAAGAUCUUCGAGGAAUAUGUAGGAACCAAUAUGGGCAUCCAGGUCUCGCUACUGGUUAUUGGCCAGAGAGGUGUCUUGGUCAUGACUACAUGAUUCCCGAACCCGCAGGGUCACACGCUUAACGUUCGUUGACGCUACAGUAGUAUUGGGAUAUUUGAUGAUUGGUAACUGAAAGUUACACGGAGUCCCGGAUGAGAUCCCUGACGUCACGAGGAGUCUUGGAAAUGUCGAGAGGUAAAGAUUUAUAUAUGGAAAGUCGUUUUCGGGAUUCUGGAAAAAGUUGUAGUUUUUUGGUGUUUUACCGGGAAGGUUUGAGAAGGUUCCGGAGGGGUCCGGAAGUCCACAAGUGGGUCCACCAAGUCCCACAUGCCAGCAUGGGCUGAAAGGGGCUCCUUGGCCUUCAUGGGCCAGGCGCACCAACCCCUAAGAGUCCCAUGUGGCUAAGACAUGUGGAAAGGGACUAGGAGUCCAACUCCUACUAGGAGUAGGACUCCUCCCCCUUGGCGCCAGUCCUACUAGGAGUAGGGCUAGACUUCCAGCCCUCCCACACCUAUAAGUAUAGGGGAGGGGGCGCAGCAAGGCACCCCAACACAUUGGCAUUGGCUACUGCCUCGUCUCUCCCUCCCAACAUAGUUCUAGUCCACGGUUUUCACUUAGCGAAGUGCUGCCAUUGCUCCACCACCACCAUCUCCACCACGUCAUUGUGUUGGUUGAGAUCCCAUCUACUUCUUCCCUUCUCUUGCUGGAUCAAGGAGGAGGAGAUGUCACCGAGCCGCACGUGUGCUAAACUCGGAGGUGUCGUUCGUUUGGUGCUAGAUCAGUUUGGAUCGUGAUUGGAUCACGAAGAGUACGACUACAUCAACCGCGUUAUAUAAGCUUUCGCUUAAUGGUCUACGAUGGUACGUAGACACACUCUCCCCUCUCAUUGCUAUGCUUCUUCUAGAUAGAUCUUGGGUGUUAGUAGGAAUUUGAUUUUCAUGCAACAUUCCCCAUCAUCUUACGGCCAGGAGCAAAACUUUGGCUACUGCUUCUUUUGUCGCCGAGGUGCAAGGUAACUACAACGUCAUACUAGGCCGUGAUUGGGUUCAUGCAACCAAUGCGUGUCGUCUACUAUGCACCAGUUUUUGAUCAAGUGGGUUGAUGAUGAGGCAGAAAUCAUUUAUGCGGAUAACUGAUGCAUCAGUGGAUUGUCAACAUCCUAAUGCUACUUUCUUAACAGGGUGCGUUUUAAACAUGGUUAGUAUUUUAUGUAUACAUAUUCUUAUACAUGUCGGCGUUCUGGGAAUGGGGGUCCCCAGACUUGCCUGCCUACGGCCUGCGGCGUGGCUCCAUCAGCGGCCCUGUACGGCCCAUCUUCACCAGCAAACACUCAAGACCCUCGCGACGGGCCAAGCCUCGCGAGGCGGACGAUGCAAGACCUCCUCAGGGGUGGCCUCACUAGGUUGGCUCGCGAGCAGCGGAGAGAUAAAGGCAAGGGGCACCUCGUGAGAUUCCCGUGACGUGAGCCAUGACGACCAAGGCCAGGCGGGUGCUAGCGGGCGCAUAGUACUCGUUUCCUCUUUGGUGCUAAAGGAGCAGGCGCAGGCGAGGGGUCCCGAGGCAUUAGGCAAAGGUUUCCAUAUCGAUGCAACGAGACCAAGACCAGCAGGACGGCAGGAUGGAGGUCAUCACAGAGCCCACGGCGGCGUCACCACCAGAGCCUUUGGCAAGCGAAGACCAUCUUUUGUCAGGAUAGCUUGUACUAGUUGUCCCCCUUCAAAUUGGCCAUUGUGGGAUCCCUUCCUGCCUGAUAUUUGGGAAGAGGACCCGGGCCUCUAUAAAUAGGACUAGCCACCACCGUAGGAGGCAACUCAUCUGGGAUCGGAUCCAUUCCAUCCUCACACACGCAAGCUCACCGAGCUCAAGAACACCUCUCCUUAGGAGGCUGUUCUUCCCUUGUACUUGUUCAUCCGUAUCCUACAAGGCAAUCCACCACACCACACUGGAGUAGGGUAUUACACCACAUCGGUGGCCCGAACCAGUAUAAACUCUUAUGUCCCUUGUUCUUCCGGUUCGGCGGGCCGAGCUUUGAGAUUGCGGUGAGAUCGUGAGCUAGGGGGAGAGAGAUCUUCGCGCGCACCCCAGAGUUUGAACCUUAAGGGUUUUUUGCCGGAACCCGUGAUCCGACAUUUGGCACGCCAGGUAGGGUGCGCUGGAGCCUCUCUUCCAUCAGCUGACCCGCCAACACUCCGCGGUUCCAAUAUCCGGCGACCCGAGGACCAACGCUGAUAGCUGGGCAGCUUGGCCCAUCAGGGCAGCACCGUCCGCCCAGGAAGACCUCAACUCCGCACUCCAGGCGGCCCGCAUACUGCCGAACACCGCGGGGCAUGGGCGACGCGGACCGGCAUCUUCCACCCUCACGCCGCAGUGCGCGCGGGCCGCCGCGAGGGCCUCAAGCUACGCAGCGGUGACAUCACCGCACACCCGGCGGGAGCAGGCGAACGUGCGGGCCACACUCAUCAUGGCACGAGAGCUGUUACGGUGCAGGCUGACCGAGAGCGGCCGCGAUGCACUACUAGAACGCGUUGCCGAACUGAUGGACUGUGCUUGCAGGGGCACGCCGCCCUUCUGCUCCUUGUCCACUCCUCAGGUUGUGGCUGAGGCACGCGCAAGGGCCCGGCGAGCUCGUGCACCCCCCGGAGCAAUGGAGGAGCUAGGAGACACCAGCGUGGGCACCGGCGCCGCCUAAUCUACUGCAACAACUUUGUCACAAGCCGAGGCAAGCGCUGGUGGCCUACCAUGAAGCCUUGCUGGAGUGCGACCCAGCGGCCGCCAGGGCCUGGAGCCACGGCCAGGAGCUCAAGACGCGCUGCACUCAGGCGGUGGCCCCCCCGGGGGGGGAGGGGGGGGCAGCCGUCGAUGCCUAUGUGCCCCGCAUGGUGAACCUGGAGUACAAGCUUGGGGAGGGCCCCAAUACACUCCUUGGGCCGGCAUGGGACGGCGGAAUGCUGGAAGCAGGAGUUUUCCACGAGUCGCCUGAAGGCUCCGCCGAUCCCUUCAGCGACGACGACGGGGUACAUCAGGUAUCGCAGGAGCAGGCGUGCACUAACCAUGGGUUGCAGGUGGACCAGGCCGUGACGGUGGUUGAGGACCCAAGGGCGGCGGUUCUGUCCCCGACCGGAGCAGAGCGCUGGGGGCUGUGCAUGGGGGGCUUGGAGCCACGGCCUCCCGCAUGCCGUGCAGAGCAAGGCGCCGGACGGAGGUAGGUCCUCUACCGGCGGAGCGCUGGCGAGCCCUUCCCCCCGGCAGAGGGCCCAUGGUCACCGGGGGCACCGCUGGCGUCCCCCUUGCCCCUUGGUCUCGUCCUGGUUUCCGGACGCCCCAAUAGUGGUCGGGGGUGGCGCAAGGCGGGGCCCUCUUCAGGCGAUAUGAAGUAAGGCUCACGCCUGUGAAGGUCUCCACUCGUGAAACUCUCACGUAAUAAUGAGUGGGGUUGUACACGCCCCGGAGUCUUCGAGUGUCGCCCUUGGGCCUCGGGGGCUCCCGCCCACGUCCCAGUGGUAGCACUUAGCUCCGCGCUGGUGGAAGACAAGAAGACUAGCUAGGCGCCGGACGCGGCUAUUUGCUUUCCUCUCCCAUUUUCUUUGUAACCUGGUUUGUCACCCUUUCGGCUUGAAUUUGAAGUCUUUCUCGUUGCAAAUAGUGGGAGGAGUUUUCCUUUGAUUUCUGCUGGUUCUAUCGCUUUCUGGUCAUGCACCUCGUUUUUAAGGCUUGCGCCUUAGGCCCUCCGGCUCGGGGGCUGGACGGUCGAUCCCACCAGGCAGGUCUACUCCACCUCGGCAGGACCCCCCUUGGGGCAAGAGCGCAUGCGCCGCAAAAUUGCUGCGUACGCAUCCUGCCGCGGUCAGCAGGACGCCCCUGGCCAAGCUCCCCGCAGUAGGGCCGCAUGCUGCUCAGGAGGCUCAGGGCCGCGGACCCCUAGCGGUUUAUCUCAGGAGAAGGGCGUGCCAACUGCCCUGCAACCAACACAAGACCAGGUAGGUCAGGAUGAGUCGUGGUGGCGACCCUGCUCAGGAGCCCGCCAACUCGCGGAAGUACGUCCCAAGUUCGGCUUUAAGACGGGAAGAGAAGAGAAGAACACCAAUUUAUACACAUAGGGGGAUCUCCCCGUCAAAACACUCUCACACCCCACGGGGCCAUCUCCAAGUCUUUGCGUGCAGGGUGAAAACAGAGGGGUGCGAGCUUAGUCGGACAUGUCGCUCGCAACGUCAUCUGAGUCGCUCUCAUGCGCGCUGCCGGCGCUUUUGCUAGAGUCAUCUUCACCAUCAUCAACCACACCACCUUCGUCCGCCACGACCACGGCCUUGUCGUCUUCGGUAGCGAAGGCUCUGGCCAGAGCAUCCAUGUUAUCAUCCACCCGGCGUGCCAGGUUGUCCCGGAUAACUCCGUGCACGGGGGCGAUGGCAGCGUCGAAGUCAAAGUUGGGAUCGACAUUCUGAAGAUGGCUAAAGACGCGGGAGAACGCGCGUCCAAGGAGGCCCCGGCUCUUUUCCUCGACAAGCUCGUGAGCCCUCUCGGCCCAGUCCUCCAGGUGCGUCACGACAUCUGUGAAGAAGCGAAGAUGGCCGACAUAGUCCUCGGUGUGGGGAUGAGGGGCGUGCUCGUCGCAGAUGGCGCCGAGCGCCAGGUUGGCCCUCGUCCUGAGGUCCCGGAGCAUGGGGCAUGCUCGCGCUGCAACGUUUGUCGGCGGAUCGCCUCCUCCCUGCUCUGCUGCACGAUGGACUUGGCAACGGUAACCCGCUGCUGAAGCGGGAGCAGCUCAGCUUGGGAGGAGGCCAACUCGGCCUGCACGGAGAUCAAGGCAGCCGCGGCGGCCUUCUUGCGCUGCUCCGCCCCAGCCAACCUCAACCUGAGGGCGGCGGUCCUGCCCUCAGCUUCAGCUUUCGUGAACUUCAGCUUCAGUUCGUACACAUUGGCAAGAUCAGCGCGAGCCUCGGUUACCCUGCGAUCAACUUCUUCCUGGGUCCUCGCCUCACGCGCGCUGGCAGCAUCUCCUGCUUGGGCAACUUGACGCUCCCUCGUCUCCAAUCGCUCAAGCUCGAGGCUGCGCUCCGUGGCCUCCAGCAUCAGCGCUUCCUCGCGCCUCAAGAUCUCCUCCUCGUCGGACGGCGCCCCCUUCAUCGACGCCAAGGCAGCCCUACGUGCCUCCACUUGCUGCUCCAGGGAGGCAUUCAGGGCCUGUAGCUCCUGCCAGCGCUUUUCGGCAACCUCGCGGCGGUGAUCUGCCUCCCUGGCCUCCUCCAAGGCUCGGGCGCUGUCCUCGCGCGAGGUUGCGUGGGAUGCUUCGGCCUUCGCGUUGGCGUGCUCGUGCUGGAGGCACCCGAGGUUGAUGGCCACCUUCAGUUGACGACACUCAUCCACCAGCCGAAGGCCCUCGGUCUCAAGGUGGCGUCAACAUCCACAAGCUCCUCCCCAAGCCGACUCAGCGCACCCAUCGUCUCCCGGAAAAGCUCAUGACGGACAGCGCCCCUCUUGCGCACCUGCUCGAGCGAACGACCAGGCCCGUCCUCCGCGCCGGAAGUCGCUGAAGAAAUCCAAAGAGGCACGCCUCCCCCCGGCAGGGGGCUGGAGGCCGUCCCCUUUCCAGUCGUCCUUCGAGUCUCAACAGAAGCCCGGAAGAGCGGAGGUUCGUUGCAUGAAGAAGACGCCAGGGCCGAGGUCACCCAGCCGUGGUUAAUAACCAGAGGAGGAGCCCUUGGCACACCUUCAGCACCCCAAGUAGGACCGCAAAGGGGGAAUGGCAAGAACGCGGGGUCAAGAUGCCAGGCCGGCGUAUGCACCUCUCCGGCCGACCUUGCACUGAGUGUGGCAGGCCGGCUAGAGGUGCUCAGGAUCAGCAGAGGACUCGAGGUAGGAGAAGGCUGCUUCUCGGGAGAUUUCGCCGCCUUAGCAGAAGGGACCCUGAGGAAUCAUGCUCACGAGGGGAAGUAGCACUCGAGAAACUACAAAGAUAAGGUACUCACUCGUCUAUGGCGAUAUACUUCCUCUGUUUCAAUGGCCGGAAGGCAUCACCGCCGUAGCUUGGAGAUCCCUUCCUCUUCUGGAGUGCGUCGCCAGCAACGAAGGAGCAACUGUGCAGGUCGUGGUGGCCGCCUAGCUAGGCGGAUAUCAAGGCUGCAUGGGGAAGCGGGGACACCCAAGUCCCGUCAGUCGCCAUGCAUCAAUCAAGGCCGCAGGCAGUUGGGGCCUGCGGCGCUUCGCACUUGCCCCUUGGCUUCGCCUCGAAGCCAAGUCCAAGUGCGCCUUGGGACCGGGGGCUACUGUCGGUGUUCUGGGAAUGGGGGUCCCCAGACUUGCCUACCUGUGGCCUGCAGCGUGGCUCCACCAGCGGCCCUGUACGGCCCAUCUUCACCAGCAAACGCUCAAGACCCUCGCGAGGGGCCGAGCCUCGCGAGGCGGACAACGCAAGACCUCCUCAGGGGCGGCCUCACUAGGCUGGCUCGCGUGGAGCGGAGAGAUCAAGGCAAGGGGCAGCUCGUGAGGUUCCCGUGACGUGAGCCAUGACGACCAAGGCCAGGCGGGCGCAGAGUACUCGUUUCCUCUUUGGUGCUAAAGGAGCAGGCGCAGGCGAGGGGUCCCGAGGCAUCAGGCAAAGGUUUCCAUAUCGGUGCAAUGAAACCAAGACCAGCAGGACGGCAGGACGGAGGUCAUCACGGAGCCCACGACGGCGUCACCACCAGAGCCUUUGGCAGGCGAAGACCAUCUUUUGUCAGGAUAGCUUGUACUAGCUGCCCCCUUCAAAUUGGGCGUUGUGGGAUCCCUUCCCGCCUGAUAUUUGGGAAGAGGACCCGGGCCUCUAUAAAUAGGACUAGCCACCACCAUAGGAGGCAACUUGAGGGAGUCCUGGAUUAGGGGGUAUCCGGACAGCCGGACUAUAUCCUUUGGCCGGAUUGUUGGACUAUGAAGAUACAAGAUUGAAGACUUCGUCCCGUGUCUGGAUGGGACUCUCCUUGGUGUGGAAGGCAAGCUUGGCAAUACGGAUAUGUAGAUCUCCUUCCUUGUAACCAACUCUGUGUAACCCUAGCCCCCUCCGGUGUCUAUAUAAACCGGAGGGUUUAGUCCGUAGGACCAAGAACAAUCAUACCAUAGGCUAGCUUCUAGGGUUUAGCCUCUACGAUCUCGUGGUAGAUCAACUCUUGUAAUACUCAUAUCAUCAAGAUCAAUCAAGCAGGAGUAGGGUUUUACCUCCAUCGAGAGGGCCCGAACCUGGGUAAAAACAUCGUGUCCCCCGUCUCCUGUCACCAUCCGCCUAGACACACAGUUCGGGACCCCCUACCCGAGAUCCGCCGGUUUUGACACUGACAUUGGUGCUUUCAAUGAGAGUUCCUCUGUGUCGUCGUCGUUAGGCUUGAUGGCUCCUUCGAUCAUCGAUAGCGAUGCAGUCCAGGGUGAGACUUUUUGCCUCGGACAGAUUUUUGUUUUCGGUAGCUUCGCACUGCGGGCCAACUCGCUUGGCCAUCUGGAGCAGAUCGAGAGUUACGCCCAUGGCCACCAGGUCAGGUUUGGAAGCUUAAACUACACGUCCGACAUCCGCGUAGACUUGAUCUUCGAUGGAUUCGAGCCCCUGCCGAGUGCGCCGCACGGUCACGAUGAGCAUGAUUUAGCUCUGCCACCGGACAGUGUUAGGAGAUCGCACUGGCAACCGCUCCGACCCUCAAUUCAGAGCCAAUUGUGCCAUCCAUGGACGGGUGGAUAGACCCUGCCACGGAGGCUGCAUUCUUAGCGGCGAUCGAGCCAAAUACCGACCUUACCCUUCACGAGAGCCGUGACGCCAAACUGUCGGAUUCUUCCCCGGCCAUGGACUCCGAACCGCCUGCGCCCGUUCCUAUUGAAUCCGACUGGGCGCCGACCAUGGAGUUCACCUCCGCGGAUAUCUUUCAGCACUCGCCCUUCGGCGACGUACUGAACUCAUUAAGGUCUCUCUCCUUGUCAGGAGAGUCCUGGCCAAACUAUGUCCGGCCGGAUUUGGAUGCGGAUGACGAAGAAAUUCGCCGCCCACCCACCACCGACUUAGUAGCCACUGUCGAUGAUUUGACCAACAUGCUCGACUUCGACUCCAAAGACAUUGACAGCAUGGACGACGAUGCAGGAGACGAACAGGAACCACUGCCUACAGGGCACUGGACACCCACUUCAUCAUAUGAUGUAUACAUGGUGGACACACCCAAAGAAAACGACAACGAGGAACGGAAGGACGCAGCGAAGGAUCGUUCCCUCGAGAAGCAGUCCAAGCGGUGGCGUAAGUGCCGCUCCAAAUCCCGCCUCGACAGAAACAACGAUCAUAUAGACCCAGCGAUAGAGCAGGGUGAGCCAGCGGACGACGAACACGGCAUGGAACUGCCGUCCGACCACGGCAACACGGAGAAUCAAACCAAACAACCCGUCUCCGGCGAAGAUAACAGUCCGGAUGACAUCACACUGGACAAGCACCUGGAGCAACAGAAUCUCCAUCAAAGGCUUGUCGCCACUGUGAGGAGUCUGAAAAAGCAUAAGCAAAAGCUCAGGGCUGCACAAGAUACACUCAGAAUUAGAUGGAGUAAAGUACUCAACACCACAGAAAAGUACGGCGGCAGUCGCCACACAAAGAGCUACCCGAAGCGAAAGCUGCUGCCUGAAUUCGAUGAUGAUGCCUUAGAGCCCCCGCAAUCGAAAAACAAAACAGCCAUCCGGUCGGAUAGACGACCUCGUGGCCACCAUAGAGCGGCAAAUGACGCCGCACACAAACCAGUGCGCGAUCCACGUGAGGACUCGCAUCAAAAGGCCGGCGCAACCAGAUCCAUCUACGGACCAAGAAAGCGCACCCCAGCGCACAAUGCAAUGCAACAAAAAUCCGAACACCACGGUACACCCAAAUACAGGGGUGCCGCACACCCCUUAUGUUUUACCGAUGAGGUGCUGGACCAUGGAUUUCCAGAGGGAUUCAAACCCGUAAACAUAGAGGCGUAUGACAGAACGACAGACCCUGGGGUAUGGAUUGAGGACUACAUCCUCCAUAUCCACAUGGCUCGAGGAGACGAUCUCCAUGCCAUCAAGUACUUACCCCUCAAGCUCAAAGGGCCAGCUCGACACUGGCUUAAAAGCCUCCCCGAAAACUCCAUUGGAAGUUGGCAAGAGCUCGAGGACGCUUUUCGGGAAAAUUUUCAAGGGACCUAUGUCCGACCACCCCAUGCAGACGAUUUAAGUCAUAUAACUCAACUGCCCGGAGAGUCAGCCCGAAAGCUUUGGAACAUGUUACUCACUAAAAAGAACCAAAUAGUCGACUGUCUGGACGCCGAAGCCUUAGCAACUUUCAAGCACAGCGUCCGAGAUGAAUGGCUGGCCAGACACCUCGGUCAAGAAAAGCCGAGAACAAUGGCAGCCUUAACAAGCCUCAUGACCCGCUUUUGCACGGGCGAGGACAGCUGGUUAGCCCGAAGUAGCACCAGCGACCCAAGCACAUCCGAAGUCAGGGACGGAAAUGGGAAGCCACGACGCAACAAAAACAAGUGCCGGAAUAAAGAAGACAGCCCGAAUAGUACGGCGGUAAAUGCCGGAUUCAACAACUCUCGGCAAGGUCAGUGAAAGUUGCCCUCCAAAAGCAACAGAGACGAAUUGUCCAGCCUAAACAAGAUUCUAGACAAACUAUGUCAGAUCCACAGCACCCCCGAUAAACCUGCAAAUCAUACCUAUAGAGAAUGUUGGGUCUUCAAGCAGUCCGGCAAGCUAAACGCCAAACACAAGGGGCUGGAUACACCAAGCGAAGACGAGGACGAGCCUUGCCAGCAAAGCACUGGGGAACAGAAAAAAUUCCCACCAGAAGUCAAAACAGUAAACGUGUUACACGUGAUGAAGGGGAGAAACAAAGCGGCACGCCCAAAGACACAUGGCCCAGGACCUAUCACCACAGAGUUCAGCCACUGGUCAUCCCAACCGAUCACUUUUGACCGUAGGGAUUACUCGGCAAGUAUCCGGCAGGCAGGAUUGGCUGCCUUGGUGUUAGACCCGAUAAUUGACGGGUACCAUUUCACACGAGUCCUGACGGACGGCGGCAGUGGUUUAAACCUGAUAUAUCAGGACACAGUCCGCAAAAUGGGGAUAGACCCAACGAAAGUCAGCCAUAGCAAUACUACCUUUAAAGGAGUAACGCGAGGCACAGAAGCUCACUGCAUGGGCUCUCUGUCUCUAGAGGUUGUAUUCGGCUUUCCGGACAACUUCCGAAGCGAAAAGCUAACCUUCCAAAUCGCUCUGUUCCAAAGUGGCUAUCAAGCACUACUCGGACGCGAAGCUUUCGCUCGCUUUAACACAAUACCGCAUUACGCUUCUCUCACGCUUAAGAUGCCCGGUCCACGUGGCAUCAUUACAGUAAAUGGAAAAAAUUGAGCAUUCCUUGCGCGCAGAAGAUCGUGCGGCCGCCCUGGCAGCCGCACACUAGACGACCUCACGAACCAGAGUAGAUGACCAGUCGUUAAGACUACGAACACGGUUAGAUGAGUCCGGCGUAGUUACAUAUAAUUGGUACAGGUUUGAUGGCUAUACCCCGAUAACAAUACAAGGGGCUCAACGCGUGUAAACAAGUGACAAUUCGGCUCAACUUUACUCAUCUUGAACUGUACAUGGUUUAUUUAGUAUAACAUACCUUUUGCACGACAACUUUUCAACUAAGUUCCUCUCUUUUACAGAUGACCAUCAUGCUACACCCGUCCAGGAUACGGCACAACGGAGACACAGGCGCAGACGUGCAGCAGGGACCCGUUCCAAGGCUUCUUUUUAGAUUAAGACCCUGCGUAAACCUUUUUUACUGUCUCUUGUUGAUACACAUCCCCCGGAUUCUCCGUACAACCGAGCAGGAUGCUGACGUUAUUGGCUUGUGGCCACAUCAGAAUAUUGCACGUACCUGGACACUAGGGGCUUAUUACAAAGGGCAUUGUUUAGCCCGGUUUACAUCAUAAAGACCGAAUACCUUAGGGAGUGUUCGGCCUCGCGAGUUUGGCCUUAUAUGCAUCAGCUCCGAAUCAUGUCUUUGGUCAAAUGUUGGGUUUGCCCGGCUCCUGUGUUUUGCUGCCUUACGUUCCGCUCUAUCGGCUAAGGCGGCACCAAGAGAACUACUGCGAUUGUGCCCUGGUUCAUCUGGACGAGCACCUCAGUAGAGAAAGCCGAAAACUGAGUGUCAUGAAAUAGCGUGAGACUGGUCAACCACUCGAUGACCUAGCAGAAUCUUCGGGAUUCCUCUGCCUUAACGAAGGGUCGUUUCCCGGCCAGGCAUGUACGCGCCCUAAAUUCGGACGAGCGCGGAGCCACCAGGGGCUAUAUAGUAGCCCCACUGUCGAACUCCUCUGGCUAAGUGAAAGCGUUAAAGCAUUAUAGUCCGAUUGCCUAGUUCUCUGUGCCAUCACCUCCUUAAUGGACCAAGACGUUGGAUCAAGUGUGAACGUGCGUCUUCUGUGAACACCCCCGCAUUAUAUGCGUGGGGGCUGAAGCUGACGACUGCCAUCUUUCAGGUUAUAUACAUAUAUACAUAAACAGCCGCACAGGAGGUAUUAUAAUUCUUUCAGGCAAAAGUAUAAAAUAGCCUUUACAAUUCAGUAAAACAUCGUUUUUUGAUAGGAAUACAUGUCACUAGAGCAUAAUAUUCUUUGUGCACUGCGCUUCUAUUGAACGAGCACCCUCAAGAACUUCUCGAAAGUAGUGCUCGGCAGGUACUCGGCUCUCGUCUGAAUCUUGGGCUGCAAUGGCAGUGGCCUCCAUCUCUGCCCAGUAUGACUUGACACGGGCAAGGGCCAUCCGCGCACCCUCUAUGCACGCCGACCUCUUCAUCGCGUUGAUGCGUGGCACUGCACCAAGGAACUGUUGCACCAAACUAAACUAACUGUUCGGCUUUGGCCCUUUCGGCCAUAGAUGAUCCACAACAGACCUCAUGGCAAGUACGGACAAUCUAUUAAGCUCGGCCCAUUCGGCCAACCGAUCAGUCAAUGGAAGCGGACGCUCUGGAACGUUAAAUUGUGACUAGAACAGCUUUUCCACUUCGCGAUCUUUUUUAUCUCGGAAGUAUUCGGCCGCAUCGGUAGCACUCGCUGCUAAGUCCAGAUACGCGUCCGCAGAACUCCACAGCCGGAGCAUACAAGGGGCAUACUUAGGAUCUCCGAACUUCAUCCGCAGCAUAAAGGGCUUCCCAGCCGCGAUAUCUCCGGCUUGACGCAGCUCCUCCAUCACUCUCAUUGCGGAGCGGGUGUCUUUGGCCGCCACCGUGGCCAUCUCCAGGUCUGUCAUCUUCGCUCGAUCUUCAUUUUUUAGAAGCUCCUAACGGUCAGCGGCAUUCUUCAAUCCCACAGCCAUCCUGGCUAUUUCUUCCUUGCUUUGGCAGUGAGCAGCCUGUUCAGCUUUCAGCUCCUCGACUGCCUUCAGGGCAGCCGCAUCACUUUUCCUGGCUUGUUCUUUGGCUCGGGCAAGUUCCGCCCGAAGGUUCUCCACGGCCGCAGCUCCAUCUGCAUUCAAAAACAUGUUAUAGAUACUGGCAUCAUGCUCCUCUUACCAUGUGUCACCGGAGAAAUCACAUACCCUGUGCCUCGUCAAGCCGCUUGUUGACAAGUAUGAUGUCGGCGUCUGCCACAUCAAGCUGCCGCUUUAGAUCGGCAAACUCAUUAGUCCAGCUGGCCACCGGACCCUCCGCCAUCUGCAUAUUAAGGCGGCACAAUUAUUCCUGGGACUAUGAUCCUCUGUGCGCCGUUGUCUUCGACAGCACCCAGAGUCUUUCACCGGACGAAAUCCUUUCAAUCACCGUACCCAUAAACGUGCGGUGCUCUUCUGAGAUAGCCGCUUGCUUUAGCAGAUCCUCCAGUACGUCCGACCGCACACCAGGCGGCGUCGGACUCUUCUGAUUGCUCUCUUCAAAAGCCGGAUACUGAGGACUUCGGGCAGCCAAAAAGUCAUCCUCUGGCCCUGCUGGAUCAGGAGAAACCCUCCGCGACAACACUUCGGGGUCGCCCGCCUCACGAGACAGGAUGGUAGGGGGAGGCGUCUCACUUUCCAUCAUCUUCGGAAGAAGAUCCCCAAAAGAUGAACUCUGUCGAGAUGGGCUAUGAUCCAAACUGCAAGAGGAAUAUUUCGGUUAUUUUCCUUAGAAGUAAGGCAUGAUAUUUCCACCAUAAAGUUCCCUUUUACUUACAGCUCGAUGGAGGGCUGAUCCCCUUGAGGGCAUAGUGCGGCCGGGGUAUCCCCCAGGGCAGGACCCUCUGGCAAAGAUUUCUUCCCCCAUUUGGAGACCAUUGUCUCCGGGUCCUCAGAGGCGGUCCUCUUCCUUCCCCGGGGAGAGGAAGUUUCAGUUCCUUCCCCCGGUUAUCCUCCUUCGCGGAGGCGCCAGCCUCCUUGUUCCCCCCUUUAUCUUCCCCUGAGGGCGCUUGAUAAGGCACGAUCUCCAGCAUCCUGGUUAGCACGGGAUUCGGUGAGGUCUUAGGGAGGGGGGCCGGACACCUGAUCAACUUCACCUUCGCUAUCCAAUCCUGGUCAAAGAGCGGCUUUUUAGGGCGACGUUGUGAUAAAUAAACAGACCUUGUGUUCGGAUGCGGGGCUACUUACUUGGGUAUCCGGGCGAUUGCAGCUCAGACCUGCAUCCUCAGUGGUGCCCGGACACAUUAUUUGUGGUCCGAAGAACAAUUUGUACAUCUCCUCGGGCGUCAUGCCGAGGAAGUGUUGAAUAGCUCGCGGUCCCUCCGGGUUGAACUCCCACAUGCGAAGGGGACGAUGUUUGCAGGGCAGAACUCGGUGAAUUAACAUGACUUGCAUUACCAUGACCAGACUGAUAUCUCUCUCAAGGAGAUCUCGGAUGCGGCUCUGCAAUGUGGGCACAUCCUUUACUGGUCCCCAGUCCAGCCCUUUGUUGACCCAUGACGUUAGUCGUGGCGGGGAACCCGAGCGAAAGACAGGUGGAGCCACCCACUUGGUACCCCUGGGAGCUGUGAUAUAAAACCACUCUCGUUGCCAUAAGCUGGACACCUCCUGGAAAGAGCCCUCGGGCCAUGGGGCAUCGGCGUUUUUGCUUAUUACGGCGCCUCCGCACUUUGCGUGCCGCCCCUCGAUCAUCUUCGGCUCCACUUUGAAGGUCUUGAGCCACAGUCAGAAGUGAGGGGUAAUACGGAGGAAAGCUUCACACACGAGGAUGAACGAUGAGAUGUGGAGGAUAGAUUCCGGAGCUAAAUCAUGGAAAUCCAGCCCGUAAUAAAACAUGAGCCCCCUCAUGAAGGGAUCUAGAGCGAAGCCUAGCCCUUGGAGGAAGUGAGACACAAACACAACGCUCUCGCCGGGUCUGGGGGUAGGAAUGACCUGCCCUCAAGCAGGCAGCCGGUGCGGGAUCCCGCUGGUCAGAAACCUAGCCUCCCUUAGCUUUUUCACAUCUUCCUCCGUGACGGAGGAAGGCAUCCACCGACCUUGAAGGUUGGAUCGGGACAUAGUCGGAGCUCCGAAGCACCUAAACUUGAGCUUUGAGUGUUGGAACUCGAGGCGGGGGUGGAUUCGAUUAAGAUCGAAAAGGAAAAAGAAUAGGCCUUGGUCUCUUUAUAAAGAGGUUGAAUACCAAGUGUCCUCCUCGUGACCGUUUGGGACUUGCCUACAAUCGAGGAGUCGUACCAAUGGGCACGAUUGGGUUACCCACGUCCGCGUUGAUGAGAAUCCCGUAAUAAAGGGGACACGAUCUCUGCUCCGACAAGACGUGCCAAGGAAACCGCCUCGCUAUACACGCUGAGAUUGGUUAUGAAAAACGAAUAAAUGACCUGGCUGCGGUGUGAUGUCACACUGCGAAAUACGUCAGCAGAUUAGAUUUGUGGAAAUAUUAAUCUCUCUACGACGGUAUGUGAAACUUGUUUUGCAGAGCCGGACACGAUCCUCGUGUUCAAAAUCUUCUAUGAAAUAUUCAAAGGAGGAACCCGCCUUGCAAUGCCGAAGACAAUUUGCGCGUCGGACUCAUCGUCAUUGAAGCCUAGUUCAGGGGCUACUGAGGGAGUCCUGGAUUAGGGGGUAUCCGGACAGCCGGACUAGCUCAAUUUAGGAUCAAAUGUAGGAACCUCAUGGGUAAGGAUAAGGUAAUGGAAUUGAUAGAGAAAUUCAUAGACCUAGGUAGGAUAGGAAAAUUGAUAAAGGGAAUAGAGAUGAUGAUAGAGAUCAUACUGAGAAAGAUGAUAAUUCCGUACGGGUACAACUCUUAUUUGAACGAAGUGCAAAAAAUGCGAUAUCCUUUGGUCGGAUUGUUGGACAAUGAAGAUACAAGAUUGAAGACUUCAUCCCGUGUCCGGAUGGGACUCUCCUUGGCGUGGAAGGCAAGCUUGGCAAUACGGAUAUGUAGAUCUCCUUCCUUGUAACCAACUCUGUGUAACCCUAGCCCCCUCCAGUGUCUAUAUAAACCGGAGGGUUUAGUCCGUAGGACCAAGAAUAAUCAUACCAUAGGCUAGCUUAUAGGGUUUAGCCUCUACGAUCUCGUGGUAGAUUAACUCUUGUAAUACUCAUAUCAUCAAGAUCAAUCAAGCAGGAGUAGGGUUUUACCUCCAUCGAGAGGGCCCGAACCUGGGUAAAAACAUCAUGUCCCCCGUCUCCUGUUACCAUCCGCCUAGACGCACAGUUUUGGACCCCCUACCCGAGAUCCGCCGGUUUUGACACCGACACAACUCAUCUGGGAUCGGAUCCAUUCCAUCCUCACACACGCAAGCUCAUCGAGCUUAAGAACACCUCUCCUCAGGAGGCUGUUCUUCCCUUGUACUUGUUCAUCCCCAGCCUACAAGGCAAUCCACCACACCAUACUGGAGUAGGGUAUUACACCACAUCGGUGGCCCGAACCAGUAUACACUCUUGUGUCCCUUGUUCUUCGGGUUCGGCGGGCCGAGCUUUGAGAUUGAGGUGAGAGCGUGAGCUAGGGGGAGAGAGAGAUCUUCGCGCGCACCCCAAAGUUUGAACCUUAAGGGUUUUUGCCGGAACCCGUGAUCCGACAAUACAUGGUUCGUAUUUUCAAUAUACAUGAUUAUCUUUUCUUUAAUCUCACAUACAUUUCUUGAAACGCAUGAAUAGUUUUUUACAAACAUUUUUUUAACAAUUUUAACAUGUUUUUAGAUAAUACUCCCUCCAUCCCGUAAUUCUUGUCGCAGGGGUAGUACAUUUGUUUUUCUGCAUUUUAGUCCUUCCACUUUCAAAGCUUUAGAAAUUAAGCCCCCAUCUCCUUCCUCCUCCUCCCGUCGCCCGCGUCGCCAGGCCAGCCGUCUCCAGGAGAAGGUAGCCGCCGACGAGCAGUUCCUGAGCCACUGACGAGCCCGCCCACGAACAUGACCUCCGCUGCCCACGAGGUGGAUCUCCGCCGGCCGCCCACGAGGAGGACUCCGCCGGCCGCCCACGAGGAGGACCUCCGCUGCCCACCGACGAGUGGUUCUCUGUCGCCCACCAACGAGUUGUUCCUCCACCACCCACCACCGCCGCACUGGUCCACUCCGCCCAUGAUUCCGCUGCUCACUGCCGCCGCGCUGGUCCGCUUUGUCCCACCGGCUGGUUGAGGUGGUGCUGGCUAGCGACGCCUGUGCCACCACUGCUGCUGCUGGUGGGCGACGCCAAUGCCCUCCGAUCCCCGCCCCCGACCCCCGAGGCCUCCGCGUCUGCCUCUGCUACUCUGCUCUGGUCCUGUAGCUUAUACAGAGUGAUAUUGAUCCGCAACUCGCUUGGCGUGAUCGUGUUGAUCAGCAGCAGCAGAGCUCCAGUAGCAGCUCCCUUGUGCUCCUCUGGCCUGCUCCUUGUGUUGUCGCCAGAGCUCGGUUCCUAAGGAAGGAAGAAGGUAAAAUUCAAUUAAAAUUGUCCGGUUUCAGUUAAUCUGUAGUCCAAACUGUUAAAAUUUACUAUCAAUUUUCAGCAAUGUUGCAUUGAGCCUAAACCUUUUUGACAGUACAAGCAAUGCAGCAUUGAGCCUCCGCCUUUGCUACUGUUUGCCUGAGCGCCGACCUUGGCUUCCUCCAGAGCCCCCACCUCUGCUGAUGUCUGGGUACGUACGGAAGCAGAUCAAUUAUAGUGAAAUUAAUAGUCACAGUGAAACUGAUAGUCAUCUAUGAAAUUGAAUGUUUGUCUAGAUCAAUUAUUGCUAGCAUUAUGGAACUAGAGCAGAUCAUCCAAUUUGGAACAUACGCAAUCACUGUACUUUGCUAACUGUCAAAUUUUUAAGUCACUGAACAUAUGCAGUCACUAAACAUAUGCAAAUUUGGAGAACUAUUUGGUACUACUGGAAUUACUCCUAUUUGGAGUACUCCACAAAUUAUGUAAGUUUGGAGUACAAAAUUUAGUUUGUUACUCCCAGUUUGGAGUACUGUUUGCAACUUAUGAAAGCAACUUUUGUAAAAUGGCUUUGUUUCUCUGUGUUUCUGAUGCCUUUUGCUUCCAAAGGCAGUUCAGUUCACUCCAGAAAACAGUAGUCCAAAUUGUACUCAAACGGUCAGAUUUUGUAACUGUACUUAAGGCCAAAAUUCAGUGAAAACAUUGCCAAACUGUUAAAAUUCAGUUAAAAGAUUUGUACCUUCAUGCAGACUAAAAGGAGUAGGUUAACUUGAAAGUGCUAGUUAUCGACUAGAGGGGGGUUGAGGGAGUCCUAGAUUAGGGGGUGUUCGGGUAGCCGGACUAUACCUUCGCCGGACUCCUGGACUAUGAAGAUACAAGAUUGAAGACUUCGUCCCGUGUUCGGAUGGGACUUUCCUUGGCGUGGAAGGCAAGCUUGGCGAUGCGGAUAUUCAAGAUCUCCUACCCUUGUAACCGACUCUGUGUAACCCUAACCCUAUCCGGUGUCUAUAUAAACCGGAGGGUUGUAGUCCGUAGGACAAUCAACUCCAUACACAAUCAUACCAUAUGCUAGCUUGUAGGGUUUAGCCUCCUUGAUCUCGUGGUAGAUCUACUCUUGUACUACCCAUAUCAUCAAUAUUAAUCAAGCAGGAGUAGGUUAUUACCUCCAUCGAGAGGGCCCGAACCUGGGUAAAAACAUCAUGUCCCUUGUCUCCUGUUACCAUCCAGCCUUGAUGCACAGUUCGGGACCCCCUACCCGAGAUCCGCCGGUUUUGACACCGACAUUGGUGCUUUCAUUGAGAGUUCCUCUGUGUCAUCGCCUUUAGGCUCGAUGGCUCCUUUGAUCAUCAGUAACGAUGAGGUCCAGGGUGAGACUUUUCUCCCCGAACAAACCUUCGUCUUCGGCGGCUUCGCCCUGCGGGCCAAUUCGUUUGGCCACCUGGAGCAGAUCGAAAGCUACGCCCCUGGCCAUCAGGUCAGGUUCGGAAGCCUAAACUACACGGCGGACAUCCAUGGAGAUUUGAUCUUCGACGGAUUCGAGCCACAGCCAAGCGCGCCGCACUGUUUCGAUGGGCAUGAUCUAGCUCUGUAGCCGAACAGCGCCUUGGAGGCCGCACUGGCUCCGACCCUUAAUUCGGAGCCCACUGCGCAAUCAAGGAUGAGCGGUUGGACGUCACCUUGGGGGCUGCAAUCUCAAGGGCGAUCGAGCCGAACGCCAGCCCCGCACUCCGCGUGACUCAUGACUCCGAGGAUCCGGACUCCUCUCUGGACUCCGAACCCCCCGCGCCCCUACUGAUCGAGUCCAAUUGGGCGCCGAUAAUGGAGUUCACCGCCGCAGACAUCUUUCAGCACUCGCCUUUUGGCGAUAUCCUGAAUUCUCUCAAGUCUCUCUCUUUAUCAGGAGAGCCCUGGCCGGAUUACGGUCAGCGAGGAUGGGAUACGGACGAUGAAAAAAAAUUCAAAGCCCACCCACCACCCACUUUGUAGCCACUGUCAACAGUUUAAACGACGUGCUCAACUUCGACUCCACAGACAUCGACAGCAUGGAUAACGACGCAGGAGAUAACGACGAACCAAUGCCCAUAGGGCAUUGGACAACCACCUCAUCUCACGAUGUGUACAUGGUGGAUACCCCUAGAGGAAGCGACAACGAGGAAAAAGGGGAUGGAAUGGGAGAUCGACCCCCCGAAAAGCAAUCAAAGCGUCAGCGUAAACGCCGACCCAAGCCCCGCCUCAAUAAAGACCCAGCCAUAGAGCAGGAUGAGCCGGUAGAUGACGAGCAGGCCUUAGAGCAACCGUCCGAACAGGGCAACACGGAUAAAGAAACCGAACAUCCCUCCCUCGGCGAAAACGGCAUUCCAGACGACCUUACGCCGGAUAGACCCACAAAGAAGAAGAUUCUCCACAAGAGGCUCAUUGCAACAGCACAAAGCCUGAAAAAGCAGAAGCGGAAGCUAAAAACAGCGGAAGACGCACUCCGGAUUAGAUGGAGGAAAGUAAUCAAUACCGUAGAUAAAUACGGCGACGGUCGCCGCACUAAAAGCUAUCCGAAAAGAAGGCUGCUGCCCGAAUUCGACGAAGAGGCUCUAGGCCCUCACAUUCAAAAAAUAAGAAAGCCACACGGUCGGAUAGACGACCCCAUAAAGCGGCAAGCGGUGCCGCACUUAAAACGGCAUGCGAUCCACCUAAGGAUUCGCAUCACGGCCCAGUGAGGUCCAUUUAUGGGCCAAGAAAGCAAGCUCUCGUAAGCAAUGCAAUAAAGCCAUCAUCAGAAUCCGGCACCCCCAGAUACAGGGGCGCCGCACACCCCCUAUGUUUCACCGAUGAGGUUCUGGACUAUGAAUUCCCAGAGGGAUUCAAACCCGUCAACAUAGAGGCAUACGAUGGAACAACAGACCCUGGAGUCUGGAUCGAGGACUAUAUCCUCCACAUACAUAUGGCCAGAGGAGACGAUCUCCACGCCAUCAAAUAUUUACCCCUUAAGCUUAAAGGGCCAGCCCGGCACUGGCUUAAAAGCCUUCCUGAAAACACAAUUGGAAGCUGGGAAGAGCUCGAGGAUGCUUUCUGAGAAAAUUUUCAAGGGACCUAUGUCCGCCCCUGGAUGCAGACGAUCUUAGUCACAUAACUCAACAGCCCGGAGAAUCAGCUCGGCAGUUCUGGAAUAGAUUCCUCACUAAAAAGAAUCAGAUAGUCAACUGUCCGGACGCCGAAGCUUUAGCAGCUUUCAAGCAUAACGUCUGAGACGAAUGGCUCGCCAGAAACCUCGGCCAAGAAAAGCCAAGAACAAUGGCCGCACUAACAAGCCUCAUGACCCGCUUUUGUGCAGGAGAGGACAGCUGGUUGGCAAGGUGCAGCCCCAGUGACCCAAGUACAUCCGAAACUAGGGAUGGAAACGGAAAACCAUGACGCAACAAGGACCGUCGCCGAAUUAAGGAAAAAAGUCCGAAGAGCACGACAGUUAAUGCCGGAUUCAAAGGCUCACGACCAAAUCAGACAAAACCACCCCUCCAGGAUAACAGGGAUGAUCCAUCCAACUUAAAUAAAAUCCUGGACAGGAUAUGUCAGAUACACAGUACUCCCGGGAAGCCUGCUAACCAUACCCACAGAGAUUGUUGGGUUUUCAAACAGUCUGGCAGACUCAAUGCCGAACACAAGGGGCUCGACACACCAAGCGAAGACGAGGACGAACCCCAAAAGCAGAGCACCAGGAAACAAAAGAACUUCCCACAAGAAGUAAAAGAAGUGAACUUACUUCACAUAACAAAACGUGCCGUGCCCAUAAAGGCACGCACCACCCGACAUAUACCCAAGGGAUCCUGCCACUGGUUGUCAAAACCAAUCAUCUUUGAUUAGCUGGAUUAUUCGAAAAGCAUCAGGAACGCAGGCUGGACUGCCUUGAUACUCGAUCCAAUAAUCGGCGGAAUCCAAUUUUCAAAUGUCCUUAUGGACGGCGGCAGCGGACUAAACCUGAUGUAUCAGGACACAAUCCGUCACAUGGGGAUAGACCCAGCGAGAAUCCGCCAUAGCAAAACCUCCUUUCAAGGGGUAACACCUGGUCCGGACACCCAUUGCAUGGGUUUACUCCGACUCGAAGUUAUAUUCGGUUCUACCGAUAACUUCCGCUGCGAAAAGCUGACCUUCCAUGUCGUCCCGUUCUCAAAUCGCUAUCAAGCACUACUAGGACGCGAAGCUUUCGCCCGCUUUAACGCAAUACCGCAUUAUGCAUCUCUCACGCUUAAGAUGGCCAGUCCACGGGGCAUCAUCUCUUUGAAGGGGAAGCACUGAAAUGUGCCUCCCCCAAGCGGAGGACUGUGCGGCUGCUUUCACAGCCUCACAGUAAAAUGGUCUCAAUGGGCAAAAAAACUUCGAAAUAGGUCACUAAAGACCACGAACACGGAUAGACGAGUUCGGUGCAAAAAUCACCAUUGAUGCAGGCCUAUUGGCCAUAUACCCCCGCACUAGGGGCUACAUGCAGAGACAAUAAAGCUCAAUUUUGUAUAUUUUACUUUAUACAUUGUUUAUUUCAAACCUUUGUCCGACAUGACCCAUUUUUAAAUAAGUUCCUCUUUUUUACAGAUGAACGUCAUGCGGCGCCCGUCCAGGAUACGGCACAACGGAGACACAGGCGCAGACGUGCAGUAGGGACCCGUCUUAAGGAUUCUUUUUAGAUUAAGACCCUGUGUAAACCUUUUUUACUGUCUCUCGUUGUUACAUCUCCCCUGGUUUUCUUUAACAUAACCACGGAGGAGGGUGGCGUCUUGGCAUGUGGCCACGUCAUAAUUCUUGCGCGUACCUGGACACUAGGGGCUUUUUUACUACAGAGUGUUGUUUUGCCCGCACUCAUAAAGACCGAACACCCUAGGGAGUGUUCGGCGUCGCGAGUUUUGGCAUUAUAUGCAUCAGCUCCGAAUCAUAUCUUUGGUCAAAUGUUGGGUUGCCCGGCUCCUGAGUUCGGCUACCUUACGUUCCGCUCUAUCGGCUAAGGUAGCACCAGGAGAACUACUGCGAUUGUGCCCCGGUUCGGCCGGGCGAGCACCUCAGUAGAGAAAGCCAAAAACUGACUGUCAUGAUGCAGCGUGAGACUGGUCAGCCACUCGACGACCUAUGGGAAUCUAUCGGAUUCCUCCGCUUUAACGAAGGGCCGCUUCCCGGCCAGGCAUAUACGCGCCCCGAACUCGGGCGGGCGCAGUCGCCACCAAAGGGCUACCUAAAGAGUCCCACUGUCAAGCUCCUAUGGCUAAGUGAAAGUGAUAAAGCAUUAUAGUCCGGUUGCCUGGCCCGCUGUGCUAUCACCUCCUUGGUAGGACCAAGACGUUGGGUUAAGUGUGAAAAUGCGUCUUCUGCGAGCACCCCCGCACUAUGUGCGUGGGGGCUGAAGCCAACGACAGCCAUCUUUCAGAUUAUAUAUAUAACGGCCGCACAGGAGGUGUUUCAAAUACUUGAAGGCACAAGUAUAAAAGGCCACUACAAUAUUGCUUUAUAAUUACAUAUGCUAUCAUAAAAUAGCAUCCUUCGAGCACUGCGUCUCUAUUAUACGAGCGCCCUCAAGGACGUCCUGAAAAUAGUGCUCGGAAGGUACUCGGCUUUUGUCCGAAUCUCGGGACGCGACAACGGUGGUCUCCAUUUCUGCCCAGUAUGUUUUGACACGGGCAAGAGCCAUCUGUGCGCCCUCUAUGCAGGCUGACCUCUUCAUUGCAUCGAUUCGUGGCACUGCAUCAAGGAAUUGCUGCACCAAGCUGAAGUAACUCUUCGGCUCCGAUCUCCCCGGCCAAAGAUGACCCUUGACCUACUUCAUGGCGAGUCCGGACAACCUAUUCAGUUCGGCCCAUUGAGCCAAACGAUCGUCCACUGAAAGUGGACGCUCUGGAUUGUGAAACUGCGACCAGAAAAGCUUUUCCACUUCGUGAUCUUUUUGAUCUCGAAAAUGUUUGGUCGCAUCAGCAGCACUCGCUACCAAAUCCAGAUAGGUGUCCUUCACACUCCACAUCUGGUCCAACGGAGCAAACCUUGGAUCACAAAACUUCCUCCGCAGCAUAAACGGCCUUCCAGCCGCAAUCUGUCCGGCUUGGUGCAGCUCCUCCUUCGCAGCUCUCAUCGCUGAGCGAGCGUCUUUGGCGUUAGUAACGGCCUUCUCUAAGCCCGUCCGCCUCGCCAGGUCUUCUUCUUCAAGAAUCUUGCAAUGGUCAGCAGUGCCCUUUAACUUCACGGCCAUCGCGGCCAUCUCCUCCUUGCUUCGGCAGUGAGAAGCCUGUUCGGCUUUCAGCUCUUCACGGGCUUUCUCGGCAGCCGCAUCGCUUCUUCUGGCUUGUUCCUUAGCUCGGGAAAGUUCUGCCCUGAGACUCUCCACGGCGGCCGCACCAUCUGCGUCAAGCACACGCAUUGUAAGAUACUGGCGUAAAGCCCUUCUUACCUAAUGCCGUCCGAGGAACUACAUACCUUGAGCUUCAUCAAGCCGCUUGUUGACAAGCGCGAUGUCGGCAUCUGCCACAUCCAGUUGCCGCUUUAGUUCGGCCAAAUCAUCAGUCCGGCUGGAUUCCGGACACCCUGCCGCCUACAUUCAAAGGCGACAUCUUAGACCUGGGAUUAUGAUCCUCCGCGUGCCGUCCUUUCUUGACGACGCGCAGAAUCUCAGGGGCUACUAUCUACACAGGGCGCAUCUUACUUAUGCGCAACUGACAAAAGUGUACAUUAUCCAACGUACCUCAAAACCCGUCAGUAAACUUUUGACGGCCUCAUGCAAUCCGCUUUGUGCGGAUGAAAUCCUUUCAAUCACCGUGCCCAUCAAUGCACGAUGCUCUUCCGAGAUUGAAGCUCGCCCUAGCAGAAUCUUUAGCUCCUCCGGCCGAGCACCAGACGGUGCCAGACUCGCCCCAUGACCUCUUUCGAAGGCCGGACACGGAGAACCCCGGGGGGCCACAUGACCAUCUUUUGCCCCUGCCGGAUUCGGAGAAACUCUCCGCGACGACACCUCAGGAUCGCCCGCCUCGCUAGGCGGCACGGCAGGGGGAGGCGUCCCGCUCUCCAUCAUCUCCGGAAGGAGGUCCCCUGAAGAUGAGCUCUGCUGAGAAGGGCUGAGGUCCAAACUACAAGGUAAAAACUCGGUUAAUCUUCUCAAAUAUAAAUUAAGGAUUUCUCUCAUCCCUCAAAAGGAAAAUCUUCCUCUACUUACGGCUCGCUGGAGGGCUGAUCCCCUUGAGGGCGUAGUCCGGCUGAGGAACUCCCUGGCGUAGGACCCUCUGACGAGGAUUUUUUCCCCCGCUUCGAGGCCACGGUCUCCGGGUCGUCGGAGGCGGCUCUCUUCUUCCCCUAGGAGAGGGAUUGUCGGUUCCUCCCUUCGGAUUAGCCUCCUUCGAGGAGGCCAUAGUUUCCAUGUCCUCCCCUUUACUCCCCUCCAAAGGCAUUAUCUCCAGCAUCCUGACUAGCACAGGAUCCGGCCUGGUUUCGGGAAGGGGAGCCGGACACCUGAUCAGCUUUGCCUUUGCUAUCCAUUCCUGCUUAAAAGGACAACUCUUUCAGGGGCAAAUUAUGACAAUUAUACGGAUAGAAGGUCCGGGCACAAGGUUACUUACUUGAGUAUCCGGGCGAUUGCAGCUCAGGCCUGCGUCCUCGGUUAAUUCCAGACACGUCUCUUGUGAUCCGAAGAACAGUUUAUACAUCUCUGCGGGCGUUGCGCCCAUGAAAUUCCGGAGAGCUCGAGGUCCCUCUGGAUUAAACUCCCACAGGCGAAGGGAGCGACAUUUGCCGGGCAGUAUUCAGCGAAUCAGCAUGACCUGCGUCACCUUGACCAGGCUGAGGUCUCCUUCCAAGAGAUCGUUAAUGCGGCCCUGCAGCAGGGGCACGUCUUUGGGUAACCCCCAAUCUAACCCUCUAUUGACCCACGAUGUUAGUUGUGGCGGGGGACCCGAGCGAAAGGCAAGAGGCGCCACCCACUUGGUGCCCCGGGGAGCGGCGAUAUAAAACCACUCUCGUUGCCACAAGCCAAGCUCCUCUUGAAAAGAGCCCUCGGGCCAUGGAGCAUCGGCUUUCUUGCUUAUGACAGCACCUCCGCACUCUGUGUGCCGUCCCUCGAUUAUCUUCGGCUCCACUUUAAAGGUCUUGAGCCAUAAUCCGAAGUGAGGGGUAACAUGGAGGAACGCUUCACACAUAAUGAUAAAUGAGGAGAUAUGGAGGAUGGACUCCGGAGCUAAGUCAUGGAAUUACAGCCCGUAAUAAAACAGCAGCCCCCUGACAAAGGGAUCCAUCGGGAAGCCUAACCCCCGGAGGAAGUGAGACAUGAACACUACGCUCUCACUGGGCUGGGGGCUGGGAACGGCCUGCCCUUGAGCAGGCAACCUGUGCAGAAUUUCGCCGGUCAGGAACUUAGCCUCUCUUAACUUUAGCACGUCCUCCUCCGUGACGGAGGAGGGUGUCCAUCGGCCUUGAAGGUCAGAACUGGACAUUGUCGAAGAUCAGAAGCGCCUGAAAUCUGGAACCUAGGGUGUUGGAACUCAAGGUGAUGUCGCUUGAGAUUGAAAGAAGGAGCGGGGCCUUGGUCUCUUUAUAAGAGGUUGAAUACCAAGAGCCCUCCCUGUAACCGUUUGGGGCUCGCCUUCAAUCGAGGAAACGUGCUAACGGGCACGAGUGGGUUACCCAUGUCCAUAUUGAUGAGAAUCCCGUAAAAAAGGGGACACGAUCUCUGCUUUGACAAGACGUGCCAAGGAAACCGCCUUGCAAACUGUGCUGAGGUGGAAAAGUAAAAACGAUUCGAGUAAAAGACUUGGCUGUAGUAUGAUGAUGCACUACAGAAUGCGUCAGCAGAUUUGAUUUGUGUCAAUAUUAUUCUCUCUAUGGCAAUAUGUGGAAACUUGUUUUGUAGAGCCGGACACUAUUCUUGGUGUUUACAAUCUUCUGUGAAGGACUUGGAGGAGGAACCCGCCUUGCAAUGCUGAAGACAAUCUGCACGCCGGACUCGUCAUUGAAGCCUGGUUCAGGGGCUACUGAGGGAGUCCUGGAUUAGGGGGUGUUUGGGUAGCCGGACUAUACCUUCGCCGGACUCCUGGACUACGAAGAUACAAUAUUGAAGACUUCGUCCCGUGUCCGGAUGGGACUUUCCUUGGCGUGGAAGGCAAGCUUGGCGAUGCGCAUAUUCAAGAUCUCCUACCCUUGUAACUGACUCUGUGUAACCCUAACCCUAUCCGGUGUCUAUAUAAACCGGAGGGUUGUAGUCCGUAGGACAAUCAACUCCAUACACAAUCAUACCAUAGGUUAGCUUCUAGGGUUUAGCCUCAUUGAUCUCGUGGUAGAUCUACUCUUGUACUACCCAUAUCAUCAAUAUUAAUCAAGCAGGAGUAGGGUAUUACCUCCAUCGAGAGGGCCCGAACCUGGGUAAAAACAUUGUGUCCCUUGUCUCCUCUUACCAUCCGGCCUUGACGCACAGUUCAGGACCCCCUACCCGAGAUCCGCCGGUUUUGACACCGACAGGGGUGAAUAGGCGAUUUUUACAAAAGUCUUCAAAACACAAGGUCUUUGAAGACAAACUGAUGUAAUGAUCCUAUAUCACUACAAAAAAAUACACUUUCAUGAUGAUACGUGUUUGUCAUAGUAGGUCACGUUUUCUGUCAUGCAUGUACAUCCAUGACGAUUUUAUGACAGAAUCAAGAUAGUCAUACCUAUGCUGUCGUAGAAGUGUUCCAUGACAAUAUCAAAAUUAUCAUCACAGAAGUGUCCACUUCCAUGACGAUAAAUCCCGCGUCAUAGAAGUGCUUUCGUCAAGGGUGACCGACAUGUGGCGUUGACCGUAAUGGGUCGUCGUUAAGCUACCGGGUCCAGUUUUGGAUCCGAUAACCCGUUAACAGCCCGGGCCAAUAGGGAUUUUCCACAUGUAAAAUUCUCAUUGGCCGGAGGAAACACGUGUUUGCUCACCGUUGGGACAGAUGUCAUCCACUCAUUGGACAGGAGGCGCCUAUGAUACGUCGACACAUGGCACGGCCCAAUUGAGGCCCAUUCCGAUGAAAAGGCCGGCCCAGCUAAAGGCCCACCAUGUUUUUUCAGACACUAGUGGGCUGGCCCGUUAACAGCCGGCCAUGUUUUGGGCCAAAUUGAGGCCCAUAGUGGAUCAGGCCCGUUCACAGCCUGCCGUGUUUUGGGCCAAAUUAGGGCCCAUAUUGGAUCAGGCCCGUUAACAGGCCAUUGUUCUUUUGGGCCCAUUCUAAGACAGGUUUGUAUUUCGGCCUAUUAAAUGCACGUUAACCAGUUUGGUCCGAUAAAAGUUUCGGCCUGUUAGCGGCCCAUGGUGCAUCUGCAGAAACUGGGCUAUUUCUUGUCUGAAGUAACUUUAGGCCUCUUAAUGGCCCGUAGUCUUCAUGGAUAAAUUUCAGCCCAACAUGCCAGCUUGUUAUGGCCCGUGGAACAGUUGGGCCUAAUUACAGCCCGCAUUGAAUAAGGCCUGCUUACAGCCCAUCUGAUAAUGGCUUGUGACACUUUUGGGCCUAUGGCCUGCGUGGAUACCGGCCUGCUUAAAGCACAUAAUUUUAUUGGGCCAAACUGGUCCGAGAUAUAUUUCGGCCUGUUAACUACUCGUCCUAUUUGGGCCAAACAUGGGCCUUAGACAAUUUCUGCCUGUAUUGGCCCAUGAAUUUUUCGGCCCAACGCUGGCCCAAUCUAGGUUUAAGCCUGUUAAAAGCCCAUGGUAUUCGAUGGCCCAGCUGGCUAGAACUUUACUCGGCCUGUUAAAGGUGGGAAACUACUAUAGGUUUAGACCUGCUAAUGGCCCAAGAUGAUUAUAGGCCCAUGUUUUGUCCCAUAUGAGUAACGGGCCGGCCUGAAGACCGACAACACUGAGAUCCACUGAACCUUCCGUCCUAAAUUACAGCAUACCGACCAAGAAAUAAACCUAGACUAUACAAUACAGAAAUUACAACAUAGUACAUCCACUAGGAAUCAAAGUUCACUACCGGUGAUAAUAAAGCGCAACGUGGCCGCGGAUUACAUACACUGGGCAUCAAAGGUCGCCACUAGUGCAUAUAAACGCGCCGACAAAAGAAUAUACAAAACUAAGAACACUUCAGAAGGCACUAGGCCUGGCCAGGGUGGGCCCUGCAAGCAGCCGAACAAGCUGAUGACACCUUAGUUGUGUCAACGAUAUAUGCUCCCUCCCUAGUUGUAUGGCACCAUAGUGCGCAAGGCAGUCCUCUGACAUCUUCCUUGCAUCUUUGACUUCAAGUCGGAGCUGAGCUGAAGCAAGCCUUUCUGCUUUAAGUUGAGACUGAAGAAGUCGAACUGAUUGAGGCAGCGACUGCAUAGAGGUUGUCUCACACCUGCUGGUGAGUAGCUUCAACUCACUGUCUUCAUCAAGACAGGACCUUGGAGUUGUCACUACAAAAAAAUACACUUCCGUGAUGAUACGUGUUUGUCACAGUAGGUCGCGUUUUUUGUCAUGCAUGUACAUCCAUGACAAAUUUAUGACAGAAUCAAGAUAGUCAUACAUGUGCUGUCGUAGAAGUGUUCCAUGACAUUACCAAAAUUAUCAUCACGGAAGUGUCCACUUCCAUGAUGAUAAAUCGCGCGUCACAGAAGUGCUUUCGUCAAGGGUGACAAACGUGGAAUCCACCGUAACCGAACGUUGUUAAGCUAUCGGGUCAGGUUUUGGAUCCGAUAACCCGUUAACAGCCCCGACCAAUGGGAAAUUUCCACGUGUAAAAUUCUUAUUGGCCGGAUGAAACACGUGUCAGCUCGUCAGUGGGUCAGAUAGGCGUCUAUGAUACGUCGACACGUGGCACGGCCCAACAGAGGCCCAUUCUUGUGAAAAGGCUGGCCCGUUUGACUUGGUCAAAAGCUGGUGGGCCGGACCAUGGAAAGCCUGUUAACGGCUUGUUCGCAUAUAGCCCAUUUACAGCCCGCUAACCCAAGGCCCGUUACGCCCUAUUCGAAUUAGGCCUAGUAGCGUCAUCUGGGCCAUCCAAUAUGAUUCUAGCCCGUUUUCACUUCUGGCCCAUGUAUGGCCCAUGAUGUCUUUCGGCCCAUAUGAGGCCCUAUGUAACUCUUAGCCUAUUAACGACCCGUGCUGAAACUAGCCCGUAAUGAAUAGUGUAUCACUUUACACCCAUUAACGACCCGUGGUGAAACUGGCCCGUAAAGAACAGUGUAUCACUUUAUACCCAUUAACGGCCCGUUAUUUCGUUGGGCCGUUUCCAGCCCAUGUUAUCUUUCGGCCUUCUCAGAGCCCAUUUAUUUUUGGGCUAUUUUCCAGCAUUCGUUUACUUACAGCCCAUUACUAUCAUUUUCUGCUUGUGGGCCAAAUUCAGCCCGUGGUUACAGUCGACCCAUUUGUCGUCCAUUAAUACGUUGGGCCAUUUUCAUAGCGUCAUCAAAUACGACCUCUUAACGAUGGCCCAUUAUGGUCAGCCCAUGAACGGACGAUUCCAACUCUAGCCCGUUUACGGCCAGAAUGCGGUCUGUUUGGCCCAUGUUUGGCCAAUCGAUCAUACGACCCGUAUAAGGCCCAUUGAUGAUACGGCCCGUAGAAGGCCCAUUGAUGAUAUUGUUGGGGAACGUAGUAAUUUCAAAAAAUUUCCUACGCACAUGCAAGAUCAUAGUGAUGCAUAGCAACGAGAGGGGAGAGUGUUGUCUACAUACCCUCGUAGACCGAAGCAGAAGCGUUGACGCAACAUAGAGGAAGUAGUCGUACGUCUUCCCGGUCCGACCGAUCCAAGCACCGUUACUCCGGCACCUCCGAGUUCUUGGCACACGUACAGCUCGAUGAUGCUCCCCGGGCUCCGAUCCAGCAGAGCUUCGGGGAUGAGUUCCGUCAGCACGACGGCGUGGUGACGAUCUUGAUGUUCUACCAUCGCAGGGCUUCGCCUAAGCGAUGCUACAAUAUGACCGAGGUGGAAUAUGGUGGAGGGGGGCACCGCACACGGCUCAGGAACGAUCACGAUGAUCAACUUGUGUGUUCUAGGGUGCCCCCUGCCCCCGUAUAUAAAGGAGCAAGGGGGAGGCCGGCCGGCACUUGGGGCGCGCCAAGGAGAGGGGGGGAGUCCUCCUCCUAGUGGGAGUAGGACUCCCCUUUCCUAGUCCAACUAGGAAUAGAGAGGGGGAAGGAAAGAGAGGGAGAGGUAGAGGGAAAGGGGGGCCGCGCCCCCCUCCUAGUCCUAUUCGGACUCCCCAUGAGGGGGGGGGGGCGCCACCUCCUAGGCUGCUGCCCUCUCUCUCCCCUCAGGCCCACUAAGGCCCAUUACUUCCCCGGGGGGUUCCGGUAACCCCUCCGGCACUCCGGUUUUAUCCGAAAUCACCCAGAACAAUUUCGGUGUCCGAAUAUAGUCGUCCAAUAUAUCGAUCUUAAUGUCUCGACCAUUUCGAGACUCCUCGUCAUGUCCAUGAUCACAUCCGGGACUCCGAACAACCUUCGGUACAUCAAAAUACAUAAACUCAUAAUAAUUGUCAUCGUAACGUUAAGCGUGCGGACCCUACGGUUCGAGAACAAUGUAGACAUGACCGAGACACGUCUCCGGUCAAUAACCAAUAGCGGGACCUGGAUGCCCAUAUUGGCUCCUACAUAUUCUACGAAGAUCUUUAUCGGUCAGACCGCAUGACAACAUACGUUGUUCCCUUUGUCAUCGGUAUGUUACUUGCCCGAGAUUCGAUCGUCGGUAUCCAAUACCUAGUUCAAUCUCGUUAUUGGCAAGUCUCUUUACUCGUUCCAUAAUACAUCAUCUCACAACUAACACAAUAGUUGUAAUGCUUGCAAGGCUUAUGUGAUGUGCAUUACCGAGAGGGCCCAGAGAUACCUCUCCGACAUUCGGAGUGACAAAUCCUAAUCUCGAAAUACGCCAACCCAACAAGUACCUUCGGAGACACCUUUAGAGCACCUUUAUAAUCACCCAGUUACGUUGUGACAUUUGGUAGCACACAAAGUGUUCCUCCGGUAAACGAGAGUUGCAUAAUCUCAUAGUCAUAGGAACAUGUAUAAGUCAUGAAGAAAGCAAUAGCAACAUACUAAACAAUCGGGUGCUAAGCUAAUGGAAUGGGUCAUGUCAAUCAGAUCAUUCAGCUAAUGAUGUGACCUCGUUAAUCAAAUAACAACUCUUUGUCCAUGGUUAGGAAACAUAACCAUCUUUGAUUAACGAGCUAGUCAAGUAGAGGCAUACUAGUGACACUCUGUUUGUUUAUAUAUUCACACAUGUAUUAUGUUUCCGGUUAAUACAAUUCUAGCAUGAAUAAUAAACAUUUAUCAUGAUAUAUGAGGAAAUAAAUAAUAACUUUAUUAUUGCCUCUAGGGCAUAUUUCCUUCAGUCUCCCACUUGCACUAGAGUCAAUAAUCUAGAUUACACAGUAAUGAUUCUAACACCCAUGGAGUCUUGGUGCUGAUCAUGUUUUGCUCAUGGAAGAGGCUUAGUCAACGGGUCUGCUACAUUCAGAUCUGUAUGUAUCUUGCAAAUCUCUAUGUCUCCCACCUGGACUAGAUCCCGGAUGGAAUUGAAGAGUCUCUUGAUGUGCUUGGUUCUCUUGUGAAAUCUGGAUUCCUUUGCCAAGGCAAUUGCACCAGUAUUGUCACAAAAGAUUUUCAUUGGACCCGAUGCACUAGGUAUGACACCUAGAUCGGUUAUGAACUCCUUCAUCCAAACUCCUUCGUUUGCUGCUCCCGAAGCAGCUAUGUAUUCCGCUUCACAUGUAGAUCCCGCCACGACACUUUGUUUAGAACUGCACCAACUGACAGCUCCACCGUUUAAUGUAAACACGUAUCCGUUUUGCGAUUUAGAAUCGUCCGGAUCAAUGUCAAAGCUUGCAUCAACGUAACCGUUUGCGAUGAGCUCUUUGUCACCUCCAUAUAUGAGAAACAUAUCCUUAGGCCUUUUCAGGUACUUCAGGAUGUUCUUGACCACUGUCCAGUGAUCCACUCCUGGAUUACUUUGGUACCUCCCUGCUAGACUUAUAGCAAGGCACACAUCAGGUCUGUUACACAGCAUUGCAUACAUGAUAGAGCCUAUGGCUGAAGCAUAGGGAACAUCUUUCAUUUUCUCUCUAUCUUCUGCAUUGGUCGGGCAUUGAGUCUUACUCAACUUCACACCUUGUAACACAGGCAAGAACCCUUUCUUUGCUUGAUCCAUUUUGAACUUCUUCAAAACUUUGUCAAGGUAUGUGCUUUGUGAAAGUCCAAUUAAGCGUCUUGAUCUAUCUCUAUAGAUCUUAAUGCCCAAUAUGUAAGCAGCUUCACCGAGGUCUUUCAUUGAAAAACUCUUAUUCAAGUAUCCCUUUAUGAUAUCCAGAAAUUCUAUAUCAUUUCCGAUUAGUAAUAUGUCAUCUACAUAUAAUAUCAGAAAUGCUACAGAGCUCCCACUCACUUUCUUAUAAAUACAGGCUUCUCCAAAAGUCUGUACAAACCCAAAUGCUUUGAUUACAAUAUCAAAGCGUUUAUUCCAACUCCGAGAGGCUUGCACCAGUCCAUAAAUGGAUUGCUGGAGCUUGCACACUUUGUUAGCUCCCUUUGGAUCGAUAAAACCUUCUGGUUGCAUCAUAUACAACUCCUCUUCCAGAAAUCCAUUCAGGAAUGCAGUUUUGACAUCCAUCUGCCAAAUUUCAUAAUCAUAAAAUGCGGCAAUUGCUAACAUGAUUCGGACAGACUUAAGCAUCGCUACGGGUGAGAAGGUCUCAUCGUAGUCAAUCCCUUGAACUUGUCGAAAACCUUUUGCGACAAGUCGAGCUUUGUAGACAGUAAUAUUACCGUCAGCGUCAGUCUUCUUCUUGAAGAUCCAUUUAUUCUCAAUUGCUUGCCGAUCAUCGGGCAAGUCAACCAAAGUCCACACUUUGUUCUCAUACAUGGAUCCCAUCUCAGAUUUCAUGGCUUCAAGCCAUUUUGCGGAAUCUGGGCUCACCAUCGCUUCUUCAUAGUUCGUAGGUUCAUCAUGAUCUAGUAGCAUGACUUCCAGAAUAGGAUUGCCGUACCACUCUGGUGCGGAUCUUACUCUGGUUGAUCUACGAGGUUCUGUAGUAACUUGAUCUGAAGUUCUAUGGUCAUCAUCAUUAACUUCCUCUCUAAUUGGUUCAGACGUCACAGAAACCGGUUCCUGUGAUGUGCUACUUUCCAAUAAGGGAGCAGGUACAAUUACCUCAUCAGGUUCUACUUUCCUCCCACUCACUUCUUUCGAGAGAAACUCCUUCUCUAAAAAGGAUACAUUCUUAGCAACGAAUGUGUUGCCUUCGGAUCUGUGAUAGAAGGUGUACCCAACAGUCUCCUUUGGGUAUCCUAUGAAGACACAUUUCUCCGAUUUGGGUUUGAGCUUAUCAGGUUGAAGUUUUUUUACAUAAGCAUCGCAGCCCCAAAUUUUAAGAAACGACAACUUUGGUUUCUUGCUAAACCAUAGUUCAUAAGGCGUCGUCUCAACGGAUUUAGAUGGUGCCCUAUUUAACGUGAAUGCGGCCGUCUCUAAAGGAUAACCCCAAAACGAUAGCGGUAAAUCUGUAAGAGACAUCAUAGAUCGCACCAUAUCAAGUAAAGUACGAUUACGACGUUCGGACACACCAUUACGCUGUGGUGUUCCGGGUGGCGUGAAUUGCAAAACUAUUCCGCAUUUUUUCAAAUGUAGACCAAACUCGUAACUCAAAUAUUCUCCUCCACGAUCAGAUCGCAGAAACUUUAUUUUCUUGUUACGAUGAUUUUCAACCUCACUCUGAAAUUCUUUGAACUUUUCAAAUGUUUCAGACUUAUGUUUCAUUAAGUAGAUAUACCCAUAUCUGCUUAAAUCAUCUGUGAAGGUGAGAAAAUAACGCUAUCCACCACGAGCCUCAACAUUCAUUGGACCACAUACAUCUGUAUGUAUGAUUUCCAACAAAUCUGUUGCUCUCUCCAUAGUACUGGAGAACGGCGUUUUAGUCAUCUUGCCCAUGAGGCACGGUUCGCAAGUACCAAGUGAUUCAUAAUCAAGUGGUUCCAAAAGUCCAUCAGUAUGGAGUUUCUUCAUGCGCUUUACACCGAUAUGACCUAAACGGCAGUGCCACAAAUAAGUUGCACUAUCAUUAUCAACUCUGCAUCUUUUGGCUUCAACAUUAUGAAUAUGUGUAUCACUACUAUCGAGAUUCAUCAAAAUAGACCACUCUUUAAGGGUGCAUGACCAUAAAAGAUAUUACUCAUAUAAAUAGAACAACCAUUAUUCUCUGAUUUAAAUGAAUAACCGUCUCGCAUCAAACAACAUCCAGAUAUAAUGUUCACGCUCAACGCUGGCACCAAAUAACAAUUAUUUAGGUCUAAUACUAAUCCCGAAGGUAGAUGUAGAGGUAGCGUGCCGACCGUGAUCACAUCGACUUUGGAACCAUUUCCCACGCGCAUCGUCACCUCGUCCUUUGCCAGUGUUCGCUUAACCCGUAGUCCCUGUUUCGAGUUGCAAAUAUUAGCAACAGAACCAGUAUCAAAUACCCAGGUGCUACUGCGAGCUCUAGUAAGGUACACAUCAAUAACAUGUAUAUGACAUAUACCUUUGUUCACCUUGCCAUCCUUCUUAUCCGCCAAAUACUUGGGGCAGUUCCGCUUCCAGUGACCAGUCUGCUUGCAGUAGAAGCACUCAGUUUCAGGCUUAGGUCCAGACUUGGGUUUCUUCUCCUGAGCAGCAACUUGUUUGCUGUUCUUCUUGAAGUUCCCCUUCUUCUUCCCUUUGCCCUUUUUCUUGAAACUAGUGGUCUUGUUGACCAUCAACACUUGAUGCUCCUUCUUGAUUUCUACCUCUGCAGCCUUUAGCAUUGCGAAGAGCUCGGGAAUUGUCUUAUCCACCCCUUGCAUAUUAUAGUUCAUCACGAAGCUCUUGUAGCUUGGUGGAAGUGAUUGGAGAAUUCUGUCAAUGACGCUAUCAUCCGGAAGAUUAACUCCCAGUUGAAUCAAGUGAUUACGAUACCCAGACAUCUUGAGUAUAUGCUCACUGACAGAACUAUUCUCCUCCAUCUUGCAGCUAUAGAACUUAUUGGAGACUUCAUAUCUCUCAAUCCAGGCAUUCUGCUAAAAUAUUAACUUCAACUCCUGGAACAUCUCAUAUGCCCCAUGACGCUCAAAACAUCGUUGAAGUCUCGGUUCUAAGCCGUAAAGCAUGGCACAUUGAACUAUCGAGUAGUCAUCAGCUUUGCUCUGCCAGACGUUCUUAACAUCGUCAGUUGCAUCAGCAGCAGGCCUGGCACCUAGUGGUGCUUCCAGGACGUAACUCUUCUGUGCAGCAAUGAGGAUAAUCCUCAAGUUACGGACCCAUCCCGUGUAAUUGCUACCAUCAUCUUUCAACUUUGCUUUCUCAAGGAACGCAUUAAAAUUCAACGGAACAACAGCACGGGCCAUCUAUCUACAAUCAACAUAAACAAGAAAGAUACUAUUAGGGACUAAGUUCAUGAUAAAUUUAAGUUCAACUAAUCAUAUUACUUAAGAACUCCCACUUAGAUAGACAUCCCUCUAAUCUUCUAAGUGAUCACGUGAUCCAAAUCAACUAAACCAUAACCAAUCAUCACGUGAAAUGGAUUAGUCUUCAAUGGUGAACAUCAUUAUGUUGAUCAUAUCUACUAUAUGAUUCACGCUCGACCUUUCGGUCUCCGUGUUCCGAGGCCAUAUCUGCAUAUGCUAGGCUCGUCAAGUUUAACCCGAGUAUUCUGCGUGUGCAAAACUGGCUUGCACCCGUUGUAGAUGGACGUAGAGCUUAUCACACCCGAUCAUCACGUGGUGUCUGGGCACGACGAACUUUGGCAACGGUGCAUACUCAGGGAGAACACUUCUUGAUAAUUAGUGAGAGAUCAUCUUAUAAUGCUACCGUCAAUCAAAGCAAGAUAAGAUGCAUAAAAGAUAAACAUCACAUGCAAUCAAUAUAAGUGAUAUGAUAUGGCCAUCAUCAUCUUGUGCUUGUGAUCUCCAUCUCCGAAGCACCGUCAUGAUCACCAUCGUCACCAGUGCGACACCUUGAUCUCCAUCGUAGCAUCGUUGUCGUCUCGCCAAUCUUAUGCUUCUACGACUAUCGCUACCGCUUAGUGAUAAAGUAAAGCAUUACAGGGCGAUUGCAUUGCAUACAAUAAAGCGACAACCAUAUGGCUCCUGCCAGUUGCCGAUAACUCGGUUACAAAACAUGAUCAUCUCAUACAAUAAAAUUUAGCAUCAUGUCUUGACCAUAUCACAUCACAACAUGCCCUGCAAAAACAAGUUAGACGUCCUCUACUUUGUUGUUGCAAGUUUUACGUGGCUGCUACGGGCUUUAAGCAAGAAGCAAUCUUACCUACGCAUCAAAACCACAACGAUAGUUUGUCAAGUUGAUGCCGUUUUAACCUUCGCAAGGACCGGGCGUAGCCACACUCGGUUCAACUAAAGUUGGAGAAACUGACACCCACCAGCCACCUGUGUGCAAAGCACGGCGGUAGAACCAGUCUCGCGUAAGCGUACGCGUAAUGUCGGUCCGGGCCGCUUCAUCCAACAAUACCGCCGAACCAAAGUAUGACAUGCUGGUAGGCAGUAUGACUUAUAUCGCCCACAACUCACUUGAUUUCUACUCGUGCAUAUAACAUCAAACCAUAAAGCCUAGGCUCUGAUACCACUAUUGGGGAACAUAGUAAUUUCAAAAAAAUUCCUACGCACACGCAAGAUCAUGGUGAUGCAUAGCAACGAGAGGGGAGAGUGUUGUCUACAUACCCUCGUAGACCGAAGCAGAAGCGUUGACGCAACGUAGAGGAAGUAGUCGUACGUCUUCCCCGUCCGACCGAUCGAAGCACCGUUACUCCGGCACCUCCGAGUUCUUGGCACACGUACAACUCGAUGAUGCUCCCCGGGCUCCGAUCCAGCAAAGCUUCGGGGAUGAGUUCCGUCAGCACGACAGCGUGGUGACGAUCUUGAUGUUCUACCGUCGCAGGGCAUCGCCUAAGCGCUGCUACAAUAUGACCGAGGUGGAAUAUGGUGGAGGGGGGCACCGCACAUGGCUAAGGAACGAUCAUGAUGAUCAACUUGUGUGUUCUAGGGUGCCCCCCGGCCCCCGUAUAUAAAGGAGCAAGGGGGAGGCCGGCCGGCCCUUGGGGCGCGCCAAGGAGAGGGGGGAGUCCUCCUCCUAGUGGGAGUAGGACUCCCCUUUCCUAGUCCAACUAGGAAUAGAGAGGGGGAAGGAAAGAGAGGGAGAGGUAGAGGGAAAGGGGGGCCGCGCCCCCCCUCCUAGUCCUAUUCGGACUCCCCAUGAGGGGGGCGCGCCACCUCCUGGGCUGCUGCCCCCUCUCUCCCCUCAGGCCCACUAAGGCCCAUUACUUCCCCGGGGGGUUCCGGUAACCCCUCCGGCACUCCGGUUUUAUCCGAAAUCACCCGGAACAAUUUCGGUGUCCGAAUAUAGUCGUCCAAUAUAUCGAUCUUAAUGUCUCGACCAUUUCGAGACUCCUCGUCAUGUCCAUGAUCACAUCCGGGACUCCGAACAACCUUCGGUACAUCAAAAUACAUAAACUCAUAAUAACUGUCAUCGUAACGUUAAGCAUGCGGACCCUACGGUUCGAGAACAAUGUAGACAUGACCGAGACACGUCUCCGGUCAAUAACCAAUAGCGGGACCUGGAUGCCCAUAUUGGCUCCUACAUAUUCUAUGAAGAUCUUUAUCGUUCAGACCGCAUGACAACAUACGUUGUUCCCUUUGUCAUCGGUAUGUUACUUGCCCGAGAUUCGAUCGUCGGUAUCCAAUACCUAGUUCAAUCUCGUUAUUGGCAAGUCUCUUUACUCAUUCCAUAAUACAUCAUCUCACAACUAACACAUUAGUUGUAAUGCUUGCAAGGCUUAUGUGAUGUGCAUUACCGAGAGGACCCAGAGAUACCUCUCCGACAUUCGGAGUGACAAAUCCUAAUCUCGAAAUACGCCAACCCAACAAGUACCUUCAGAGACACCUUUAGAGCACCUUUAUAAUCACCCAGUUACGUUGUGACAUUUGGUAGCACACAAAGUGUUCCUCCGGUAAACGAGAGUUGCAUAAUCUCAUAGUCAUAGGAACAUGUAUAAGUCAUGAAGAAAGCAAUAGCAACAUCCUAAACGAUCGGGUGCUAAGCUAAUGGAAUGGGUCAUGUCAAUCAGAUCAUUCAACUAAUGAUGUGACCUUGUUAAUCAAAUAACAACUCUUUGUCCAUGGUUAGGAAACAUAACCAUCUUUGAUUAACGAGCUAGUCAAGUAGAGGCAUACUAGUGACACUCUGUUUGUUUAUAUAUUCACACAUGUAUUAUGUUUCCGGUUAAUACAAUUCUAGCAUGAAUAAUAAACAUUUAUCAUGAUAUAUGAGGAAAUAAAUAAUAACUUUAUUAUUGCCUCUAGGGCAUAUUUCCUUCAGAUAUGGCCCGUAGAAGGCCCAUUGUUUCUACGGCCCGUAGAAGGCCCAUUGUUUCUAUGGCCCGUAGAAGGCCCAUUGUUUCUACGGAAAUAAAUAAGCAAGCAACUUACACUAGGCUAUCACGGCUAUUACACAUAUUACAUCCACUGGGCAUCAAAGUUCGCCGCCAGUGCAAAUAUAGGGAACACAUCAGCAUAUAAACGCCGCAGCAAAACAAGUCCAGAACUGAAACCACUUCAGAAGAGCUCAAGAAACAAUAUCCUGGGUACCCAUAAUGCUAGCAAGAUGCUUAGCAAGCUUAUUAACUUUCUCUUGUUUGGCGCUUAAGUCCUCCAGCGCUUGCUGUUGCACCAGAAAGUAUGCAUCUGAAUUCUGCAGGGACUUCCUCAGUCCUUUGGCUUCUUGUUGCAUAACAUCUGAUCGAUGUCUUUCAACUUGAAUUUGAGACUCAAGAAGCCGAACUGAUUCAGGCAACGAGUUCGAAGAGCUGGUGCCAGCAGUGGUAGCCAGUAACUCGAACACUACAUCAAGACAGGACUUUCGGGUUGUCUCAGUGUCUUCAUUAUAGUUUUUAUCAGCUUUCUUGGAGACCAAAAGGGAUGUCUCACUAUCUUGAACCUUAUCUGCAUUGCUUCCUCUACCAUUGCAUAACAGGGUACUCUUCUCCAAUAUUUUAUCCGCGUUCUAAAAGAGAAACAAACAAACACAUCUCAGGUUUACAAUGUAGUAUAUGAAACUCAUUUUGGUAAACCUGUUCAGUAGUAAGGUGGACAGGAUAACAGCAUGAAACAAACAUAUAUCUAUGUAGUAUGGUCAUUGUAUGGUCUAUAUCAUUCUAGUUUAUGUUGCCAAAUCAAGAUAGAUAUAGUUUGAAUCAUAUCUAUUUAAGACAAAGCAGCAUAGAUAGAAUAUAAGUGUGGGAAACUACACAACAAUAACAACACUUGUAAUGUGCAUGGCAUGAGAACAUAACUGUUUAUUCAAUUGAAACUGAAAUCGACAUAGAGCACGUUACAUCAGCAAAUAGCCAAACACGUUGAAGAAACAGGUUUAAAACAUACCUGUUGCGCCAUUGGAGUUUCAGUUGCAUCCUUCAAAUUUGAAAUUAGUUGGUAUCAGUAAAUACAGUGAUGCAAGAGCAAAGUAGUAUGAACCAUAGCUACGGAACCUGACCUGAGAACAAUUCUUCUUCUGCUUUAAGCGUUGACUUCGGGUUCGGAGUGGUGGUCCUCGUGAUUUGGGCACUGCAGUUGCCUUACUAACUGCUCGUGUUUGGGUGCUCUGUGGUGGAGACGGUGUUGUGUCAACGGGAACUAGGUGUCUAUUUGCUGGGGUUGGGGUUAGAAGGGGUGUAGCUGGUUCUCUGUCCAACUGGGUAGGGGUACAAUUUGCAUGAGUGUGGGUUAUGUGUGGUGGGGCUGGUUCUUGGGCAAGUACGACCGUGGUUCUAUCUACAUCGACAGGUAGCACGAUCUUUUCUGAAGAUCGUGUUUUUACUCCCAUAGAUACUACCAUCACUCCCUCCAAUUGAAAUGGCUGAUAAACAAGAAAAGUAAUUGAAUGUACAGACAUUGUAAGAUAGACAGGUCCAAUGGAUAGUUGGGAAGAAAACAGGGCAUGCAAUAAUUCACAUUUAUGUUGUCUAAGCAAAAAAAAUAUCAGGACAUAAUUUCACAUAUAUGAUGGCUAAUUAAACAGGAUAGCAUGACACAAUUUCACAUGUAUGAUAGCUAACUAAACAUGAUAGAAUGACAUACUUCAAAAUAUGAUGACUAUGUAAAUAGGAUGACAUGAUUUAACUAUACGAUGUGUCUAUUAAAGUGGUUGGCAUGCCAUAAAUCACAAACAUGCCAUCGAUGGAAACAUGAUGGCAUGAUAUAAUUCACGGAUAGAAUGACAUAAUUUAAAAUAUGAUGACUAUGUAAACAUGAUGAGAUGAUAUAACUAUAUUAUGUCUUUAGAAAAUGGAUUGUCAUGCCAUAAUUCAGAUACAUGCUGUCUAUGUAAACAUCAUGGCAUGACAUAAUUCGAAUAUAUGAUUUAUAUACUAAGGAAGUGAGCAGAGGGCAAUCGCAUAUAUGAUGUGUCAACUAAGGAGAUGGCAUUCAAUAUUGUGUAUAUGAUCUAAAAACUAAGCAUUGCAAUACAACAUAUGCAUUAUAUGAGUAAUAUAACCCUGCCAAGUUUGAGCAUACACCUCAGGGGGAUAAUAGGACUGGUCAUCUGCCUCUAAAUCCUCCUCUGAAGAGCUAUCUGUAACCAGCAAGAUAUCUGCUUCAGCAGGUAGCAUUGUCUGCUCUGAAGACCUUGUUUUCACUCUAGAUUUCUCCAUCACCAAUUCAAAUGGCUGAUGCACAGGAAGAGCAGUUGAAUAUACAAACAUUAUCGACAAAAGCAAUGAGAAAUACAAAAAAAAGGACGGCAUGAUAUAUUUCACAUAUAUGACGCUUGCCUAAACAGCAUGACAUUGCAUAAUUCAUAUACAUAAUGCCUUGCAACAAGAUAACAUUGCAUAAUUCACAUAUAUAAUGUCUUGCAACAAGAUGUCAUUGCAUAAUUCACAUAUAUGGUAAUUAGACACUAAACAGGUGGCAUUCACACAAAGCAUGUCUAAACUAAGCAAAUGACAUAGCAAUGCAAGAUACCAUAUGCACGAUAUGAGCAACAUAACCCUGCCAAGUUAGGGCAUGCACCUCGGGGGGGGGGGGAUAUGACUGGUCAUCUGUCUCUGAAUCCUACUCCAAGGAGCUGUCGGUAACCAUCAAGACAUGCGCUUCGUCAGAUAGCAUUGUCUGCUUUGAAGACCUUGUUUCCACUACAGAUUUUUCCAUGACCGUGCCAAAUGGCUGAUGCACAUGAAGAGUAAUUGAAUGUACUAAAAUUGUUGACAAAUUUAACACGUAAUAAAAAAUGAUGGCAUGAUAUAAUUCACAUAUAAGAUGACUGGCUAACCAGGGUGGCAUUGCAAAAUUCACAUAUAUGAUGCCCGGCUAGAUAAGAUGGCAUUGCAUGAUUCACAUAUAUGAUAAAGAAACUAAACAGAUGGCAUUGACACAAAGCAUGUCUAAACUAAGCAGAUGACAUCUUUAAUGUAUACAGUAAGUAAUGCAAGGCACCAUAUGCAUGAUAUUACCAACAUCAGCAUGCCAAGUUAGAGCGAAGACCUCAUGGGGUAAAUAGGAGUGGUAUUCUCCUUCUGAAUCCCCCUCAUAACAGUUAUCUUCCUCUUGAUUAAGAUCCGAAAUGGGUGGAGGGGGGCUGCCUUUGCGCCCACCAUGGAACGACGUCUGCAUGAAAUUUUAUUGCCACGCAAGGCUCGUCUCUUUUGCUCUACAUGAUCAGUUCCAUUGUGUACAAUAACUGGCAUGCAUAGGAAUAAAACAUAGUGAGAUUAUGUAAGGAGUGCAUGCACAAAUCCAGAGUGAUGGUAGCAAACUGUGGAUAGACCCAAAACCAAUGAUAGCAGGCAGAUAAUAGCUUUAGUUAAAGAAUACAGAUAAUGGCUCCUUUAAUGUUUGUUUGCACCCAACAUGAAACUCAUAGUAGACACCGGAGAUUAACCAGAUAGUAGACAGAUAGUACUGAUUGCUGCCCCAAUAUGUACCCCACAACCAUUUAAAAACUCAAGUUUCAGCAUUAGUUUGGACCUGACUCGGAGUCUAAUAGGUGAACACGACGAUAAUGUAGCAUGUCAUCAUAUUAAGCGACGCAUAACGUAAGCAGACACGGAGGAGUGCGACCUCUCUUGCGGACCCGUGUAGUCCUCAAGGUCAUCUGCUCAGUUGAUGAUGGUAAUGCAGUUUCCGUGGCUGCCGGCGGCGGGGAAGAAGAUCUGAGGCGGCGAAAGACAGUCUGGAGAGCGGAUCCCUGCUGUGGUGAACCCUUCCGUCAUUGGAGCAGCUGAGUUGGGGUGGAACACAGCGCCGCAGGAGCAGGACAAACCACACAAGGUUUUCUUUGACACAUAUCUGUAACAGAAGUAAUUGAGUAAGGGCUUGUUUGAAUUUGAGGAUUCUAACAAUGCAGGGAUAGGAAAUAGACAGGAAUAGGAUAGGAAUGCACGUGCAAAAUAGAGAAUUUAAAAACACAGGAUUUCUGCCAAUCUGGGUGUUUGAUUCACAACAAUUGGAAGAUCACAGGAUGCAAAAAAGCAUGGUGAGAUUAAGUCAAACCACAAGAAAAUGUACGGUUAUAAUGCCAUUAUGCUACUAUCUCUUAGUCUUGUGCUUGAUGAAUAGGAAUAUGAAAAGGAGGAGAAGUGGAAAUUAGAAUUCCUACGGUUUUUCUUUCAAGGAGACACUAAAGGAACAAAUCCUACAGUUUUCCUUUGCACCAAAUUCAUGAAAAGUAGUACCAAAGGAAACUUUCCAAUUCCGAUGUUUUUCAUUCACUUUUCCUUUCAAGCACUAGCGAUUCUAGUAGGCAGGCUUGAGCAAGGAAAAUCCUACACUAAAAAAAUGUUUUUGUGCUACUUCUAUUACUUUGGACCCAGGCCACUGCCAUACUAGCUCAACUCCCAGGCCCAUCGACAAAUGCACAACUCAAACGUGCAGAGAUAAAUAAUGAUGGCGUUCAAGAGAGUCCAUCGCGGAUAGCUAAGUUGCCUGGUACCUCACUGCUUGUCAUAUAGUAGGAUAAAAUAAUCGUAUUUCCCGUUACUACGAGUGCUCAGUGGACAAUAUAUAUAACAUGUAGAGUAAAAAGAGAUGCAACAAGUGUACAACCUCUUUGGCGAAGCCAUGUCGAUCUCAGCGUGAUUUGGUUGGCCGGUGAGGAUGCUCCGGCUGACUUGGCUGUCGGAGGAGGGGAAGAAGAUCUUAGGCGUCUGGAGAUGGAGCCCGAGGUACUGCUCCGUUGUGAUGGAGGGUUUCGUCGUUGGAGCAGCUCCGGUGAGUUGUGCGACGCCGAGGCUGAAGCAGGACAAGAGAGACAACGAACAACGUUAACCUGAGUGGAAUUCUAAUAGCAUCUCCAAUACAUGAAGUGAAAUACAUAACCACAAAGUUCUAGAUGUAAAAUACAUCAGCCGCUCAUCUCUGAACUUAACUGUCGAAACUGAAUUUAACUAUCGAAACUGAACUUAAUUGUCGAAACUGAAUUUUCCAGUCGAAACUGAAUUUUGCUGUCGAAACUGAACGCACUAGCAAGGUGAGGCUACACGUGGGUCGACUGACUUUUUCAUCUCUGGUCAGUCGAUUUUGCAGCCAUUGGAUACGAAAUCAAGGGCCUGCGGUUCAUCUUCAACCUCCACCCCCGUGAGCCGGCCAAACAGCAGCCCCCCGCCGCCCGCGGCAGGCNNNNNNNNNNNNNNNNNNNNNNNNNNNNNNNNNNNNNNNNNNNNNNNNNNNNNNNNNNNNNNNNNNNNNNNNNNNNNNNNNNNNNNNNNNNNNNNNNNNNNNNNNNNNNNNNNNNNNNNNNNNNNNNNNNNNNNNNNNNNNNNNNNNNNNNNNNNNNNNNNNNNNNNNNNNNNNNNNNNNNNNNNNNNNNNNNNNNNNNNNNNNNNNNNNNNNNNNNNNNNNNNNNNNNNNNNNNNNNNNNNNNNNNNNNNNNNNNNNNNNNNNNNNNNNNNNNNNNNNNNNNNNNNNNNNNNNNNNNNNNNNNNNNNNNNNNNNNNNNNNNNNNNNNNNNNNNNNNNNNNNNNNNNNNNNNNNNNNNNNNNNNNNNNNNNNNNNNNNNNNNNNNNNNNNNNNNNNNNNNNNNNNNNNNNNNNNNNNNNNNNNNNNNNNNNNNNNNNNNNNNNNNNNNNNNNNNNNNNNNNNNNNNNNNNNNNNNNNNNNNNNNNNNNNNNNNNNNNNNNNNNNNNNNNNNNNNNNNNNNNNNNNNNNNNNNNNNNNNNNNNNNNNNNNNNNNNNNNNNNNNNNNNNNNNNNNNNNNNNNNNNNNNNNNNNNNNNNNNNNNNNNNNNNNNNNNNNNNNNNNNNNNNNNNNNNNNNNNNNNNNNNNNNNNNNNNNNNNNNNNNNNNNNNNNNNNNNNNNNNNNNNNNNNNNNNNNNNNNNNNNNNNNNNNNNNNNNNNNNNNNNNNNNNAGUCAACUGAAGUGUAGCUAAAACGGAGUAGCAUCGCAAGCAAGAGCAAGAGCGAGAGCAGCAGCGCGAGCAAGAGCAAUAGCAAGAGCAGACCAGGCAGGGGACCAAGAGCAAGAGCAGAGCAGCAGCACGAGCGAGAGCUAAAGCAGCAGCAGAUCCUAUUGAUGUGGACGUCGCCGCCGAGGGAGCGACGCCGUGGAGGAAGUGGCCGGCGAUGCCGCCGUGGAUGGAGCCGCACCGUGUCGGCUCGGGACCGAGCGCGGGCAGCACCAUGAGAUCGAAUCAAGAAGAAAAUGCGGUGAUUAGUGUACAACCUCUUUGGUGGCGCCGAUUGGGCCGCAGCUUCAUCCGAGGAAACGGUGAUGAUGAUGCUCUUCCGGUGGUGCAGGUGAAGACGGCGGUGUGGGAAUGGAGGUGGCGCGAAAGACGAGGGGAACGUCGGGGCAGCUCCUUGGAGGUGGAGGACGGGGUGGCUGAACCGGCCGGACGAUGAGAUCGACGACGGAUCCUCAUCCGGUACGGUGGAUGAGGGACGUCGAUGUUGGGGAACGUUGCAGAAAACAAAAAUUUUCCUACGGUUUCACCAAGAUCCAUCUAUGAGUUCAUCUAGCAACGAGUAUUCAAAUUGCAUCUACAUACCUUUGUAGAUCGCGAGCGGAAGCGUUCACUAGAACGUGGAUGAUGGAGUCGUACUCGCCGUGAUCCAAAUCACCGAUGACCAAGCGCCGAACGGACGGCACCUCCAUGUUCAACACACGUACGGAGCGGACGACGUCUCCUCCUUCUUGAUCCAGCAAGGGGGAAGGAGAGGUUGAUGAAGAUCCAACAGCACGACGGUGUGGUGGUGGAUGCAGUUGUCACCGCAGCAGGGCUUCGCCGAGUGUCUGCGCGAGAGGGAGAGGUGUAGCAGGGGAGAGGGAGGCGCCAAGAUGCAAGGGUGCGGCUGCCCCCUCCCUCCCCCCUUUAUAUAGGCCCCCUGGGGGGGCGCCGGCCCUUGGAGAUCCAAUCUCCCAAGGGGGGCGGCGGCCAAGGGGGGUGGAGUACCCCCCAAGGCAAGUGGGGCGCCCCCCACCCUAGGGUUUCAACCCUAGGCGCAAGGGGGUGGGCCAAGGGGGGCGCACCAGCCCACUAUGGGCUGGUUCCCCCUCCCACUUCAGCCCAUGGGGCCCUCCAGGAUGGGUGGCCCCACCCGGUGGACCCCCGGGACCCAUCCGGUGGUUCCGGUACAAUACUGGUGACCCCGAAACUUUCCCGUUGGCCGAAACAGCACUUCUAUAUAUAAUUCUUUACCUCCAGACCAUUCCGGAACUCCUCAUGACGUCCGGGAUCUCAUCCGGGACUCCGAACAACUUUCGGAUUACCGCAUAUUCAUAUCUUUACAACCCUAGCAUCACUGGACCUUAAGUGUGUAGACCCUACGGGUUCGGGAGACAUGCAGACAUGACCGAGACGCCUCUCCAGCCAAUAACCAACAGCGGGAUCUGGAUACCCAUGUUGGCUCCCACAUGCUCCUCGAUGAUCUCAUCGGAUGAACCACGAUGUCGAGGACUUAAUCAAUCCCGUAUUCAAUUCCCUUUGUCAAUCGGUACGUUACUUGCCCGAGACUUGAUCGUCGGUAUCCCAAUACCUUGUUAAAUCUUGUUACCGGCAAGUCACUUUACUCGUACCGUAAUGCAUGAUCCCGUGACCAACCCCUUGGUCACAUUGAGCUCAUUAUGAUGAUGCAUUACCGAGUGGGCCCAAGAGACACCUCUCCGUCAUACGGAGUGACAAAUCCCAGUCUCGGUUCGUGCCAACCCAACAGACACUUUCGAAGAUACCCGUAGUGUACCUUUAUAGCCACCCAGUUACAUUGUGACGUUUGGCACACCCAAAGCAUUCAUACGGUAUCCGGGAGUUGCACAACCUCAUGGUCUAAGGAAAUGAUACUUGACAUUGCAAAAUCUCUAGCAAACGAACUACACGAUCUUUAUGAUAUGCUUAGGUUUGGGUCUUGUCCAUCACAUCAUUCUCCUAAUGAUGUGACCCCGUUAUGAAUGACAUCCCUAUGUCCAUAGCCAGGAAACCAUGACUAUCUGUUGAUCAACGAGCUAGUCAACUAGAGGCUCACUAGGGACACAUUGUGGUCUAUGUAUUCACACAUGUAUUAUGAUUUCUGGACAAUACAAUUAUAGCAUGAACAAUAGACAAUUAUCAUGAACAAGGAAAUAUAAUAAUCUUUUAUUAUUGCCUCUAGGGCAUAUUUCCAAUAGUCUCCCACUUGCACUAGAGACAAUAGUCUAGUUACAUUGUGAUGAAUCGAACACCCAUGGAAUUUUGGUGUUGAUCAUGUUUUGCUCUAGGGAGAGGUUUAGUCAAUGGAUCUGCCACAUUCAGGUCCGUAUGUACUUUACAAAUCUCUAUGUCUCCAUUUUGAACACUUUCAUGAAUGGAGUUGAAGCGACGCUUGAUAUGCCUGGUCUUCCUGUGAAACCUGGGCUCCUUCUCAAGGGCAAUAGCUCCAGUGUUGUCACAGAAGAGAGUCAUCGGGUCCGACGCAUUGGGUAUGACUCCUAGGUCAGUAAUGAACUCCUUCAUCCAGAUUGCUUCUUGUGCUGCCUCCGAGGCUGCCAUAUAUUCCGCUUCACAUGUAGAUCCCGCCACGACGCUUUGCUUGCAACUGCACCAACUUACUGCCCCACCAUUCAAAAUAUACACGUAUCCGGUUUGUGACUUAGAGUCAUCCAGAUCUGUGUCGAAGCUAGCGUUGACGUAACCCUUUAUGACAAGCUCUUCAGCACCUCCAUAAACGAGAAACAUAUCCUUGGUCCUCUUCAGGUACUUCAGGAUGUUUUUGACCGCUGUCCAGUGUUCCUUGCCGGGAUUACUUUGGUACCUACCUACCAAACUUACGGCAAGGUUUACAUCAGGUCUGGUACACAGCAUGGCAUACAUAAUAGACCCUAUGGCUGAGGCAUAGGGGAUGACACUCAUCUCUUCUAUAUCUUCUGCCGUGGUCGGGCAUUGAGCCGUGCUCAAUCGCACACCUUGCAAUACAGGCAAGAACCCCUUCUUGGACUGAUCCAUAUUGAACUUCUUCAAUAUCUUGUCAAGGUACGUACUUUGUGAAAGACCGAUGAGGCGUCUCGAUCUAUUCUAUAGAUCUUGAUGCCUAAUAUAUAAGCAGCUUCUCCAAGGUCCUUCAUUGAAAAACUCUUAUUCAAGUAGGCCUGAACGCUGUCCAAAAGUUCUAUAUCAUUUCCCAUCAAAAGUAUGUCAUCUACAUAUAAUAUGAGAAAUGCUACAGAGCUCCCACUCACUUUCUUGUAAACGCAGGCUUCUCCAUAAGUCUGCAUAAACCCAAACGCCUUGAUCAUCUCAUCAAAGCGAAUGUUCCAACUCCGAGAUGCUUGCACCAGCCCAUAAAUGGAUCGCUGGAGCUUGCAUACCUUGUUAGCAUUCUUAGGGUCGACAAAACCUUCCGGCUGCAUCAUAUACAGUUCUUCCUUAAGAUAGCCGUUAAGGAAUGCCGUUUUGACGUCCAUUUGCCAUAUCUCAUAAUCAUAGUAUGCGACAAUUGCUAACAUGAUUUGGACGGACUUCAGCUUCGCUACGGGAGAGAAAGUCUCAUCGUAGUCAACCCCUUGAACUUGCCGAUAACCCUUAGCGACAAGUCGAGCUUUAUAGAUGGUGACAUUACCAUCCGCGUCCGUCUUCUUCUUAAAGAUCCAUUUAUUUUCUAUCACUCGCCGAACAUUGGGCAAGUCUGUCAAAGUCCAUACUUUGUUUUCAUGCAUGGAUCCUAACUCGGACUGCAUGGCCUCUAGCCAUUUGUUGGAAUCCGGGCCCGCCAUCGCUUCUUCAUAGUUCGAAGGUUCACCGUUGUCUAACAACAUGAUUUCCAGGACAGGGUUGCCGUACCACUCUGGUGUGGAACGUGUCCUUGUGGACCUACGAAGUUCAGUAGGAGCUUGGUCUGAAGUAUCUUGAUCAUCAUCAUUAACCUCCUCUCUAAUCGGUGCAGGCACCACAGGAACAUUUUCCUGAGCUGCGCUACUUUCCGUUUCAAGAAGCAGUACUUCAUCAAGCUCCACUUUCCUCCCACUUACUUCUUUCGAGAGAAACUCUUUCUCUAGAAAGGAUCCAUUCCUGGCAACAAAGAUCUUGCCUUCGGAUCUGAGGUAGAAGGUAUACCCAAUGGUUUCGUUAGGGUAUCCUAUGAAGACGCAUUUUUCCGACUUGGGUUCGAGCUUUUCAGGUUGAAGUUUCUUGACAUAAGCAUCGCAUCCCCAAACUUUUAGAAACGACAGCUUAGGUUUCUUCCCAAACCAUAAUUCAUACGGUGUCGUCUCAACGGAUUUAGACGGUGCCCUAUUUAAAGUGAAUGCGGCUAUCUCUAGAGCGUAUCCCCAAAAUGAUAGCGGUAAAUCAGUAAGAGACAUCAUAGAUCACACCAUAUCCAAUAGAGUGCGAUUACGAUGUUCGGACACACCGUUACGUUGAGGUGUUCCAAGCGGCGUGAGUUGUGAAACGAUUCCACAUUUCCUUAAGUGUGUGCCAAAUUCGUGACUUAAAUAUUCUCCUCCACGAUCUGAUCGUAAGAACUUUAUUUUUCAGUCACGUUGAUUCUCUACCUCAUUCUGAAAUUCCUUGAACUUUUCAAAGGUCUCAGACUUGUGUUUCCUUAAGUAGACAUACCCAUAUCUACUCAAGUCAUCAGUGAGAGUGAGAACAUAACGAUAUCCUCCGCGAGCCUCAACACUCAUUGGACCGCACACAUCAGUAUGUAUGAUUUCCAAUAAGUUGGUUGCUCGCUCCAUUGUUCCGGACAACGGAGUCUUGGUCAUUUUGCCCAUAAGGCAUGGUUCGCAUGUGUCAAAUGAUUCAUAAUCUAGAGACUCUAAAAGUCCAUCAACAUGGAGCUUCUUCAUGCGCUUGACACCAAUGUGACCAAGGCGGCAGUGCCACAAGUAUGUGGGACUAUCGUUAUCAACUUUAAUUCUUUUGGUAUUCACACUAUGAAUAUGUGUAUUAUCACGCACGAGAUUCAUUAAGAAUAAACCAUUGACCAUCGGAGCAUGACCAUAAAACAUAUCACUCAUAUAAAUAGAACAACCAUUAUUCUCGGAUUUAAAUGAGUAGCCAUCUCGAAUUAAACGAGAUCCAGAUACAAUGUUCAUGCUCAAACUUGGCACUAAAUAACAAUUAUUGAGGUUUAAAACUAAUCCCGUAGGUAAAUGUAGAGGUAGCGUGCCGACGGCGAUCACAUCGACCUUGGAACCAUUCCCGACGCGCAUCGUCACCUCGUCCUUCGCCAGUCUCCGCUUAUUCCGCAGCUCCUGCUUUGAGUUACAAAUAUGAGCAACAGCACCGGUAUCAAAUACCCAGGAGCUACUACAAGCACUGGUAAGGUACACAUCAAUUACAUGUAUAUCACAUAUACCUUUAGUGUUGCCGGCCUUCUUGUCCGCUAAGUAUUUGGGGCAGUUCCGCUUCCAGUGACCCUUCCCUUUGCAAUAAAAGCACUCAGUCUCAGGCUUGGGUCCAUACUUUGACUUCUUCCUGGCAACUUGGUUACCGGGCGCGGCAACAUCCUUGCCGUCUUUCUUGAAGUUCUUCUUGCCCUUGCCCUUCUUGAACUUGGUGGUUUUAUUGACCAUCAACACUUGAUGUUCCUUUUUGAUCUCCACCUCCGCUGAUUUCAGCAUUGAAUAUACCUCGGGAAUGGUCUUUUCCAUCCCCUGCAUAUUGAAGUUCAUCACAAAGCUCUUGUAGCUUGGUGGAAGCGACUGAAGGAUUCUGUCAAUGACCGCGUCAUCCGGGAGAUUAACUCCUAGCUGAGUCAAGCGGUUGUGCAACCCAGACAUCUUGAGUAUGUGUUCAUUGACAGAGCUAUUUUCCUCCAUCUUACAACUAAAGAACUUGUCGGAGACUUCAUAUCUCUCGACCCGGGCAUGAGCUUGGAAAACCAUUUUCAUCUCCUCGAACAUCUCAUAUGCUCCGCGUUGCUCAAAACACUUUUGGAGCCCCGGUUCUAAGCUUUAAAGCAUGCCGCACUGAACGAGGGAGUAAUCAUCAGCACGUGACUGAUAGGCGUUCAUAACGUCUUGGUUUGCUGGGAAUGGUGCUUCACCUAGCGGUGCUUCUAGGACAUAAUCUUUCUUGGCAGCUAUGAGGAUGAUCCUCAGGUUCCGGACCCAGUCCGUAUAGUUGCUGCCAUCAUCUUUCAGCUUGGUUUUCUCUAGGAACGCGUUGAAGUUGAGGGCAACAUUGGUGUGGGCCAUUUGAUCUACAAGACAUAUUGUAAAUAUUUUAGACUAAGUUCAUGAUAAUUAAGUUCAUCUAAUCAAAUUAUUAAUGAACUCCCACUCAGAUUAGACAUCCCUCUAGUCAUCUAAGUGAAACAUGAUCCGACUCGACUAGGCCGUGUCCGAUCAUCACGUGAGACGGACUAGUCAUCAUCGGUGAACAUCUCCAUGUUGAUCGUAUCUUCCAUACGACUCAUGCUCGACCUUUCGGUCCUCCGUGUUCCAAGGCCAUGUCUGCACAUGCUAGGCUCGUCAAGAUAACCUAAGUGUUUUGCAUGUGUAAAUCUGUCUUACACCCAUUGUAUGUGAACGUUGGAAUCUAUCACACCCGAUCAUCACGUGGUGCUUCGAAACAACGAACUGUCACAAUGGUGCAUAGUUAGGGGGAACACUUUCUUGAAAUUAUUAUGAGGGAUCAUCUUAUUUACUACCGUCAUUCUAAGUAAACAAGAUGCAAAACAUGAAAAACAUCACAUGCAAUCAAAUAAUAAUAGUGACAUGAUAUGGCCAAUAUCAUAUAGCUCCUUUGAUCUCCAUCUUGGGGCUCCAUGAUCGUCUUGUCACCGGCAUGACACCAUGAUCUCCAUCAUCAUGAUCUCCAUCAUCGUGUCUCCAUGAAGUUGCACGCCAACUAUUACUUCUACUACUAUGGCUAACACGUUUAGCAAUAAAGUAAAGUAAUUUACAUGGCGUUUCCAUUGACACGCAGGUCAUAAAAGAAUAAUGACAACUCCUAUGGCUCCUGCCGGUUGUCAUACUCAUCGACAUGCAAGUCGUGAUUCCUAUUACAUGAACAUGAUCUCAUACAUCACAUAUAUAUCAUUCAUCAUUCAUCACAACUUUGGCCAUAUCAUAUCACAAAGCACUUGCUGCAAAAACAAGUUAGACGUCCUCUAAUUGUUGUUGCAAAUUUUACGUGGCUGAAAUAGGGUUCUAGCAAGAACGUUUUCUUACCUACGUAAAAGCCACAACGUGAUUUGUCAACUUCUAUUUACCCUUCAUAAGGACCCUUUUCGUCGAAUCCGCUCCAACUAAAGUGGGAGAGACAGACACCCGCCAGCCACCUUAUGCAACUAGUGCAUGUCAGUCGGUGGAACCGGUCUCAUGUAAGCGUACGUGUAAGGUUGGUCCGGGCCGCUUCAUCCCACAAUACUGCAGAAGCAAAAUAAGACUAGUAACGGCAAGAAAGUUGACAACAUCUACGCCCACAACAAUUGUGUUCUACUCGUGCAAAGAGAACUACGCAUAGACCUAGCUCAUGAUGCCACUGUUGGGGAACGUUGCAGAAAACAAAAAUUUUCCUACGGUUUCACCAAGAUCCAUCUAUGAGUUCAUCUAGCAACGAGUAUUCAGAUUGCAUCUACAUACCUUUGUAGAUCGCGAGCGGAAGCGUUCACUAGAACGUGGAUGAUGGAGUCGUACUCGCCGUGAUUCAAAUCACCGAUGACCAAGCGCCGAACGGACGGCACCUCCGCGUUCAACACACGUACGGAGCGGAUGAUGUCUCCUCCUUCUUGAUCCAGCAAGGGGGAAGGAGAGGUUGAUGAAGAUCCAACAGCACGACGGUGUGGUGGUGGAUGCAGUUGUCACCGCAGCAGGGCUUCGCCGAGCGUCUGCGCGAGAGGGAGAGGUGUAGCAGGGGAGAGGGAGGCGCCAAGAUGCAAGGGUGCGGCUGCCCCCUCCCUCCCCCCUUUAUAUAGGCCCCCUGGGGGGGUGCCGGCCCUUGGAGAUCCAAUCUCCCAAGGGGGGCGACGGCCAAGGGGGGUGGAGUACCCCCCAAGGCAAGUGGGGCGCCCCCCCACCCUAGGGUUUCAACCCUAGGCGCAAGGGGGUGGGCCAAGGGGGGCGCACCAGCCCACUAUGUGCUGGUUCCCCCUCCCACUUCAGCCCAUGGGGCCCUCCGGGAUGGGUGGCCCCACCCGGUGGACCCCCGGGACCCAUCCGGUGGUCCCGGUACAAUAUCGGUGACCCCGAAACUUUCCCGUUGGCCGAAACAUCACUUUUAUAUAUAAUUCUUUACCUACGGACCAUUCCGGAACUCCUCAUGACGUCCGGGAUCUCAUCCGGGACUCCGAACAGCUUUCGGAUUACUACAUAUUCAUAUCUUUACAACCCUAGCGUCACCGGACCUUAAGUGUGUAGACCCUACGGGUUCGGGAGACAUGCAGACAUGACCGAGACGCCUCUCCGGCCAAUAACCAACAGCGGGAUCUGGAUACGCAUGUUGGCUCCCACAUGCUCCUCGAUGAUCUCAUCGGAUGAACCACGAUGUCGAGGACUUAAUCAAUCCCGUAUUCAAUUCCCUUUGUCAAUCGGUUCGUUACUUGCCCGAGACUUGAUCGUCGGUAUCCCAAUACCUUGUUCAAUCUCGUUACCGGCAAGUCACUUUACUCGUACCGUAAUGCAUGAUCCCGUGACCAACCCCUUGGUCACAUUGAGCUCAUUAUGAUGAUGCAUUACCGAGUGGGCCCAAGAGAUACCUCUCCGUCAUAUGGAGUGCAAAUCCCAGUCUCGGUUCGUGCCAACCCAACAAACACUUUUGGAGAUACCCGUAGUGUACCUUUAUAGCCACCCAGUUACGUUGUGACGUUUGGCACACCCAAAGCACUCAUACGGUAUCUGGGAGUUGCACAACCUCAUGGUCUAAGGAAAUGAUACUUGACAUUGCAAAAGCUCUAGCAAACGAACUACACGAUCUUUAUGCUAUGCUUAGGUUUGGGUCUUGUCCAUCACAUCAUUCUCCUAAUGAUGUGACCCCGUUAUCAAUGACAUCCCUAUGUCCAUAGCCAGGAAACCAUGACUAUCUGUUGAUCAACGAGCUAGUCAACUAGAGGCUCACUAGGGACACAUCGUGUUCUAUGUAUUCACACAUGUAUUACGAUUUCCGGACAAUACAAUUAUAGCAUGAACAAUAGACAAUUAUCAUGAACAAGGAAAUAUAAUAAUCUUUUAUUAUUGCCUCUAGGGCAUAUUUCCAACAGUCGAGGUGUUGCUGUGGACGAGUCGUCGGGGAAGAGGCUCCGACUGGGUGGCGGACGGAGCAGGGUGUGGGGUUUCGUCGCGGGUUUUCACGUCCUCGGUGUACGAAUGGGUGGGCGGAUGGGACGGCAGUGGGGAACCAUGGCUUAGAGACACGCUUGUCCGAAAUGUGGGGUAAGUUACGAAAGUACCCCCACCGAUUUGAGGCGGUUCUUUCGGUUCAGGGGUACCACGGGCAUUUCACGUGUCGGGAUUUCACAGGAGGUGGGAGUUUUCGCGCACGUUGUAAUUUCGGAAUAGCAAGGCACGGGCUGAGAUGGAGGGAGUUGUCGGAGCACAACAAGACAAAGAUAUAUCUUAAAUAUUUCGGGCUAACAAGGCGCGGGUUGAAUUGGCGGGAGUUUCGCAGCACGAUAGACAGAGACGCUAGCUUGAAUUUUCUGCAUAACAAGGCGCAGCUUGAAAUUUCGGAAGAACAAGCUUAACGUGUACCAAAAAAAAGACAAUUUGCACCUCAACACGCACAACACACACACACAAACACCAUUUAGACUAGAGUAAGGUACACGUGCAUUGCACGCAUGAGAUUUGGCAACCAAAUUAUGAAUAAAUACCACAUUAUAGCAUGCAAGAUUUGAGUCAUAUAUGCAUGAUGUAGAUGUUCGUUUAAUUCUUAUAGUUCAUUUCAUUCAAAAUCAUCUAGUUUUUAUAAGAAAGCUAAUAUAUUCUAAGAUUCAUGGAAUUGUGCGUCGUAAGACAUAAAGUAAAAAACAAAUAAUGGCAAAUCAUGUAGAAAAACAUUUGGGCAAUUCUGAUACGGAAGAUUAUAUAACAAAUAAGAAGUGCUUGUGUUUUGAUGUUUGUGCAUUAUGCUUAAGUUCAACCAUGGAGUCUUCUAGAUUAUACAUGUGGCGAAAUCUGGUGGAAUCUAGAUGAUAUGCAACGGCCAGUAGUGCUCAAAUUUGCCAUCUUUGGACCAUCGGAUUCGCCUCAUCCAACGACCAUCUUUCAAAGUUAAAGUUACCCGCACACAAUAUAAAAAAAUAUAAAAUAUAAUAUAUAUAGGGGUAUAGAUAUAGAUAUGUGAUGCAAAGCCGCCCAUCAUCUCCAAUUUGAAUAGUGUGUCCAUGCAUGGAUGCGACGUGGCCAAAUGAUGUCUGCCAUCGGUAUCUCAAAUUCAAAUCAGUCUGACCUUGUUCAAUGUGUAUACAUUACAACAUGAUCGUUUCCAAACCACACCGCGUAGAUCUCUGUUAUAUUCAUGCAUGCAUGGGUUUCAAACAUCAGGAUCUCUUAUUCAAAUAUUUGAAUUCAACUUUACAUUGAUUAUGACCUCACCUAUUCAGCUAUUCUUUUACACCCACACAGUAGUCUUCUCUUUAUAAUUGUACCACUAACUUUCUCUCGUGCAUGCAUGCACACACACUACCAGUCGGCAUUAUCCAUCGCACGCAUGCAAUCUUUUUCUUCAGGUCGGUCUCCCAUGAAGGCACACACCAACACACAUCCCCCUCUCCAUCAUAUCGGGCAUUCUUUAUCUCUCACGCGUGCAUGCGCAACGAUCGAUGUUCCUCUAUGUAUGUGUGUAUAUAGCUAGGUCUUUCAUAGUUUUCCACACAAACCGAUCAAUCGAUAUAUCCAGUGAGGUCUCACCCUCUUUCCCACGUCCACAUCGAUCAAUCUAUACCUCUCUAUAUAGGAUUAACAUAUAUAGCUAAUACACCCACAUUAAUUAUAUAUCCAACGUCCCCCUCUCAUCAUCCAUGCCUUCCGCUUCAUCUCUCAGACGCGUGCACAAUGGCGAAGACAAGGGGAAGUAAGGGCCCUGCCCCCUCCCCCCUAACAUCACUAUAUAUCGAGGCUAAUAUGAAUGUGAUCAUUAGACAAUUGCUGCUAAAAAUGGUUUAAGUUCAUGAAUUGACCCUCCUCUAAAGGAUUAGCAAUGCUUGGCCCCCUCGCUCAUUUAUUUUUCAUGGCUCCGCCACUGCGCGCAACAGCGCACGUGUUCGCCCUCUCUCUAAAUAUCAAUCUCGCACUUGUGCAUUCCUUCAUAGUCUCCCUCCACUCAGCCCCUCGCACCAUCUUCUAGCCCCCCACUAGAUUUUGCCACAUGUACAAUCUAGCAGACUCCAUGGUUGAACUUAAGCAUAAUGCACAAACCUCAAAACAAUAGUGGUUCUCUUUUGUUCUAGAAUCUUCCGUACCAUAACUGCCCAAACUUUUUUUCUAGUUGAAUUGCCAUUAUUUGUUUUUACUUUAUGCUUUACAACGCACAAUUCCAUGAAUCAUAAAAUAGAUUAAGGGCUUCUUUGAUUCAAAGGAUUCUCAAAGGAAUUUUGGAGGAUUCUAAUCAUUAGGAAUUUUUCCUAUCUUGGUUGUUUGAUUCAUAGGAUUGUAAACCAUAGGAAUUUUUCCAUAUGAUUCAUUUGCACUAGAUUUCAUAGGAAACAUCCCAUCCACUCAAACCUCUUUGAAAGAAUUCUGCGUUUUUUUCUAUGCACAAUCAAACACUUGUACAAUCCUGUAGGAUUCAAGACGACAUUCCACUAUAAUCCCAUGUUUUUCCUAUUCCCGCGUUCUUAGCUUUUUUAUAAAAACUAAUUGAUUUUGAAUGAGAUGAACUAUAAGAAUUAAACGAAGGGCUACAUCAGGCAUAUAUGACUCAGAGCUUACAUGCUAUAGUGUGGUAUUUAUUCAUAAUUUGGUUGCAAAAUCUGAUGCGUGCAAUGCACGUGUACCUUACUAGUACUUCGAGUAUGUGCAAAACACGUAAAUUAGAAUACAAAUGGCACGCUACACAGUGUCUCUCUUAUAGUUCAUGAAGCCAUGUGGAACAUGUGGAGGCGUUGUCGCGACCUCCUUGCGUGGAUUGAUCACAGUGACGUGCUGCUGGUUCCAGAAGAAUGUACUCGUCCUCCCUGAGCCAUACUAGCGGUACAUGCACGAAGUGAAGAUGUGCACGCACGCCACGCACGCACUCAUUCCCUCGCACGCACACGCGGGUACACGGGCAGACGCAAUUUUGUACCAAGAUCCACCCCAUGUGAUAAUUUGACGCAUGUAAAGUCGUUUACUUCAUUGAUGGUCAAUUAAUACAGCGCAUGCAAAUUGAGUGGACGUGAGGGCGGAAGAAAGACAUUAUUACUCCACUGCGUGCGUGCGAGUAGUUAAAUCGUGGGUUGCUAGUAGUACUUCCAUUGGUCUCCUUCGUAUUUUGUUCCAAUUUUUGAUAGUAACAUAAUAUUUACUCAUUUGAGCAGUGUAGUACUUGAAAUUUAUGUUCCGCUAAACUCAUCGGGAGCCGUUUUGGGCCUCGAAACCAAAACCAUCAAUUAAUCUUUACCUUGUUCCCAUCACAUUCGAAAGCCUGCUCACACCUACUAGUACGUACCAAACCUGAACGUGUUCCCACUAUGCAGGUAUUAGUACUAGUGUUAGUACUUAGGUUAUAAAAAGGGGAACUACCUAACCGAAAAUUACUCUACCUUUCCUCCUCAUAAGUGCUUCUUCUUCGUCCGUCGUUGCCAUGGCCGGUGAGCAGAGCUCUAGGUCGAGAACUACUCGUAACAAGGGAGCGGCAACCAAGGCUGCGGAAAAAAAGAGGGCUCGUCGCCACGCAGAGACCUCGAAAGAUCUCUCACGGGCAGGUGAUGGCUCCCAGGAGCGCCCUAGCCGCGGAGGCGAACAUGCCGAGCCGGCAGAGCUGGAGUCGUUAUCCCUCGACGGCAUGCCCGAUCAGCUCAAUAAGCAGAAGGAGUUCAUCCAAGGCUUGAUGGAGUUGCUGAAGGUGAGUCUCGAUGACAUGCCCGCUAAGCUCAAUCGGCAGGGGGAGUUGACCGCCGGCUUGGUGAUGCUGCUGAAGAAGAGCAUUGCCUCGGAGAAGAAGGCGACCGGCGAAAUCCUGCAACUUCGGGAGGACAAUGCAAAACUCUGCCACGAGAUCGACCUGUUGAAGGAGAAGAACGCCGGCUGGAAGAAGCUGCAUGAGAAUAGUAGUUCCUCGAUGAAGAUGCUGCAGGCCCUCGUCAUGGAACAGAAGGAAGAGUUGGCGAAGCUCCGCAUCGAGCACCCGACUGCUGUCAAGGUACGUAAUAUGGCCAUGGAACAGAUGAUGAAGGCUCGCGUCGAGAAAUGCCGCGUCAUGGACACAAUGAUGAAGAUGGCGGAGGAGACGCACAAGGAGAUGGAGGUCAUGGAGGCGAUGAAGAAGCAGUUACGACUCCGCGACGAAUUAGAUCAUUUGGGGUGAUAAUCUUCCUUCUUCUUUUGCUCCUGUGUUUCAUCUUUUGCUUCGGGUGUUUCGCCGCACGUGUCACGUUCUCUGUGAGGCAUGAAUAGAACAAUGGUUUUUUUGAGGGAAUGAAUAGAACAAUGCUAACAAUGAGAUGACUAGCAAAUUAGAUCAUUUUUAUCGCCAUAUGGCACUGGGCUGCCGUGUUUCGUGCUCCUCCGUCGCAGUACUACUCCAGUGGAAAACUUGAGCAUACCGCACGGUUCUUUGCUCCUCCUCGAUCAGGUCGUCAACGCAUUUAUACGAGCAGUCAAAUCACAAGGCCCCGCCUUCCAGCAGUAAUGAGUCGUCAAAUCACAAAGGCCCUCGCCUCUCGUGAAACCGACCAAGCUAGACUGCCCCGCCCUCUAGCCUUUUAAAAAAUGUAUACUUUUGUACAGCAGUAGUAUCGAUGGAUUGCGCCAUGGAGCAAAACUUGAAAUUAAAAAAAGGUGGUACAUAUAGAGAGCGCUUGUCGCCAAAUUAUGCAUAUAGUACUAUUAAAAAGGCUAGUCACAAUAAUGGUGUCCAGCACAACCCACCCCUCAAAUAAAACUAAGAGGGUGCUUGGAUACGUUUCAGUCCCAUGACUAAAAGUAGUGGGACUAAAACAUGCUAGCCUCACCCAUACUUGGAUCCAAAUACUAAAAAGGCUAAAAUCAAGUUAAUGAGCAUUUAUUAUCCUCCAAACCCUCCAAUGCAGAACUCGCCUGUGUUAAAGGAGAGGAGUUAAAUGAGUAGAGAGAGGACUAAUCCACAUUUUAGUAGGGGUACCCCUGACUAAAAAUUUUUAGUCUCAAGACUAGUUUUAGCCCCUCUUUAGUCAGGGUGCUUGGAACUUUAGCCUCUUAAAGAGACUAUUUUUAGUCAGACUAAAAUAAGUCCCUUGGAUCCAAGCACCCUCUAAGCAUCCUGGAAUUCUUUGACAAAACUAAGCACCCUGAAAUUCUUUGACAACUAAACUGCUGGCUAUAUGAUGUUGGCCAUAUAUAUUGUACGUAUAUAAUGUGAAGAAACGAGUGGUAGUACUAUACCAACUAAAAGAUGAAAUGUAAGAAAUACUAGUAUGUAUGUACUGAAGAGUUAAAGUAAUGAGAAGAAACAUAACAUAGUUCUGCUGGGGGCUCAGCACGACACACCCCUCAAAUUAGAUUAAGCACACCUGAAAUUAAACUUUGCAACUAUUCUGGUAGACACUGCAUUAGAACCACCAUGAGCAACGACACUGCCACCUUACUCGGAGUCCUCGUCCACGUCCUCGACUUCGUCCUUGUCCCUCUUCCUCUUGGCCGAUACUUCUUUGCUUGAACCGCACACUUGGCUGUUGCUCUUCAUCCAACCCUUGUAGAUAUUGAAGCAAAGGUAGCCAUCCAUUGCAGCAUAGUGGAUGUGGUCUGUAUCUAGUACAUUCCGCUACCAUGCAUGACGAUGAAACGUGUAAUGAGGUUUCUCCAGUUUACCGUACGAAGGAUGAACCAUGGCUCCUGCCAGGGUCAGCAUUGAAGGCUGACGAGAGGACACCAGCCGAUUCUUCUGGAGGUCGAAGGUGUUGCCUAGAACGAGGCCUAUCCGACGCAGGACUUCUUUGUCGUUACCAAAGUCUAAAGUAACGAAUUUGACUAGGUUGCUCUCGAGGAAGUUCUUAAAAUCCUGGCACUCAACGUCGGCAUGGCAUAUGUGGUAGACCAAGCAAACGUUAUGUACGCAAACCUGGAUCACGUCGGGCUUCUUCCUCUCUUCGUCCUUUAGAUCCUUCUCUCUCCCCAAGACUGUGGUGUGCUCAACAUCUAGCCCAGCGACCCACUCAUCAUCUGAGUUUUUGAACAUGCGUCUAAAGCGAGAAAGGCAUCCUUUCACCAUCACGGAAGAACGGGUGUAGAUGCCGUCGAACUCAUCGCCGGUGAUGGUUCUAACCUUGUACUCACCGCUGAUCGUGGAGAUUUGGGAUGCCAUGGAUUUGGGAGGAGGGUUAGGAUUAGUGGAACUGCCGUAAUGUGAAUGGACGGGAUGACUAGGAGCGAACCGCCGUAGUAUUGAAGGACAUGCGGGGACGAGUAGGAGCAAACUGCCAGCGUGCGAACGGCAGGGUAGUGGCUUUCCAUUCUCCCAUGAUACGGGCUUCCGAGAGCCCUUGGAUCUGAGAUCGAACGGUUGCAUGGCGUGAUUCUAGACCUAUGGGUGAAUAUCCUAUCCUGGAGGGUUAUUAUGCAAAUUUUCAACAACUUAGCAUGCGACCAUUUGAUCUCAGAUCCAAGGGCUGCCAGCAGCCCGUAUUGUGGUCGCGCCUACCACGACCGUCGCGUCGCUCGUGCGGUCGCGCCCUUGGAUAUUUAACAUGGUGCGUUAGGCUAUCUGAUGUUGGCAUGUCAUACAUAGUCAUCACUUAGUCACUCAUACUACAACAAGGUUUUGGCUAUAAGGUUGGCUAUAAGUGUAUUUUUUUUACUUCUCUCUAUCUCUUUCUUCGUACUCCCUCCGUCCCAUAAUAUAAGAACGUUUUUGACACUAGUAUAGUGCCAAAAACGUUCUUAUAUUAUGGGACACAGGGAGUACUAGUAUUUAUUGCAUUUGCCAAGGAGUGACCUCUUCCAAUGAAAUGGUGUUGCUAAGUUUGCUUCAUUUAAUUAGCUAUAUACUCAAAAUUGUCUUUUCACCUAGGUACACGCGCUUAGCACCAUUUCUUCCUUGUGUCACCAAACUAGUCUCUCUCUUCUUGAUUAACUUGCCACAUCAGACUUUAUGCCUAUGUGGCAAGCUUAAGCACCUGUAGGAGCAAGUAAAAGUAAGUACAAUAGUGCGCUUUACAUGACAUUUUUGCAUAUGCGGAGGAAAGAAAGGCAAGGAAAAAGUGGAGAAGUGGGCUCUCAUGCAAGAGCCAGCCUCUACUACAUGGUGGAGCAUUGGGAGAGGCACCUGUAUGGAGGUGGUCAGGAAUCUGGGAGACUCACGCCGGUCGUAGCGCCGCAGUUAAAAUGAUAAUGGCAAGUCAAAUCACGGGGCCCCACUUGUCCAGCAGUAACUCGCUGUCAAAUCACACAGCCCUACGUUUGCAGUAGCCUACUCCCUCGUCUUCUCACGUCUCUGUCGAACCGACUAGGCGGAACUGCCCCGCCGCCAACCGCGCAGGAAAAGCCCCACCCUCGACUUUUAAAUAGUAUACAGUAUACUAAUUUUGUAUCCAUGGAUUGCGCCUGCGCCAUGGAGCAAAGCGUCUAGAAAACGGAGGAGAGACGGUGAUCUUGCAAUAGAGAAGAGGGAGAGGCGAGACGGUGGUUUUGGAAUGGAGAUGAUGGAGAGGAGAGGAGGUUGUUUUGCAAUGGAGAAGAUCAGAAGAGGGAGAGGCGAGACAGUGGUUUUGGAAUGGAGAGGAGAGGAGGUGGUUUUGCAAUGGAGAAGAGGGAGAGGAGCGUGCGGUAGCGAUUUAGGAUUGGACGAGAGGGCCGGCGCGCUGUGACUGGAUCAAAAUCAAAAUCAAUUUACCCUUCAAUUAAUAAAGCGACCCCACAUUAACUAGUCUCCCUUUUAUUCUGGGUCAUAAUUGACCAUGAUUUUCGCACAUAAAGUAUAUGUUAUACGUUGCAAAAAUAAUAUAAUUUGAAAGUACGUUCAGAUACGAACCAAACGAUACAAUUUUUGGUGACAUGCAUUCACAUUUUGCUUGUCAAAUACAGUACAUGGUCAAACUUUGACCCAAAAUAUGCAAAACAACAAAAAAAAUACUUCCAAGACCAGCGCCGCUCUUCCGCUCUUCUCCUCUUAAACCAGCGCCACUCCUCUCCUGUUCCAAUCUAAAUGCAGCGCCGCUCCUCUCCUCUUCCAUUUCAAAACCACCGCCCCUCCUCUCCUGUUCCAGUCCAAAACCAGCGUCGCUCCUCUCCUGUUCUAAUCCAAAACCAGCGCUGCUCCUCUCCUCUUCCAUUCAAAAACCACCACCGGCGAGUGAAGGUGCUGUGGAGAAGUAGAUCGAUGGAGGAGUACAACCGAUACGUGAGGAUCGCAGACGGCGACCCUGUGAAGCUAGCUAGGAUGUUGGAGAUACAGUCUUGGUUUGACAACAAGGACCAACUAGCGGCGAUGGCGACAUCCAUGGCCAAAUAUCUGCAACAGAGCGAAAAGGCGGCGAUACUCCCGGAGGGAGUCGCGCCGGAGUACAUAGAGCUGCUCCUCUGGGCCAUGGAGCAAACAGAUUCACCGAAUCCGAUCGUGAGGGAGCGGUGGUGGGAGUAUCGAUCCCAGAUGGAGCAUCCACCAGAGAUUGAAGGAUCGAGCAUCUACAGGGUGCCGUUUGUGAGGGUGUCCUACCAGAUCGAGCCGGUGGAGUCUUCGUCGACCGAACCCAACUACAAGAGGAGAAAAGUAGUUGGCCCGACGACGCUUCCCCGCCAUUGUCUCCCUCGCCGUUCACAUCAUCUCACGGGGCGGCUGUCUGCUGCCGAGGAAUAGGAGGGGGCUGCCCCCCCCAGCCCAAUAGUCGGGCAGGUUGUGAAUUGUCAGGAGGAGCUUAGGGUUGUCAGUAUUUGCAGGUUGUGAAUUGUGUUUUGUGUUGUGCAUUUUGAGAGUACUUUCAGAUAUGAAUGUCUUUUGAAUUUCAGAUUUGCGGUAUGAGCACAUGAAGUAUUUUAUGAAUUCUAGAGAUCUAUUUUUAGCACUUAAAAAUGUAGUUUCAUAGGAGUAUAAAAGUGCAGACAAUGUGAUUCUCAGAGAAGAAACUACAAGUUUCAGUUUCAGAUAAGAAACUACAAGUUCAGUUUCAUAUAAGAAACUGCAACUUUCAGAGGCAGAGCAUUUAUAUUAACACGUCCUUUUCAAACAGGGCUAACAUCAUGUUGGAAGUUUUAUUCAUGGUCGAAAAUGGAACUACCAGCCAAUUAACAUCAUGCUGAUCAACAUUCAUGCAUAGCACAUCUUCAUAUGAUGCACAGUCAAAAUGCCCACACAAUGUCGAGUGUGCGAAACACAGAGAAAACGAGGGACGAAAUUUAUGCAUUGAUAAACAUAAUUUUUUGAAGAAAACAAGUGCAUUAAUUAGGUGCUUUUGCAAACUACAAAAAGUAUUCCACCAUUCAUCAUCUACCUUGGUUGGUGAGAUUUUUGAAUUGAGCCAUAUAAACCGAAAAGGAGGGAGUAAUUGGCAAAUAGAUGACCGCUCCAGCGAUCCCCUUCGCCCCCGCCACCACCUCCACCCUCGCUGCCGCCCCCGCCACUACCUCCACCCUCGCCGCCGCCAUAGAUCUCACCGCCACCCCCCACCUCCCGACUCCGAGCGCGCCUGCCCCCCUCAGCAAGUCCGCUCGCGCGCCCCAUGGAGUCGUCGGCCAUAUCCAUGGGGGAAUGGCUGGAAGACAAGCAGAUGUACAAGAUGCGUCUCCCACAUGUAUACAAAGCCUUCCCAUGGAUGCUCCAGCCGCUCGACUCCGUCGCACCGGCGGUGUUGCGGGAGACUCGAGGGAGGAGAUGGAGGGAGCGGGCGAUGCGGAUCCGCGACGAUGCUCUCUCCUGGACCCAGUGCACGCGCAAAUGGAGGGAAGCAGAGGAGGAAGCUGCGAGGAAGGAAGCCGAGGAGGGACCGAAUCUAUUCUCUCACUCGCGCAGGUAUGCUCGGAUGUGCAAGGACCAUGUGGAUUGGGAGCUGCUGAAUCUAUCCCUGCGGAUCUACUUCGAAGGAGAUUUCUCGGAGAAGCACAGGAUGCCCCACCCCAAUGAGCCACCGAUUGCGUUCGUUCGAUGGGCGAAAGGAGAAGUGAAUUCAGGAGAUCCACGCCGUGUUGCGAGAUGGGAAUGCUUGACUGGACUCCUGCCCACCAGCACGCCAGCAGAGCCGGAGCAGGUGGAUCCCCUACCUUACCUCUUCCCCAAACCUGCAGAAGAUUGAAAUUAGGCUUGCAAUCUGCUUCAAUUGAGCUGUCUGGUGGUUAUUUCUGCUUCCUGAGAGACAACAUCUGGCUGGAGGAUGAGAAGGAACCAGGAACUCCGAUGAAUUUCCCCUAUCACAAUGGGGGGGAGCGCCGGUUGGGCAGUGGUACGGCCCACCUCCGCCCCAAAUGGGGGCACAAUCUGGGCAGGCUCCUGUAAUUGCCCAAGAUCAAUCUGCUGGUGGUUCUGACUCUCAGAUCAGUGGGAAAUCUCAAGGCAAGAAUCAGCAAAAGAAGAGCUAGGACAUCCAGAAAACUGCUCUUGCCCCUGCUUCGGGCCUUAUGGCAUACUCUGAGGUGAUCUGCUACAACUGUGGGGAACCAGGGCAUCAUUUGGAUAAAUGUGUCAAGCCCAAGAGUUGUUUUAUCUGCAAAAUGGUUACCCAUAAAGUUGAGAAUUGCCCUGUCAGAAGGAAAACCCACAGUUCUGCUAGAUAUGUUGGAAGUGCUGCCCCAGGAUUAUGUCCACCAUUGACAGAAUUUUCUGUCACACAGAAUUAGAUAGUUUCUUUCCCCUUUCUAGUUGUAGAGCUCUGCCCAGAUGUGGUAGUGACCACACUCCUUUUCUCUGGGACUCUGGUCUUAACCAAACUCCAAAGAGAAAUAGUUUUAAAUUUGAAAAGUGGUGGUUGCUUAGAGAAGAUUUUACUGAGCUAGUCAGGAAAAUCUGGAAUGAGCCUACUAGGAGCAGCUGCCCCCUAGAAAAUUGGCAGAUCAAAAUCAGGAGAUUUAGAAGAACUACCAAAGGGUGGAACUCCAAUGAGGAAGCUAAUCUUAGAAGAUACAAAAGGCUUCUCCUCCUUGAGUUUGAUUCUCUAGAUAUUAAGGCAGAAACCACUAACCUCUCUGAGGCUGAGACUAAUGGAUUAAACUUUGUCCAUGGAGAGCUCAAGAAAAUUUGGCUUCAAGAAGAAAUCAAAGCCAAACAAAGGUCUAGAGAUAGGAACAUUAAGGAGGGUGAUAGAAAUAUUGCUUACUUCCAUGCAGUAGCUAACCAGAGGAGGAGGAAAACCCUCAUUCACUCCCUUGAUGGCCCUAAUGGCCCUGUUACUGAGGUAGAUGAGAUGCUGAAAGUGGCUAGUGACUUCUACAAAGACCUGUUUAAGAACGAAAACCCUUAUGGGUUCUCUCUACAAAACAAUUUUUUCUCUCCUUCUGAAAAAGUCUCUCCUGCUGAAAAUGAGCUGCUAGAAGCCCCUUUUCCAGAGACAGAGGUGAAGGAAGCCAUUUUUAGCUCUUAUCCUGAUGGGGCUCCUGGUCCUGAUGGGAUUCCCUUCUUGUUUUACCAGCAUUUUGAGGACUUGGUGAAAAAUGAUCUCUUAGAUCUUUUCCAAGCCUUUCAUAGAGGAGAGUUGGAUCCAACAACUUACUCAUGGGGGGUCUGUUCGGGUCAAGUUAAAUAACUGUGACAGUGAUUUUUUCCUUGCUGGUAAAGGCCUUAGGCAAGGUGACCCCAUCUCCCCGCUUUUGUUUAAUUUAGUAGCAGACGUUCUUACUAAAAUGCUGAGCAAAGCUGCUGAUCAUAGUCUGAUUGCAGGGCUCUGUCCUGAGGUCUGCCCUGGUGGCAUCAUCUUCCUUCAAUAUGCAGAUGAUACCAUCCUUUUCUUAGACAAUGACUCCACACAUGCUAGCAAUCUGAAAACUGUUCUAACCUGUUUUGAACAAGUCUCAGGCAUGAGAAUCAACUACUCUAAAAGUGAAGUCAUCCCUAUCAACAUGGAUGAUCAGGAGUUAGCUGACUUCCUCUCUAUUCUAGUCUGUAAUAAAGGUAACUUCCCCAUUAAGUACCUAGGUAUCCCUCUCCACUAUGAUAAACUAAGGAGAGAGGAUAUCCAACCCCUUCUGGAUAAAAUCAUCAAAAGGAUUGCUGGGUGGAGGGGAAAACUUAUCUCUUACAGAGGUAGAUUGAUCCUCAUACAAGCUUGUUUGGCUAGCAUUCCAGUGUAUCUCCUCUCCUUCUUCAAGUUCCCUAAAUGGGCAGUAAACCUCAUCAAUUCUCAGAUGUCUCAUUGCUUGUGGAAUGAUUUUGAGGGAAAUAGGAAGCUACCCCUUGCUAAUUGGGCCCUAGUCUCUAUGAAAAAAGAUUUUGGAGGCCUAGGCAUACCUAACCUCCAAGAAAUUAACAUCUGUCUUCUAGGGUCUUGGAUUAAAAGAUUCUAUGAGGAAGACCUGAAACCCUAGAAGAUUCUUAUUGCCCAUAAAUACCUAGGAAAUAAACCUAAUAUUUUUGUCCCUUCCUCCAACCCUAAGACCUCUAGAUUCUGGAAAGGAUUAAAAUCUAUUAUGCAUGCUGUGAAAUUUGGCUACAGAUGGAACAUAGGGGAUGGGAGCAGAACUAGGCUCUGGCAUGAUAAUUGGUUUGGCACAUCCCCCCUAGCAGUCCAAUUUUGGCCUAUUUACUCUGUCUGCAAUGAGCUUAACAAAAGUGUCAAUGAAGUUUGGGAUGGUCAAUGCCUAAAACUCUCUUUUAGAAGGAACUUUAGUGAUAGUCUCAUGGAACAAUGAUUCCAGUUGGAGGAAAUUGCCAAAAGCAUUACCUUUACUGCCGAGCCGGAUGCCCUGAUUUGGCAGUUGGACAAUAAGGGGAAGUAUUCCUCCAGCUCCCUCUAUCAUAUUAUCAACUUAAGAGGGGUUUAACCCGUGUUUAUCCCUGCUGUCUGGAAAUUGAGAGUUCCCCCUAAAAUUCAUGUAUUUCUCUGGCUUCUCUCCAAAAACAAAUUGAUGACUAGGGAUAACCUUAGGAAGAGACACAUCAUCAAACCCCUUGAUUGUGUUUACUGCUUGGAACAAGAGUCUUGUUCUCACCUAUUUUUUGAAUGUAUAGUUGCUAAACAUCUCCGGGCCCACAUUGAGGAAUAUUUCUCUAGUCAGAUUGGCUCAUCCUUCGAAUCUGUCGCCAGAUUCUGGAUUGCUACCAAAAAGUGCUCAGUUUUAAACACUGUUAGCUCAGCUGUCCUUGGGUGCCCCUGGAAAUAUAGAAAUGCUAUGAUUUUCAGUAACACCUCCUGGAUUUCCAUUCCGCGGGUCUUGAGGUUGAUCAGGAACAUGGUGAGGAACUGGGCGAUUCUCUCCUCCGGAUCGGACAAGGACAAGUUGAUGAGCUUCGUGGAAACCCUAACAAGAUCCCUUCAGAAACCAUUGUCGAUCACUUGUGGCUGAACAAGGCUCGACCUGCUCUGGGGCUGGACCCGUGGGCUCAUCUCAAUAUCUUUGAUGAAGAUGAUGGGCACCUGGCGCUGAAAAAGAGGGACAUCCACCAUGCUACGCCUUCCAGCCCGGUGUCUCCGCUUGCUUACUGGUCACCGCAGGCUGACACGGCCCCUCGGCUGAAGACCAUGAAGGCUUCACUGGACCCUCCUUAUGUCAAUUGAGUGCUCUAUCCGCUCUGCCUUUGGCACCGCUCGGGUGAUUUGUGUUAUUUAGAGAACUUGUUCGUCCACCCCCCUAGUUUGUAGCUUUUCUACCUUUGCUUUCGAACUGCUCUUUGAGCUGCUGUAUCAGAAUAUGUUGUGGUUUCGUUCUCAGCAAUGGAACCGGGGAGAUGCUCCCUAUUUUUCUAAAAAAAAUAUUUUAUAUGUUAUUAUAUAUUAUUUUUAUUGUCAUCAUAUAUUUAACAGAUACUUACAUAUGUAAGAAAACAAUAUCCCACAUCUUAUUAACUUAUAAAAAUAAUUUCUUAACAAAUAAAAUCCUGGAUUGUUUUGGCACGAAAAUCCUAGUGAUUGUGUACAAAAGCUUGGUAAGAUUUAAGGAUGAAUGUAAUAAUAUCACUUAUUAUUUAAAUAUAUUUAUAACAAAUGCUCAGCCCCUUUUUAUUUGUUGAUAACAUUGCUGGCCCAACCCAACAUUAUAAUUAGAAUCAGCCCAGCAAAAUCGUGUAUUUCGAGAAAGUGCAAAUGGCCUAUAAUUUUUUAGGAAAUAAAAUAAACGGGCUGCAUGGACGCUACAUUAUUUGUUCACCUAGCCUAGCUAAUGGUUGUAAUUCAAAGAAAAGAUCAAAUUGACUGUAAAUUCUACUGCGCAAAAAAAGACUGUAAAUUCUGAAAAAAUGGGUUGAAUGCGUGCCAUAUUUUUGGAGGCUGAAAUGUGGGGCCAAUUGGUCGAAGCCAACGCAAGUCGUUGUCAAUUUAGUCAACAAAUGAUUCUGACAUGUUAGCCGUUGGAUUUACAUCCAACGACCGGCAUCCAUCUUCAAUCUCUCGUCUUCUUCCUCCAGCGCCGUCGGGACCACCUCCCGCCUCCUGCUGCUAGUAGCUCUGCUUAGCAUGCUUCGCUACGAAGCGCUACUCCACCAUUGGCCAGGCCAUCCCUCCACCCCUCCACACCUCCUGUUCUACUCCACCGACUGCCGAACCACACCGCACUAGAACUAGUUAACCCUUGUACACCUCUCCGUCUGCGACUCUACUCCCGCGUCUUCCCAUCUCCGGCUCGUUGUUGUCCGAGGCCUCGCCGUCGUCCACCACCUUGGAUGCGCUUGGCGCGGCGUGGUCAACGUGGUCAACGAACGACACCAUCGGAAGUAGACUGUGCGUGGAGAGGCUGACAGCUGGGUCCACGACCGCACACAAGGAAAUGCCUCCUUAUUACAUGCAAAAUAAUGAUUCCUCCACCUGACAUCUGGGACCCACCGGAAGGGCCUCUGUAUUUCGCGAAAAUAACGUUCCCCCGCUGACAUGUCGGACCCACCAGCUAUCUUCGCACGCAAGGAAGUGCCUCCUUAUUACGCACAAAAAAAUGAAUAUUCCCCCUGCCAGCUGGAACCCAGCAUAGUGGGAGGCUGACUUGUGGGCCUACCAAGUUGACGGGGACGGAGGGCUUUGUCAACUUAGUCAAUAUGAUCGAUUCUAGCUCAUGUUACCAUACAAUGUUCAUCCAACGGCCGUAGUGCUUCUUCAACCUCUGGUCCUCUUGCUCCAGCCGCCCAAACCAGCGCCGGUCGUGCCGCGUGCUCCUGCCUCCCGUGGCCGGCUGUGAUGCCGCGGAGGCCUCACCGCCCCCUACUACUCCCACCACUGGCCAGGCCAUCCCUCUACUCACCCACACCCCCUGUUAUUCUGCGGCGACAACAGCCUCACACCGCAUCCGAACCAGUGAACCCCUGUACUUCUCUUCGCGUGGGCAUCCACUGCUACGUCUUCCCUGGCUCCGAGUUGUCCCCUUCCUAGUCCUCGCCGUUGUCCACCGUCCUGGUGCUCUUGGCGUGGCGUGGUCAACGACCGACUUCCAUCGGAAGAGUACUGUAUGUGGAGAGGCUGACAGCUGGGUCCAGGCGGCUGCAAGGAAGUGCCUCCUUAUUACGCGCAAAAUAAUUAUUCCUCCACCUGACAGCAGGGACCCACCAGACGGGCCACCUUAUUUCGUGAAAAAACGUUUCCCCCCUGACUGCUGGGACCCACCAGACGGGCCAGCGUAUUUCGCGAAAAAAACGUUCCCCCCGCUGUCAGCUCGGACCCACCGGAAGUGCCUUCUUAUUACGCACAAAAAAAUGAAUACCCCCCUGCUAGUGGGACCCACCAUGGUGGGAGGCUGACUUGUGGGCCUACUAAGUUGACUGGGAUGGGGGCCUUUGUCAACUUUAGUCAAUAUGAAUGAUUCUAGCUUGAGUGACUGUACGAUGUCCAUCCAACGGCCGUAGUGCUUCUUCAACCUCUGGUCUUCUUGCUCCAGCCUGUAACACCCCGGAUAUAUCUUUCCCAAUUUGUACUCCAACUCUUGCCGUUUCCGGCGUUAAGUUAUAUUUAUUUUCUUGGGUUCGGGUCUUUGUCUCCGUGUGUUAUUUUUGUUGUCAUGCAUCUCAUAUCAUGUCAUCAUGUGCAUUGCAUUUGCAUACGUGUUCAUCUCAUGCAUCCGAGCAUUUUCCCCGUUGUCCAUUUUGCAUUCCGGCGCUUCGUUCUCCUCCGGUGGUCAAUUCUACCUUUCUUUCGUGUGUGGGGAUUAAACAUUUCCGCAUUGGAUCGAGACUUGCCAAGCGGCCUUGGUUUACUACCGGUAGACCGCCUAUCAAGUUUCGUAUCAUUUGGACUUCGUUUGAUACUCCAACGGUUAACCGAGGGACCGAAAAGGCCUCGUGUGUGUUGCAGCCCAACAUCCAUCCAAUUUGGCCCAAAACCCACCAAACUCUGCUCCAUCAUCUAGAGCGUUCGAGCACGAUCGCGUGGCCGAAAACCGCACCUCAUUUGGACUCUCCUAGCUCCCUCCACCUCUAUUUAAAGACCACUCCCCGAAAUUUUCGGGCAAACCCUAGAUCUCUCCCUCACCUCGCGCGCCGGACAAAAACUGCCGGGCCGGACGUGUCCGACCCGAGCGCCGCCGCCAUGUGUCGCUCCUCCAUUGGCCGCCGCCCUCGCGCCCACAUCACCGCGCCGCCACCCGCGGAGGCCCGCGAGGCCCAAGGCCGGCCCCCGCGGCCCACUCCGUCCNNNNNNNNNNNNNNNNNNNNNNNNNNNNNNNNNNNNNNNNNNNNNNNNNNNNNNNNNNNNNNNNNNNNNNNNNNNNNNNNNNNNNNNNNNNNNNNNNNNNNNNNNNNNNNNNNNNNNNNNNNNNNNNNNNNNNNNNNNNNNNNNNNNNNNNNNNNNNNNNNNNNNNNNNNNNNNNNNNNNNNNNNNNNNNNNNNNNNNNNNNNNNNNNNNNNNNNNNNNNNNNNNNNNNNNNNNNNNNNNNNNNNNNNNNNNNNNNNNNNNNNNNNNNNNNNNNNNNNNNNNNNNNNNNNNNNNNNNNNNNNNNNNNNNNNNNNNNNNNNNNNNNNNNNNNNNNNNNNNNNNNNNNNNNNNNNNNNNNCGCCUCCGCCGCGCUCCGCCACUCCGGCCGCCGCCACCACCGCUCCGGCCGCGCCGCCCCAAGGCCGGCACCGGCCACCCCGCUCCUCCUCGACCGCCCCGGUCUUCUUCCUCUCCGGCGAUGCUCCGUGAAGCUCCGGCCGUCUACAGUAAAUCUGGCCAUCCUCGUAAUCCGUGCCAGAUCCAGAUCUGAGAUUCGGGUUGACUUUUGCCUCAAAACCCUAGCUCAUGUUGCAUACUUUGACCUGUGAUAACUUUGCAUCCGUAGCUCCGAUUCACGCAUAUAGCAUAUCAAAUUGUUCGUCUCAGAGAGUACAUCAUUUCAUUCCAUUGCAUCAUUUUCAUUUGAGCUCAUCUUGAUGCCCGAAAUGCUGCUAUAAGAGGGCUACUUGAGUUAAUUGUCAGAUCUGCUACUUCAUCUUAGACUUUUGUCAUUUUUGCCAUGAUUAUUGUGUGCAUGAUAUGCCCAUGAGUUCUACAUAUGUUUUGUUAAGGGUUUUGUCAUCUUUCCAGAGGUGCAACCCAUGUAUUUUUGUGAUGUUUGUGGUGACUAGUGCAAGCUUGGAAAGUGAGGCACCCGGUAACUCUGUUUUCAGGGACUUAGUAUUUUCACUAAGUCCUGGGAUUGUUUAGUCCAUGAUGCCAUAUGUUCGUGUUGUUUCCUAGUGAUCCGUGCCUCUUUUGAGGAUGAUCAGUAAAGGAGUUUUGUUAAUAUUGUAGUUCUCUAUCCAUCCAUGUCUUUGUUUGCAAUUACGGAGCACCCUAGCUUGAGUCAAUCAAGCUCUACUUUUGCUUCGUUGUGAAUCUGGGCAGAUUGUCAACUCGUUUGCAAUUUUGCCGGUGAUGUUGUAGUUGAUCCGUGCAUGAUAUGCUAUUGUUCUUGCCAUGUAUAGCUUGAAUUUUGUGCCUUCUUCAUGGAUGUAUGCUUGCCUUUCCAUGACUUGCACCGUAGUGAGUGCAUCGAGCUCGUUAACAUGCCUUCGUGAGUUAUGUUUCAGCAUGUCCCAGUUUUCACUAAGUCUGAAAACUGAUUAUGUUUUUGCUAUGUUCGUGUGCUUGUUAGUAUAUUUUGUGAUCCCUUUUGGCUCAAGGUCACUAAGGGACUUUUGUUAAGCUUGUUGAGUAGCUCCAUGCCAUGUUAUUCUUUGUCAUAAUCAGGUCCUGUAGCAUGUUGUUUUGUUGCUCCGAAGAGGGCUAUAUGAUCUGAAAUUUCAGACAAGUGUUAAUUUCACUAAGUCUGAGAUCUGUUUACCAUUUGCGUUGUUCCCAUGCUUGUUUGAACUUGUUAAUGGAUGAAUUGGCCGUAGUUCAGUGCUAUACUUUUGUUAAGCAUCUUGAAUGCUUCCCUUCCAUGUAUUUUGAUGCCAUGUGUGAGUGCUGUAGCAUGUUCAUUUCGUUGCAUUUAGAGGCCUACUUGCUGUAAAUCGCAGACCGGUGCCAAUUUUGAAUCGCUUGCCAUUUCCAAACCGUAACUCUGAUUCCGGUGAUCUUUAUAUCGUUUUCAAGCGAUUUCAUCUCAUCUUUCCAGUGGCACACUUGGUUUUCCAUGUUGAGGCCAGGUUCAUGCAUAUCCUGUCAUAUCUUGCAUUUUGCAUCCCGCAUCGCAUCUCGCAUAGCAUUUCAUCAUUGCAUCAUAUUGAUUGUUCCUUGCAUGUGGUUGAUUGUAUCCUUGUUGCUUGUUUGUCUUGUUUGGGUAGAGGCGGGAGACGAGUUCGCUAAUGAGGAGCCCGUUGAGUUUGCUUUUGAGGAUCCAGUCACCUCUGACAACUUUGCAGGCAAGAUGAUCAUACCCUCGAAAUCACUACUUCUUUGCUAUGCUAGUUUGCUCGCUCUUUUGCUAUGCCAAUGCUACGAUGCCUACCAUUUGCUUGUCAGCCUCCCAAUUGCCAUGUCAAACCUCUGACCCACCAUUGUCCUAGCAAACCGUUGAUUGGCUAUGUUACCGCUUUGCUCAGCCCCUCUUAUAGCGUUGCUAGUUGCAGGUGAAGAUUGGAGCCGUUCCUUGUUGGAACAUUUAUUUACUUGUUGGGAUAUCAUUAUGUUGCUAUGUUAUCUUAAUGCAUCUAUAUACUUGGUAAAGGGUGGAAGGCUCGGCCUCUCGCCUAGUGUUUUGUUCCACUCUUGCCGCCCUAGUUUUCGUCAUAUCGGUGUUAUGUUCCCGGAUUUUGCGUUCCUUACGCGGUUGGGUUAUAAUGGGAACCCCGUGACAGUCCGCCUUGAAUAAAACUCCUCCAGCAAUGCCCAACCUUGGUUUUACCAUUUGCCACCUAGCCCCUUUUCCCUUGGGUUUCGUGGACUCAAGGGUCAUCUUAUUUUAAACCCCCCGGGCCAGUGGUCCUCUGAGUGUUGGUCCAACCUAGAGCAUCGUGCGGGGCCGUCCCUUGGCAACUUGGGUUACGUUGGCUCCCAUAUGCUUAGCUUAUCCGGUGUGCCCUGAGAACGAGAUAUGUGCAGCUCCUAUCGGGAUUUGUCGGCACAGCGGGUGGUGUUGCUGGACUUGUUUUACCAUUGUCGGAGUUGUCCUGAAGAACCGAGAUACCGAGUCUGAUCGGAACGUCUUGGGAGGAGGUCUAUUCCUUCGUUGACCGUGAGAGCUUGUCAUGGGCUAAGUUGGGACUCCCCUGCAGGGAUUGAACUUUCGAAAGCCGUGCCCGCGGUUAUGGGCAGAUGGGAAUUUGUUAAUGUCCGGUUGUAGAUAACUUGAACCUUAAUUUAAAUAAAUGAAUCAACCGUGUGUUUUACCGUGACGACCUCUUCUCGGCGGAGUCCAGGAAGUGGACACGGUGUUGGAGUAAUGUUUGCGUAGGUUGCCCUAGUUUUCUCGCUCGCGCUUUGCCUCCUCUUCUCGCUCUCUUUUGCGAAUAAGAUAUCCACCAUAUAUGCUAGUCGCUUGCUACAGCUCCACAUAUAUUCACCUUACCCUUCCUAUAAGCUUAAAUAGUCUUCAUCGCGAGGGUGCAAGAUUGCUGAGUCCCUGUGGCUCACAGAUUAUUAUUACACCAGAUGCAGGUCCAGGUGAUUCCGCUCCAGGUGACGCGUACGAGCUCAAGUGGGAGUUCGACGAGGACUCUCAGUGUUACUAUGUCUCUUUUCCUGAUGAUCAGUAGUGGUGCCCAGUUGGUGGUGAUUGGGACCGUGUCGCAUGUUAGGUUUUCUUCUAUUUUGGCGCCGUAGUCGGGCCAUGAGUGUUUGGAUGAUGUAUGUUAUUUAUGUACUUUGAUUGACGUGGCAAGUGUAAGCCAACUAUGUAUCUCCCCUUUUAUUAUCUAUAUUACAUGGGAUGUUGUGAUGAUUGCCUAACUUGCGACAUUGCUUUCAAUGCGGUUAUGCCUCUAAGUCGUGCCUCGACACGUGGGAGAUAUAGCCGCAUCGAGGGCGUUACAAGUUGGUAAUCAGAGCCUUCCCCGACCUUAGGAGCCCCAUUGCUUGAUCGUUUUUAGCAGACGAGUUGUGUCUAGAAAAAUGUUUUGAGUCAUUUAGGAAUUAUAUAUCGGAGAGUUUAGGAAUUCUUUUUACUUCCCAGUCUCCUCAUCGCUCUGGUAAGGCAUCCUGACGUAGAGUUUUGACUCUUCUCUUCUCAAAUUUCACAAAAAAAAAUUAGGAUCACGCGGGUAUCUUGGAAUCAUUCUGAUGGUUUUAUGAUGAGAACAUUGUCUUGGUGCCUCCUGUCAGGGGUUUAGUGGAAGUGUCCUGGGGAGUUGAGCUCUGAGGUGUUGUCAUCAUAAUUUUAUCGUUGCAAUUCUGGAAUACUUGAGUUUAGUAUGCCGACAUCGAAAAUCUCUUUUAUGCAGUUCGUUGGUGAGAUAACCUCGACGCCACCCAGUACUGGGGCGGGAGUUCGGGAGUAUCGCCAUAACUUGUAUAACAGAUGCUUUUCGAAGGUUGAGGUAGAUGGUUUCCGAAGGUUUCUUGAUUAUGUGUUGAAGGAUGGAUACAACUGGAUGUAGGAUUUGCUAGUUUGGGUGAGAUAUUAUGCUUCCCCUGUAUCCCCAACACCUGAUUGCAUAACCGGAAAGUUUCGGGAAUUUCAUAGGUGGGAAUUCUUGUAGCUCUAGUUCUUCUUCCACAGAUAUUGGUUUGAGAUUGGAUUUUCUUACCAAUUAUUCAUUCUUGAGCCGUACCUUGUUGAUUUAGUUCUCUACCUCUAAUUCUACGUGGCUUCGCAAUUUAUGGAUAUGUGACCAUUUCAAGAGGAAUGCAUUCGUUCAUUUUGUUCGGAUGUGAAGACUUUAUGUUGCAAUUUUCAUUUCGUUGGUUUCGGCUUCAUUUAUCUGUCUAUGUGCUAACGGUGGUCAACCUCUUCAGGAUGGCUCCCGCUAAGAGCACUAGUCAGAAUCAAAAUCAAGAUCCGUCACCACCUCCACCUCCUCCGAAGGCAUGGCAAGCUGUGAUGGCCGCAACCAAUGCAAACACACAGUUGAUCAUGCAAAUCCUCCAAGAGCGCAAUCAAGGCAGUCAAGGGAAUCAAGGCAGCAAUCAGAAUCAUUUUGCUACACUGAACCAGUUCCUUGCUAAUGGGCCAAAGACGUUCAGCAAUUGUGUUGAAGCAACCGAUGCUGACGAUUGGCUUGUGGAUCUGUGUAAGCAUUUUGAGUGCAGCAACGUCAGGCAUGAAGAUUUCGUCAAGUUCGCUUCCUUCCAACUCAAAGAUCAAGCUGCAGAAUGGUUCCAGCAGUACAAGGAUUCUAGAGGUGGACGUCUGAUCACUUGGGAUGAUUUCCGUCAAGAUUUCUGAGCUCAUCACAUCCCUCAAAGUGUGGUUGAAAGUAAGCGUCAGGAAUUCCGCAACUUGAAGCAAGGCUCUUUGUCUGUCUAUGACUACAACAAGUUGUUCCAGAAGCUCGCCCGCUUUGCCAAGCAGGACGUACCUGAUGAGAAGAGCAUGAUAUACCAGUUCAGGGGUGGUCUCAGAGAAGAAAUUCAGCUCGCUCUUGUCCUCUUUGAGCCGUUGAGAUACGAUGAGUUCUACAACAUGGCACUGAAGCAACAGGCUGCUCAGUUGAGGUGUGAUGCUUCCAAGAAGCGAGUCAGAGUUGCUACUCCUUCUUCCUCUACUCAAGUGGACAAGCAGCAGAAGUAUUGGCUUCCUCCUCCUCCGUUCCGUCAGCCAUAUCAGCAGAAGAGCAAAGGUGGCAGUGGUUCUUCCCACCCACCCAACCCUGGCUUUCAGAACAAGUCUUCGUCUCUACCUCCAAGAUCGAGUGCUCCGUAUCACCGUCCGCUUUCAGAGGUCACGUGCAACAAGUGCCAAGAAAAGGGUCACUAUGCCAACAAGUGUUUCAACCAGAGGCGUCUUCCUCCUCCUCCUCCUGUGAGAUCGGCAAGUACAGCUGUGGUCAAGCAGAACCCCAAGCAUGCCAAGGUCAACUUGAUGAAUGCAGCUCAGGCAGAGGAUUCAUCAGAUGUCAUCAUGGGUAACUUUCCAGUUAACUCUUUUCCCAAAAGAGUUCUUUUUGACACUGGUGCAUCGCAUUGUUUCAUGUCAAGAUCAUUUGUUUCCAAGCAUGACUUCGUUUCACAAAUGUUGGGUAAACCUAUGGGAGUGGUUUCUCCGGCUAUGUCUAUGAGGGCUACUUCAGUAGUCCCGGAUAUUUCUAUAAUGAUGGGUGAUUUCAAGUUUCUGGCUUCUCCAAUGGUUCUUGGUAACUCAGAUAUUGAUCUUAUUCUCGGAAUGGACUGGCUUUCUAAGCACAAGGCUCAGCUUGAUUGUGCAGCCAGGCAGAUUUAAUUGACUCAUUCGUUUGAGGAUGUAAUUGUCUUUGCCGCGAAUGAUGAUACCAUCCGUCUAUUUUCUCUCAAUGAGAAGGGUGAACUGGAUGCUAUCUCGCAAAUUCCAGUCGUUUGCGAAUAUCAAGACGUCUUUCCAGAAGAGCUCCCAGGAAUGCCUCCGCACCGGCCAAUUGAAUUCGUUAUUGAUCUUGAGCCCGGCACGGAACCUGUGUGCAAACGUCCUUACAAGCUCGGACCUGAAGAGUUGAAGGAGCUGAAGAAGCAACUCGAUGAGCAAGAGAGAAUGGGUCUCACCCGGCCUAGUUCUUCUCCGUGGGGUUGUGGUGUUCUUUUUGUGAAGAAGAAGGAUGGAACGGACCGACUUUGUGUUGAUUACCGUCCUUUGAACAAGAAGACCAUCAAGAACAAAUACCCACUUCCCAACAUCAAUGAGCUGUUCGAACAACUCAAAGGUGCUCAAGUAUUCUCCAAGCUUGAUCUCCGUAUGGGUUAUCAUCAGAUUCGUAUCCGUGAACAAGAUAUUCCCAAGACGGCUUUCAGGACAAGCUUUGGUUCAUACGAAUACACUGUCAUGUCUUUUGGCCUCGUCAAUGCUCCUCCGACGUUCUCCCGCAUGAUGAACUUCAUCUUCAACGCCUACACCAAUGACUUCGUUUUGGUCUAUCUCGACGACAUUCUGGUUUUCUCCAAGAACAAGGAAGAUCAUGCCAAGCACUUGCGUUUGGUUCUCGAUAAGCUCAGGGAACAUCAAUUCUACGCCAAGUUCUCCAAGUGUGAAUUUUGGCUCGAUGAGGUUCUUUAUCUUGGUCAUAUCAUCUAUGCCAAGGGCAUUGCCGUGAAUCCUGAGAAGGUGUCUGCAAUUCUGAAUUGGGAACCUCCUCAGAAUGUGAAGCAACUCCGCAGUUUCCUCGGUCUCGCAAGCUAUUGCCGAAGAUUUGUUGAAAACUUUUCUAAGAUCGCGAAGCCUCUCUCAAAUCUUCUUCAGAAUCACGUCAAGUACGUUUGGUCUCCGGAGUGUGAUAUUGCUUUCAACACUUUGAAAGAGAAGUUGAUCACUGCUCCAGUUCUGACUCCGCCUGAUGAAUCCAAACCGUAUGAGGUCUUUUGUGAUGCCUCUCUCCAAGGUCUUGGCGCAGUGUUGACGCAAGAGAAGAAAGUUGUUGCUUAUACCUCUCGCCAGUUGAAGCCUAAUGAGAAGAACUACCCCACUCAUGAUCUCGAGUUGGCGGCAGUUGUGCAUGCUCUGUUGACUUGGAGACAUCUUCUAUUGGGAAGAAAAGUGGACAUUUUCACUGAUCACAAGAGUCUCAAGUACAUCUUUACUCAGCCUAAUCUCAAACUCAGGCAAACUCGAUGGGUCGAAAUGAUUCAAGAGUAUAAUCCGAGUAUUGAGUAUACUCCAGGCAAGGCCAAUGUGAUUGCUGACGCAUUGAGCAGAAAAGCGUAUUGCAACAGUCUGAUUCUUAAGCCUUAUCAACCCGAGCUUUGUGAAGCUUUCCGCAAGCUGAAUCUGCAAGUUGUUCCUCAAGGUUUCCUCGCCAACCUUCAAGUGUCUCCUACCUUGGAAGACCAGAUUCGCCAAGCCCAGCUUCUUGAUGCGAUGGUGAAAAAGGUGAAGAUUGGGAUUGCCAAGAGUCAACCCAAGUACAAGUGCUACCGCCUUGAUGACAAGGAUACUCUCUUCUUCGAGGAUCGAAUUAUUGUACCCAAAGGUGAACUUCGUAAAGUGAUCAUGAACGAGGCUCACAAUUCUCUCCUCUCCAUCCACCCUGGGAGUACGAAGAUGUAUCAGGACCUCAAGCAAGCUUAUUGGUGGACUCGAUGAAGCGCGGGAUCGCUCAAUUCGUGAAUGAAUGUGAUGUCUGCAGAAGAGUGAAGGCAGAACACCAAAGGCCAGCUGGUCUCCUCCAACCUCUUGCCAUUCCAGAAUGGAAGUUUGACCACAUUGAAAUGGACUUCGUGACUGGGUUUCCAAAGUCCAAGCGUGGAAAUGAUGCUAUAUUCGUUGUCAUCGACAAACUCACCAAAGUGGCUCACUUUCUGCCUAUCAAAGAGUCGAUCACUGCAGCUCAAUUGGCGGAACUCUAUACCUCUUGAAUUGUCUCUCUGCACGGUAUCCCUCAAGUGAUAUCUUCAGACCGUGGCAGCAUCUUUACCUCCAAGUUUUGGGAUUCUUUUCAGAAGGCCAUGGGCACCAACAUCCGCUUCAUCACAGCUUUCCAUCCUCAAACAAGCGGUCAAGUUGAGCGUGUCAACCAGAUUCUUGAAGAUAUGCUCAGGGCUUGUGUGAUCUCCUUCGGCAUGAAGUGGGAGGAUUGUCUUCCUUAUGCUGAAUUCUCCUACAACAACAGUUUUCAAGCAAGUUCGGGCAAGGCCCCAUUUGAAAUUUUGUAUGGCAGGAAGUGCCGUACCCCUCUCAACUGGCCUGAAACCGGCGAACGUCAGCUGCUGGGUAAUAACUUAAUCACAGAGGCAGAAGAAAUGUGCAAAGUCAUUCAUGAUAACCUCAAAGCAGCCCAAUCCCGCCAGAAGAGCUACUAUGAUAGUAAGCACCGUGAUUUGGCUUUCGAGAUCGGAGAUCAUGUUUACCUCCGCGUCUCUCCUAUGAAAGGGACUCGUCGCUUCGGUAUAAAAGGGAAGCUUGACCCUAGAUACGUCGGACCUUUCAAGAUUGUCAGCAAGAGAGGCGACCUCGCCUAUCAACUCGAGCUUCCUUCAAACUUUGCAAAUGUUCAUGAUGUGUUCCAUGUCUCUCAGCUUCGAAAGUGAUUCAAGACCCCUGACCGCACAGUCAACUUCGAGGACAUUGAGCUCCAAGAAGAUCUCUCUUAUCGUGAGCACCCAGUUGCUAUUCUCGAAGAGACUGAACGCAAGACUCGCAACAAGUCAAUCAAAUUUCUCAAAGUCAAAUGGUCGCACCAUUUCGACCGUGAACCUACCUGGGAACGCGAGGAUCACCUCCAUUCUGAGUACCCGGCGUUCUUUCAGUCCUGGAUCUCGGGACGAGAUCCUUUCGUAGUGGUGGAGUGUUGUAACACCCCGGAUAUAACUUUCCCAAUUUGUACUCCAACUCUUGCCAUUUUUGGUGUUAAGUUAUAUUUAUUUUCUCGGGUUCGGGUCUUUGUCUCCGUGUGUUGUUUUCGUUGUCAUGCAUCUCAUAUCAUGUCAUCAUGUGCAUUGCAUUUGCAUACGUGUUCAUCUCAUGCAUCCACGCAUUUUCCCCGUUGUCCAUUUUGCAUUCCGGCGCUUCGUUCUCCUCCGGUGGUCAAUUCUACCUUUCUUUCAUGUGUGGGGAUUAAACAUUUACAGAUUGGACCGAGACUUGCCAAGCGGCCUUAGUUUACUACCGGUAGACCGCCUGUCAAGUUUCGUAUCAUUUGGACUUUGUUUGAUACUCCAACGGUUAACCGAGGGACCGAAAAGGCCUCGUGUGUGUUGCAGCCCAACACCCCUCCAAUUUGGCCCAAAACCCACCAAACUCUGCUCCAUCAUCUAGAGCGUUCGAUCACGAUCGCGUGGCCAAAAACCGCACCCCAUUUGGACUCUCCUAGCUCCCUCCACCUCUAUUUAAAGACCACUCCCCGAAAUUUUCGGGCAAACCCUAGAUCUCUCCCUCACCUCGCGCGCCGGACAAAAACUGCCGGGCCGGACGUGUCCGACCCGAGCGCCGCCGCCAUGUGUCGCUCCUCCAUUGGCCACCGCCCUCGCACCCACAUCACUGCNNNNNNNNNNNNNNNNNNNNNNNNNNNNNNNNNNNNNNNNNNNNNNNNNNNNNNNNNNNNNNNNNNNNNNNNNNNNNNNNNNNNNNNNNNNNNNNNNNNNNNNNNNNNNNNNNNNNNNNNNNNNNNNNNNNNNNNNNNNNNNNNNNNNNNNNNNNNNNNNNNNNNNNNNNNNNNNNNNNNNNNNNNNNNNNNNNNNNNNNNNNNNNNNNNNNNNNNNNNNNNNNNNNNNNNNNNNNNNNNNNNNNNNNNNNNNNNNNNNNNNNNNNNNNNNNNNNNNNNNNNNNNNNNNNNNNNNNNNNNNNNNNNNNNNNNNNNNNNNNNNNNNNNNNNNNNNNNNNNNNNNNNNNNNNNNNNNNNNNNNNNNNNNNNNNNNNNNNNNNNNNNNNNNNNNNNNNNNNNNNNNNNNNNNNNNNNNNNNNNNNNNNNNNNNNNNNNNNNNNNNNNNNNNNNNNNNNNNNNNNNNNNNNNNNNNNNNNNNNNNNNNNNNNNNNGCCGCGCUCCGCCACUCCGUCCGCUGCCACCACUACUCCGGCCGCGCCGCCCCAAGGCCGGCUCCGGCCACCCCGCUCCUCCUCGGCCGCCCCGGUCUUCUUCCUCUCCGGCAACGCUCCGUGAAGCUCCGGCCGUCUACAGUAAAUCCGGCCAUCCUCGUAAUCCGUGCCAGAUCCAGAUCUGAGAUUCGGGUUGACUUUUGCCUCAAAAUCCUAGCUCAUGUUGCAUACUUUGACCUGUGAUAACUUUGCAUCCGUAGCUCUGAUUCACGCAUAUAGCAUAUCAAAUUGUUCGUCUCAGAUAGUACAUCAUUUCAUUCCAUUGCAUCAUUUUCAUUUGAGCUCAUCUUGAUGCCCGAAAUGCUGCUAGAAGAGGGCUACUUGAGUUAAUUGUCAGAUCUGCUACUUCAUCUUAGACUUUUGUCAUUUUUGCCAUGAUUAUUGUGUGCAUGAUAUGCCCAUGAGUUCUACAUAUGUUUUGUUAAGGGUUUUGUCAUCUUUCCAGAGGUGCAACCCAUGUAUUUUUGUGAUGUGUGUGGUAACUAGUGCAAGCUUGCAAAGUGAGGCACCCGGUAACUCUGUUUUCAGGGACCUAGUAUUUUCACUAAGUCCUGGGAUUGUUUAGUCCAUGAUGCCAUAUGUUCGUGUUGUUUCCUAGUGAUCCGUGCCUCUUUUGAGGAUGAUCAGUAAAGGAGUUUUGUUAAUAUUGUAGUGCUCUAUCCAUCCAUGUCUUUGUUUGCAAUUAUGGAGCACCCUAGCUUGAGUCAAUCGAGCUCUACUUUUGCUUCGUUGUGAAUCUGGGCAGAUUGUCAACUCGUUUGCAAUUUUGUCGGUGAUGUUGUAGUUGAUCCAUGCAUGCUAUGCUAUUGUUCUUGCCAUGUAUAGCUUGAAUUUUGUGCCUUCUUCAUGGAUGUAUGCUUGUCUUGCCAUGACUUGCACCGUAGUGAGUGCAUCGAGCUCGUUAACAUGCCUUCGUGAGUUAUGUUUCAGCAUGUCCCAGUUUUCACUAAGUCUGAAAACUAAUUAUGUUUUUGCUAUGUUCGUGUGCUUGUUAGUAUAUUUUGUGAUCCCUUUUGGCUCAAGGUCACUAAGGGACUUUUGUUAAGCUUGUUGAGUAGCUCCAUGCCAUGUUAUUCUUUGUCAUAAUCAGGUCCUGUAGCAUGUUGUUUUGUUGCUCCGAAGAGGGCUAUAUGAUCUGAAAUUUCAGACAAAUGUUAAUUUCACUAAGUCUGAGAUCUGUUUACCAUUUGCGUUUUUGCCAUGCUUGUUUGAACCUGUUAAUGGAUGAAUUGGUCGUAGCUUAGUGCUAGACUUUUGUUAAGCAUCUUGAAUGCUUCCCUGCCAUGUAUUUUGAUGCCAUGUGUGAGUGUUGUAGCAUGUCCAUUUUGUUGCAUUUAGAGGCCUACUUGCUGUAAAUCGCAGACCGGUGCCAAUUUUGAAUCGCUUGCCAUUUCCAAACCGUAACUCCGAUUCCGAUGAUCUUUAUAUCGUUUUCAAGCGAUUUCAUCUCAUCUUUCCAGUGGCAGACUUGGUUUUCCAAGUUGAGGCCAGGUUCAUGCAUAUCCUAUCACAUCUUGCAUUUUGCAUCCCGCAUCGCAUCCCGCAUAACAUUUCAUCAUUGCAUCAUAUUGAUUGUUCCUUGCACGUGGUUGAUUGUAUCCUUGUUGCUUGUUUGUCUUGUUUGGCUAGAGCCGGGAGACGAGUUCGCUAACGAGGAGCCCGUUGAGUUUGCUUUUGAGGAUCCAGUCACCUCUGACAACUUUGCAGGCAAGAUGAUCAUACCCUCGAAAUCACUACUAUCUUUGUUAUGCUAGUUUGCUCGCUCUUUUGCUAUGCCAAUGCUACGAUGCCUACCAUUUGCUUGUCAGCCUCCCAAUUGCCAUGUCAAACCUCUAACCCACCUUUGUCCUAGCAAACCGUUGAUUGGCUAUGUUACCGCUUUGCUCAGCCCCUCUUAUAGUGUUGCUAGUUGCAGGUGAAGAUUGGAGCCGUUCCUUGUUGGAACAUUUAUUUACUUGUUGGGAUAUCAUUAUGUUGCUAUGUUAUCUUAAUGCAUCUAUAUACUUGGUAAAGGGUGGAAGGCUCAGCCUCUCGCCUAGUGUUUUGUUCCACUCUUUCCGCCCUAGUUUCCGUCAUAUCGGUGUUAUGUUCCCGGAUUUUGCGUUCCUUACGCGGUUGGGUUAUAAUGGGAACCCCUUGACAGUCCGCCUUGAAUAAAACUCCUCCAGCAAUGCCCAACCUUGGUUUUACCAUUUGCCACCUAGCCCCUUUUCCCUUGGGUUUCGCGGACUCAAGGGUCAUCUUAUUUUAAACCCCCCGGGCCAGUGCUCCUCUGAGUGUUGGUCCAACCUAGAGCACCGUGCGGGGCCGUCCCUUGGCAACUUGGGUUACGUUGGCUCCCGUACGCUUAGCUUAUCCGGUGUGCCCUGAGAACGAGAUAUGUGCAACUCCUAUCGGGAUUUGUCGGCACAGCGGGUGGUGUUGCUGGACUUGUUUUACCAUUGUCGGAGUUGUCCUGAAGAACCGAGAUACCGAGUCUGAUCGGAACGUCUUGGGAGGAGGUCUAUUCCUUCGUUGACCGUGAGAGCUAGUCAUGGGCUAAGUUGGGACUCCCCUGCAGGGAUUGAACUUUCGAAAGCCGUGCCCGCGGUUAUGGGCAGAUGGGAAUUUGUUAAUGUCCGGUUGUAGAUAACUUGAACCUUAAUUUAAAUAAAUGAAUCAACCGUGUGUGUUACCGUGAUGGCCUCUUCUCGGCGGAGUCCAGAAAGUGGACACGGUGUUGGAGUAAUGUUUGCGCAGGUUGCCCUAGUUUUCUCGCUCGCGCCUUGCCUCCUCUUCUCGCUCUCUUUUGUGAAUAAGAUAGCCACCAUAUAUGCUAGUCGCUUGCUGCAGCUCCACAUAUAUUCACGUUACCCUACCUAUAAGCUUAAAUAGUCUUGAUCGCGAGGGUGCGAGAUUGCUGAGUCCCUGUGGCUCAUACAUUAUUAUUACACCAGAUGCAGGUCCAGGUGAUUCCGCUCCAGGUGACGCGUACGAGCUCAAGUGGGAGUUCGACGAGGACUCUCAGCGUUACUAUGUCUCUUUUCCUGAUGAUCAGUAGUGGUGCCCAGUUGGGGGUGAUUGGGACCGUGUCGCAUGUUGGGUUUUCUUCUAUUUUGGCGCCGUAGUCGGGCCAUGAGUGUUUGGAUGAUGUAUGUUAUUUAUGUACUUUGAUUGACGUGGCGAGUGUAAGCCAACUAUGUAUCUCCCCUUUUAUUAUCUAUAUUACAUGGGAUGUUGUGAUGAUUGCCUAACUUGCGACAUUGCUUUCAAUGCGGUUAUGCCUCUAAGUCGUGCCUCGACAUGUGGGAGCUAUAGCCGCAUCGAGGGUGUUACACAGCCGCCCAAAGCAGCGCUGGUCGUGCCGCAUGCUCCCGCCUCUCGUGGUCGGCUGUGCUGCCGCGGAGGCCUCGCCGCCCCCUACUAUUCCUACCGCUGGCCAGGCCCUGCGGCGACGGCAGCCUCACACCGCAGCCGAACCAGUGAACCCUCGUACUCCUCUCCGUGCGGGCUUCCACUAUCGCGUCUUCGCCGGCUCCCCAUCGUCCCUUCCUAGGCCUCGCCGUCGUCCACCGCCCUGGUGCUCUCGGCGCGGCGUGGUCAACAUGGUCAAGGAACGACUUCCAUCGGACGUGGACUGUACGUGGAGAGGCUAACAGCUGGGUCCACGGCCGCAGCAAGGAAGUGCCUCUUUAUUACAUGAAAAAUAAUGAUUCCUCCACCUGACAGCUGGGACCCACCGGACGGGCCACUGUAUUUCACGAAAAAAAUGUUUCCCCCUGACUGUUGGGACCCACCAGCUACAUCUUCGCACACAAGGAAGUGCCUGACAGUCGGGACCCACCUGGUCGAAGCGUACGUAGCGUUGUCAUUCUGGUCGCGAACAUGUACGUACAUAUAUACUGGUCGAUGUAGAGGCGCGCACAUGUCUUAGUAGAGGCGCGCACGUAGCAUGUACACGUAUAUACAGCGGCCAGGGUGCAAGAAAGAAAAUACGGCCACAUAUGUGUACAUACGGGCGGGGUCUCGAACGCCUACUCGCGCAUACGUACAGUCAGGGCUCAUGUACAUGGCUGGGUCGGAACGGAGAAACAUCGUCGUCGUCGUGUUCAUGGGGAGGCAACGGAAUGCGUCGUGUUCAUCGGGAGGCAACGGAACGCGUGGGAGCCAACCAGCUGGGUCGGAACAGAAUGCGUGGUCAUGUUCAUCGGGAGGGCUUGGACGGAACAUGCAAUGGAAAUGAGGCCUGGCGUACCGCAGAACGGAGGAAACAACCUUGUGUUCGACCGGCCACGUUCGAAACAGGAUCUUGUUCAUCGGGAGGGGUCUGGCGUACCGCAAAAUGGAGGAAACGGACCUCCUACGGUCGAAACGGGGGUCCUGUUGAUCGGGAGGGGUGUGGCGUACCACAAAACGGAGGAAACGGACUUGUGUUGGAGCGCUAUGGUCGAAACGGGGUCCUGUUCAUCGGGAGGGGUGUGGCGUACCGCAAAACGGGACUCCACGGGAUACUGUUCAUCUCCACCGUCAACCCCCUCAGCCUCCACGCGCUACUGUUCAUCCACCGUCGACCUCCUCCAGCCUCCACCUGCGACUGUUCAUCCACGGGCUCCUAUUCAUCCAGCCUCCACCGCACACUACUCCACCGGCUACUGUUCAACCAGCCCUCUCCACGGGCUCCUGUUCAACCACCCCUCCACAGGCUACUAUUCAUCCUGCCCUCCACGGGGUGGUCCUGUUCAUCCAGCCCUCCAUGGGGUCCUGUUCAUCCAGCCCCAACCGACUCGAUCGAUCGGGGUACUGUUCAUCCAGAGGCAACAUCACGGGGUCCUGUUCAUCCACCCCCACCGGGAACUGUUCAUCUGAACCCCCCCCCCCGCAACGCUCACUGUUCAUCCAGAGGCAGCAUCGAUCGGCUUCUGUUAGCAGCAGUAGCGAAGGAAUCGCUCGAUCAGGUUCAGUUAACAGCCAUCGAUCGAUCGCUCGCUCGGGUUCAGUAACGCGUACCAUACAGUGCAAUCGCUCGGGUUCAGUUAGAGCCCAACGCCUCGCUUGGGUUCAGUUAGAGCCCAACGCCUCGCACACACGCGCAUAUGUACGAGAGAAACGCGCAUCACUCGGCCCCCGACCACCCACCGUAACCGGGAACUCCCCGAUAUUUUCCGCGCCCUCGCUUCUACCACGGUUUUUUCCGUCAUGGACGGCCCAAAGAAUGUCAUGCAGAUGCGUCUCCGGCCCGCCCAGGACAAGCCCAUUUUCUGUCAUGAUUUUUUGUCAUAGAAGUAGGAGCCCACCACAUCUAUGAUGAUACCGGGUUUUGUCACAAUUAUCGUCAUAGAAGUUUCAUAUGUAUGAUAGAAAAAGCAAUUCCUUCGGCCCAAAAUGUCACGGAUGUGUCUUUUUUUGUAGUGCAUCUCGCUAUCCUCAGUAUGAUUUGGGUCACUAUCUUCCCUAAAGUUCUGCCUGGCAUAAGAGAUACGACUCUGAAAGAGAACCAAGGAGACACGUAACAGGUUUCACAAUUAUAUAAGCAAAUAAGUGGAUUUGUUCUGCAUAAGGAACAUGUUUUUACAACUACAAUUUAAAACUGGUAGUUGUUGCAAACAUCCAAUCAGAUGUAAACAUCAAAGUAAAUAACAGUGGAGGAAAUGAUGCCUAUCCAACUCUAUACUAGAACAACGUUUGAAGGCUUGAGAAGGAUGAACUCACACUACAUGUUAACACGGGCUGGACAAAGCCCAUCUCCAUGUUGAUGAAAGGAUAAUUCAAUAAAUUUCCCAAAGAAAAUUCUUUAUAAGCGUUGCCAUUUUUCUACAUUUUGCAAAGAGUAAAUAUAGAUCAAAUAAUAUUGGAAGAAACAGAGGAUAAGGAAGCUCAGGUGCAGACUAAUGAUACAUAAUCAAAUAGCAAUUAAUUAAGUACAGGGUUACAAGGCAAAAGGUACUGACAAGAGCAAUGCACACAUCAACGUGUGCAGUGGCAUUGGCUUUAUUCAACAUUUUGGUAAGAGUAAAUGUAGAUAUGAUAAUUUGGAGAAAGUGGAGGGCAGGGCAGAUAAGAUGUAGAGUAAUGCUAGACAAUCAACUAUCUCGCGAUGCAAGUACAGUAAUACCUCCACCGUCUGUUAUUACUUGUCGCUCAAAUGGAUGUAUCUAGCACUAUUAAGUUCUAAAUACAUCCAAUUGAUCAACAAUUAAUUCGAUACAGAGGGAGUACAUGACAAUAGGUACUUACAUGAGCAAUCCAAAACUUCAUAACCAUUGUGUUAAUUCUACAUUUAUCUAAGAGUAAAUAUAGAUCUUAUAAUUAUUACGCACAAAAAAAUGAAUACUCCCCCUGCUAGCUGGGACCCACCAUAGUGGGAGGCUGACUUGUGGGCCCACUAAGAUGACAGGGACGGAGGGCUUUGUCAACUUAGUCAAUAUGAACGAUUCUAGCUCCAGUGACCGUACGAUGUCCAUCCAACGGCCGUAGUGCUUCUUCAACCUCUGGUCUUCUUGCUCCAGUCGCCCAAACAAGCGUCGGCCGUGCCGCCUGCUCCUGCCUGCCGUGUCCGGUUGUGCUGCCACCGCUGGCCAUGCCAUCCCUCUAUACUCACCCGCACCUCCUGUUAUUCUCCGGCGACGGUAGACUCACACCGCAGCCGAAGCAGUCAACCCACAUACUCCCCUUUGCGUGGGCAUCCACUGCCACGUCUUCCUCGGCUCCGCGUCGUCCCCUUCCUAGGCCUCGCCGUCCUCCACCACCCUGGUGCUCUCGGUGCGGCAUGGUCAAUGUGGUCAAGGAGCGACUUCCAUCGGAAGAGAACUGUAUGUGGAGAGGCUGACAGCUGGGUCCACGGCAGCAGCAAGGAAGUGCCUCCUUAUUAUGCGCAAAAUAAUUCUUCCUCCACCUGAUAACAGGGACCCACAGGACGGGCCACCAUAUUUCUCGAAAAAAAUGUUUCUCCCCUGACUGCUGGGACCCACCAGCUACAUCUUUGCACGGAAGGAAGUGCCUGACAGUUAGGACCCACCUGGUCGAAGCGUGCAUAGCGUUGUCAUUCUGGUCGCGAACAUGUACGUACAUACUGGUCGAUGUAGAGGCGCGCACGUGUUGUAGUAGAGGUGUGCACGUGUCGUAGUAGAGGCGUGCACGUGUCGUAGUGGAGGCGCGCACGUAGCAUGUACACGUACGUACAGCCAGGGUGCAAGAAAGUAAAUACAUCCACGUACGUACAUAUGGGCGGGGUCUCGAACGCCUACUCGCGCAUACGUACGGCCAGGGCUCGUGUACAUGGCUGGGUCGGAACGGAGAAUCUGCGCCGUCGGCGUGAUCAUGGGGAGGCAAACGGCUAGGUCGGAACGGAAUGCGUCUUCGUGUUCAUCAGGAGCCAACCGGCUUGGACGGAACAGCCAAAGGAAACGAGGCCUGCCGUACCGCAGAACGAAGGAAACGGCUUGUGUUCGACCGGCCACGGUCGAAACGGGAUCCUGUUUAUCGGGAGGGGUCUGGCGUACCGCAAAACGGUGAAAACGGGGUCAUGUUGAUUGGGAGGGGUGUGGCGUACCGCAAAACGGAGGAAACAGACUUGUGUUGGAGCGCUACGGUCGAAACGGGAGUCCUGUUCAUCGGGAGGGGUGUGGCGUUCCGCAAAACGGGACUCCACGGGAUAUUGUUCAACUCCACCGUUGGCUACCUCCACGGGCUACUGUUCAUCCACCAUCGACUGCCUCCACGGGCUCUUGUUCAUCCAUCGUCGACCUCCUCCAGCCUCCACCUGCGACUGUUCAUCCACGGGCUCAUGUUCAUCCAGCCUCCAUUGCACGCUCCUCCACCGGCUACUGUUCAACCAACUCUCUCCAUGGGGUCCUGUUCAACCACCCCUCCACGGGCUACUGUUCAUCCAGCCCUCCACCGGCUACUGUUCAACCCGCCCUCCACGGGGUCGUCCUGUCCAUCCAGCCCUCCACGAGGUCUUGUUCAUCCACCCCUCCACCGGCACGAUCGAUCGGGGUAUUGUUCAUCCAGCGGCAACACCACAUGUUCCUGUUCAUCCAACCCCCCACCGGGAACUGUUCAUCCAAACCCCCAACAAUGUCACUGUUCAUCAAGAGGCAGCAGGUUCGAUUGGCUUCAGUUAGCAGCAGUAGCGAAGGAAUCGCUCGAUCGGGUUCAGUUACCGGCCAUCGAUCAAUCGCUCGGGUUCAGUAACGUGUAGCCUGCAGUGCAAUCGCUUGGGUUCAGUAGGAGAACGCCUCGCUCGGGUUCAGUUAGAGCCCAACGCCUCGCAUCCACGCACGUACGUGUAUGAGAUAAACAUGCAUCGCUCGGCCCCCGACCACCCACCAUACCAGGAACUCCCCGAUAUUUUCCGCGCCCUCGCAUCUACCACGGUGUUUCCGUCAUGGACGGCCCAAAGAAUGUCAUGCACCCGCGUCUCCGGCCCGCCCAGGACGAAAAGCCCAUUUCCUGUCAUGAUUUUCUGUCAUAGAAGUAGGAUCCCACCACAUCUAUGAUGAUACCGGGUUUUGUCACAAUUAUCGUCAUAGAAGUGUCAUAAGCAUGACAGGAAAAAAAAUUGUUCGGCCCAAAAUGUCACGGAUGUGUCUUUUUUUUGUAGUGGGUGAAUAGGCGAUUUUUAUGAAAUACUUCAAAACACGGGGGGCUUUGAAAAAGAACAGUAUAAAUGAACCUAUUGAUAUGCAUCGGAAGGUAGACUACACUACACAAGCCAUAGUCAAGUAAGCAAUGAAGUGAAAGCACGAAGACUAUCAGCAACUAGGUAGUAUAGAUCAGGAUGGAAGAUGGUAUGAAGCCAAACGGUAAGCAAACUUCACACGGUGAAGACAAUCAGAUCAUGCAAGCAGGUAAUGACUUCACGAAGAUAGACUGAAAGUAAACGGAAGUGAAGGAUAGAACCAGUAGCUUGGUGAAGACAAUGAUUUGGUAGACCAGUUCCAGUUGUUGUGACAACUAUAUGUCUGGUUAGGGAGGUUGAUAUUUAACUCAGAAGGCCGCGUCUUCACCUUAUUCCCCUUGAGGUAAGAACAAGUAGUCCUCGCCCAAUCACUCUGGUAAGUCUUCAAGGUAGACUUCCAAACCUUCACAGAUGUCAGGACCCCGAUCCUAAGUCACACCGAUCUAGCAUGUAACACGUCAUAUCACUUUGCGGCCUCACGCACGGUAUUCCCACGGGUGCCACCUUACCCGGCCCGGGACCGUUUGCGCCUUUUGGCUCACGUAUAUGAUAGUGUCGCUAGCAUCCAUAUGACAAAGAACCCGGGCCGACAUGGCUAGUCAUGAACCCAAAGCGGCACUAACCCAUGGGGACAGGCAUACAUGAAUCAACUUCGAGCAUGUCGGUCAUCAGCGUGUGAAUCCGGGCUGUAGCACUGGGCUAACAGGACUCCGGUAACCCGGGCUGUAGCAGGCUAGGCAGGACUCCGGAUGUCACCGCGUGACAUUUCCCCGAGGGGACAGACACAGGAACAAAGUGAAACACAUGCCGGCCAGUCAAGUGUCCUGAGCAGUAGUGCUGGGCUAGCAGGACUCCGGUGAACCGGGCUGUAGCGGACUACUAUGGCUCAUGGAAGCACUAGACUACAUUUCCCCAUAAGAGAGGCUGCCAAGGAUAAACAACUAGAUUGUCGGAUCCCACACAUACCAAGCAUUUCAAUCAUACACACAAUAUGCUCGAUAUGUGUAAAUACAACAUGGCAUCACAACAUAACUCUACGAAUCAAAGUAUUUAUUCAUUAGGCUCCUAGGAGCGAGAUAUUACAAACAUGGGUCUCACGACCCCAACAUUCAGAGCAUACAAACAACAAGCACAUGCGGAAGCUUAACUUGUCUGAGUACAGACAACUAUAAAUGAAGAAGGCUAAAAAGCCUGACUAUCUACAAGACCCUGCCGAGGGCACAAGAUCGUAGCUGAGGUAACCAACUAAACGUCGAAGUCCAUGCGGAACUACUAGCAAGACUAACGUCUCUCUGCAAAAACAUAAAAUAGGCAAACGUGAGUACAAAUGUACCCAGCAAGACUUACAUCAGAACUAGCUACAUAUGCAUCAGUGACAACAAAGGGGGUAGUGGAGUUUAACUGUAGCAAGCCAGCUUUGACUCGGUGGCUAUCCUGAACUACGACUGCAAGUAACUCUUUUGAGGUGGCGCACACGAGUCCACAUAUUCACCAUAUCAAUACACCACUAUGGAUCCGCUCCCGUCUUCCUACGAGAACGCCAUCCAUAGCACUCAUGCUUAUCUUGCGCAUUUUAGAGUAUCCACUUUCACUUGUCUAUGAACUGUUAUAGGCAACCCAGAAGUCCAUUACCGCGGACACGGCUAUUCGAAUAGAUGAUGUUAACCCUGCAGGGGUGUACUUCUUCACACACGCUCUCACCACUUACCGCCGUUUACACGACAUGUACUCGGCAACCUUCAAGCGGAAGCCCAACGAGGGUGUCGGCCACGGCCUGCCUAAACACUCAAGUCUCUAGUCCAGGUUUAUCGCCUAUUCAGGUUCCAUCCACAGGGUGUCCGGCCGAGGUUUCCACAUACGGCCCCGAACGAUGUGAGCAGGGUUCCCGAGACACCAAACGGGCGCCCGGUACACCGUGCCACGUGCCUACCGCAACACAGCCCACCCCGACGGUCAGCGCUGCGUGCGGCCCCCAGCAUACUACAAACACCAGAAACUACUUGCAACUCCUGGACAGAGGACAAGGGUGAUCAAGAAGCCGAGAGGGUCCAUUGGUUUCGGGCCUAAUGCGUGGUAGUAACUGUUUCAUGGAUCACAAACACAGAACUCAGUUCCUGAGGACGGUUUCAAUGAGACAACCCACCAUGUACUCCUACAUGGCCUCUCAUCGCUACCUUUACCAAAUCGUAUUCAUACACUUAGCUCUCAACAAUAGGACAUGUUCACCACUUUCCAACUCAUCCCCGAUGAAUCAGACCCGUCUCAACUCUAAGCAGUAGCAGGCAUGACAACAAACAUGAAUGAGUAGGCACAUUAGGGCUCAAACAACUCCUACUCAUGCUAGUGGGUUUCAUCUAUUUACUAUGGCAAUGACAGGUCAUGCAAAGGAUAAAGGGGUUCAGCUACCGCAGCAAGUAACAGAUGAAUCGUUGUUGUCCUAAUGCAGUAAAAGAGAGCAGGAGCGAGAGAGUGGGAUUAUAUCGGAAUGAACAAGGGGGUUUUGCUUGCCUGGCACUUCUGAAGAUAUUAUAGUUCUUCAUCCGUGUCAUCGAACUCAUCGUCGAAACCACGUCUAUCGAGAGGGGACAAUUACCAGCAAACAAAGAAGAACACAAUCAAUGCAAUGCAACAAUUAUGAUGCAUGAUAAUGUCAUGGCAAUAUGGUGUGAGUUGAGCUAAUGCAGCUAGCAACAAUUUAAAUGAAGUUGGUUUGAACCCAAGGUUCAAAUUCAAAUUCCACAUGUGGUUAUUUAAAUGCCAUUAACAUGUUUUCAGGUAUACAGCAGGUAUAACUUAGUUUGUCAUGCAUGAAAAUGGUACAGAUGGAUAGAUUGCAUUUUUCUAAUAAUUUUUCAUAUAUAAUUUGUUUGAUUUGGAGUUACUGUUGAAUUACUAUGAAUUUUUGAAGUUUUGGGUAUUUUCUGGAAUUUCCUGAAUUAAAAUUAAUCCAGAAAAUGAGUUAUGGCGUCAGCACUACGUCACCGUGACGUCAGCAGGUCAACUGACCCGGUCCAGGUCAAACCUGACCAGUGGGACCCACUGGUCAGUGUCUCAGUGCCAGUUAGGGUCACUGACAUGUGGACCCAGUCAAUGGCCACGUCAGCAUGGUCAACGCUGAUGCGUGGGGCCAUUAAGAUAGUAAAAACUAAACAGAAACUAAUCUAAGUUUAAUUAGUAGGUGGGGCCCUGCUGUCAGUGUCACUAGGUGUUGACUAAGUGCGUCAUUAGCCUAAACUAAUCUGCCACGUCACCAUCGCCGGAGUUACGCCGGCGGCGACCAAAACGCGGCGGAGACACACUGGGUUAGCUCGGGUUUUGCCCACGGUUGACCAAAUCGACCAUGGUUUGGUCCUACGCGUAGCUGGGACUCGCGCGCAUCUGGUAGGGCAAAUGGAAGGGGCUGGGGUGGAGCGAGCUCGCCGGAGUCGAGCUUGUAGCGGCGGUCGGCGUUCGGGUGUUGAGCGAGAUGGAGUUACAGAUCACGGGAGAUGGAUGGGUGUGUGCGUUAUGCUCAGGGGAGUGCGGUCAGUUCAGUGGUGAGCUCAGACACGUGCUUGCACGGCCGUAGCCAUGGUGGCGACAUGGCCGGCGGCAAGGAGCAAUCGGCUCCGAUGGCCACGGUGGCUAGAAGGCGCGGGAGAGCACGGGGAGAGAGGGGAAAGACGCAGGGGCUCAUGGCGAUUCCAGUAGAGGCGUCAGCGAGGCCGGGGAGAGGCUGGAGCUCACGAAUCCCCGACGAGUCCGCCGGCGGUCAGAGGUUGGAGACGAGGUUGGGGACGAUGCUGCAGGGCUUCCGGAGUGGCGUGGCUCGGUGGGGAGGGAGAGGGGGUCGAGGCGGAGCUCCUGAGAUCAGCGGCAGGGCGAGGGGUGGCCGGUGGCCGCAGGAACGGCGAGCGGCGGCGAGCAUGAUUGGGUGGUGCGAGGGAGGAAGAGCCAGGGGAGGGAAGGAGCUGCGGGUGCGAGAGAGAAGGCCAGGGGGCGCGUGGCGCCUCCAGGCGCUCGGAGGUGGAGGACUCGGGUGCGCGCACGUCGACACGCCUCUGCCUACUGGCAGAGGUUGAAGACGACCGCUUUGGCCAGUGGGUUGGGCCAGCUAGAGGGGCUGGCCAGCUGGGCCGCGACAGGUAAGCCAGGUGAGUCUCUGCUCUUUGCUUUCUGUUUUUGUUUUUUUCUAUUUCUUUUAUUCUGUUUUGAAUUAGUAAAAAUACUAAUUCAUUUUUAAAACUCCUGAGAUAAAUUGGGGGCAUUAUUUGGAUUAUUCCAGAAGCCCACAAAUUAUGACAGAAUAUUUGGAGCAUCUAAAAUAUAUAUAGAAUUCAAAUGCCCCAAUUCAAAUACAUUAUGAUUUAAUUCAAAAUUCCAGGAAUGACCUAGAAACAUGUUCAUCAUUUUUGGCAAAGGUUUUUGCCUUUAUCAGAAAUCAUGAACAUUUUCAAAGGGCAUUUUGGAAUCAUUGAAAAUGAUUUUAUUUGAACUUAUUUGAAUUCAUUUGGUGCUAGGGUUUCAACAUCCCCAUUUCAAGUUUCUUAGGAAUUUAAACAUGAUGACAUGAUGAGCACGCAAAGUCAAGCAAGGGCUGAUCUGGGGCUGUGACAACAGACUUCGUUCACUAGCAAUCCACAAUGGCUCUUGGAUGCUCAGAACGUGACGCCUAACCGGCUGGAGGAUUCACAGUCCUCAAGUGUAACAAGUCUUUAGAUCAUGCGGGCAGAAAGACUUCAGUGAUGCCUAACACUCUUUGGCUCUGGGUGUUUUGGGCUUUGUCCUCGCAAGGAUCUCUCUCUCUCAAAUGCUUCGGAGCUGGGUUGCUCUCAAACGACAAAAGUUGUGCACUAACUCUGAGCAGCCCCCAAUUUAUGGUGUAGGGGGUGGGCUAUUUAUAGCCAGGAGGCAACCCGACCUGAUUUGUCCGAACUGACCCCGGGUCACUAAGGAACCGACACGUGUCCAACUGUCGGAUUUCAAACACACGCAGCAGCUUGAUUUGGGCUACAAGUAAAGCUAACUCAUCCAACUCUGGAUAAGAUUUGCUCUCAUUGUCUUCGCUCAAAGACAUAGGAUUUGGUUGAGCAUCACAUUAGUCACUCUGACUUUGUUCACUUGGACCCCACUUAACAGUACGGUGGUUCCUAUGACUCAACAAAGAAGAAAAGGAAACUACGAAACAACUAUGUCUUCGCAUUCCAUAGUCUUCACGUGAAUGUCUUCUUAUGUCAUAAUAUUCACUGUGAACAUCUUCACAAACCACCAUUGUCUUCAAUGUGUUCAUACAUUUUUAGGGGUCAUCCCUGGUAGGUAAACCGAAUCAAUAAGGGACUACUACAUGUGUUAUCCUGCAGUUCUCAUAAACACAUUAGUCCCUCAACCAAGUUUGUCGUCAAUACUCCAAAACCAACUAGGGGUGGCCGUAGAUGCACUUACAAUCUCCCCCUUUUUGGUGAUUGGUGACAAACUGGUUGAAGUUUUCCACGGGGAUAAAAGUAUGUGAAAGUUAAGGAUUAAGGCAUUGUCUUCAUAAGUAGAAAAAGGCUACCCCUGAAGAUGUGCAUAUAAGUAGUUUGCUUUUGAAUGCAAAUGCACAUGGCACGUUUUACUUUGUGGAGAUCCUCUUCAACUUAUGAAUACAAUUCAUCAUGCAUAUAAAGAGAUAACGAAGAUAAUGACAUGCAUAAUGAAAAAUGGACGUUUGUGGGAUUUAUCAUCGCAUCACACAGUGGCAGCAAAAACAACGUAGCAGACGACCAUCGAGUUUAAGUGUUGCAACCCAAAAACCAAAUUGUUAAAAAGACGAGAGUUGCAAUGACUUAGCAAAAAUUUAUGCAACCACCCAUAAUGACCCGCUUGAAGACUAUCAACUCAUAUGCUUCUCCCCCUUUUGUCAGUAAUGACCAAAAAUGUUUGAAGACAUAGAGUAUCUACUCGUUCCCAGAUGGAGCAGAUGAUGGAUCAGGGUCGACGUUGGAGUUAGGUGGUGCGGACGGGCCUGAUGCAGUGUCGUGGUGCAGUGCAGCCAAGGUUGGUGAAGUGGCGUCGUCUUCUUCAUCGAUGACUCUCGCAACAGCAGUUGCAGCCGAAGAUGAAUGCUCAGAAUCUUCAAUGGAGGGAGUGCGACGCCAGCUUGCAUUUGGUGGAGGCCUGGAGUCAAACUUGAAGUUCUCUGUGAAGCCACCUUCGCGAAAUCGUGUUCAGGAUAGAGCAUUAUGAGGCUCUUCUAGGACCGCCGACAGGCUUCAUGUGCAACAAAUGAGUUCUUGGUGGCCAAAUUACGGAUGCGAUUGACAUCCACCAAGAGACUCUGCAUCUGACGCUUCAGCCAGUCCUGAUGCUUAUCCUGCUUCUGAUGCAAUGCCACAAGGAGCUCUCGGUCAUUGAGUACACGAGAUCGCUUCUGAGGCCUUUGGGCAAUUAUACUUGCAGUGGCUUCAGUGUUAGCACGGUGUGGCACUCUCAUGUUCCCAGCCAGAGGAUAAGCGGGUGUUGCAGCAUUGGGAACAAGGAUUCCAUCAAUUGGCUGCGAGAAGCUUUGAUGUUCAGCAUUCUGAAGAUGUAGGGGCUUCUUGGCAGGCUCGGGGUAGAUGGCUUCAAUAGACAGAUCAACCUCAGGCAGAAAAACAAUGUGGUUGCACGCUGAGGGCUGAUAGUCUAUAGUGGAAUGAAGCUUAAUUAGGCGCAUCACCCAUGGAGCAUAGAACUUCAGGCCAAAUAGAUCAAUCCCAGAAGCAGCAAGUUGUCUGAUGAAGAAAUCAUGGGUGUUGAAUUUGAUGCCAUUGAUGAUAUUGAAUACCAAAGUCUUCAUGGCUCCUUCAAGUUUAGCUUCAGAAGAAUGUCCCUUGAUUGGCCAUAGAGUACGCCUCAGAAUAUGGUAUACUGUGUGUGGCAAGUACUCGAGGUCCUUCACAAAGAACUCCUUUGGGUAUUCAGUGUCUUGAGGCAAUGGAUUCAUCAGGCUAAGCAUCUGGCUCAUGUUUGGUUUAGGCCUCUGAAAAAUGCUCUGCAGCUCAUCUCUAUGAAGCUGACAACCAAGUUCAUAUAAUUCACCUGGAGUGGGCAGGGAAGUAAGCUCGAUGAUGUCUUGAGCUUUGGCUUCGUCAUGUACAUCACCUAUCAUCCACUCAAGGAUCCAAGUCUUCGGAUCCCUGUUGUAGCCCCAAAUAUGGAGGGUGGCAUAGAACUGCAGUAGACUCUUCAUUCCGGUGUUCUUUGUCAGUCACGAAAGGCAGACGACCAACAUCCCCGGGACUACCCACAGUGGGAGUAACAUAGGUAGUAACAUCACACAUAUCUGGGUUAAAUAGAUGAUGUGGCAUGCAAUAAAUGAAGAAAGAGAUGAAAGUAGUAACAUAGCUAGUUACUACUAGUGAGGGAGUCCUAGAUUAGGGGGUGUCCGGAUAGCCGGACUAUAACCUUUGGACGGACUCUUGGACUAUGUAGAUACAAGAUUGAAGACUUCGUCCCGUGUCCGGAUGGGACUUUCCUUGGCGUGGAAGGCAAGCUUGGCAAUACGGAUAUGUAGAUCUCCUCCCAUUGUAACCGACUCUGUGUAACCCUAGCCCUCUCCGGUGUCUAUAUAAACCGGAGGGUUUUAGUCCAUAGGACGAACAACAAUCAUACCAUAGGCUAGCUUCUAGGGUUUAGCCUUCCUGAUCUCGUGGUAGAUCCACUCUUGUACUACCCAUAUCAUCAAUAUUAAUCAAGCAGGAGUAGGGUUUCACCUCCAUCGAGAGGGCCCGAACCUGGGUAAAAACAUUGUGUCCCUUGUCUCCUGUUACCAUCCGCCUAGAUGCACAGUUUGGGACCCCCUACCCGAGAUCCGCCGGUUUUGACACCGAUAUUGGUGCUUUCAUUGAGAGUUCCUCUGUGUCGUCAUCUUUAGGCCCGAUGGCUCCUCCAACCAUCAAUAGCGAUGCAGUCCAGGGUGAGACUUUUCUCCCCAGACAGAUCUUCAUAUUCGGCGGCUUUGCACUGCGGGCCAAUUCGCUUGGCCAUCUGGAGCAGAUUGAAAGCUACGCCCCUGGCCAUCAGCUCAGAUUUGGAAGUUUGAACUACACGGCUAACAUCCGCGGAGACUUGAUCUUCGACGGACUCGAGCCACAGCCGAGCGCGCCACACUGUCACGAUGGGCAUGAUUUAGCCCUGCCAUCGAACAGCUCCUUGGAGGCCGCAACCAUAUCUGCUCCGACCCUUAGCUCAGAGCCAACCGCGCCGAUCGAGGACAGGUGGCUAGACCCUACCGCGGGGGCUGCAGUCUUAAUGGCGAUCGAGCCAAACACUGGCCUUAUCCUCUGCGAAGCCCAUGACUCCAGGGUGCCGGACUCUUUUCCGGGCUCUGAACCCUCCGUGCCCCUACCAAUCGAAUCCGAUUGGGCGCCGAUCAUGGAAUUCACCGCCGCGGAUAUCUUUCAGCACUCGCCCUUCGGCGACAUCCUGAAUCACUAAGGUCUCUCUCUUUGUCAGGAGAGCCCUAGCCGGACUAUGGCCAAUAGGAUUGGGAUGCAGACGACGAAGAAAUUCGACGCGCACCCACCACCCACUUCGUAGCCACUGUCGAUGAUUUAACCGACAUGCUCGACUUCGACUCCGAAGACAUCGACGGUAUCGACGAUGAUAUAGGAGACGAACAUGAACCAGCACCUAUAGGGCACUAGACAGCCACCCCAUCCUACGAUGUAUACAUGGUGGACACACCCAAAGGAAUCGACAAGGAAGAAUGGGAUGACGCAAUGAAGGGUCGCUCCUUCGAAAAGCAGCCAAAGCGGCGGCGUAAGCGCCGCUCCAAGCCCCACCCCGACAGAGACAGCGGUCGUACAGACCCAGCCACAGAGCAGGGCGAGCCGGCGAACGAUGAACAUGGCAUCGAGCAACCGUCCGAACAAGGCAACUUGGAUAAACAAACCGCACAACCCGUCCCCGGCGAAGAUAACAGUCCGGACGACCUCACACCGGACAAGUUCCUGGAACAGGAAAACCUCCACAAAAGGCUCGUCGCCACGGCGCGUAGCCUAAAAAAGCAGAAGCGGAAGCUCAAAACUGCGGAAGACGCACUCCGAAUCAGAUGGAGCAAAGUACUCAACACCGCAGACAAAUACGGCGAUAGUCGCCACACAAAGAGCUACUCGAAGCGAAAGCUACUGCCCGAAUUUGAUGAGGAGGCCCUAGAGCCCCCAAAAUCAAAAAAUAAGGAAGCCACCCAGUCGGAUAGACGACCCCAUGGACAACAUAGAGCGGCAAAUGGCGCCGCACACAAACCAACACGCGAUCCACCCAAGGAUUCGCAUCAAAAGGAUGGCCCAGCCAAGUCCAUUUACGGGCCAAGAAAGCAAGCUCUAGUAAGCAAUGUAACACAACAAAUAUCCGAACAACACGGCACACCCAAGUACAGGGGUGCUGCACACCCCCUCUGUUUCACCGAUGAGGUGCUGGACCAUGAAUUUCCAGCGGGAUUCAAGCCCAUAAACAUAGAGGCGUACGACGGAACAACAGACCCUGGAGUCUGGAUUGAGGAUUAUAUCCUAGACAUACACAUGGCCAGAGGAGACGACCUCCACGCCAUAAAAUACUUACCCCUCAAGCUCAAAGGGCCAGCCCGGCAUUGGCUUAUAGGCCUUCCCGAAAACACCAUUGGAAGUUGGGAAGAGCUCGAGGAUGCUUUUCAGGAAAAUUUUCAAGGGACCUAUGUGCGACGUCUGGACGCAGACGAUUUAAGCCAUAUAACUCAACAGCCCGGAGAGUCAGCCCGGAAACUCUGGAACAAAUUUCUUACUAAAAAGAACCAGAUAGUCGACUGUCCGGACGCCGAAGCCUUAGCAACUUUCAAACACAGCGUUCGAGACGAAUGGCUCGCCAGACACCUCGGCCAAGAAAAGCCAAGAACAAUGGUCGCAUUAACAAGCCUCAUGACCCGCUUUUGCGCGGGAGAGGACAGCUGGUUGGCAAGAUGCAGCACCAGUGACCCAAGUACAUUCGAAGCUAGGGAUGGAAACGGGAAACCGUGACGCAGCAAGGACCAGCGCCGGAAUAAGGGAAACAGCCCGAAGAGCACGGCACUCAAUGCCGGAUUCAAAAGCUCUCGGCAGAAUCAGAAAAAGCUGCCCCUAAAGGAUAACAGGGACGAGCUAUCUAACCUAAACAAAAUCUUGGACAAGAUAUGUCAAAUCCACAGUACUCCCGGGAAGCCUGCAAACCAUACCCACAGAGAUUGUUGGGUCUUCAAGCAAUCCGGCAAACUCAACACCGAACACAAGGGGCUCGACACACCAAGUGAGGACGAUGACGAACCCCAUAAGCAGAGCACCGGGAAACAAAAGAAUUUCCCACAAGAAGUCAAAACAGUAAACUUACUUCACGUGACAAAAGGGAAAAACAGAGUGGCACCUAUAGAGAUACGCGCCAUACGGCCUAUCCCAAAGGAGUCUCGCCACUGGUUGUUAAAACCGAUCACCUUCGACCAUCAGGAUUACUCUAGAAGUAUCCGGAACGCAGGCUGGACUGCCCUGAUAUUAGAUCCGAUAAUCGACGGACUCCACUCUACACAAGUCCUGAUGGACGGCGGCAGUGGUCUAAACCUGCUAUAUCAGGACACAAUCCGCAAAAUGGGGAUGGACCCAACAAAAAUUCACCAUAGCAACACUUCCUUUCAAGGAGUAACGCCAGGCCCGGAUGCCCAUUGCACGGGUUCUCUCCUACUAGAAGUUAUGUUCGGCUCCCCCGAUAACUUCCGCCGCGAAAAACUAACCUUCCACAUCGCCCCAUUUUCAAGUAGCUAUCAAGCACUACUGGGACGCGAAGCUUUCGCCCGCUUUAACGCAAUACCGCAUUAUGCAUCUCUUACGCUUAAGAUGCCCGGUCCACGAGGCAUCAUCUCACUUAAGGGAAAUAUCGAGUGUUCCUCGAGCGCGGAAGAAUAUGCGGCUGCCUUGACAGCCAUACAUUAAAACAGCUUCACCAACAAAAGCAUCUAACAGGUCAUUAAGACCACGGACACGGCUAGGCGAGUCUGGAGCAAACAUAUAAUUGAUAAAGAUUUAGUAGCCGUACACCCCUACACAAGGGGCUCUACGUAUGUAAAAUAAGCGAGAAUAAGGCUCAAUUUUACCCGUCUUGAAUUAUACUUUGUUUAUUUAGUACAACAUACAUUCCGCACGACUAUUCUUUUUUUUCUUUUCAGCUAAGUUCCUCUCUUUUACAGAUGAACACCAUGCUACGCCCGUCCAGGACACGGCACAACGGAGACACAGGCGCAGACGUGCAGCAGGGACCCGUCUCCAGGAUUCUUUUUAGAUUAAGACCAUGCGUAAACCUUUUUUACUGUCUCUUGUUGAUACACAUCCCCCGGAUUCUCAGUAUAACUGAGGAGGAGGCUGGCAUCUUGGCAUGUGGCCACGUCAGAAUUUUGCACGUACCUGGACACCAGGGGCUUAUUAUCAAGGGCAUUGCUCAGUCCGUUUCCAUAAAGACCAAAUACCUAAGGGAGUGUUCGGCGUCGCGAGUUUGGCCUUAUAUGCAUCAGCUCCGAAUCAUGUCUUUGGUCAAAUGUUGGGUUUGCCCGGCUCCUGUGUUUUGCUGCCUUACGUUUCGUUCUAUCGGCUAAGGCGGCACCAGGAGAACUACUUCGAUUGUGCCCCGAUUCAGCCAGGCGAGCACCUCAGUAGAGAAAGCCGAAAACUGACUGUCAUGAUAUAGCGUGAGACUGGUCAACCACUCGAUGACCUAUCGGAAUCUUCGGGAUUCCUCCGCAUUAACGAAGGGCCGUUUCCUGGCUAGGCACACACGCGCCCCGAGUUCGGGCGAGCGCGGCGCCACCAGGGGCUAUAUAGUAGCCUCACCGUCAAGCUCCUAUGGUCAAGUGAAAGUGAUAAAGCAUUAUAGUCCGGUUGCCUAGUUCGCUGCGCUAUCACCUCCUUCAUGGACCAAGACGUUAGAUCAAGUGUAAAAAUGUGCCUUCUGCGAACACCCCCGCAUUAUAUGCGUGGGGGCGGAAGCCGACGCCUGCCAUCUUUCAGGUUAUAUACACAUAUACAUUAACGGCCGCACAGGAGGUAUUUUAAUUCUUGAAGGCACAAGUAUAAAAAGCUUUUAUAUUCCAUCAAAAUAUUGUUUUACAAUAAUCCAUGUUAUUCGAACAUAAUAUCCUUCGAGCACCGCGUCUCUAUUAAACGAGCGCCUUGCAGAACUUCCUGAAAAUAGUGCUCGGCAGGUACUCGGCUUCCGUCCGAGUCUUUGGAUGCAACAGCGGUGGCCUUCAUCUCCGCCCAGUAUGUCUUGACACGGGCAAGGGCCAUCCGCGCACCCUCUAUGCAUGCUGACCUCUUCAUCGCAUUGAUAUGUGGCACCACACCAAGGAACUGCUGCACCAAGCUAAAAUAGCUGUUCGGCUUUGGCCUUUCCGGCCACAUAUGAUCCACGACAUCCUUCAUGGCGAGUCUGGACAACCUAUUCAGUUUGGCCCAUUCGGCCAAACGAUCGGUCAAUAGAAGUGGACGCUCCAAAUUGUUGAACUGUGACCAGAAGAGAUUUUCCGCUUUGCUAUCUUUCUGAUCUCGGAAAUGUUCAGCCGCAUCAGCAGCACUCACAACUAAAUCCAGAUAUGCGUCCGCCGAACUCCACAUCCGGCCCAACGGAGCAUACUUAGGAUCUCCGAACUUCAUCCGCAGCAUAAAGGGCUUUCCAGUCGCGAUAUCUCUGGCCUGGCGCAGCUCCUCCUUCAUCGCUCUCAUCGUAGAACGAGCAUCCUUGGCCGUAGUAGUGGCCUUUUCCAGGCCUGUCUGCUCCGCCUGAUCUUCUUUUUCAAGAAGCUUGCAGCGGUCAGCAGCGGUCUUUAACUUCAUAGCCAUCUCGGCCAUUUCCUUCUUACUUUGGCAGUGAGCAGCUUGUUCGGCUUUCAGCUCCUCAACCGCCUUUAGGGCAGCCGCAUCGCUUUUUCUGGCUUGCUCCUUGGCUCGGGCAAGCUCUGCCUGAAGGUCCUCCACAGCGGCAACACCAUCUGCAUUAAGUGCACACAUUGUAAGAUACUGGCAUCAAGCUCCUCUUACCAGGUGUCUCCGAAGAAAUUACAUACCUUGUGCCUCGUCAACCACUUGUUGACAAGCGCGAUGUCGGCAUCUGCCACGUCAAGUUGCCACGUUAGCUCGGCAAAUUCAUCAGUCCGGCUGGCCACCGGACACUUCGCCACCUGCAUAGAAGGCGGCAAAAUUAUACCUGGGACUAUGAUCCUCUGCGUGCUGCCGUCUUCGACAACACACAGAGUCUCAGGGGCUACUAUCUACACAGGGCGCAUCUUAUAUAUGUGGAACUGUCAAAAGCAGGUCCUUCAGCUCCUCCGACUGCGCACCAGGUGGUGCCGGACUCGUUCGAUGGCUUUUCUCAAAGGCCGGACAUGAAGAGCUUUGGGGGGCCAUAUGACUGCCUUCCGGCCCUGCCGGAUUAGGAGAAACCCUCCGCGACGACACCUUAGGGUCGCCCGCCUCAUAAGGCGGAAUGGCAGGGGGAGGCAUUCCGCUCUCCAUCAUCUCCGGAAGAAGAUCCCCCGAAGAUGAGCUCUACUGAGAAGGGCUGAGAUCCGAACUACAAGGUAAAAUGUCGGUUAUUUUCCUCAGAGAUAAAAUAAGGAUCCCUCUCAUUUUAAACCUCCCCUCUCUACUUAUGGCUCGGUGGAGGGCUGAUCCCCUUGGGGGCACAGUACGGCCGAGGUAUCCCCCGGCACAGGACCCUCUGGCAAAGAUUUCUUCCCCCGCUUUGAGACCAUGGUCUCUGGGUCUUCAGAGGCGGUCCUCUUCUUCCCCUGGGUAGAGGAAUUUUCGAUUCCUCCUUUCCUGACAGCCUCCUUCGGGGAGGCGGUAGCUUCCUUGUCCCCCCCUUCGUUUUCUUCCAAAGGCACGAUCUCCAGCAUCCUGGUUAACACGGGAUCCGGCGAGGUCUCAGGAAGGGGGGCCAGACACCUGAUUAACUUCGCCUUCGCUACCCACUCCUGUUUCAAGGAGAACUCUUUUAAGGGUGAUGUUGUGAUAAAGGAACAGAUGGUGUGUCCGGGCACAGGGCUACUUACUUGAGUAUCCGGACGAUUGCAGCUCAGACCUGCAUCCUCCAUAGAAUCCGGACACACUACUUGUGGUCCGAAGAACAAUUUUUACAUCUCCACGGGCGUCAUGCCAAGAAAAUGUUGGAGAGAUCGCGGUCCCUCCGGGUUGAACUCCCACGGGCGGAGGGGGCGACGUUUGCAGGGAAGAACUCGGCGAAUUAACAUAACCUGCGUCACCACGACCAGACUAAUGUCUCUUUCUAGGAGAUCUCGGAUGCGGCCCUGCAACAGGGGCAUGUCCUUUGUCGACCCCCAGUCCAGCCCCUUAUUGACCCAUGAUGCUAGUCGUGGCGGGGACCCGAGCGGAAAGCAGGCGGCGCCACCCACUUGGUGCCCUGGGAGCUAUGAUAUAAAACCACUCUUGUUGCGAUAAGUUGAACUCCUCUUGAAAAGAGCCCUCGGGCCAUGGAGCAUCAGCAUUCUUGCUUAUAACAGCGCCUCCGCACUCCGCGUGUUGUCCCUCGAUCAUCUUCGGCUCUAUUUUAUAGGUCUUAAGACACAGUCCGAAGUGAGGAGUAAUGCGGAGGAAGGCUUCGCACACGACAAUGAACGAUGAGAUGUGGAGGAUGGACUCUAGAGCUAAGUCGUGAAAUUCCAGCCCAUAAUAAAACAUGAGCCCCCUCACGAAGGGAUCCGUCGCGAAGCCUAGCCCUCGGAGGAAGUGAGACACAAACACCACGCUCUCACCAGGCUUGGAAGUAGGAAUAACCUGCCCGUGAGCAGGCAGCCUAUGCGAGAUUUCACUGGUCAAAAACCUGGCCUCUCUCAGCUUUAGCACAUCUUCCUCCGGCAUCCAUCAGCCUCGAAAGUCGAAACCGGACAUCGUCGAAGGUCCGAAGCGCCUGAAAUCUGGGGCCUUGGGUGUUGGAACUCGAGGCGAAGGGCGAAUUCGAUUGAGAUCAAAGGAAAGGAGUAAUGCCUUGGUCUCUUUCUAAGAGGUUGAAUACCAAGAGCCCUCCCCGUGACCGUUUGGGACUCGCCUUUGAUCGAGGAGACGUACCAACGGGAACGACUGGGUUACCCACGUCCGUAUUGAUGAGAAUCCCGUAAAUAAAGGGGACACGAUCUCUGCUUCGACAAGACGUGCCAAGGAAACCGCCUCGCAAAACGCGUUGAGGUGGGGCAGUAAAAACGAUUCGAAUAAAGGCUUGGUUGUGGUGUGAUGACACGCUACGGAAUAUGUCAGUAGCUUAGAUUUGUGUAAAUAGUAUUCUCUCUACGACAGUAUGUGGAACUUAUUAUGCAGAGCCGGACACUAUCCUUGUGUUCAAAAAUCUUCUAUGAAGUAUUUGGAAGAGGAACCCGCCUUACAAUGCCGAAGACAAUCUGCGUGCCGGACUCGUCGUCAUUGAAGCCUGGUUCAGGGGCUACUGAGGGAGUCCUGGAUUAGGGGGUGUCCGGAUAGCCAGACUAUAACCUUUGGCCGGACUCUUGGACUAUGAAGAUACAAGAUUGAAGACUUCGUCCCAUGUCCGGAUGGGACUUUCCUUGGUGUGGAAGGCAAGCUUGGCAAUACAGAUAUGUAGAUCUCCUCCCAUUGUAACCGACUCUGUGUAACCCUAGCCCUCUCCGGUGUCUAUAUAAACCAGACGGUUUUAGUCCAUAGGACGAACAACAAUCAUACCAUAGGCUAGCUUCUAGGGUUUAGCCUCCCUGAUCUUGUGGUAGAUCCACUCUUGUACUACCCAUAUCAUCAAUAUUAAUCAAGUAGGAGUAGGGUUUUUACCUCCAUCGAGAGGGCCCGAACCUAGGUAAAAACAUUGUGUCCCUUGUCUCCUGUUACCAUCUGCCUAGACGCACAGUUCGGGACCCCCUACCCGAGAUCCGCCGGUUUUGACACCGACAACUAGCAUCACACAUAUCAAGGCAAGAUGUAUCUAUAGCCUAAUAAAUGAAGUGCUCCAUAUUACCACACAUAUGUUACUCCCCACUACAGAGGAAGUAACAUAGACUAGUAACAUGGGCAUGUUACUAGUCUAUGUUACUAUCCAUUGUGGCUAGUCUGAAGCAGUCAAGAGCUUCUUCAAGACAAGGCAUCCCAACUAUAGCUUCACAAUCCAGACGCAUAUGUGGAAAGAUUCGCUCUUGGUUGUAGAGGAUGCACGAGUAAUAGGUUCACUGCUGAUAACUCCAGAAUCUGUCGGAGGAGAUCUUUGGCUUCGAAUAAGAAUUCUUGGCGCUGGCAAAGAAAGUAUUGUGCUCUCUAAAGCUGUGCAUGCUGAAGGAACCCUGUGUAGUUGCAGCACUUGGAAGCCUUGGCAGCCUAGGCUUGGGCUUCUGAACUUGAGGCCUCUGCUCCACAUGGUAAUCAUAUUGUGGCCCGAGAGAAGUGGGUGGAACCAUAACUGGCCAUCUGACUGUGACAAGCUAACCUUCACGAUUGAAUGUUUGUUCCAUGGUGUGAGGCCAAGGAGGAGGAACAGCGCCAUCCGAGAUGAUUGGCAUCAACGUGACUUCAACAUUCUCAUUAGCUUCAGGCUCCACAAUGUCUUUGGCCAUGACUGAGUCAUUGGCUUCAAUGGUGUUGUUGGUGGCAGCCUCAGGAUUUUCAACCUCCAUCUGUUCAAGGACUGGAGGGUCGGGCACAAUCACAUUUUCCUCGAGAAUGACUUGAUCACUAGUUGGGGGUGUGGCAACUCUUUUUUCUUCUUUGUCUUCAUCGGCUGAUGCAGCCGGAUUGUCUUCAGCAACUUUGGCUUCGGACUCAGAGGCAUUCGUAGUAGGGGUGGCUUCAGGAAACACUUGACGUGCGACUAAGCUUUAUUGCACUUCCCCUUCUAGAAUGCUCGACAUGGUGACCUGUGGCCUGGGGCCUUUGCGAAGCCUGUGAAACGCUGGUGACGCCUUUGGUGAGGGAGUGGUCUGUACCAUGUAGUUGUCGUCAUCAAGCACUGGAGUGGUGACUUGAGGUGGUGGUGUUCUUGGUGUCUCAUCAUGUACUGGGGUGUCUUGCUGUUGGCGCUCCACCCAUGAGUCGUCUUGAGCGAUUAGCGUCAAUGGACGACCAAUGCUUAUGAGUUCACUGCUCGUUAGAGCAGGCGAUGAUACCGACUGGGACUGGAGCUGAGGAAGGACUACAUCAUCAUCAACAUUGUCUUUGUGACCAAUGUCUUCAGCUGUGUUGGGGUUAGCAGCUAGAACUUCUUGACUUGCAUGAGCCUCUGUGGAAGCAGGCUCAUGAAUCACAAGACGACGCUCUUGGUUGGUCGAGACGGGAAGAGCGACGGAGAUAGGUUCAACAAUGAGGGGCUCUGGGGCAGCAACACGCUCUUUCUUUGAAGACUUCGUCUUCAAUUUCUUCGUGGAUGGAGCACCAUCAGAAGUGUCUUUGUGCUUACGCUUCCUGGCUUUGGCUUCAGCUGCCCUUGUCUUCUUCAGCUCUGAAGCUGCUGAGGUGACCUUAGGCUUCGAGCCAGUCAUACUGGCAGGGAAGACAAUGUGAGGUUCUUCCUGCCUUGGUGCUUUGGUUUGGGCAGCAACAGACUUCUUCUUUUGCUUGGCAGCCAUCAUGGGGUCAAUGCCAGGACGCCGAAGAGUCUUUUGCUUUUCAGCUUCAUUAUGGGCUUGAACACAUUUCUGCGCAUAGUACUUCAUGCGCUCGGGAGAGCCUUUGGCUUCUUCACUCUUCUUGUGAACUCUUCCUUAAGAUCAUGCAGCAUCUUCUUGAAGAUUUGCACAUCAGCCACACUGAGCUUGGCCAUGUGCUUCUUGAAAUGUGCCUUCUCAUGAUCAAUCUUGUUCUUGAGCUCGAUGAUUUUCUGAGCCAAGGCCAAUUCGUUGGCAAUGGCUCCAUGGAAUGUGACGCUGAUGUCCACGGGCAGCUGAAGGUCAUCAAUACUGAUGCUCUGGUCAUCAAAACCACUAAUUAAUGAAGUUGUUCAAAAUAUCAACGUCAAAGAGGGGCAGAUCAUUGAAGAUCUCCACCUCUUGCUUGCUCUUGAUCAGCAUCUCAAGUGCUUCAUUACCAAGAUCUUCAUCGCUAGACAAAUCAAUGGUGUCUUCUCGUUGCGUAGAAUAGCAGCAGGAGUCAGUUCAUGCCUAGAAAUCUUCUUGGGCAUCUUGGUCUUCUUGGUCUUCUUGGAGACACGAGACAAAUCUUCAGACUGCACAUGGGUUCAGGAGGUGCAGUCUUCAGCGGCUUCACAGUCGAAGCAUUUGGUGUGGCAGAGGGCUUCGAAGCUUUUGACUUCUUUUUCUUCUGCUUUGGUGGAGCUGGCGCAUCUUCGGAGUUUGCGUCAUUAGCUGAUUGCUCCACUGUGGCCCUCUGAGCAGCAAUGUGGGAGAGGAGCCCAUCGAAGCUAGUGAGUGGGCCGAUGACCUCGGAUUGGCAUCGCGAGUGCCAUCCUGGCUUGGUGCAGAUGGACCAGGGUUGAAGUUGAGUCCAAAAUCCUUUUUGUUCUUUGCAGCUAACUCUUUGGCAAACUGAUAGUUGCGCUUGAAGAGAUUGUCUUCACGACACCAUAACAUGGAUGAUGGGUCGGCAUUCUCAGGCUUCGGUCCUCGGACCAUGCAUGGAUAGAAACCUUGAGCAAUGGCUUCAGGCUUCGAUUUUGGCUGCAGAUUCUAGUACAGAAUGUCGCCCCAUGGGCACUUGAUGGCGUUCUUCUCAGCAUAUUCAGUAGUGAUGAAGUUGUACUUAAACCACUGUUCUGCCCAAUAUCUUCGAAUCCAUUGGAUUCGGGUCUUUCGCUGAUUGUAGUUCUCCUCAGGAUCAGUUUUGUACAAUUCAUGUAGAUCCGGAGGUAGAUCUUGAGCUGUAUUGCCUCGGCGCUGCCUGCCACCUUUCCUAGCAGACUUCUCUAUGGCCAUGAUAUUUAAGCAGAUGGGCUUUAGAACAGUGAAAGGCUUCCGUCUACUGGUCAGACAAGAACUGGCUUCAGGGGAGUGAUUAUGAUGAUGUAAGAACUCUCCAAAUGAAUGCAGAAUAUGAGAACCAAGGGAUUCUCCCAUGGACAUGUACCUGUGACAGCAUUAAAGGUGAGAGGGAAGGGGAAGAGGUCAUAUGCAUUCUUAGAAGAUUUUGAAAUAAAUCAGUUUGAAGACAUUGACCUCAUAGAGCAAAGACAUUCACUUAUUUGAAGGGAGUUGGUUCCAGAUUUGUACGAAUCCAUUAAUAAGUACAAGUGAGGAAUCUAACUAGUUAUGAAGCAUAAGUGAAUAUCCUUUGCAUGAUAUGAGACGCAGUCAAAGACAAAUCCAGAUUUGAAAGUCUAGAAACCACUUCUGAUUGAAGUGGAUGGAUUUGACGGAUCAAAAAGACAGUAAAAAGUGAGAUUUAAUUACCACUGACGAACUGCUAGACGAGGCAGAGAAAGAAGCCGAGCAGUUCAAUCUCCCGCGCCCUAACUUGGCGGCGGAGGACACCUACAGCGGUGGCGGAGAGGACGAGGUACACGGCUGGCGUGAGGAUGGCGUCGAAGAAGUCGCGGUAGCUAAGCGCUUCGUCUCUGGCGUCGACGCGAGCUAGCGGAGGCGCUAGGGUUUGAGCGAGGUGGCGAGGUGGAAGAAAGGAUAAUGACCGCAUGGGUGAGUAUUUAUAAGGUAGAGGACUACACAGUGUAAUUACGCAGGUGCCCCUGGCGGUUCACAUCUGAUGGACACAUGGCAUGCAUGCAACUCAUUUAGAGUUGUCCCAUGUUCCCACGCAUGCCUAGUUUGUUGGGUGGUCGUUCUGGCUUCUCCGGGAUUCAGGCAAAAUAGAUAUAUCAUCGAAAGCAGUCUUAAAUGUGUGCCUCUGUGUCUUCAGCUGACAAGGAUGCAGUGAAGACAUUCGACAAGUUUCAACAUAACGCAUAUGACUAGAUAGAUAGAGUUUGAGGAAGAAGCACAAAGGGGGUUAGGGUCCGAUCACAUUCACUUAGUUCAGAAAAAUGGCAAGUUCGAAGACAUAUAUAUAUAAGUGAACAUUGUAGAGGACAAAACACCAUAUACAUAUCAAAAGACUAAAUCAACAUUGCGAACAUAAACCAUGAAGAUAAAUCAAUGUUGAAGUCAAACUAAAUGCAAAGAUAAUGCAAUCAUGACGCCAGGAGAAUAUCUUCGAGAAAGUUUGGUGGUGGCGCUACCCACCGUAUAGGAAGUAUUAGACCCAGACACGUCGCACAAUUAUCGUGGCGCUCCGAAGUCAAAUUCCGCGUUAAUGUAUUCACACUUAGAGUGUAUGUCUUCAUUGAUUGAAGAUAUACGUUACUUAGUGUGUUGCACAUCUAAGUCAUCAACAUGCAUAAGCAUUAGGAUGUGUGUCCAAUCACAGGACAUUUGAGGAUUCUAAGAUAUUUAGCUCACACCACAACUUGCAAAACCUUUUCUCAUCCAAGGGCUUUGUGAAGACAUCUGCCAAUUGCUCUUCAAUGUUGACAUUAAUGAUGUCAAUAUCUUCCUUCAUGACAUGAUCUCUGAGAAAGUGACGGAUCUGAAUGUGCUUUGUCUUCGAGUGCUAAACUGGAUUGUUGGCAAUCUUGAUGGCGCUUUCAUUGUCGCAGUAGAGUGGCACAUGCUCCAGGUGGAUGCCAUAGUCCUUGAAAGUUUGCUUCAUCCACAGAAGCUGAGCGCAGCAAGAUCCAGCAGCAAUGUAUUCAGAUUCAGCAGUGGAGAGGGAUACAUAGUUCUGCUUCUUCGAAGACCAACAAACAAGAGAGCGUCCAAGAAAGUGACAUGUGCCUGAUGUGGACUUGCGAUCAACCUUGUCACCAGAAUAAUCAGCAUCUAAGAAUCCAACUAGAUCAAACUCUGAGCCCUUUGGAUACAAUAAUCCAAGUGUUGGGGUGUAAGCCAAAUAUCGAAGAAUUCUCUUCACAGCUAAGUGAUGCGAUUCCCUUGGUGCCGCUUGAAAUCAGGCACACAUGCAAACGCUAAGAGUUAUAUCUGGCCUAGAUGCACAUAAAUAGAGUAAAGAACCAAUCAUGGAGUAGUAUACCUUCUGAUCGAACUCUUUACCAUUGUCGUCGGGACCCAAUUGACCUUUGGUUGGCAUUGGCGUCGUGUACCCUUUGCAGUCUUGCAUUCCAAACUUCUUCAGGCAAUCUUUGAGAUAUUUUUCUUGUGAAAUGAAGAUGCCAUUGCUCUGCUGACGGAUUUGAAGAUUGAAGAAGAAUUUCAGCUCACCCAUCAUGGACAUCUGAUAUUUCUCUUGCAUCAUAUGCCCAAACUCAUCAUUGUAUCUCUUGUCAGUGCAGCCGAAGAUAAUGUCAUCCACGUAGAUUUGGCAUACAAACAGUUGACCAUCAUAUGUCUUCGUGAAGAGUGUGGGAUCUAGAGAACCAGGUAUGAAGCCUUUGCUCUUCAAGAAGUCUUUGAGCGUGUCAUACCAAGCUCGAGGUGCUUGUUUGAGGCCAUACAUUGCCUUCUUGAGCUUGUAUACCAUUUCAGGACGCUUUGGAUCUUCAAAACCAGGUGGUUGUGCAACAUACACUUCUUCUUCAAUUUUGCCGUUGAGAAAGGCACUCUUUACAUCCAUUUGGUACAGAAGAAUGUUGUUGUGGUUGGCAUUGGCUAACAGAAUGCGAAUGGCUUCAAGCCUAGCCACAAGAGCAAAUGUUUCAUCGAAGUUUAUCCCUUCAACUUGAUUGUAUCCUUGAGCAACGAGAUGAGCCUUGUUUCCGACGACUUGACCAUGCUCAUAUUGUUUGUUGUGAUAGAUCCAUUUGGUGCCAAUGAUAUUGUGCUUGCGAGGAUCAGGACGCUUAACUAGCUCCCAAACAUUGUUCAGCUCGAACUGUUGAAGCUCUUCUUGCAUAGCUUGAAUCCAUUCAGGUUCCAUGAAGGCUUCAUCAACUUUCUUGGGUUCAGAUAUAGAGACAAAUGCAAAGUUCCCACAGAAAUUUGCUAGUUGUGUUGCUCUUGAAUGAGUGAGUGGACCAGGUGCAUUGAUGCUAUCAAUUAUCUUCUCAAUAUGUACUUCAUUUGCAACACAAGGAUGAACUGGACGAAGAUUUUGCCCUUGCUCAUCAUUGUCUUCAUCUUCAGCAUUGGCUUCACAGGUUGAUUAGGUGCAGAAAUGAUGGUUUCUUCUUUAGCCUGUGCCUCUGAAGGUAUGAUUUCUCCAGUACCCAUAAGCUUGAUAGAUUCAGUUGGUGAGGCUUCAUCUAGCACAUUUGGCAGGUGCUCUCUUUGCGAGCCGUUAGUCUCAUCGAACCGCACAUCCACAGUUUCAACCACUUUAUAAUGAAAGAGGUUGAAGACUCUGUUGGAGUGCGAAUCUGAUACGUCUCCAGCGUAUCUAUAAUUUUUGAUUGUUCCAUGCUAUUAUGUAUUCUGUUUUGGAUGUUUAAUGGGUUUUAUUAUACACUUUUAUAUUAUUUUUGGGACUAACCUAUUAACCGGAGGCCCAGCCCAAAUUGUUGUUUUUUUGCCUAUUUUAGUGUUUCGAAGGAAAAGAAUAUCAAACAGAGUCCAAACGGAAUGAAACCUUCGGGAACGUGAUUUUCGGAACAAACGUGAUCCAGAGGACUUGGAGUGGACGUCAAGCAACAGACGAGGAAGCCACGAGGUGGGGGGCGCGCCUACCCCCCUAGGGCGCGCCCUCCACCCUCGUGGGCCCCUCGUGGCUCCACCGACCUACUUCUUCCCCCUAUAUAUACCUACGUACCCCCAAACCAUCGAGGAGCACCACGAAAACCUAAUUCCACUACUGCAACCUUCUGUACCUGUGAGAUCCCAUCUUGGGGCCUUCUCCGGCGUCCUGCCGAAGAGGGCAUUGAUCACGGAGGGCUUCUACAUCAACAACCAUAGCCUCCCCGAUGAUGUGUGAGUAGUUUACCUCAGACCUUGGGGUCCAUAGUUAUUAGCUAGAUGGCUUCUUCUCUCUCUUUGGAUCUCAAUACAAAGUUCUCCUCGAUUCCCUUGGAGAUCUAUUUGAUGUAACUCUUCUUUUGCGGUGUGUUUGUUGAGAUCCGAUGAAUUGUGGGUUUAUGAUCCAGAUUAUCUAUGAACAAUAUUUGAAUCUCCUCUGAAUUCUUUUAUGUAUGAUUGGUUAUCUUCGCAAGUCUCUUCGAAUUAUCAGUUUGGUUUGGCCUACUAGAUUGACCUUUCUUGGAAUGGGAGAAGUGCUUAGCUUUGGGUUCAAUCUUGCGGUGCUCGAUCCCAGUGACAGUAGGGGAAACGACACGUAUUGUAUUGUUGCCAUCGAGGAUAAAAAGAUGGGGUUUAUAUCAUAUUGCAUGAGUUUAUCCCUCUACAUCAUGUCAUCUUGCUUAAAGCGUUACUCUGUUCUUAUGAAAUUAAUACUCUAGAUGCAUGCUGGAUAGCGGUCGAUGUGUGGAGUAAUAGUAGUAGAUGCAGAAUCGUUUCGGUCUACUUGUCACGGAUGUGAUGCCUAUAUACAUGAUCAUACCUAGAUAUUCUCAUAACUAUGCUCAAUUCUAUCAAUUGCUUGACAGUAAUUCGUUUACCCACCGUAAUACUUAUGCUAUCUUGAGAGAAGCCACUAGUGAAACCUAUGGCCCCCGGGUCUAUUUUCCAUCAUAUUAAUCUCCCAACAACUAGCUAUUUCUGGCGCCGUUUAUUUUGCUUUCUUUACUUUUACUCUUUACCAUAAAAAUACCAAAAAUAUUAUCUUAUCAUCUCUAUCAGAUCUCACUCUCGUAAGUGACCGUGAAGGGAUUGACAACCCCUUUAUCGCGUUGGUUGCGAGGUUCUUAUUUGUUUGUGUAGGUACGAGGGACUUGCGUGUGGCCUCCUACUGGAUUGAUACCUUGGUUCUCAAAAACUGAGGGAAAUACUUACGCUACUUUACCGCAUCACCCUUUCCUCUUCAAUGGAAAACCAACACAGUGCUCAAGAGGUAGCAAGAAGGAUUUCUGGCGCCGUCGCUGGGGAGUCUACGCACAAGUCAAGACAUACCAAGUACCCAUCACAAACUCUUAUCCCUCGCAUUACAUUAUUUGCCAUUUGCCUCUCGUUUUCCUCUCCCCCACUUCACCCUUGUCGUUUUAUUCACCCUCUCUUUUUCCGUUCGCCUCUUUUUUUCUCGCUUGCUUCUUGUUCGCUCGUGUGUUGGAUUGCUUGCUUGUCACGAUGGCUCAAGAUAAUACUAAAUUGUGUGACUUUACCAAUACCAACAACAAUGAUUUUCUUAGCACUCCGAUUGCUCCUCUUACCGAUGCUGAAUCUUGUGAAAUUAAUGCUGCUUUGCUGAAUCUUGUCAUGAAAUAUCAAUUCGCCGGCCUUCCUAGUGAAGAUGCCGCUACCCAUCUAAAUAGCUUUGUUGAUUGUGAUAUGCAAAAGAAGAAAGAUGUGGACAAUGAUAUUGUUAAGUUGAAACUAUUUCUGUUUUCGCUUAGAGAUCAUGCUAAAACUUGGUUUUCGUCUUUGCCUAAAAAUAGUAUUGAUUCUUGGAAUAAGUGAAAAGAUGCUUUUAUCUCUAAGUAUUUUCCUCCCGCUAAGAACAUCUCUCUUAGAAACGAUAUUAUGAAUUUUAAGCAACUUGAUCAUGAACAUGUUGCACAAGCUUGGGAGAGGAUGAAAUUAAUGAUACGUAAUUGCCCUACUCAUGGUUUGAAUUUAUGGAUGAUUAUACAAAAAAAUUAUGCCAGAUUGAAUUUUGCUUCUAGAAAUCUUUUAGAUUCGGUCGCGGGAGGCACUUUUAUGGAAAUCACUUUAGGAGAAGCUACUAAACUCCUAGAUAAUAUUAUGGUUAAUUAUUCUCAAUGGCACACCGAAUGAUCUACUAGUAAAAAGGUGCAUGCGAUAGAAGAAAUUAAUGUUUUGAGUGGAAAGAUGGAUGAACUUAUGAAAUUGUUUGCUAAUAAGAGUGUUUCUUCUGAUCCUAAUGAUAUGCCCUUGUCUACCUUGAUUGAGAGUAAUAAUGAAUCUCUGGAUGUGAAUUUUGUUGGUAGGAAUAAUUUUGGUAGCAACGCGUAUAGAGGAAACUUUAAUCCUAGGCCAUUCCGUAGUAAUUCCUCUAAUAAUUAUGGUAAUUCCUACAACAAUUCUUAUGGAAAUUUUAAUAAGAUUCCCUCUGAAUUCGAGACUAGUGUUAAAAGUUUAUGAUUUCUCAAAAGAAUUUCAAUGCCUUGCUUGAAGAAAAAUUUCUUAAAGUUGACGAACUGGCUAGGAAUGAGGAUAGAAUUUCUCUUGAUGUUGAUUCUUUGAAACUUAGAUCUAUUCCACCUAAGCAUGAUAUCAAUGAGUCUCUCAAAGCCAUGAGAAUUUCCAUUAAUGAGUGCAAAGAAAGAACCGCUAGGAUGCGUGCUAAGAAAGAUUGCUUUGUAAAAGCGUGUUCUUCUAAUUUUUAUUAGAAUAAAAAUGAAGAUCUAAAAUUUAUUGAUGUGUCCCCUAUUAAAUCUUUGUUUUGCAAUAUGAAUCUUAAUAAUGAUGGGACUGGAGAUGAGUCAACUUUAGUUAGAAGGCAUCCCAAAAAUUCGGAGUUUUUAGAUCUUGAUACAAAAUUUGGUAAAAGUGGGAUUGAAGAGGUCAAAACUUUAGCUAAAUUCUCCUCAUGCUUAUAGUCAAAAUAAAGCUUUUACUAAACAUAUCGUUGAUGUUUUAAUGCAAUCUUAUGAAGAAAAACUUGAGUUGGAAGUUUCUAUCCCUAGAAAACUUUAUGAGGAGUGGGAACCUACUAUUAAAAUUAAGAUUAAAGAUCAUGAAUGCUAUGCUUUGUGUGAUUUGGGUGCUAGUGUUUCCACGAUUCCCAAAACUUUGUGUAAUUUGCUAGGUUUCCGUGAAUUUGAUGAUUGUUCUCUAAACUUGCAUCUUGCGGAUUCCACCAUUAAGAAACGUAUGGGAAGAAUUAAUGAUGUUCUUAUUGUUGCAAAUAGGAACUAUGUGCCCAUAGAUUUUAUUGUUCUUGAUAUAGAUUGCAAUCCUUCAUGUCCUAUUAUUCUUGGUAGACCUUUCUUUAGAACGAUUGGUGCAAUUAUUGAUAUGAAGGAAGGGAGUAUUAGAUUCCAAUUUCCGUUAAGGAAAGGCAUGGAACACUUCCCUAGAAAGAAGAUUAAAUUACCAUAUGAAUCUAUUAUGAGAGCCACUUAUGGAUUGCCUACCAAAGAUGGCAAUACCUAGAUCUAUCCUUGCUUUUAUGCGUAGCUAAGGGCUUUAAACGAUAGCGCUUGUUGGAAGGCAACCCAAUUUUAUUUUAGUUUUUUUUUACUUUUUUGCUUCUGUUUAGGAAUAAAUCUUUGAUCUAGCCUCUGGUUUGAUUUGUUUUUGUGUUUUAAUUAGUGUUUGUGCCAAGUUAAACCUAUAGGAUCUUCUUGGAUGAUAGUUAUUUGAUCUUGCUGAAAAUUCCAGAAACUUUCUGUUCACGAAAACAAUUUUUAAAAAUCACCAGAAUGUUAUAAAAUACUGAUUACAAUUGCAGUAGAUCACUAAACAAAUUAUCUAAGUCGUCCUAUUUUGGUGGAUUUUUCUGAGUUCCAGAAGUUUGCGUUAGUUACAGAUUACUACAGACUGUUCUGUUUUUGACAGAUUCUGUUUUUCGUGUGUUGUUUGCUUAUUUUGAUGAAUCUAUGGCUAGUAAAAUAGUUUAUAAACCAUAGAGAAGUUGGAAUACAGUAGGUUUAACACCAAUAUAAAUAAAUAAUGAUUUCAUUACAGUACCUUGAAGUGGUGUUUUGUUUUCUUCCGCUAACGGAGCUCAUGAGAUUUUCUGUUAAGUUUUGUGUUGUGAAGUUUUCAAGUUUUGGGUAAGGAUUUGAUGGAUUAUGGAAUAAGGAGUGGAAAGAGCCUGAGCUUGGGGAUACCCAAGGCACCCCAAGAUAAAUCUAAGGACACCAAAAAGCCAAAGCUUGGGGGUGCCCCGGAAGGCAUCCCCUCUUUCGUCUUCGUCCAUCGGUAACGUUACUUGGAGCUAUAUAUUUAUUCACCACAUGAUAAGUGUUUUGUUUGGAGCAUCUUGUAUGAUUUGAGUCUUUAAUUUUUAGUUUACCACAAUCAUCCUUGCUAUACACACCUUUUGAGAGAGAGACACGUGAUUCAGAAUUUAUUAGAAUACUCUAUGUGCUUCACUUAUAUCUUUUGAGCUAUAUAGUUUUUGCUCUAGUGCUUCACUUGUAUCUUUUAGAGCACGGCGGUGGUUUUGUUUUAUAGAAACUAUUGAUCUCUUAUGCUUCACUUAUAUUAUUUUGAGAGUCCUACAAAACAGCAUGGUAAUUUUCUUAAAUUGAGAUGGUAGUCCUAAUAUGAUAGGCAUCCAAGAUUAGUAAAAACUUUCUUAUAAGUGCGUUGAAUACUAAGAGAAGUUUGAUACUUGAUAAUUGUUUUGAGAUAUGAAGAUGGCGAUAUUAGAGUCAUGCUAGUUGAGUAGUUGUGAAUUUGAGAAAUACUUGUGUUAAAGUUUGUGAUUCCCGUAGCAUGCACGUAUGGUGAACCGUUAUGUGAUGAAGUCGGAGCAUGAUUUAUUUAUUGAUUAUCUUCCUUAUGAGUGGCGGUCGGGGACGAGCGAUGGUCUUUUCCUACCAAUCUACCCCCCUAGGAGCAUGCGCGUAAUACUUUGUUUCGAUAACUAAUAGAUUUUUGCAAUAAGUAUGUGAGUUCUUUAUGACUAAUGUUGAGUCCAUGGAUUAUACGCACUCUCACCCUUCCACCAUUGCUAGCCUCUCUAAUAUCGUGCACUCUUCGCCCGUAUCAUACACCCACCAUAUACCUUCCUCAAAACAGCCACCAUACCCACCUAUUAUGGCAUUUCCAUAGCCAUUCUGAGAUAUAUUGCCAUGCAACUUACAACUGUUCCGUUUACUAUGACAUGCUCCAUCAUUGUCAUAUUGCUUUGCAUGAUCAUGUAGUUGACAACGUAUUUGUGGCAAAGCCACCAUUCAUCAUUUGUCACUCUUGAUUCAUUGCAUAUCCCGGUACACCGCCGGAGGCAUUCACAUAGAGUCAUACUCUGUUCUAAGUAUUGAGUUGUAAUUCUUGAGUUGUAAGUAAAUAAAAGUGUGAUGAUCAUCAUUAUUAGAGCAUUGUCCCAUGUGAGGAAAGGAUGAUGGAGACUAUGAUUCCCCCACAAGUCAGGAUGAGACUCCGGACUAAAUAAAAAAAGAGAAGGCCAAAAGAAAGAAAGGAAGGCCCAAAAAAAUAUGAGAGAAAAAGAGAGAAGGGACAAUGCUACUAUCCUUUUUUCACACUUGUGCUUCAAAGUAGCACCAUGAUCUUUAUGAUAGAGAGUCUCUUGAUUUGUCACUUUCAUAUACUAGUGGGAAUUUUUCAUUAUAGAACUUGGCUUGUAUAUUCCAAUGAUGGGCUUCCUCAAAAUGCCCUAGGUCUUGUGAGCAAGCAAGUUGGAUGCACACUCACUUAGUUUCUUUUGUUGAGCUUUCAUACACUUAUAGCUCUAGUGCAUCCGUUGCAUGGCAAUCCCUACUCACUCACAUUGAUAUCUAUUAAUGGGCAUAUCCAUAGCCCAUUGAUAUGCCUAGUUGAUGUGAGACUAUCUUCUCCUUUUUUGUCUUCUCCACAACCACCAUUCUAUUCCACAUAUAGUGCUAUGUCCAUGGCUCACGCUCAUGUAUUGCGUGAAGAUUGAAAAAGUUUGAGAACAUUAAAAGUAUGAAACAAUUGCUUGGCUUGUCAUUGGGGUUGUGCAUGAUUAAAUACUUUGUGUGAUGAAGAUAGAGCAUAGCCAGACUAUAUGCUUUUGUAGGGAUAACUUUCUUUGGCCAUGUUAUUUUGAGAAGACAUGAUUGCUUAGUUAGUAUGCUUGAAGUAUUAUUAUUUUUAUGUCAAUACUAAACCUUUAUCAUGAAUCUUUCGGACCUGAAUAUUCAUACCACAAAUAAGAGAAUUACAUUAAGGAAUAUGCUAGGUAGCAUUCCACAUCAAAAAUUCUGUUUUUAUCAUUUACCUACUCGAGGACAAGCAGGAAUUAAGCUUGGGGAUGCUUGAUACGUCUCCAACGUAUCUAUAAUUUUUUAUUGUUCCAUGCUAUUAUAUAUUCUGUUUUGGAUGUUUAAUGGGAUUUAUUAUACACUUUUAUAUUAUUUUUGGGACUAACCUAUUAACCGGAGGCCCAGCCCAAAUUGUUGUUUUUUUGCCUAUUUCGGUGUUUCGAAGGAAAAGAAUAUCAAAUGGAGUCCAAAUGGAAUGAAACCUUCGGGAACGUGAUUUUCGGAAUAAACGUGAUCCAGAGGACUUGGAGUGGAUGUCAAGCAACAGACAAGGAAGCCACAAGGUAGGGGGACGCGCCUACCCCCCAGGACGCGCCCUCCACCCUCGUGGGCCCCUCGUGGCUCCACUGACCUACUUCUUCCUCCUAUAUAUACCUACGUAACCCCAAACCAUCGAGGAGCACCAUGAAAACCUAAUUCCACCGCCGCAACCUUCUGUACCCGUGAGAUCCCAUCUUGGGGCAUUCUCCGGCGUCCUGCCGGAGGGGGCAUUGAUCAUGGAGGGCUUCUACAUCAACACCAUAGCCUCUCCGAUGAUGUGUGAGUAGUUUACCUCAGGCCUUCGGGUCCAUAGUUAUUAGCUAGAUUGCUUCUUCUCUCUCUUUGGAUCUCAAUACAAAGUUCUCCUCGAUUCCCUUGGAGAUCUAUUUGAUGUAACUCUUAUUUUUGCGGUGUGUUUGUCGAGAUCCGAUGAAUUGUGGGUUUAUGAUCCAGAUUAUCUAUGAAAAAUAUUUGAAUCUCCUCUGAAUUCUUUUAUGUAUGAUUGAUUAUCUUUGCAAGUCUCUUCGAAUUAUCAGUUUGGUUUGGCCUACUAGGUUGAUCUUUCUUGCAAUGGGAGAAGUGCUUAGCUUUGGGUUCAAUCCUGCGGUGCUCGAUCCCAGUGACAGUAGGGGAAACGACACGUAUUGUAUUGUUGUCAUCGAGGAUAAAAAGAUGGGGCUUUUAUCAUAUUUCAUGAGUUUAUCCCUCUACAUUAUGUUAUCUUGCUUAAAGCGUUACUUUGUUCUUAUGAACUUAAUACUCUAGAUGCAUGCUGGAUAGCGGUCGAUGUGUGGAGUAAUAGUAGUAGAUGCAGAAUCGUUUCAGUCUACUUGUCACGGACGUGAUGCCUAUAUACAUGAUCAUACCUAGAUAUUCUCAUAACUAUGCUCAAUUCUAUCAAUUGCUCGACAGUAGUUCGUUUACCCACCGUAAUACUUAUGCUAUCUUGAGAGAAGCCACUAGUGAAACCUAUGGCCCCCAGGUCUAUUUUCCAUCAUAUUAAUCUCCCAACAACUAGCUAUUUCUGGUGUCGUUUAUUUUGCUUUCUUUACUUUUACUCUUUACCAUAAAAAUACCAAAAAUAUUAUCUUAUCAUCUCUAUCAGAUCUCACUCUCGUAAGUGACCGUGAAGGGAUUGACAACCCCUUUAUCGCAUUGGUUGCGAGGUUCUUAUUUGUUUGUUGCAGGUACGAGGGACUUGCGUGUGGCCUCCUACUGGAUUGAUACCUUGGUUUUCAAAAACUGAGGGAAAUACUUACGCUACUUUACUGCAUCACCCUUUCCUCUUCAAGGGAAAACCAACGCAGUGCUCAAGAGGUAGAAGAAUCCUUUCCGUAGGCAAGCAUAAAACCUUCAUGUGCUUUCGGUGCAAAUUUUGAAGUGUGAUGUGGAUCCUUGAUCCAGCACCUAGCACCAAAUACUCUGAAGUAGCUGAUGUUUGGCUUCUUACCAGUUAGGAUCUCAUAAGAUAUCUUCUUUAGAAGCUUGUGAAGAUAAACACAGUUGAUGACAUGGCAUGCAGUAUCAAUGGCUUCAGGCUAGAAUUUCCUUGGAGUCUUGUACUCAUCAAGCAUCAUCUAUGCCAUCUCAAUGAGGGUUCUGUUCUUGCGCUCCAUGAUGCCAUUCUGCUGAGGUAUGUAUGGAGCUCAGAACUCAUGUGUGAUGCCCAAUGUAUCAAGAUAAGUGUCGAGGCCGGUGUUCUUGAAUUCUGUGUCGUUGUCACUUCUGAUGUGCUUGAUCUUGAUGCCAUAGUUGGUCAUGGCGCGAUUGGCGAAUUGUCUGAAGACAUCCUGCACUUCAUUCUUGUAGAGGAUUAUGUGCACCCAUGUAUAUCUUGAGUACUCAUCAACAAUGAUGAAGCCAUUGAGGUAAGCAGUGGUAGUAAGGGUAGAGUAGUGAGUAGGGCCAAAUAAGUCCAUGUGAAGCAGCUCGAAGGGAUGUGUCGUUGUCAUGAUUGUCUUCGAGGGAUGCUUGGCCCUAGUCAUCUUUCCAGCUUCGCAGGCACCACAAAUAUGAUCCGUCUUGAACUUGACGCCCUCGAUGCCUACGACAUGCUUCUUCUUUGCGAGAGUGUACAAGUUCCUCAUGCUAGCAUGCCCUAGCCUCCGAUGCCAGAGCCAGCAUUCUGAAGCGUUUUCUAGAAGACAUACGGCCGGCUGUGGUCCUACAGAGAAAUCUACCAUAUACAGAUCAUCUUUUCGAUACCCUUCAAAGACUAGAGAUUUGUCAGAUUCCAUAAUCACAAGGCAACGAUAUUUUCCAAAUAUCACAAUCAUAUUCAGAUCACAAAGCAUUGAGACAGACAUUAAGUUGAAACCAAGGGAUUCAACAAGCAUCACUUUAUCCAUGUGCUGAUCCUUUGAGAUUGCAACUCUACCUCGACCCAAUACCUUGCUUUUACCAGUGUCAGCAAAUGUGAUGUGACUCUUGUCAGACGGACGUAGGGUUGAAUCCAUGAGAAGACUUCGAUCACCAGUCAUGUGGUUAGUCCAUUGCUACCUCUUGAGCUUGUGUUGGAUUUCCCCGAAGAGGAGAGGAUGAUGCAGCAGAGUAGCGUAAGUAUUUCCCUCAGUUUUUGAGAACUAAGGUAUCAAUCCAGUAGGAGGCCACGCGCAAGUCCCUCGUACCUACACAAAAGCAAUAGCUCCUCGCAACCAACGUGAUUAGGGGUUGUCAAUCCCUUCACGGUCACUUACGAGAGUGAGAUCUGAUAGAGAUGAUAGAUAAUAUUUUUGGUAUUUUUGAUAUAGAGAUGCAAAGCAAAAAGUAAAAGGCAAAGUAAAAAGCAAAGCAAGAUUAAAGUGAUGGAGAUUGAUAUGAUGAGAAUAGACCCGGGGGCCAUAGGUUUCACUAGUGGCUUCUCCAAGAGCAUAAGUAUUCUACGGUGGGUGAACAAAUUACUGUUGAGCAAUUGACAGAAUUGAGCAUAGUUAUGAGAAUAUCUAGGUAUGAUCAUGUAUAUAGGCAUCACGUCCGAGACAAGUAGAUCUCUGCCUGCAUCUACUACUAUUACUCCACUCAUCGACCGCUAUCCAGCAUGCAUCUAGAGUAUUAAGUUAAAAACAGAGUAACAGCUUAAGCAAGAUGACAUGAUGUACAGAGAUAAAUUCAUGCAAUAUGAAAUAAACGCCAUCUUGUUAUCCUCGAUGGCAACAAUACAAUACGUGCCUUGCUGCCCCUUUCGUCACUAGGAAAGGACACCGCAAGAUCGAACCCAAAGCUAAGCACUUCUCCCAUGGCAAGAACUACCAAUCUAGUUGGCCAAACCAAAUGGAUAAUUUGAAGAGACUUGCAAUGAUAACCAAUCAUACAUAAAAGAAUUCAGAGAAGAUUCAAAUAUUAUUCAUAGAUAGACUUGAUCAUAAACCCACAAUUCAUCAGUCUCAACAAACACACCACGAAAAGAAGAUUACAUCGAAUAGAUCUCCACAAGAGAGGGGGAGAACAUUGUAUUGAGAUCCAAAAAGAGAGAAGAAGCCAUCUAGCUACUAACUAUGGACCCGAAGGUUUGAGGUAAACUACUCACACUUCAUCGGAGAGGCUAUGAUGAUGUAGAAGCCCUCCGUGAUGACGGCCCUCUCCGGCGGAGCUCUGGAACAGGCCCCAAGAUGGGAUCUCAUGGAUACAGAAAGUUGCGGCGGUGGAAUUAGGUUUUUGGCUCCGUCUCUGAUCGUUUGGGGGUACAUAGGUAUAUAUAGGAGGAAGAAGUACGUCGGUGGAGCUUUGGUGGGCCCACAAGGGUGGGGGCGCGCCUGGGGGGGUAGGGCGCUCCCCCCUACCUCAUGCCCACCUCGAAGCUUCCUUGGCGUAGGGUCCAAGUCUCCUAGGUCAUAUUCGGUGAGAAAAUCACGUUCCCGAAGGUUUUAUUCCGUUUGGACUCCGUUUGAUAUUCCGUUUCUUCGAAACACUGAAAUAGGCAAAAAAACAGCAACUCUGGGCUGGGCCUGCGGUUAAUAGGUUAGUCCCAAAAAUAAUAUAAAAGUGGAAAAUAAAGCCCAAUAUAGUCCAAAACAGUAGAUAAUAUAGCAUGGAGCAAUCAAAAAUUAUAGAUACGUUGGAGACGUAUUAGGCAUCCCCAAGCUUAAUUCCUGCUCGUCCUCGAGUAGGUAAAUGAUAAAAAGAGAAUGUUUGAUGCGGAGUGCUACUUGGCAUAAUUUCAAUGCAAAUAUUCAUAAUUGUGGUAUGAAUAUUCAGAUUCGAAAGAUUCAAGACAAAAGUUCAUGUUGACAUAAAAACAAUAAUACUUCAAGCAUACUAAUAAAGCAAUUAUGUCUUCUCAAAAUAACAUGGCUAAAGAAAGUUAUCCCUACAAAAUCAUAUAGGUUGGUGCUCUAUCUUCACCACACAAAGUAUUUAAAUCAUGCACAACCCCGAUGACAAGCCAAGCAAUUGUUUCAUACUUUAACAUUUUCAAAACUUUUUCAAUCUUCACGCAAUACAUGAGCGUGAGUCAUGGACAUAGCACUAUAUAUGGAAUAGAAUGGUGGUUGUGGAGAAGACAAAAAGGGAGAAGAUAGUCUCACAUCAACUAGGCGUAUGAACGGGCUAUGGAGAUGCCCAUCAAUAGAUAUCAAUGUGAGUGAGUAGGGAUUGCCAUGCAACGGAUGCACUAGAGCUGUAAGUAUAUGAAAGCUCAUCAAAAGAAACUAAGUGGGUGUGCAUCCAACUUGCUUGCUCACGAAGACCUAGGGCAAUUUGAGGAAGCCCAUCAUUGGAAUAUACAAGCCAAGUUCUAUAAUGAAAAAUUCCCGCUAGUAUAUGAAAGUGACAAAAUGAGAGACUCUCUAUCAUGAAGAUCAUGGUGCUACUUUGAAGCACAAGUGUGGUAAAAGAAUAGUAACAUUGUCCCUUCUCUCUUUUUCUCUCAUUUUUUUAUUUGGGCCUUUUUUAUGGCCUCUUUUUUUAUUUUAUUUUAUUUUUCGUCCGGAGCCUCAUCCCGACUUAUGGGGGAAUCAUAGUCUCCAUCAUCCUUUCCUCACUUGGGACAAUGCUCUAAAAAUUGAUGAUCAUCACACUUUUAUUUUUCUUACAACUCAACAAUUACAACUCGAUACUUAGAACAAAUAUGACUCUAUAUGAAUGCCUUCGGCGGUGUACCGGGAUAUUCAAUGAAUCAAGAGUGACAUGUAUGAAAGAAUUAUGAACGGUGGCUUUGCCACGAAUACGAUGUCAACUACAUGAUCAUGCUAGCAAUAUGACAAUGAUGGAGCACGUCAUAAUAAACGGAACAGUGGAAAGUUGCAUGGCAAUAUAUCUUGGGAUGGCUAUGGAAAUGCCAUGAUAGGUAGGUAUGGUGGCUGUUUUGAGGAAGGUAUAUGGUGGGUGUAUGAUACCGGCGAAAAGUGCGCGGUAUUAGAGAGGCUAGCAAUCGUGGAAGGAUGGGAAAAAGUGCGUAUAAUCCAUGGACUCAACAUUAGUCAUAGAGAACUCAUAUACUUAUUGCAAAAAUCUAGAAGUUAUCAAAGCAAAGUAUUACGCGCAUGCUCCUAGGGGGGUAGAUUGGUAGGAAACGACCAUCGCUCGUCCCCGACCGCCACUCAUAAGGAAGACAAUCAAUAAAUAAAUCAUGCUCCGACUUCAUAACAUAACGGUUCACCAUACGUGCAUGCUACGGGAAUCACAAACUUUAACACAAGAAUUUCUCAAAUUCACAACUACUCAACUAGCAUGACUCUAAUAUCACCAUCUUCAUAUCUCAAAACAAUUAUCAUGCAUCAAUCUUUUCUUAGUAUUCAACGUACUAAAAAGAAGUUUCACAAAUCUUGAAUACCAAGCAUAUUAUUAUUAAGCAAAUUACCAUGCUAUUAAGACUCUCAAGAUAAUCUAAGUGAAGCAUGAGAGAUCAAUAGUCUCUUUAAAACAAACCACCACCGUGCUCUAAAAGAUCUAAGUGAAGCACAUAGAGCAAAAUUAUAACGCUCGAAAGAUAUAAGUGAAGCACAUAGAGCAAAACUACAUAGCUCAAAAGAUCAAGAAUUCUACCAAAAUUAGACAACCUAGACAAUUUGUUUAUUGAUCAGCAGAAAUUGUAAUCAGUAUUUUAUCACAUUCUGGUGAUUUUUAAGAAUUCGGGCACUGAGCGCAAAGUUUUUGGAAAUUACAGCAAGAUCAAAUAACUAUCAUCCAAGAAGAUCCAAUAGGUCUAACUUGGCACAAACACUAAUUAAAACACGAAAGCACAUCCAAACUGAAGGUAGAUGGAUUAUUUAUUCCCUAACAGAAGAAAAACACAAAAAAAUAAAAAUAAAAUUGGGUUGCCUCCCAACAAGCGCUAUCGUUUAACGCCCCUAGCUAGGCACAAAAGCGAGGAUAGAUCUAGGUAUUGCCAUCUUUGGUAGGCAAUCCAUAAGUGGCUCUCAUGAUAGUUUCAUAUGGCAAUUUUAUUUUCUUUCUAGGAAAGUGUUCCAUGCCCUUUUUUAAUGGAAAUUGGAAUCUAAUAUUCCCUUCCUUCCUAUCAAUAAUCGCACCAACCGUUCUAAGGAAAGGUCUACCAAGAAUAAUAGGGCAAGAAGGAUUGCAAUCCAUAUCAAAAACGAUGAAAUCUAUGGGCACAUAAUUCCUAUUUGCAACAAUAAGAACAUCUUUAAUCCUUCCCAUAGGUUUCUUAAUAGUGGAAUCCGCAAGAUGCAAGUUUAGAGAGCAAUCAUCAAAAUCACGGAAAUCUAGCAAAUCACACAAAGUUUUGGGGAUAGUGGAGACACUAGCACCCAAAUCACACAAAGCAUAAAACUCGUGAUCUUUAAUUUUUGUUUUAAUAGUAGGUUCCCACUCAUCAUAGAGUUUCCUAGGGAUAGAGACUUUCAACUCAAGUUUUUCUUCAUAAGAUUGCAUCACGGCGUCAACAAUAUGUUCGGUAAAGGCUUUCUUUUGACUAUAAGAAUGAGGAGAAUUUAGCACGGAUUGCAACAAGGAAAUACAAUCAAUUAAAGAGCAACUUUCAUAAUUAAAUUCCUUGAAUUCCAAUAUACUGGGUUUAGCAACAUCUAGGGUUUUAUUUCUUUCAAUCCCACUUUCAUCAAUUUCAUCAUAGAGAUCUAAAUACUCUGAAUUUUUGGAACGCCUUCUUGGUAAAGGAAGAUCAUAUUCAGUUUCAUCAAGAUUCAUAUUGCAAAACAAAGAUUUGAUAGGGGACACAUCAAUAACUUUUAGAUCUUCAUCUUGAUUUUCAUAGGAAUUGGAAGAACACGCUUUAAUAAAGGCAUCUUUCGUAGCACGCAUCCUAGCGGUUCUUUCCUUGCACUCAUCAAUGGAAAUUCUCAUAGCUUUGAGAGACUCAUUGAUAUCAUUCUUAGGAGGAAUAGAUCUAAGCUUUAAAGAAUCAACCUCAAGAGAAAUUCUAUCAACGUUCCUAGCCAAAUCAUCAACUUUAAGCAAUUUCUCUUCAAGGAAAGCAUUGAAAUUCUUUUGUGAAUUCAUAAACUCUUUAACACUACUCUCAAAUUCAGAGGGCAUCUUAUUAAAAUUUCCAUAAGAAUUGCUGUAGGAAUUUCCAUAAUUAGAAGGAUUACUAGGAUAAGGCCUAGGAUUAAAAUUCCCUCUAUAUGCGUUGUUACCAAAAUUAUUCCUACCAACAAAAUUCACAUCCAUAGAUUCAUUAUUAUUAUCAAUCAAAGUAGACAAAGGCAUAUCAUUAGGAUCAGAAGAAACACUUUUAAUAGCAAAUAAUUUCAUAAGUUCAUCCAUCUUUCCACUCAAAACAUUAAUUUCUUCUAUCGCAUGCACUUUUUUAUUAGAAGAUCUUUCAGUAUGCCAUUGGGAAUAAUUAACCAUAAUAUUAUCUAGGAGUUUAGUAGCAUCUCCUAAAGUGAUUUACAUAAAAGUGCCUCCCGCGGCCGAAUCUAAAAGAUUUCUAGAAGCAAAAUUCAAUCCGGCAUAAAUUUUUUGUAUAAUCAUCCACAAAUUCAAACCAUGAGUAGGGCAAUUACGUAUCAUUAAUUUCAUUCUCUCCCAAGCUUGUGCAACAUGUUCAUGAUCAAGUUGCUUAAAAUUCAUAAUGUCGUUUCUAAGAGAGAUGAUCUUAGCGGGAGGAAAAUACUUAGAGAUAAAAGCAUCUUUGCACUUGUUCCAAGAAUCAAUACUAUUUUUAGGCAAAGACAAAAACCAAGCUUUAGCACGAUCUCUAAGCGAAAAAGGAAAUAGCUUCAUUUAACAACGUCAUUAUCAACGUCUUUUUUCUUUUGCAUAUCACACAAAUCAACGAAGCUAUUUAGAUGAGUAGCGGCAUCUUCACUAGGAAGGCCGGCGAAUUGAUCUUUCAUAACAAGAUUCAACAAAGCAGUAUUGAUUUCACAAGAUUCAGUAUUGGCAAGAGGAGCAAUCGGAGUGCUAAGGAAAUCAUUAUUGUUGGUAUUGGUGAAGUCACACAAUUUGGUAGUAUCUUGAGCCAUCGCGACAAACAAGCAAUCCAACACACAAGCAAACAAAAGGCAGGCGAGAAAAAAGGAAAAUGGAGAAAGAGGAGGAGGAGGAGAAGGAGAAAGAGAGGGCGAAUAAAACGGCAAGGGUGAAGUGGGGGAGAGGAAAAUGAGAGGCAAAUGGCAACUAAUGUAAUGCGGGAGAUAGGGAUUGUGAUGGUUACUUGGUAUGUUGACUUUUUUUGCGUAGACUCCCCGGCAACGGCGCCAUAAAUUCUUCUUCCUACCUCUUGAGCUUGCCUUGGAUUUCCUCGAAGAGGAGAGGAUGAUGCCGCAGAGUAGCGUAAGUAUUUCCCUCAGUUUUUGAGACCAAGAUAUCAAUCCAGUAGGAGGCCACGCGCAAGUCCCUCGUACCUACACAAAAGCAAUAGCUCCUCGCAACCAACGCGAUUAGGGGUUGUCAAUCCCUUCACGGUCACUUACGAGAGUGAGAUCUGAUAGAGUUGAUAGAUAAUAUUUUUGGUAUUUUUGAUAUAGAGAUGCAAAGCAAAAAGUAAAAGGCAAAGUAAAAAGCAAAGCAAGAUUAAAGUGAUGGAGAUUGAUAUGAUGAGAAUAAACCCGGGGGCCAUAGGUUUCACUAGUGGCUUCUCUCAAGAGCAUAAGUAUUCUACGGUGGGUGAACAAAUUACUGUUGAGCAAUUGACAGAAUUGAGCAUAGUUAUGAGAAUAUCUAGGUAUGAUCAUGUAUAUAGGCAUCACGUCCGAGACAAGUAGAUCGACUCCUGCCUGCAUCUACUACUAUUAAUCCACUCAUCGACCGCUAUCCAGCAUGCAUCUAGAGUAUUAAGUUAAAAAUAGAGUAACACCUUAAGCAAGAUGACAUGAUGUAGAGAGAUAAAUUCAUGCAAUAUGAAAUAAACCCCAUCUUGUUAUCCUCGAUGGCAACGAUACAAUACGUGCCUUGCUGCCCCUUCUGUCACUGGGAAAGGACACUGCAAGAUCGAACCCAAAGCUAAGCACUUCUCCCAUGGCAAGAACUACCAAUCUAGUUGGCCAAACCAAACGGAUAAUUCGAAGAGACUUGCAAUGAUAACCAAUCAUACAUAAAAGAAUUCAGAGAAGAUUCAAAUAUUAUUCAUAGAUAGACUUGAACAUAAACCCACAAUUCAUCGGUCUCAACAAACACACCGCAAAAAGAAGAUUACAUCGAAUAGAUCUCCACAAGAGAGGGGGAGAACAUUGUAUUGAGAUCCAAAAAGAGAGAAGAAGCCAUCUAGCUACUAACUAUGGACCCGAAGGUCUGAGGUAAACUACUCACACUUCAUCGGAGAGGCUAUGAUGAUGUAGAAGCCCUCCGUGAUGACGGCCCUCUCCGGCAGAGCUCCGGAACAGGCCCCAAGAUGGGAUCUCGUGGAUACAAAAAGUUGCGGCGGUGGGAUUAGGUUUUUGGCUCCGUCUCUGAUCGUUUGGGGGUAUGUAGGUAUAUAUAGGAGGAAGAAGUACGUCGGUGGAGCUUCGGUGGGCCCACGAGGGUGGGGGCCGCGCCUGGGGGGUAGGGCGCGCCCCCUACCUCAUGCCCACCUCGAAGCUUCCUUGGCGUAGGGUCCAAGUCUCCUGGGUCAUAUUCGGUGAGAAAAUCACGUUCCCGAAGGUUUUAUUCCGUUUGGACUCCGUUUGAUAUUCCGUUUCUUCGAAACACUGAAAUAGGCAAAAAAACAGCAAUUCUGGGCUGGGCCUCCGGUUAAUAGGUUAGUCCCAAAAAUAAUAUAAAAGUGGAAAAUAAAUCCCAAUAUAGUCCAAAAUAGUAGAUAAUAUAGCAUGGAGCAAUCAAAAAUUAUAGAUACGUUGGAGACGUAUCAUGCAUCCACUGUCCAUAAUCCAUUCUGAAGCCUUUGGUGUCUUACCCUACAGUGCAGUUUGGGGGAUAGGCUUCACUAAGGGUAUUGUGAAGCAUAAACAUUUGGCGAACAAGCGGAUUAUGAAAGUUCAGAUCCUGGUUAGGGUAAAUAGGAUGUUUGCAAGGAAUCCUGGGAUGAAAUACAUAGUAAGAGCAUUUUGGCAUUUUAUCUUGCGUCCCACAAGAUGUUUUAGGUCCCCAGCAUAAGCAUCGGAAGCCUUUGAUUUCCGGCUGGAGACCUUUCGCUGCAAAAGAGAGUUAAUUUUUCUUAACCACCCACAUUUUCAGGGGUGGCUUAGAAGCAACGAGUCUAAGUGCAGCAUCUGAGAACUUCGGCUUUGGAGCCCUAGCAAAUAGCCUUGCAGGAGGUGAAUAAUACUCAUAAGAAUAAGCAGAAAAGUUCUUGGUCUUAUGAACAUAGCGGUUUGAUGAAACACACUCAUAUUCAUAAGUCUGAGUAUGGUUUCCCUACAAAACAUUCGUGUUAGGGUGACUCUGGUGAGUCCUCUGUCUGUAUGAAGCCUUUGGACCAUAUGAAGCCUUUGGUCUGGGGUUUGUCUUCUUCCCAGGAGAUGUCAUGAUGACAUUCACAGGAAGCUUCUCAAGACAACUUUUGGGCACCCGGAUCUUCUUCAAAGGUGGCCCAUUCCUGCAGUUAGUACCAAUAUACUUGGCAAACUCUUCGCCAUUCUUAUUCUUAAACAGAUUAUAGUUUGCAUCAAAGGAUUCAUCAAUGAUAAUCGGGUUAGCACAAGUGAAGCAAGAUAUGGUAGAUGGAUCCAUUGAAGGUCCCUUUGCAGCAACUCAUGUGGUUUUGGGGUACUGCACAUGCUUCCAGUAUGAACCAUCAACAUUCAUUUUCCUCUCGAACCCAGCACCCUCUUUCCUAGGGUUUCGGUUCAGAAUAUAUUUCUUGAGGACAUAGUGUCUGAUGCCCUUUAAGACUUUUGUAUAUUCCUGUUUCAAGCAAUGUCUUCAACCUGGCAUUCUCAUCAGCAAUAGUAGUGGUAUCCUCAGUAGAGGGGUUAGUUACCACAUCAGCAGUUGAAGAUAUUGCAACAGUAGCAGCAGUAGAACAUUCAACAACAGAAACGGCAUUAUCACGCUCAAGACAUUUUAGACAUGGUGGUUCAAAGCCUACCUGAGAGGAACUGAUCUGUUGAGCGCGAAGUGACUCGUUCUCCUUUUGAAGAUCUUCAUGAGUCGCUCUCAAGUUCUCAAGUUCUUGCUUCCUUUGAAGAUAAUCAUAGGAAAGAUUUUCAUGAGUAGUUGAGAGUGUUUCAUGACGACUCUCAAGUUCCUCGUACUUAACGUGAAUAUUUUUUAUGUCUUUGUAAGUGCAUCUAGUGCCACCCCUAGUUGGUUUUGGAGUAUUGACGACAAAUCUGGUUGAGGGACUAAUGUGUUUGUGAGAAUUGCAGGAUAACACAGGUAGUAGUCCCUCAUUGAUUCGGUUUACCUACCGGAGAUGACCCCUAAAAAUGUAUGAAGACAUUGACGACAAUGGUGGUAUGUGAAGAUAUUCAUAUUGAAGACUAUGACAUGAGAAGACAUUGAGUGAAGACUAUGGAGCGCGAAGACUUAGUCGUUUCGUUGUUUCCUUUUUUUCUUUGUUGAGUCAUAGGAACCACCGUACUGUUAAGUGGGGUCCAAGUGAACAAAGUCAGAGUGACUGAAGUGAUGCUCAACCCAAAUCCUAUAUCUUCGAGCGAAGACAAUGAGAGAAAAUCUUAUCCAGAGCUAGAUGAGUCAGCUUUGCUUGUAGCCCAAGUAAAGUUUCCAUGUGUGUUUGAAAUCUGACCGUUGGAACACGUGUCAGUUCCUUAUUGACCUAGGGUCAUUUCGGACAUAUCAGGUCGGGUUGCCUAGAGGCUAUAAAUAGCCCACCCCCUACACCAUAAAUUGGUGGCUGCUCAGAGUUAGUGCACGGCUUUUGUCGCAUUGAGAGCAACCCACCUCGAAGCCUUUGAGAGAGAGAAAUCAUUGCGAGGACAAAGCCCAAACACCCAGAGCCAAAGAGUGUUAGGCAUCACUGAAGUCUUUUUGUCUGCGUGACCUAAAGACUUAUUACACUUGAGGACUGUGAAUCCUCCACCCGGUUAGGCGUCGCGUUCUGAGCAUCCAAGAGUCAUUGUGGAUCGCCGGUGAACGAAGUCUAUGAAGGUUUGGAAGUCUACCUUGAAGACUUACUAGAGUAAUUGGGCGCGGACUGGGUGUCCUUAGCUCAAGGGGAAUAAGGUGAAGACGUGGUCUUCUGAGUUGAAUCUCAGCCUCCCUAACCAGACGUACAGUUGUCACAGCAAUUGGAACUAGUCCAACAAAUCAUGUGUCCUCAACAAGUGACUGGUUCUAUCCUCUCCCUCUCUUUAUUUAGAGUUUGUCUUCGUGAAGUCAUUGCUUGUUUGCUUUACCUAUUUGUCUUCACUGUCUGACUAUUUUCGUAGUUUGGCUUCAUACCAUCUUCCAUCCUGAUCCUUACUACCUAGCUGUUGUUAGUCUUUGUACUUUCACAUUAUUGCAUACUUGACUAUGGCUUGCUUAGUGUAGUUUAUCUUCCGCUGCAUAUCAAUAGGGUCAUUUCUAUUGUUUGUCUUUGAAACUUCCAUGUUUUGAAGACUUUCAUAAAAAUCGCCUAUUCACCCCCCCCCCCUCUAGUCGAUAACUAGCACUUUCAAUUGGUAUCAGAGCAAGGUACUCCCUUGUUUUGUGUGAUUCGGUUUAACCACCUGGAGUUUUAGCUAUGUCGACUGCAGGGAUAAUCAAAGUCUCCGCUGCUUGCCCCGUCUUCGAUGCAACUGAAUAUCCCUACUGGAAGAAUAAGAUGCGCAUGCAUCUUGAAGCCAUUGAUGUCGACCUCUGGUAUGUCGUCAAGAAUGGCAUUCCCAAGACUGGUGAAGGUGUCACUCCUGCUGAUGUCAAGAAGUUCAUUCAACUGGAUUCUACUGCCAAGAACAUCAUCUAUGGUCAUCUGACCAAAGGACAGUAUGGCCGUGUGAAUGCUCUGGAAACGUCGAAGCUAGUCUGGGACUGGCUGUCCAAGGUCAACGAAGGCGUCUCAACCCAGAGAGAUCAAAGGAUCAGUGUUCUUCGCAACCUCUUCAACCGCUUCAAGAGAAACGACAAUGAAAAUGUCCAGCUCAUGUUUGAUCGCCUCACCGACAUCACAAAUGAGCUUCGUGCUCUCGGCGCCACUGAGAUUACCAAGCAUGAAAUCGUCAUGACACUACCGAGAUCACUUGACAGCUCCUUUGACACCCUUGCCCUCAUGAUACAAGAACGCCCUGACUUCAAGACACUCGAUCCGUCUGAUAUACUAUAGAGGCUCAACACACAUGAGUUCCAGCUAUCUGAGAAAAGAGAUAUAUAUGGUCCCAACUAUGGCCGAACUCGCGCUUUGAAGGCAAAAGUUGUUUCCUCAUCUGAAGAAGAAUCUGACUGCAGUUCUGAUGAUCCUGAAGACAUUGGAAAGGAACUUGCUAUGCUUGUGAAGAAUUUCCAGAAGUUCACUAAGAAGAAGGGCUUCAGAAAGUCUUCACGAUCUAGCUCAAGAAAUGAUGAAGCUUCCACUCAUGACUACAAGAAGAGAACAUGUCACAAGUGCAAGAAACCUGGACACUAUAUCUCUGAGUGUCCAUAGUGGGACAAUGAGAAGAAGGAGAAGAGCAAGGAAUAUGAUUCUGAUGACAACAAGAAGAAGAAGAAAUCUUCAAAGUCUUCUUCCAAGUCCUCAUCCAAGUCUUCAUCUCAUAAGAAGAGCUCAUCUGGCAAGGCUCGUGCUUUUGUUGGCAAGGAGAUGGAUUUAGAGGAGGAGUCUACUUCUGAGGAGGCGGAGGUGGAGUCUGAGGAGGAGUCUGACCCUGGCGUUGCAAGUUUGGCUCUAGCCACAGCCUAUGUUGCCAAGUCCAUCUUCAACACUGAAGACAAUGACUUCCACACCAACGCUGAAGCUAAUGACAAGGACGACUCUGCUCCCACCUACUGCUUCAUGGCACGUGGUGCGAAGGUAAAAUCACGCGAUGCUUACUUUCAAACAUCAAGUGAAGAUGACUCUGAUUGUGAAUCCAAACCCAGCUACAAAACACUUCCUAAAAUUGCAACUGAACAACAAAAAGCUAUGGAACAUACUCAAAAACUGUUAGACAAAAGCGAUGACCUGUUGGACGCGGAAAUGACCCGUUCACUGUCCUUAGUUGAAGACAUAAAAAAUCUUCAUGCUAAGUACCAAGAACUUGAAAGUCGUCAUGAAACGCUCUCAACCACUCAUGAAAAGCUCUCCUAUGAUUAUCUUCAAAGGAAGCAAGAGCUUGAGAAAUUGAGAGCGUCUCAUGAAGAUCUUCAAAAAGAGAAUGAGUCACUUCACGCUCAACAGAUCAGUCCCGCUCAGGAUGGAUUUGAACCACCAUGUCUAAAAUGCCUAGAGCGUGACAACGCUACCUCUGUUGCUGAAUGUUCUACUGCUGCUACUGUUGCAUUGUCUUCAACUACUGAUGUGGUAACUAACCCCUCUGCGGAGGAUACCACUACUAUUGCUGAUGAAAAUGCUAGGUUGAAGACAUUGCUUGAAACAGGGAUGUACGAAAGUCUGAAAGGGCAUCAGACAUUGUGCGAUGUCCUCAAAAAGCAUAUUCUGAACCAAAAUCCUAGGAAAGAGGGUGUUGGGUUCGAGAGGAAAAUGAAUGUUGAUGGUUCCUACUGGAAGCCUGAGCAGUAUCCCAAAACCACAUGGGUUGCUGCAAAGGGACCUUCAGUGGAUCGAUCCACCUUAUCUGGUUUUACCUGUGCUAACCCUGUUAUCGUUGAUGAAUCCUUUGAUGCAAACUAUAAACUGUUCAAGAAUCAGAAUGGUGAAGUGUUUGCCCGGUAUAUUGGCACUAACUGCAGGAAUGGGCCACCUAUGAAGAAGAUCUGGGUUCCCAAAAGCUGUCUAGAGAAUCUUCCGGUGAAUGUCAUCAUGACACCACCUGGGAAUAAGACAAACCCCAGACCUAAGGCUUCAUAUGGUCCAAAGGCUUCAUACAGACCGAGGACUCACCUGAGUCACCCUAACGCCAAUGUUUUGCAGGGAAACCAUACUCAGACUUAUGAAUAUGAGCGUGUGUCUUCAAACCGCUAUGUUCAUAGAACUAAGAACUUUUCUGCUUAUUCAUAUGAGUAUCAUUCAUCUCCUGCAAGGCUAUUUGCUAGGGCUCCAAAGCCGAAGUUCUCAGAUGCUGCACUUAGACUCAUUGCUUCUAAGCCACCCCUGAAGAUGUGGGUGGUUAAGAAGAAUUAACUUUCUUUUGCAGGAAAAGGUCUCCAGCCGAAAAUCAAAGGCGUCUGAUGCUAUUGCUGGGGACCUAAAACAUCUUAUAGGGUGCAAGAUCAAAUGCCCAAAUGGUCUCACUAUGUAUAUUGUUCCUGAAUCCUUUGCCAUUCAUCCUAUCAGUCCUAAUCUUGAUCUGAGCUUCAAUAAUCCUCUUGCCCAUCAAAUGUUUAUGCUUCACACAUCUCUUGGUGAGGCCUAUCCCCCUGACUGUACUAUAGGGUAUGACACCUCAUGCUUCAGAAUGGAUUAUGGACAGCGGAUGCACUAAUCAUAUGACUGGUGAUCGAAGUAUUCUCAUGGACUCAACCUUACGUCCAUCUGACAAGAGUCACAUCACAUUUGCUGACACUGGAAAAGCAAGGUAUUGGGUCUAGGUAGAGUUGCAAUCUCAAAGGAUCAGCACAUGGAUAAAGUGAUGCUUGUUGAAUCCCUUGGUUUCAACUUAAUGUCUGUCUCAAUGCUUUGUGACUUGAACAUGAUUGUGCUAUUCGGAAAAUAUCGUUGCCUUGUACUAAUGGAAUCUGACAAGUCUCUAGUCUUUGAAGGGUACCGGAAAGAUGAUCUAUACAUGGUAGAUUUCUCAGCAGGUCCAUAGCUUGCCAUAUGUCUUCUUGCAAAAGCUUCAGAGUGCUGGCUCUAGCAUCGGAGGCUGGGGCAUGCUGGCAUGAGGAACUUACACACUCUCGCCAAGAAGAAGCAUGUCAUAGGCAUCGAGGGCAUCAAGUUCAAGAAGGAUCAUUUGUGUGGUGCCUGCGAAGCUGGAAAGAUGACUAGGGCCAAGCAUCACUCGAAGAUAAUCAUGAUGACAUCUCAACCCUUCGAGCUGCUACACAUGGACUUAUUUGGCCCUACUCACUACUCUACCCUCACAACAACUGCUUGUCUCUAUGGCUUCGUCAUUGUUGAUGAUUACUCAAGAUAUACAUGGGUACACAUAAUUCUCUACAAGACUGAAGUGCAAGAUGUCUCCAGACACUUCGCCAACCGUGCCAUGAAUAAUUAUGGCGUCAAGAUCAAGCAUAUCAGAAGUGACAACGGCACUGAGUUCAAGAACACUAGACUUGAUCUUUAUCUAGAUACAAUGGGAAUCACUCAUGAGUUCUCUGCUCCAUACACACCUCAGCAAAAUGGCAUCAUGGAGCGCAAGAACAGAACCCUCAUUGAGAUGGCUCGAACAAUGCUCGAUGAAUACAAGACCCCAAGAAAGUUCUGGCCUGAAGCUAUUGAUACAGCUUGUCAUAUCAUCAACCGUGUCUGCAUCCAUAAGCUUCUGAAUAAAACAUCCUAUGAGCUCCUCACUGGCAAGAAGCCAAAUGUCAGUUACUUCAGAGUAUUUGGAGCUAGGUGCUGGAUCAAGGAUCCACAUCACAAAUCAAAAUUUGCACCUAAAGCUCACGAAGGCUUCAUGCUCGGUUAAGGAAAGGACUCGCACUCUUACAGAGUCUUCAAUAUCUAUCUUUACAAAAUCGUCAAAACUGUGGACGUGCGGUUUGAUGAAACCAAUGGUUCACAAAGAGAGCUCCUGCCAAGUACACUAGACGAAGCUCCACCCAGUGAAUCUAUCAAGCUAAUGGGAACUGGUGAAAUCAUGCCUUCUGAAGCUCAGCCUGAAGAGGAACUUAUCAUUUCUGUACCCAAUUAACCUGAAGAAAAUGCUCAGCCUAAAGACAAUCCUUCCAAUGUUGAUAAUGAUCAGCAAGAGCAAAAUCUUCGUCCAGUUCAUCCUCGUGUUGCAAAUGAAGUACAGAUUGAGAAGAUAAUUGAUAGCAUCAAUGCACCCAGUCCACUUACUCGCUCAAGAGCAACACAGUUAGCAAAUUUCUGUGGGCACUUUGCCUUUGUGUCAAUAUCAGAACCCAAGAAAGUUGUUGAAGCCUUUAUGGAACCUGAGUGGAUUCAAGCUAUGCAAGAAGAUCUUCAACAGUUCAAGCUGAACAAUGUUUGGGAACUUGCCAAGCGUCCUGACCCUCACAAGCAUAACAUAAUAGGCACAAAAUGGAUAUAUCGAAACAAGCAAGAUGAGCAUGGUCAAGUCGUCAGAAACAAAGCACGUCUCGUCGCUCAAGGAUAUACUCAAGUUGAAGGGAUUGACUUCGAUGAAACAUUUGCUCCUGUGGCUAGGCUUGAAGCUAUUCGCAUACUGCUAGCCUAUGCUAACCAUCACAACAUCUUGCUAUAUCAAAUGGAUGUGAAGAGUGCAUUUCUCAACGGCGAGAUUGAAGAAGAAGUAUAUGUCGCACAACCUCCUGGCUUUGAAGAUCCAAAACACCCUGAUAUGGUGUACAAGCUAAACAAAGCAUUGUAUGGCCUCAAACAAGCUCCUCGCGCCUGGUAUGAUACGAUCAAAGACUUCCUGAAGAGCAAAGGCUUCAAACCUGGAUCCCUUGAUCCCACACUCUUCACGAAGACAUAUGACGGUGAACUGUUUGUGUGCCAAAUCUAUGUGGAUGAUAUUAUCUUCGGCUGCACCAAUCAGAAGUAUAGUGAUGAGUUUGGACACAUGAUGCAAGAGCAAUAUCAGAUGUCCAUGAUGGGUGAGCUGAAGUUCUUCCUUGGUCUUCAGAUCCGUCAGCAAAGGAAUGGCAUCUUCAUAUCUUAAGAAAAAUACCUCAAAGAUUGCCUGAAGAAGUUUGGAAUGCAAGAUUGCAAAGGUUACACGACGCCAAUGCCAGCCAAAACACCAUCUGGGUCCCAACGACAAUGGUAAAGAGUUUGAUCAAAAGGUAUACCGCUCCAUGAUUGGUUCUUUACUUUACCUAUGUGCAUCUAGGCCAGAUAUUAUGCUUAGUGUUUGCAUGUGUGCUCGAUUCCAAGCGGCACCAAAGGAAUCGCAUCACUUAGAUGUGAAGCGAAUUCUUCGAUAUUUGGCUUACACCCCAACAUUAGGAUUAUGGUAUCCAAAGGGCUCAGAAUUUGAUCUGGUUGGAUUCUCGGAUGUUGAUUAUGCUGGUGACAAGGUGGAUCGCAAGUCUACAUCGGGCACAUGUCAUUUCCUAGGACGAUCACUUGUCUGUUGGUCUUCAAAGAAGCAGAACUAUGUAUCACUCUCCACUGCUGAAUCUGAAUACAUUGCUGCUGGAUCUUGCUGCGCUCAGCUUCUAUGGAUGAAGCAAACUCUCAAGGACUAUGGCAUCAAUCUGAAACAAGUACCUCUCUUCUGCGAUAACGAAAGCGCCAUCAAGAUUGCCAACAACCCAGUUCAGCACUCGAAGACAAAGCACAUUGAAGUUCGUCAUCACUUUCUCAGAGAUCAUGUUAUGAAGGAAGAUAUUGAUAUCAUUCACGUCAACACUGAAGAGCAACUGGCAGAUAUCUUCACAAAGCCCUUGGAUGAGAAAAGGUUUUGCAAGUUACGGUGUGAGCUAAAUAUCUUGGAAUCCUCAAAUGUCCUGUGAUCAGGCACACAUCCUAACACUUAUGCAUGUUGAUGACUUAGAUGUACAACACACGAAGUAAAGUAUAUCUUCAAUCAAUGAAGACUUACAUUCUGAGUGUGGAUACAUUAACGCGGAAUUUGACUUCGGAGCACCACGAUAAUUGUGCGCCGUGUCUAGGUCUAAUACUUCCUAUACGGUGGGUAACGCCACCACCAAAUUCUUCUGUUUGAAGUGUUUUACUCAUGGCGUUACUUUUGCUAUGUCUUCGCAUUUGGUUUGUCCUCAAUUUCAACUUGUCUUCAUGAUUAUCUUCACUAUGUUGAUUUGAUUGUUUUCUGAUAUAUACUAGUGUUCUGUCCUCUACAGCAUUCACUUAUAGCUAUGUCUUCCUUGUUGAAUCUUUUGAACUAAGUGAAUGUGAUCGGACCCUAAUCUCUCUAUGCUUUCUAUCUCAAACUCUAUCUGUCCAAAUCAUAUGCAUUCUAUUGAAACUGUCAAAUGUCUUCUCUGUGUCCUUGUCAGCAGAAGAUACAAAGACAAACAUUAAGUCUGUUUUAAAUGAUUCAUCCUUAUUGCUUGAAAUCCGGAGAAGCCGGAACGACCAUCCGACAAACCUGGCGGGCGUGGGAACGUGGGACAACUCCAAGUAUGUUGCAUGCAUGCCACGUGUUCCUCGGAUCUGAACCGCCAGGGGCACCUGCGUAAUUGCGCUGUGUUGCAUUCUUCCUUAUAAAUACAUGUCCCCUUGCGGUCAAGAAAACCUUCUUCCACCUCUCCACCUCGUCAAAACCCUAGCGCCACCGCUAGCUCUUGACGACGCCGGCGACGAAGUGCUUAGCUGUCGCGACUUCACCGACGCCGUCCUCACACCGGCCGCGGACAUCGUCCUCUCCGUUGCCGCCGUAGGUGUCCUCCGUCGCCAAGUUAGGGCACGAUGGACUGAACUGCUCGGUCUCCUACUCUUCCCAUCUAGCAGUUCUUCGCGUGGUAAAUACAACUCUAUUUUUACCAUCUUUUUGAUCCUCAAAAAUUCAUCUUGUUUACCAAAAUAGGUUUCUGCCUACACAAUGUUAGAUCUAUCCUGUCUGCAUCUCAUACUGCCUAGUAUAUUCACUUAAGCUUCACAUCUUGUUAGAUUCCUCACUUGUACUUAUUCAUGGAUUCGUACAAAUCUGGAACCAACUCUCAACAUAUAAGUGAAUGUCUUCGCAUCAUGAGGUAAAUGUCUUCAAACUGAUUUAUCUUCAAAAUCUUCUGAGAAUGCAUAUGACCUCUUCCCCUUCCCUCGCAUCUCUAAUGCUGUCACAGGUACAUGUCCGUGGGAGAAUCCCUUGGUUCUCAUAGUCUGCAUUCAUUUGCAGAAUUCUUACAGCAUCACAUUAACUCUCCCGAAGCCAGUUCCUGUUUGUCCAGCAAGCGGAAGCCUUUGAAGCCUUUGAACAUGUUGAAGCCAUUCAGUUUGAAGUUCAUGGCUACAGAAAAAUCUGCAAGGAAGGGUGGCAGACAACGCCGUGGGGGUACAUCAAUGGAUCUGCCCGAAGAUCUCUAUGAACUUUACAAAACCGAUCCCGAAGAAAGCUAUGGACAGCGCAAGACUCGAAUCCAAUGGAUUCGAAGAUAUUGGGCAGAGCAAUGGUUCAAGUACAACUUCGUCACCAAGGAGUAUGCUAAGAAGAAUGCUAUCAAGCGGCCUUGGGGCGAUAUUUUGUACAAAAAUCUUCAACCCAAGACCAGAGCUGAAGCCAUUGAGCAAGGCUUCUAUCCUUGCAUGGUCAGGGGACCUCAACCUGCCAACGCCGACCCCACUUCUCUCUUGUGGUGUCGAGAUGACGAUCUUUUCAAACGGAAUUAUCAGUUUGCAAAAGCCUCAGCAAAGAAGAACAAAGAUUCUUUAGGGUUAGACUUCAAUCCUGAUCCUUCUGCUCCCCGGGCUGACGGCACACGCGAUGCAGAACCCAAUAUCAUCGGACCCUUCUACAACCUUGAUGGCCUCAUCACCCACAUCUCUGUUCAAGGUGCCAAAGUGGAUUCUGAUGAUGAUGCUGACACUAAUGAAGCCCCUGCUCCUACCCCAAAGCCGCAGAAGCAAAAGAAGGCUAAAGCUUCAAAGUCAGCUGCUCCUCCAAAAGCUUCACGUGCGAAGCCACUGGCUACUGCACCUCCUGAAGACAAUGUGCAGUCUGAAGAUCUAUCUCGUAUCUCCAAGAAGACGGAGAUGAAAAAGAAAAAUGUCAAGAAUACUGAUCAGGCACUGACCCCUGCUGCCAUUCUGCGAGACGAACACAUUGAUAUGUCCAGUGAUGAAGAUCUUGCAGAUGACGCUCUUGAACAACUGAUAAAGAGCAAGGAAGAAGCAGAAAUCUUCAAUGAUUUGCCUCUCUUUGAUGUGGCAAUCAUCCACAACUUCAUUGAUGAGUGGUUUGAUACCCCCAAUCUUAGUUUUGAAGAUAUGCAACUUCCAAUUGGCCUCGGCGUCUCUUUCAAUGGAGUCAUUGCUUCUGAGCUAGCUCUAGCUCAGCGCAUAGUUGAACUGAAGCACAAAAUUGACUAUGAGAAAGCUCAGUUCAAGAAGCACAUGGCAAAGCUCAACGUGCAAGAUGUCAAAAACUUCAAAGUUAUGUUGCACAAGCUCAAGGAAGCUUUUCUCAAGAAGCGUGAAGAAGCUAAAGGUUCUCGUGAACGCAUGAAGAGUCUGGCUGACAAGUGCGUGCAAGCCUACAAUGAAGCUGAGAAGCGCAAGGCUCUUGGUCGCCCUGGAAUCGACCCUAGAAUGGCUGCAAAGAAGAAGAAGCCAUCGACUGACCAAUCUGCACCUUCAAGACGGGAAGAACCUCGCAUAGUCUUCCCAAGCAGCAUGACCGGCUCGAAGCCAAAGGUCAGGUCAACCACUUCAGAACUGAACAAGACAAGGACUGCCGAGGCUGAAGCCAGAAAGAGGAAAAAUCCUGAAGCUUCUGAUGUUGCUCCCUCCAAGAAGAAGCACAAAACCAAGAAAGAUCGGGUUGCUCCCACAGAGCCCCUCGUUGUCAAACCCAUAUCGGUUGCUCGUCCUGACUCUUUGUAUCAAGAACGACGGAUGAUAGUUCAUGAGCCUGCUUCCACAGAGGCUCCUGAAGCUGAAGACAUUCCAGCAGUUGACCCCUCCGCUGCUGAAGACAUUGGUCACCAUGGCAAUGUUGAAGAUGAUGUAGUUCUUCCUCAGAUCAAGCACAACUUGGUAUCAUCGCCUGUUCUCACGAAUAGCGAACUCAUCAGCAUUGGUCGUCCUCUGAUGCCAAUUGCUCAGGAUGCAUCAUGGGCUGAUCACCCACAACACCAAGACACCUCAAGUACUCCCCAACAACAAGCUACCCCACCAGUGCAAGAAGGAGAUGAUGACUUUGAGGCCCAGCCAACUCCAUCUCCACAGGUGUCGCCAGCAUUACGUAGGCUUCGCAAAGGACCAAGGCCUCAAGUUCCUCUUUCGAGCAUUCCAGAAGGAGAAGUGCACCACCAAUCCAUUGCACGUCAGGUGUUCCCAGAAGCCACUCCUACUGUGAAUGUCUCCGAGUCUGAAGCUAAAGUUGCUGAAGACAAUCCGGCUGCAUCAGCCGAAGAAAAACAAGCAGAAGAAUGUGUCCCUACUCCCCCCAUCACUGAAGAAGUUGUUCCUGAAGUGUACGUGUCUGUGCCCAACCCUCCAGCUCAUCAAGUGGAGGUUGAGAAUCUUGAGGCUUCCACCACUAACACCAAUGAAGCCAAUGACGUGGUCAUGGCUGAAGCAAAUGUGGAGCCUGCACAGAAUACUGAGCCUGAAACCAAUGAAGCCAAUGAAGCACCUGCCCCAGAUGCGCAGCCUGACGCCUCUGCCAAUGCCACUGCUCCCACUCCGCCACCAAGGCUGCAUACCAUAGAACAAGCAUACAACUAGGCAGCUUAUAACCGUCAAAUGGCCUCUUCUAGUUCCUCCGCCUGCUGCUGGUCCUCAAUUUGACUACCACGUUGAGCACAGGCCUCAGGUUCAGAAGCCACUGCCAAGACUGCCUAGGUUUCCAGGUAUUGCGUCUGCACCAGGAUCAUUUAAUAUCAAUGGCUUAAAAGCGCACAACACCUUCUUCAAUAGCGCCAAGAACCCCUACACUAGGGCAAGAAUAUCAUCUGAUCGGUUCUGGAGCUAUUAGCAUCGCAGUUAUUACUCAUGCAUUUUGUACAAUCAAGGUCGCAUUUUCCCACAUAUGCGUCUUGACACUGAAGCCAUAACUCAUCUGCCCUGUUUGGAAGAAGCGCUGGAUUGCUUCAGAGAGUCUGGCUUGUUGCAGUUCGUCACUGACAAGGAGCACUGGAAUGAAGAAUUACUGCUCCAAUUCUAUGCCACUCUUCAUAUUCGUGGCUACAACAGGGAUCCGAAGACUUGAGUCCUUGAGUGGAUGACAGGCAAUGUCCAUCAUAAGCCAAAGCCUUUGAUAUCAUUGAGCUUACUGGCCUGCCCACUCCAGGUGAUCUCUAUGAACCUGGUUGUCAGCUUCAUAGUGCUGCUAUGGAAAGCAUCUUUCACAAGCCUGAACCCAACAUCAAUCAGAUGCUUAGCAUGAUGAAGCCUUUGUCUCCCGAUGUGGAAUAUCCUAAGGAGUUCUUUGUUGAAGACCUUGAGUAUCUGCCACGUACUAUCUAUCACAUCAUAAGGCAAACUCUCUGGCCCAUCAAAGGACAUUCUCCUCAUGCAAAGCUGGAAAGUGCAAUGAAGACUUUGGUCUUCCAUAUUCUUCAUGGCAAAAGCUUCAAUGCACAAGACUUCUUUAUCCGCCAACUUGCUGCAUCAGGCUCUGAUCUCUUUGGCUUGAAGGUUUAUGCUCCAUGGAUUAUGCGUCUGAUCAAACUGCACUCAGCUGUCAACUAUCAGCCCUCUACUCGCAAUCAUUUGAUUUUUCUGCCUGAGGUUGAUAUGUCAGUUGAAGCUAUCUAUCCAGAGCCUGCCAAGGAGCCCCUGUGUCGGUGGGAACGACACCUAUGGGAUCACAAGAAUCCCUACUAUGGUUGGCGGAGCGCGGGGUCGUGGGGAGAGCGGAUCAAACAGAUAGUACACAGUUUGUUUAUCCAGGUUCGGGCCACGAGGAUGCGUAAAACCCUACUCCUGCUUUGGUGGAUGUAUAUUCCAGUUCUUGAGCUAGCUCUGGGGUGUUAGGAGCUCCAAAAAGCCGAAUCCUUCUCCUGGUCGCCUCGGGCCUCCUUUUAUAGAAAAAGGGGUCGCCACAGUGGCAUACAGGAGGUGGAAAGGGUACAGUGAUGCGAGGUUAUCCCUCGCAUUACACAACAAGGCGCAUUGAAUGCGUCUGCUUAGGUGUCCUUGCUUUAUCGAGGACGGGGGAGAAAUCCGUCUCAUCCGUCGCUGCUCCUUCUUGUGUCGACACGCGCCCUGGCCAGCGAUGCCUGCGAUGCCAUGUAGGUAGGCAGGCAGCUGAGGUAGUGCAGUGGUGGGUAUUCACGAAGAUCUGCAUGCCGCCAUGCAGGUGCCUGCCCAGCUGGUUGGGUCGGCAGCUGCAUGCGUACAGCGGUGGAGGUUUAGUCGGCGUGGGCCUGAUGGCGGCCCUAUGGAUGCCCUUGGCAAGGGCCUUGCCGGGGCCCCGGCAAGGGUCUUGUCGAGGCGCCUGUUGUCAUCCCCAGCAAGGCGCUUGCCGGGGGUCUCGUGGUCUUCCCUGGCUGGUAUCUCGCCAAAGGUCGUCGUCUUCUUAGUGCGUAUUUGAUCUUGAAUGUCUUCACAAAGAUCUGCAUGCCACCACGGGGAUGUCUCCCGAAUCCUUGCCCCUUGGGAGCAGUGGACUCAAGGGUAAUUUGCUCCGUAGGCGUGGGGCGAGUCACCGCGACAAGGGUCUUGCCGGGGUUGCUAAAACUGUCUCCCGGCAAGGAUCUUGCUGGGGGAGUCCUCUUCGUCCUUUUUGCUCUUUGUGGUCUUGGUCUUGGCGUCGUUCUAGUUCCCUUGAGCUUCGGUCUUACCCUGGCUCACCCCCCUUGCCUUGCUUGGUGUGGUGGUGCCCAUGGCUCAGACUGCCUGUGCACAGUUAUAGGGGUACAAAAAGUGUACCCCUCUUUUUGCACACCGACAGGAGCCCCCUGGCAUGGGCCACACGUAAGUGCAACGCCUUGUUGGGCCAGGCCCAGCAACGGUGCGCGGGCAGGCGUGUUGGUUUUUACCGCGGUAAGAUUUUUCGCGCACUGCGCUUCCCACGACUCCCGCGCGUUGCGCGGCGUGGGGAGGCGCGUGUGACGUGGGCGGCAUGCGUGGGGUUGGUCUCCGCACACAUGCAUCACGUCGUAGUAAAGGGGCGGUUUGCGCCUUCCCCAUAAACGGAGGGAAGCGUGGAGGCGCGGCCCAUUUACUGAAUGGGGCCGAGGCGCGGUCCUCAAGGCAUCCACUCCCCAUGAUCACGGGGUGGCGAGAGGUCGCCUCACCCGUCCCCUCGGUUCUGCACGUCUGCCACGUGUCUCCCAUGCGCUUGGGGUGGCAAACGGUGGAGGCGGGAAACCGGGCCGUCGCUGGUUGGGGCGGCGGGUCGGUCUUGGCUCCCUGCGCCUUCCGUGUCUUGAUUGGCCGAGCGGGACGGUCGAGCCCCAACCCCGUUCCUUUAUAAAGAGCGGGAGGGGGGAUGGCGUCCCGCAUUCUUCCAUCUUCCUCCUUCAGCUUCUGCUCCUCUCUUCCAUUCGUCAUGGAGAGAGGAAAUCCUGGUCCUUCAACGGUGGCGGCGAGGGUCGCCGCUCGACAACGCGUCCCUCCUUCUCCUGCGCCUGCGGUGGUAGAGCCGGCCGCGAGGGAAAGGGGGAGGGGGCGAGGCCGUGGGCGAGGCCGGGCCGCUUGGGGAAGAGGAGGACGGGGUGGCACGUCGGCCUCGCCCCCGCCAGCAGCUCCUCCUCCAAUGGAGGGCCAUGUUGGGGAUGACCCUUGUGAGUUCUUCGUCAGGUUGCGCUGGCCGCCGCGCCGUCGCCUUUGUCUCCCGACUCCAUUUGCGCAGGAGAUGGAGCUGGAUCCGCCAGAGUCAUUGCGGCUGCACAUGAGGGGCUGCGGGAUCAGUGGCACGCGGGUCCGUGUCGACUUCCCUGCUCCUCAUGUGAUGUAUCUUCGUCGGGGAUGGAAGACGUUUUCUCAUAUCGACAGCUUGACGGAGGGGCUCACUCUCCAUUUUAAGCUGAUGGAGGGUGGCCUUCUCUCCGUCAAGGUCUUCGGGCACUUUGGGACUCAUACAAGGUGCUGCAUGGAGAGCUCUUCUGAUAGUGAAGAUUCCUCCUCGAGCGAGAGUGACGAGGAGGACAGCGGCAGCGACGACAAGGGCGGUAGGCGGCAGGAUGACGGGUCCGACUAGGUGUCGGGCGCUGCUCCGUGUGGCACCGGCGACCCUAUCAUCCGUGUCGCCGGCUCCUUGAACUUCUCGGGGUCGUCUCCUUGGGCGGCUGGCGUUGGGAGGCUGCAGAAGAGGAAGAGGGCGGGCGGCAAGGCCGUCAAGUCGGAGUACACGGGCACCGACGCCUUCGACGCAUACUGACGUCCUGCCGCCUCGUCUUCGAGCUCUGCUUCCAGCACCGCCAUCACCAUCCAGCCUUUGGACGGCCACCAAGAUGUUCUCUCGGUGUCUUCUGCCACCCGUAGCUCGCCUAGGCGCUCCUUUUGCCCUUUUUGCCUCCUUGACCUGCCUCCUGAGGAGAGGGACAAGAAAGGGAUUACGGGCACCUUAUCUCUUUUUAAUUUGUAAGCCUUUGGGCCUUUGUUGAAUUUAAAACCCAUAAUCCUCUCAUUCAUGUUUUUCAUUCCCUAUGGACUGUACCUGACUGGAAUGUUUUUAAUGAAAAAGGGAUGUUUGCCGGGUCAUUUGUUUGUGGGUGAAACCCACAACAAGGAAUAAAUCCUUGAUAUCUUUAAGAUAAACAUUUCCUUGCCCGGCAACACGCCUCGCCAUCUCCCCACUUCGCUCGAUCUUCCUCACGCUUUCGGCGGAGGCCGGGAUGAAGUGGGUUUAGGCUCCUCGUCCUAUCCUUUUGCUGUCGCGACUACGACCAAACUUGGUCCUAGGAACGGGCCCUAGGGCCUAGAGUUAGGGGAGCACGGUAGUUUGAGGGUAAAAUGAGGUUUCACAUACCUCAGUCCGUAAGGAAAUGCAUGAUAAGGGAUAAAAAACUUAUCUGAAUCUGCAGCACCCGGCAACCCUGGUUUGCCAUGGGUGAAUCUUUGCUCUUGCAGCCCCCGACAAUACUGGCUUGCCGGGGCCUAGAUGCUGGUCUGUUCCUUUUUUUCUCCCCAAGUGGUUUGGCAAGGAUAUCUGUGUGUCCUGCGAACCAAAGAAGAUAAAAGAAAGACAAAGAGAUGCAAACUCGACCUCUAAGCUAGGGGUUAGCCGCCGCUAAGCACUAUCAACCCUAACCAAGGAUGAGACUCGACCUAGCAUGCAUGCUAUAACUUAGGGCGCCAGCGCUUCAUUUAUUUAUGCUCAGGGUCUGCGCCUGGCUUUGUACAAAGGGUUACAUGCGUCAUCGGCAAGGCUUGUACAAAAGGUGGCUUGCCGGGGGGCUCGGCAAGCCGCGCCUCAUGGGUAAAACUUGCGAAGAUGCUCAAUGUUCCAGGAGUUACUCACCGGAACGGCAUCUUCGGUCUCCAGGCGGACUGCGCCGGGCCUGGUGACUCGUAUUACCCGAUAAGGGCCUUCCCACUUUGGCGUCAACUUGUUGGAAUUCUUGGCCAAUUGAAUGCGCCGAAGAACAAGGUUGCCUUCCUCAAAGCUUCGGGCACGAAACUUGCGGCUAUGGUAGCGGCGCAAGGCUUGCUGGUAGCGCGCUGCUCUCACAGCCGCCGGAAGACGAUCUUCCUCAAGGAGCGUUGCGUCAUCUUGCUGCAAUUGCUCUUGCUCAAGCUCGUCAUAAGCGAGUACUCGAGGUGACACGUAUAUGAGUUCUGUGGGGAGAACUGCUUCUGCCCCGUAUACCAGGGCAAAGGGUGUCUGGCCGGUGGCUCGAUUUGGUGUCAUUCUGAUUGACCAAAGAACUGCCAGCAAUUCAUCAAUCCAGCACCUUCCACUCUUGCGCAGUCUGCCAAAGGUCUUUGUCCUCAGGCCUCGCGGUACUUCAGCAUUCGCCCUCUCAGCUUGACCAUUGCUUCGUGGGUGAGCAACGGAAGCGAAACAGACCUUGCUGCCGAGGUCUUGAAUAUAUUGCAUGAAGGUGUGACUUGUGAACUGCGUGCCAUUGUCGGUGAUGACCCUAUUGGGUACACCAAAACGGCACACCAGUCCUUCGAAGAACUUGACGGCUGACUGUGCUGUGACCUUCCUCACUGCUUCCACUUCUAGCCACUUUGUGAACUUGUCGAUUGCAACGUACAAGUACUCAAAGCCCCCGACGGCGCGGGGGAAAGGGCCCAGUAUGUCGAGCCCCCAGACCGAGAAAGGCCGGGAGAGAGGAAUGGUUUGAAGGGCUUGAGCUGGCUGAUGAAGCUUCUUCGAAUGGAACUGACACGCUUCACACCUGGUGACUAGUGUCGUCGCAUCCUGGAGGGCGGUGGGCCAGAAGAAGCCUUGCCAAAAUGCUUUGCCGGCAAGGGCCCUCGACCCUAUGUGGGAUCCACAUAUGCCUCCAUGUAUCUCCGCCAACAGCCCCAGUCCUUCCUCUCGAGGGAUACACUUCAAUUUCACACCGUUCGGCCUCUUUCUGUACAGGACGUCAUUGACGAACUGGUACAUAGUAGAGUGACGGGCAACUUUUUCCGCUUCUUCUUGCUCCUUAGGAAGUUCCCCUGUUUGGAGGAAUCGGACGAUAUGCUGUGCCCACGCUGGAGCCUGGGGCUCGACGGCGAGGACUAAAGGCAUUUCCUCCGCUAUAGGAGCGGUUGUCUCCACGGCAAGAGCUUGAUGCUCCGUCGGAGCUAGCCGUCCCGUGGCGGGCUCAGUGUCUCCGGCAACAUCCUUGUCGGCGGCUUCGGGGAGCUCGGCGGGAAAGUACUUGCCGGGCCCUGAUUUUCUCCUCUUGUUUUGUUCUGUUGAUGGAUCAACGGAUGGCUGAGUCAGAUGAAGCACAAAGGUACCUGGUUCCACAGGUAGCUUGAGGGCGGCGCGUUUUGACAGGUAAUCGACGAUGUCGUUCUCUGCUCGGGGAACGUGCUCUGCCUGUAUACCGUCAAAACGCUCUUCCAGCUUCCUCACUUCAUCUACGUAGGCCUUCAUCAACGGGCUCUGGUAGUCCUUGUUGACUUGUUUGAUGACAAGUUGCGAGUCGCCCCUGACAAUGUGUUUCUUGAUUCCGAGGUCUGCCGCGAUCCUAAGACCAGCAAGCAGCCCCUCGUACUCAGCAGUAUUGUUUGUCCACACCUCCCUGGGGAAGUGCAUCUGGACCACGUACUUGAGGUGCUCCCCGGUGGGCGUGACAAGCAGUACGCCAACCCCGGCGCCCUGUAAGGAGAAAGCCCCAUCAAAGUACAUGACCCAGUCGCAACUUGCCUCUUUGCCGGGGAGAACAGUCUCCUGGGUUUCUUCAUCAGGCGUCGCGGUCCAUUCUGCAACGAACUCCGCCAGGCCUCAGCUUUGAAUCGUCGAGGUACUCUCAAACUUGAGGCCAAAGCUGGACAGCUCCAGUGCCCAUUCUACAAUUCUUCCUAUUGCGUCUGGAUUGUGCAAUAUCCGUUGCAGAGGGAGGCAAGUAACGACGGUGAUCUCGUGCGCCUGGAAGUAGUGACGCAGCUUCCUCGAGGCCAUAAGAACGCCGAAGAGCAGUUUCUGCACACCGGAGUACCUUGAUCUAGCCCCCUGCAGGAGGGAGCUAACAAAGUAGACCGGGUGCUGCAUCAUUUUCUUCCUUGGCGGCACUCCAACCGGCUGUGUCGUCUCUGCACCAACGGCACCAGGCUCUGUCGCUGCUAUCACCUCGUCAUCAAUUUCUCUCUACGCCACUAGCGCGACGCUGACCACCUGGUUCGUUGCCGCCAGGUAUAGCAGCAACGAUUCUUGUGGCCUAGGCGCAACUAGUACUGGCGUGGAGGAGAGAUACCUCUUCAAAUCUUGCAAUGCUGCUUCGGCUUCUGGCGUCCAUUCCAUCGGGCCCGCCUUUUUCAAGACCUUGAAAAAGGGAAGGGCGCGCUCGGCAGACUUGGAAAUGAACCUGCUCAUGGCGGCAACGCAACCAGCAAGCCGACGUACAUCCUUGACCCGCUUGGGCACUUCAAUCUGUUCUAUAGCUUUGAUCUUGUCCGGAUUGGCCUCUAUCCCACGCUAUGACACAAAGAACCCGAUAAGCUUGCCGGACGGGACACCAAAGACGCACUUCUCAGGGUUCAGCUUGAGAUUGAUCUUGCGUAGGUUUGCAAAUGUUUCUUGUAAAUCCGGUAUAAGGGUUGCCCUGUUCUUGGUUUUGACCACUAUAUCAUCCAUAUAAGCUUCCAUAUUUCUAUGGAGCUGGGGUUCAAAACCAAUCUUGACCGCCCUUGCAAAUGUUGAACCAGCACUCUUCAACCCGAAAGGCAUCCGUAUGAAACAAUACGUACCACAUCGGGUGAUGAAUGCCGUUUUCUCUUCAUCUUCUCUUGUCAUGAAGAUCUGGUGGUAGCCGGAGUAGGCAUCAAGGAAUGAUAACAGAUCACACCCAGCCAUGGAGUCAACAAUCUGGUCGAUGCGCAGCAACGGGAAGGGGUCUUUGGGACAAGCCUUAUUGAUAUCUAUGUAAUCAAUACACAACAUCCACUUCCCAUUUGCCUUGCGCACUACCACUGGAUUGGCCAACCACGUUGGAUGGAGCACUCCUCUUACCAAACCCGCUGCUUCCAGUUUCCGGAUCUCCUCUGUGAUGAACUCUUGUCGUUCCAAAGCUUGCUUUCUUACCUUUUGCUUGACGGGCCGCGCAUGAGGACAGACAACAAGGUGGUGCUCAAUCACCUCCCUGGGAACGCAGGGGAUGUCGGAUGCUUGCCAUGCAAACACAUCGACAUUCGCCCGCAGGAAGGUGACGAGCGCGUUUCCUAUUUGUCGUCAAGGGCGGAGCUUAUGGUGAAAGCCCCUCCCGUGCCGUCCUCCUUGACAGAAACCUUCUUGGUUCCCGGCAGUGUGGCCCUGAACUUCUUGUUUCUGCCGGUGGAGCUUUCUGGCACGUCCUCGACGGGAGCACUACACUCCGAAGAGGUGCGCUUGCCGGAGUGGGUGCCUGAGGUCUCGCCGGUCUUCUUCUUUUUCCUUCCCGGGGCUCCAGCGGCAGGAGCAAGCGCCUUAGCAGUGGCAGCUGCUGCAACUGCUUGUUGGUAGAGUUGGUCAGCACAAAUUAGCGCGUCCUUCUUGUCCGAUGGGACGGUGAUGAUCGUCACAGGCACCGGCAUCUUAAGGGUGUUGUAGGCGUAAUGUGACGCCGCCAUGAACUUGGCCAGCGCUGGGCGGCCAAGGAUCCCGUUGUAAGGCAAGGGGAUCUUGGCAACGUCGAACACAAUCUUUUUUGUCCGGUAGUUCAGAUCACUCCCAAAAGUCACGGGCAACGUGACCUUUCCCUUUGGCUGACUUCUUCCCAGGUUGACCCCCUGAAAUGUGCCCGUCUCUUCGAGAUCUCCAUUAGGAAUCUGCAGUUUCUCGAUCACGGUAGGCAAGAUUAAGUUCAGACCGGCUCCGCCAUCGACUAGCAUCUUUGUCACCUUGAGGUUGCGUAUUGUUGGUGAAACCAACAAUGGCAAGCACCCGACUGCAGUGGUGCGAUCAGGGUGAUCCUCGGUGUCAAAAAUGAUAGGUGUGCUGGACCACUUCAGCGGCCUUUGGGCAUCAAACGAUGGCUCUGCCGCUGUAAUUUCACGCGCCCACUGUUUAAGCUGGCGGUGAGAGGUAUGCAGCAAGGCGCCGCCAUCGACGCACAUGGCCUCUAUAGCUUUCUGAAAUUCUUGGUCACCAGACUCAUCGUCCUCUUCGUGAUCAUCGUCUUCUGGCUUUCUGUCAUGGCCCCGGGCAGGCCUCUCCUGAUGUUUAUCCUUGCCGUCACGGCCCGCCUGGCCGUCACGCUUCUUGCCGGACCCCUCAGCACCGUCCUGGCCCUUCUCCUUGUCCCGCCUCUCAUAUUCAGCCCUCUGCUUCUCAGCAAGUAGCUCAACCUGUCGGCAGUUCUAGAGAUCAUGGCCCUUGGUGCGAUGGAUCUUGCAGUAUUGCUUGUCGGAGUUUCCUGGCUUCUCGGCAGCCACCAAUGCCCGGCAGACGACACAUCCGGCAAUUUCCUUGCCAGGGUCAUCUGCCUUGGUUUUCAUGGUGGAGCCGGCGUCAUCAAAUCCCUCGACGGCAAGCACGGCUUUACCUUUGCGCUUCCUAUUGCGGCGCCAGCCUUUCUUUGCCGGGGCGGCAGUAUCCUCAUCUGAAGAGUCGGUUUCCACGCCAGCAUCUUCGCCGGGGUACUUCCUUCCCUCUUCUGCCCAGGCACAUCUGUCAGCAAGAACAUAGAGUUCUGACACGUCUUUCACCUUGUUCAUUGCCAGCUCUUCACACAUCUUGCGGUUACGCACGUUCUGAUGAAACGCGCUGAUGAUGGCGGCAGGGUGAACAUCAGGGAUAUUGUACUGUACCUGGCUGAACCUCUGUAUAUAUUUGCACAGACUCUCACCUCUCAUCUGGGGAAUGACGUGCAGGUCGCUUGCUUGGCCAUGGGCUUGGUGACCUCUAGUAAAGGCGCCAACAAACUCAUGGCACAAAUCUAACCAGGAGGAAAUAGAGUCUACCGGCAAGUGCAUCAACCACGACAUGGCGUUGGGUUUAAGAGCCAAUGGAAAGUAAUUCGCAAGCACCUUAUCGUCGCGGGCUCCGGCAGCUUGCAUCGCAAUGGUGUAGAUGCUGAGGAACUCAGACGGGUGGGUCUUGCCGUUGUACUUCUCGCCAACGUCAGGUUUGAAGGUGCGGUGAGUGGGCCACUGGAACUGCCGCAGCUCAUGGGUAAAAGCCGGACAGCCUACCUCGUAAGGUAGGCCUCCAGGGCUCUCCGGGGCCAGGUGGUUCGUAGCAGGCCCUGCUCGCCUGUCCGACUGGUGGCGCGCUCCGCGCUGGCGCUCGAUAGUGGUUCGAGCGUCUUCAUGGGCUCGUUCCCGAAGAACUUGGCGCUGGUCACAGCGGGUAUGUGGGUUGGACAACUGUCAGGACCCCGACUCGAUGUCACAUCGAUCUAGCUUGUAACACCUCAUAUCACUUUGCGGCCUCAUGCACGGUAACCCCACGGGUGUCGCCUUACCUUUGCCCGGGACCGUUUGCGCCUUUUGGCUCACGUAUAUGAUAGUGUCGCUAGCAUCCAUAUGAUAAAGAGCCCGGGCUGACAUGACUAGUCGUAAACCCAAAGUGGCACAGACUUACAGGGACAGGCAUCCAUGACCCAGCAACGAACGUGUCGGUCAUCAGCAAGUGGGUCCGGGCUGUAGCACUGGGCUAGCAGGACUCCGGUAAACCGGGCUGUAGCGGGCUAACAGGACUCCAGUACUCAAUGCGUGACAUUUCCCCGAAGGGACAGACACAGGAAUGAAGAAGGACACAUGCCGGCCAGCCUAAGUGUUCCCGAGCAGUAGCAAGCUACCAUGUCUCAGAGGUAACACUAGGAGACAUUUCCCGGUAAGAGAGGCUACUAAGGAUAAACAACUAGAUAGUCAGAUCCCACACAUACCAAGCAUUUCAAACAUACACACAAUAUGCUCGAUAUGUGCAAAUACAACAAGGCAUCACAACAUGACUCUAUGACACAAGUACUUUAUUUAAGGCUCAGAGAGCCAUACAUAACAUACACAAAGGUACGGGUCACACGACCCAGCAUUCAAGUCAUACAGUCAUACAAACCAGCAGCGGAAGUAACUUGUCUGAGUACAGACAACUAGUAAAAUAAAAGAGGCUUGGAAAGCCUAGCUAUACUACGAGGUCCUUCACAAGCUCAGGAUCACCACCUGGGCCUUAGCCUACUCAUUGAUGUCAACGUCUAUGUAGAACCCAUCAGAAGGGGUUGCAGCGUCUUCUGUAAAAAUGUAAAUUAUAGCAACAUGAGUACAAAGGUACUCAGCAAGACUUACAUCAGAUCCUACAUACAUGCAUAUUAUCAAGAAGGGUUGGUGGAGUUGUUGCAGCAAGCCAGCUUUGACUCUUGGCUAGGCUAACCUACGAGACUCCAACUCGAAAUGGUUUUGCGCACACGAGUCCACUACUCACCAAUUCAAUACACUACCGAGGAUCCACCUCCGUCUUCCUACGGAAGAGCCAUCCUCGGCACUCACACUUAUCUUGAGGCUUUUAGUAGUUUCCAUUUACUUGUCUAUGAACUGUAUAGGCAACCAAGUAGUCCUUUACCGUGGACGCGGCUAUUCGAAUAGAUCAUGAUAACCCUGCAGGGGUGUACUUCUUCAUACACGCUCUCACCACUUACCGUCGUUUACACGACAUGUACUCGGCAACCUUCAAGCGGAAGCCCAACGUGGGUGUCGGCCACGACCUACCUAACCACCUAAGCCUCCAGUCCAGGUUUAUCGCCUAUCCAGGUUCCAUCCGCAGGGAGUCCGGCCGAGGUUUCCCAUACGGCCCCGAACGAUGUGAACAGGGUUCCCGAGAUACCUAACGGGUAUUCGGUACACCCGGCCACGUACCUACCACAUCACAGCCCACCCCUACGGUCAGCGCUGUCCACGGCCUCCAGUAGGCUACAAACACCAGAAACUACUUGCAACUCCUGGACGGAGAACUAGGGUGCAUAAGAAGCCGAGAGGGUCCAUUGGUUUCGGGCCCAAUGCAUGGUAGUAGCUGAUUCUUAAAUCACACAUACAGAUCUCAGUGCUUAAGGUCGGCUUCAAUGAAACAACCCACCAUGUACUCCUACAUGGCCUCUCAUCGAUACCUUUACCAAAUCGUGUUCACCACACCACUCUUAUUACCGACAUAAUCAUUUCACUCUAGCCCAUCACCCAGAUGAACCAGACCUGACACGACUCUAAGCAUAGCAGGCAUAGCAAGGUAGGAACAACACAUACAUAUGGCUCAAUCAACUCCUACACAUGCUAGUGGGUUUCAUCUAGUUACUGUGGCAAUGACAGGUCAUGCAGAGGAAGUGGGUUCAACUACCGUAGCACACAGCAGUUUGAAACGCGUUGUCUUAAUGCAGUAAAAGAGAGCAGGAGCGAGAACAUGGGAUUGUAUCGAUAUGAUCAAAUGGUUGGUUGCUUGCCUGAUGGUUCGAUGCACUGAUACGGUUCUUCGUUAGGGUAAUCACGAUACUCCUCGGAGGCAGAUCCUGCCGCAAAGAACACCGAUACACAACCAUCACCAAACAAUGUGCAACAAUAUGAUGUAUGCAUGAAACAUAGCAAUAUGAGUGUGUUGGGCUAAUGCAGCUAAGACCAGAAGAGUUUGAACCAAUUUGAAUCAAAGAUUCAAAUUUCAAACUCAAACAUGGCCCUUUAAAGUGUUUUUCCUUGUUCUGCAUUAAACAUCAAGUUAACUUGUUUAAUCAUGCAUGAAAAUAGUACAGAUGGAUAGAUUGGAUUUUUCUGAUCAUUUUUCAUAUAUAAUUUGUCUGAUUUGGAGUUACAGAAUAAAAGUUAUGAAUUUUUGAAGUUUAAAUUAUAUUCUGGAAUUUCCUAUAUUAGAAUAAUUCCAGAAAAUCAAUUAUUGCGUCAGCCUGACGUCAGUGUGACGUCAGUAGGUCAACGGAACACGUCCGGGUCAAACCUGACAGUGGGUCCCGCAUGUCAGGGUGAUUAAAUUAAUUAAAGUUUAAUUAAAACUAAACCUGUUUAAUUAACAGGGCUGGGCCCCAUCUGUCAUUGACUCAGGGGAGUCAACCAGGGCCCACCCGUGGUCAAACCCGGGUCGGCUGCACCGGCGUUUAGCCGCCGGCGAGCCCGACACGGCGGCGGAAGUGGUUUUGGCCGUUUCGGCCACCAAAUGGGUCGCGGAGACCACCGGAGUGGAGCUAAGGACAAGCCGUUGCUCUUGGUGGAGUCCGUUGGAGUCGGGGUGGCCGGAGUUGGCGCCGGCGACGACUUUGGCGGCCACCGGGGUUCGGCCGAAGACCAACUUGACGCUAGAGGGGUCGGUGAGGCUCGGGGAGUGGCUAGCUAGGUGCUAAGUGACACGGUGAGCAUGAUGGACACCGUGGAGUGGUCGGAGGGUAACCGGGAGCACGUCGGCGACGAGCUCCACGGCGGUGGGUGCGGUUGAGCUCCGGGAGGUCGCUACACGGCUCGGGAGCAAGAACAGAAGGAAGGGGAAGAUGGCUAAGCGCACAGUGAGUGCGACGAAGCCCUUGGUGUGGCCGGAGAUGGACCGGAGCGACGACGGUGUUGAAGGGGAUCUCCGGCGACGGCGGUUCGGGCGAGGUCGUUGCGGUGGACUCGGGCGUUGCGAGUGCUCGGGGCUCGGCUUGCUCGAUGGAGUGGACAGCGGCGGAGCUCCUGGACACGAUGAGAGGACGCACGGGCGGCGGGGAGCACGGCUACGACGAAGGCACGAUGAUGGUGGCGUCGGUCAUGGCGGGGGAGCGCGAGGGGGAGGAGCNNNNNNNNNNNNNNNNNNNNNNNNNNNNNNNNNNNNNNNNNNNNNNNNNNNNNNNNNNNNNNNNNNNNNNNNNNNNNNNNNNNNNNNNNNNNNNNNNNNNNNNNNNNNNNNNNNNNNNNNNNNNNNNNNNNNNNNNNNNNNNNNNNNNNNNNNNNNNNNNNNNNNNNNNNNNNNNNNNNNNNNNNNNNNNNNNNNNNNNNNNNNNNNNNNNNNNNNNNNNNNNNNNNNNNNNNNNNNNNNNNNNNNNNNNNNNNNNNNNNNNNNNNNNNNNNNNNNNNNNNNNNNNNNNNNNNNNNNNNNNNNNNNNNNNNNNNNNNNNNNNNNNNNNNNNNNNNNNNNNNNNNNNNNNNNNNNNNNNNNNNNNNNNNNNNNNNNNNNNNNNNNNNNNNNNNNNNNNNNNNNNNNNNNNNNNNNNNNNNNGUCCACGACGUCACCGGGUGCGGGGAGCGGCGAGGCGGCGAGCAGGUGCGUGGCGCGCGCUGCGGUCGCCGUCGGGCACCUGCCUGCCUGCCUGGCCGGCAAGCAGCUCGCUGGAGCGGCGCUGGGCUGGGCCGGCAGGUGGGCCGGGAGCAGGCGCCAGGUAAGCUUUUUCCAUUUCUUUCUGUUUUCUGAUUUUUUAAUACUUCUGCAACUUUGUUGAAUUAAAUAAAAUACUUAGGCUACUCCUAAAAUCACCAAACUACUCCUGGUCCAAAGUUGGAUUAUUUCCAACAUGAAACAUUUUAGUUUGGAGAUAUUUGAGCAUUUAAAUAUUUUAUAUAAUUUUAAAUGCCCAAAUUCAAAAACCCUAAGCUGGCCUAGGAAAAUGUGCACCACUUUUGGCAGAGGUUCUGAACCAAGACAAAAAUGAUGGGCAUUUUAGAAGGGCAUUUCAGGUUCAUUGAAAAAGUUUUUAGUAAACCCUAAUUGGAUUCAGAGGGGACUGGGGGUUCUGUCAUCCCCAUUUCAGGUUUCUGAUGAAAGAGUAAACAUGAUGCAACACUCUAAUGCAUGGCUAACUAGGAUGUGACAACAACGCUAUGGAGAUGUCGUCGCCCGUGACGUCGCGACAAGCCGGCGUCCGUGGUACCGGAUGGGGAGGAGGUGAAUGCACCGUGGUUGCGGCGCCGCCGGCUUUUCCGCCACUGGUGCGUGGGACUCCAUUGGAGCGUCGACCCGGGGGCUCCACCGGGCUUGGUUCGUCUUUGUUGGCCACCGCAACAAGGCUUCAGAUAGUGGCUCUCCAUUCGUCGAGUUUCCCUGUGGUGGGGCGAAAGUCAAGGAGCAACUGCGCGCGCGCCAGGGCCUCUGCUGGCGUCGGCGGCAGUGGAACCUGCAUGGAUCGCGACGCGCUUCGACUUCUGACCAUGUCAGAAGGAGCCCUAUCACGAUCCCGUGGUCGCAUGCCGUUUUCACCAGGGCUUCGGCGAGCGGGCAGGUCUUCUACGUCCCGGGAGUGGCGCUCGGGGCUCUUCCCGCGGCAAUGCCUGGGAUCUUCGGCGUGACGACGCCGUUCAUCGCGUGAUGCCUGGGAGGAGCGCGCUAUUGGCGCCGGCGUGGGAGUCUUGGAGGCCCUUGUGUCGCCUUCAGGUGGGGCGACGGUGACCUUGGAAGGCCCCGCUCCACCCGCGGAGGGCCUGGCUCCGCCUUUGGAUUUGGCGAUGUGUGGCCCGUUACUAGGCGCACAAACAUCACCGCCUCCCAAACUCCGGCUGCUGGGAUGGUGCUGGUGUUUGCGAGCAGCGCCCCGGGUCCUUUCUGCGACCGGUCCGCUGCUCGCCCGCGUCGGGACGGGCUGUCCGGCUUCCGACUGGCCAACCGCCACCGUCAUCUUCUUCUUGGGCGCCAUGAUGAUGAAGAAGCGUCGAACUAACUGCUAAAGCCGAUUCUCACAACCGCGCCCCCUACCUGGCGUGCCAAAGAUGUCGGUGGGAACGACACCUAUGGGAUCACAAGAAUCCCUACUACGGCAGGCGGGGCGCGGGGUCGUGAGAAGAGCAGAUCAAACAGAUAGUACAAAGUUUGUUUAUCCAGGUUCGGGCCGCGAUGAUGCGUAAAACCCUACUCCUGCUUUGGUGGAUGUAUAUUCCUAUUCUUGAGCUAGCUCUGGGGCAUUAGGAGCUCCAAAAAGCCGAAUCCUUCUCCUGGUCGCCUCGGGCCUCCUUUUAUAGAAAAAGGGGUCGCCACAGUGGCAUACAGGAGGUGGAAAGGGUAUAGUGAUGCGAGGUUAUCCCUCGCAUUACACGACAAGGCACAUUUAAUGCGUCUGCUUAGGUGUCCUUGCUUUAUCGGGGACGGGGGAGAAAUCCGUCUCGUCCGUCGCCGCUCCUUCUUGUGUCGACACGCGCCCUGGCCAGCGAUGCCUGCGAUGCCAUGUAGGUAGGCAGGCAGCUGAGGUGGCGCAGUGGUGGGUCUUCACGAAGAUCUGCAUGCCGCCACGCAGGUGCCUGCCCAGCUGGUUGGGUCGACAGCUGCAUGCAUACGGCGGUGGAGGUUUAGUCGAUGUGGGCCUGAUGGCGGCCCUGUGGAUGUCCUUGGCAAGGGCCUUGCCGGGGCCCCGGCAAGGGUCUUGCAAACGCGCCUGUUGUCAUCCCCGGCAAGGCGCUUGUCGGGGGUCUCGUGGUCUUCCCUGGCUGGUAUCUCGCCAAAGGUCGUUGUCUUCUUAGUGCGUAUCUGAUCUUGAAUGUCUUCACAAAGACCUGCAUGCCAGCACAGGGAUGUCUCCCGAAUCCUUGCCCCUUGGGGGCAGUGGACUCAAGGGUAAUUUGCUCCGUAGGCGUGGGGCGAGUCACCACGGCAAGGGUCUUGCCGGGGUUGCUAAAACUGUCUCCCGGCAGGGAUCUUGCCGGGGGAGUCCGCUUCGUCCUUUUUGCUCUUUGUGGUCUUGAUCUUGGCGUCGUUCUAGUUCCCUUGAUCUUCGGUCUUACCCUGGCUCACCCCCCUUGCCUUGCUUGGUGUGGUGGUGCCCCUGGCUCAGACUGCCCGUGCACAGUUAUAGGGGUACAAAAAGUGUACCCCUCUUUUUGUACACCGACACCCUGAGUCUUCACAAUGCUGAUAAUCAAAGCUUCUCACAAAAUAUUGAAGGAGUUCAAGCUGUCACUUGUGUUUAUCCUCUGGCUGGUAUUACGUGUGCACCUCAUCGUGCCCUGACUGAAGCCACUGAAAGCACCAUUGCACAACGGCCCAAGAAGCGAUCUCGUGUUCUCAAUGACCGAGAGCUUCUGGUUGCCCUUCAUCAGAAACAGGAUAAGCAUCAUGACUGGCUGAAGUGUCAAAUGAAAAGCCUCUUGGUGGACGUCAACAGGAUUCGCAACCUUGCCACCAAAAAUGCCUUUGUCGCCCAUGAAACUUGUUGGCGUACAUGGAAAGGGCUGACGCUUAUGUGUUCUAAAGAUGAUCUUCAAGAUGAUGGCUUCUAUGAACGUUUCAAGUUUGACACAACACCUCCGAGAAGGAUUGUGCUGCGGCGCACUCCAUCUCUUGAAGACUCUGAGUUCUCCUCUUCUGCUGCAACAGUGGAUGCCCGUGUCAUUAAUGAUGAAUAUGAUGCUCCUUCACCACCUUCUGCGCGAAUCGACACUGCACCAAGUUCGUCUGCACCGCCAAACAACACCGAUGACCCUGCUGCUUCACCUACUCCUCAUGGAAAUGAGUAGAGGCUCUAUGUCUUCAAACCUUUUUGGUCCUUACUGACAAAAGGGGGAGAAGCAUAUGAGUUUGAUAGUCUUCAAGCGGGUUCAUAUGGGCGGUUGCAUUAUAUUUUGCCUAGUGUUUACAACUCUUGCUUUUUGAUACAUUUGGUUCUUUGAGUUGUAACACUUAAACUCGAUGGUCGUCUGCUACUUAUUUGCUAUUCUUGAUGCGAUGAUAAAUUCCGCAUGUGCGAUGAUAACUUCCGCACUUAAGUCAUUCUGCAGACAUCCAUUUUUCAUUAUGCAUGUCAUUAUCUUCGUUAUAUCAAAUCAUGCAUGAUGAAUUAUCUUCAUAAGUUGAAGAGGAUCUCCACAAGUACAACCUGCCAUGUGCAUUUGCAUUCCAAAAGCAAAUUACUUAUAUGCACAUCUUCAGGGGGAGCCCUUACCACUUAUGAAGACAAUUCCUAAAUCCUUUACAUUUCACAUACUUUAUCCCUGUUGAAAACUUCAACCAGUUUGUCAUCAAUCACCAAAAAGGGGGAGAUUGUAAGUGCAUCUAGUGCCACCCCUAGUUGGUUUUGGAGUAUUGACGACAAAUCUGGUUGAGGGACUAAUGUGUUUGUGAGAAUUGCAGGAUAACACAGGUAGUAGUCCCUCAUUGAUUCGGUUUACCUACCGGAGAUGACCCCUAAAAAUGUAUGAAGACAUUGACGACAAUGGUGGUAUGUGAAGAUAUUCAUAUUGAAGACUAUGACAUGAGAAGACAUUGAGUGAAGAUUAUGGAGCGCGAAGACUUAGUCGUUUCGUUGUUUCCUUUUCUUCUUUGUUGAGUCAUAGGAACCACCGUACUGUUAAGUGGGUUCCAAGUGAACAAAGUCAGAGUGACUAAAGUGAUGCUCAACCCAAAUCCUAUAUCUUCGAGCGAAGACAAUGAGAGCAAAUCUUAUCCAGAGCUGGAUGAGUCAGCUUUGCUUGUAGCCCAAGUAAAGUUGCCGUGUGUGUUUGAAAUCUGACCGUUGGAACACGUAUCAGUUCCUUAGUGACCUAGGGUCAUUUCGGACAUAUCACGUCGGGUUGCCUAGUGGCUAUAAAUAGCACACCCCCUACACCAUAAAUUGGUGGCUGCUCAGAGUUAGUGCAUGGCUUUUGUCGUAUUGAGAGCAACCCACCUCGAAGCCUUUGAGAGAGAGAAAUCAUUGCGAGGACAAAGCCCAAACACCCAGAGCCAAAGAGUGUUAGGCAUCACUGAAGUCUUUCUGUCUGCGUGACCUGAAGACUUAUUACACUUGAGGAUUGUGAAUCCUCCAGCCGGUUAUGCGUCGUGUUCUGAGCAUCCAAGAGUCAUUGUGGAUCGCCGGUGAACGAAGUCUGUGAAGGUUUGGAAGUCUACCUUGAAGACUUACCAGAGUAAUUGGGUGAGGACUGGGUGUCCUUAGCUCAAGGGGAAUAAGGUGAAGACGUGGUCUUCUGAGUUGAAUCUCAGCCUCCCUAACCAGACGUACAGUUGUCACAGCAACUGGAACUGGUCCAACAAAUCAUGUGUCCUCAACAAGUGACUGGUUCUAUCCUCUCCCUAUCUUUAUUUAGAGUUUGUCUUCAUGAAGUCAUUUCUUGUUUGCUUUACCUAUUUGUCUUCACUGUCUGACUAUUUCAUAGUUUGGCUUCAUGCCAUCUUCCAUCCUGAUCCUUACUACCUAGCUGCUGUUAGUCUUUGUACUUUCACAUUAUUGCGUACUUGACUAUGGCUUGCUUAGUGUAGUUUAUCUUCCGCUGCAUAUCAAUAGGGUCAUUUCUAAUGUUUGUCUUCGAAACUUCCAUGUUUUGAAGACUUUCAUAAAAAUCGCCUAUUCACCCCCCUCUAGUCGAUAACUAGCAUUUUCAGUCUUCAAUUAAGGACUGAGUUUGAGUCAUUUCCAUGUCCAACAGGUCAUCGCUUUUAUCUAACAACUUUUGAAUAUGCUCCAUAGCAGUUUGUUGUUUUGUAGCAAUUUUAGCAAGUGUGUUGUAGCUAGGUUUAGAUUCACAUUCAGAGUCAUCUUCACUGGAUGUUUGAAAGUAAGCAUCGCGUGAGUUUACCUUGGCACCACGUGCCAUGAAGCAGUAGGUAGGAGCAGAGUCAUCCUCAUCAUUAGCAUCAGCGUUGGGGACGAGACCAUUGUCUUCGGUGUUGAAGAUGGACUUGGCGACAUACGCUGAAGCCAGAGCCAAGCUUGCCACACCUGAAUCAGACUCCUCCUCAAACUCCACCUCCGCCUCCUUAGAAGCAGACUCCUCCUCUAAAUCCAUCUCCUUGCCAACAAACGCACGAGCCUUGCUUGAUGAGUUCUUCUUGAGAAAUGAAGACUUCGAUGAAGACUUUGAGGAUUUCUUCUUCUUGUUGUCAUCAUAAUCAUAAUCCUUGCUCUUCUUCUUCUUCUUGGUCUCAUUGUCCCAUUGUGGACACUCGGAGAUGUAGUGACCAGGUUUCUUGCAUUUGUGGCAUGUUCUCUUCUUGUGGUCACGAGUGGAAGCUUCAUCAUUUCUUCAGGUGGAUCUUGAAGACUUUCUGAAGCCUUUCUUCUUGGUAAACUUCUGGAACUUCUUCACGAGCAUAGCUAGCUCCUUUCCAAUGUCUUUGGGAUCCCCAGAACUAUAGUCAGAUUCUUCUUUAGAUGAGGAAACAACCUUUGCCUUCAAAGCGUGAGUUCGACCAUAGUUGGGACCAUAGAUGUCUCUCUUCUUAGAUAACUGGAACUCAUGUGUGUUGAGCCUCUCAAGUAUGUCAGACGGAUCGAGAGUCUUGAAGUUAGGAUGUUCUUGAAUCAUCAGGGUCAGGGUGUCGAAAGAGCUGUCAAGUGAUCUCAGAAGCUUCUUGACGAUUUCGUGCUUGGUGAUCUCAGUGGCACCAAGUGCGCGAAGCUCAUUUGUGAUAUCAGUGAGGCGAUCAAACGUGAGCUGGACAUUCUCAUUGUCGUUUCUCUUGAAGCAGUUGAAUAGGUUGCAAAGAACAUCAAUCCUUGAGUCUCUUUGAGUUGAGACGCCUUCGUUGACCUUGGAGAGCCGGUCCCAUACUAGCUUUGUAGUUUCCAGUGCACUCACACGGCCAUAUUGUCCUUUUGUCAGAUGACCACAGAUGAUGUUCUUGGCAGUCGAAUCCAGUUGAAUGAACCUCUUGACAUUAGCAGCGGUGACACCUUCACCGACCUUGGGAACGCCAUUCUUGACGACAUACCAGAGGUCGACGUCAAUGUCUUUAAGAUGCAUACGCAUAUUACUCUUCCAGUAGGGGUAAUUAGUGCCAUUGAAGACGGGGCACGCAUCGGAGACCUUGAUUAUCCCUGCAGUCGACAUAGCUAAAACUACAGGUGGUUAAACUGAAGGAAAUAUGCCCUAGAGGCAAUAAUAAAGUUGUUAUUUAUAUUUCCUUAUAUCAUGAUAAAUGUUUAUUAUUCAUGCUAGAAUUGUAUUAACCGGAAACUUAGUACAUGUGUGAAUACAUAGAGAAACAGAGUGUCCCUAGUAUGCCUCUACUUGACUAGCUCGUUAAUCAAAGAUGGUUAAGUUUCCUGACCAUGGACAUGUGUUGUCAUUUGAUGAACGGGAUCACAUCAUUAGAGAAUGAUGUGAUGGACAAGACCCAUCUGUUAGCUUAGCAUAAUGAUCGUUUAGUUUUAUUCCUAUUGCUUUCUUCAUGACUUAUACAUGUUCCUCUGACUAUGAGAUUAUGCAACUCCCGAAUACCGGAGGAACACCUUGUGUGAUAUCAAAUGUCACAACGUAACUGGGUGAGUAUAAAGAUGCUCUAUAGGUGUCUCCGAUGGUGUUUGUUGAGUUGGCAUAGAUCGAGAUUAGGAUUUGUCACUCCAUGUAUCGGAGGGGUAUCUCUGGGCCUUCUCGGUAAUGCACAUAACUAUGAGCCUUGCAAGCAAUGUGUCUAAUGAGUUAGUCACGGGAAGAUGCAUUAUGGAAUGAGUAAAGAGACUUGCUAGUAACGAGAUUGAACUAGGUAUGGUGAUACCGACGAUCGAAUCUCGGGCAAGCAACAUACCGAUGACAAAGGGAACAACGUAUGUUGUUAUGCGAUUUUGACCGAUAAAGAUCUUCGUAGAAUAUGUAGGAGCCAAUAUGAGCAUCCAGGUUCCGCUAUUGGUUAUUUACCGGAGAUGUGUCUCGGUCAUGUCUACAUAGUUCUCGAACCCAUAGGGUCCGCAAGCUUAACGUUCAAUGAUGAUUUGAAUUAUGAGUUAUGUGAUUUGAUGACCUAAGAUUGUUCAGAGUCCUGGAUGAGAUCACAGACAUGACGAGGAGUCUCGAAAUGGUCGAGACAUAAAUAUUGAUAUAUUGGACGAUGUUAUUCAGACACCGGAUGAGUUCCGAGAGGUACUAGAUAACUAUCAGAGUGUCGGAGGGUUAUUGGAACCCCCCGGGGGAACUAAUGGCCCUUGAUGGGCCUUAGUGGGAAGAGAGGAAGGGCCACAAGGAGGGCCGGCCCCCUUCCUUCUUCCCCCUCUUCCUUAGGUGGAAUCCUACUAGGACUUGGAGUCCUACCUCUCCUGGCACGCCCUAGGAGGGUCGGCCGGCCUCCCCUCCCCUCCUUUAUAUACGGGAGCAGGGGGCACCCUAGAACACACAAGUUUCUCUUAACCGUGUGCAGUGCCCCCCUCCACAGCUACACACCUCGGUCAUAUUGUCGUAGUGCUUAUGCAAAGCCCUACGCUGGUAACUUCAUCAUCACCAUCACCAUGCCGUCAUGUUGACGGAACUCUCCCUCGGCCUCAACUGGAUCAAGAGUUCGAGGGACGUCAUCGAGCUGAACGUGUGCUGACGCGGAGGUGCCGUAUGUUCGGUGCUUGGAUCGGUUGGAUCGCGAAGAUGUUUGACUACAUCGACCACAUUACUAAAUGCUUCCGCUUUCGGUCUACGAGGGUACGUGGACACACUCUCCCCGCUCGUUGCUACGCAUCUCCUAUAUAGAUCUUGCGUGAUCGUAGGUAAAUUUUUUGAAAUACAGCGUUUCCCAACAAUGGCAUCUGAGCCAGGUUUAUGCGUAGAUGUUAUAUGCACGAGUAGAACACAAAGAGUUGUGAGCGAUAAUAGUCAUACUGCUUACCAGCAACGUCUUACUUUGAUUCGGCGGUAUUGUUGGAUGAAGCGGCCCGGACCGACAUUACAUGACCACGUUCAUGAGACUGGUUCUACCAACGUGCUUCGCACACAGGUGGCUAGUGGGUGUCUGUUUCUCCAGCUUUAGUUGAAUCGGGAUUGACUACUCCCGGUCGUUGUUGAAGGUUAAAACAGCACACUUGAUGAAAAAUCGUUGUGGUUUUGAUGUGUAUGUAAGAACGGUUUUUGCAAGAAGCCCGUAGUAGUCACGUAAAACUUGCAACAACAAAGUAGAGGACGUCUAACUUGUUUUUGCAGGGCUUGUUGUGAUGUGAUAUGGUCAAGUCAUGAUGAUAUAUAAAUUGUUGUAUGAGAUGAUCAUGAUUGGAAAAGUUAUCGGCAACUAGCAGGAGCCAUAUGGUUGUCGCUUUAUUGUAUGAAAUGCAAUCGCCAUGUAAUUGCUUUACUUUAUCACUAAGUGGUAGCGAUAGUUGUAGAAGCAAUAGUUGGCGAGAUGACAACGAUGCUACGAUGGAGAUCAAGGUGUCAAGCCGAUGACGAUGGUGAUCAUGACAGUGCUUUGGAGAUGGAGAUCAAAGGCACAAGAUGAGGAUGGCCAUAUCAUAUCACUUAUUUUGAUUGCAUGUGAUGUUUAUCCUUUAUGCAUCUUAUUUUGCUUAGUACGGCGGUAGAAUUAUAAGAUGAUCCCUCACUAAAUUUCAAGGUACAAGUGUUCUCCCUGAGUAUGCACCGUUGCAAAAGUUCGUCGUGCCGAGACACCACGUGAUGAUCGGGUGUGAUAAGCUCUAUGUUCACAUACAACGGGUGCAAGCCAGUUUUGCACACGCAUAAUACUCGGGUUAAACUUGACGAGCCUAGCAUAUGCAGAUAUGGCCUCGGAACACUGAAACCGAAAGGUCGAACGUGAAUCAUAUAGUAGAUAUGAUCAACAUAGUGAUGUUCACCAUUGAAAGCUACUCCAUCUCAUGUGAUGAUCGGACGUGGUUUAGUUGAUAUGGAUCACGUGAUCAUUUAGAUGACUAGAGGGAUGUCUAUCUAAGUGGGAGUUCUUAAGUAAUAUGAUUAAUUGUACUUUAAUUUAUCAUGAACUUAGUACCUGAUAGUAUUUUGCAUGUCUAUGUUAUUGUAGAUAAAUGGCCCAUGCUACUGUUCCUUUGAAUUUUAAUGCGUUCCUAGAGAAAGCUAAGUUGAAAGAUGAUGGUAGAAACUACACGGACUGGGUCUGUAACUUGAGGAUUAUCCUCAUUGCUGCACAGAAGAAUUAUGUCCUAAAAGCACUGCUAGGUGCAAGACCCGCUGCAGGAGCAACAUCGGACGUUAUGAACGUCUGGCAGAGCAAAGCUGAUGACUACUCGAUAGUUCAGUGUGCCAUGCUUUACGGCUUAGAACUGGGACUUCAACGAUGUUUUGAACGUCAUGGAGCAUAUGAGAUGUUCCAGGAGUUGAAGUUAAUAUUUCAAGCAAAUGCCCAAAUUGAGAGAUAUGAAGUCUCCAAUAAGUUCUAUAGCUGCAAGAUGGAGGAGAAUAGUUCUGUCAGUGAACAUAUACUCAAAAUGUCUUGGUACCACAACCACUUGACUCAACUGGGAGUUAAUCUUCCUGAUGAUAGUGUCAUUGAGAGAGUUCUUCAAUCACUUCCACCAAUCUACAAAAGCUUCUGAUGAACUAUAAUAUGCAAGGGAUGGAUAAGACAAUUCGCGAGCUCUUCGCGAUGCUAAAAGCUGCGGAGGUAGAAAUCAAGAAGGAGCAUCAAGUGUUGAUUGUUAACAAGACCACUAGUUUCAAGAAAAAGGGCAAAGGGAAGAAAGGGAACUUCAAGAAGAACGGCAAGCAAGUUGCUGCUCAAGUGAAGAAGCCCAAGUCUGGACCUAAGCCUGAGACUGAGUGCUUCUACUGCAAAGGGACUGGUCACUGGAAGCGGAAUUGCCCCAAGUAUUUGGCAGAUAAGAAGGAUGGCAAAGUGAAAGGUAUAUUUUAUAUACAUGUUAUUGAUGUGUACCUUACUAAUGCUCGUAGUAGCGCCUGGGUAUUUGGUACUUGUUCUGUUGCUCACAUUUGGCACUCGAAACGGGGGCUACUGAUUAAGCGAAGAUUGGCUAAGGACGAGGUGAUGAUGCGCGUGGGUAAUGGUUCCAAAGUAGAUGUGAUCGCCGCCGGCACGCUACCUCUACAUCUACCUUCGGGAUUAGUUUUGGACCUGAAUAAUUGUUAUUUGGUGCCAGCGUUAAGCAUGAACAUUAUAUCUGGAUCUUGUUUGAUGCGAGACGGUUAUUCAUUUAAAUCAGAGAAUAAUGGUUGUUCUAUUUAUAUGAGCAAUAUCUUUUAUGGUCAUGCACCCUUGAUGAGUGGUCUAUUUUUGUUAAAUCUCGAUAGUAGUGAUACACAUAUUCAUGGUAUUGAAGCCAAAAGAUACAAGUUUAAUAAUGAUAGUGCAAAUUAUUUGUGGCACUGGCGUUUAGGUCAUAUAGGUCUAAAGCGCAUGAAGAAACUCCAUGCUGAUGGGCUUUUGGAAUCACUUGAUGCUUGCGAACCAUGCCUCAUGGACAAGAUGACUAAGACUCCAUUCUUCGAAACAAUGGAGCAAGCAAUAGAUUUAUUGGAAAUAAUACAUACUGAUAUAUGCGGUCCGAUGAGUGUUGAUGCUCGCGGCGGGUAUCGUUAUUUUCUGACCUUCACAGAUGAUUUGAGCAGAUAUAGAUAUAUCUACUUAAUGAAACAUAAGUCUGAAACAUUUGAAAAGUUCAAAGAAUUUCAGAGUGAAGUGGAAAUCAUCGUAACAAGAAAAUAAAGUUUCUAUGAUCUGAUCGUGGAGGAGAAUAUUUGAGUUAUGAGUUUGGUCUUCAUUUGAAACAAUGCGGAAUAGUUUUGCAACUCACGCCACCUGGAACACCACAUCGUAAUGGUGUGUCCGAAUGUCGUAACCGCACUUUAUUAGAUAUGGUGCGAUCUAUGAUGUCUCUUACUGAUUUACCACUGUCGUUUUGGGGCUAUGCUUUAGAGACGGCUGCAUUCACGUUAAACAGGGCACCAUCUAAAUCCGUUGAGGCGACACCAUAUGAACUGUGGUUUGGCAAGAAACCCAAGUUGUCGUUCUUUAAAGUUUGGGGUUGCGAUGCUUAUGGUAAAAAGCUUCAACCUGAUAAGCCCGAACCCAAAUCGGAGAAAUGUGUCUUCAUAGGAUACCCAAAGGAGACUGUUGGGUACACCUUCUAUCACAGAUCCGAAGGAAAGAUAUUUGUUGCUAAGAAUGGAUCCUUUCUAGAGAAGGAGUUUCUCUCGAAAGAAGUGAGUGGGAGGAAAGUAGAACUUGAUGAGGUAAUUGUACCUGCUCCCUUAUUGGAAAGUAGUUCAUCACAGAAAUCAGUUCCAGUGAUUCCUACACCAAUCAGUGAGGAAGCUAAUGAUGAUGAUCAUGAAACUUCAGAUCAAGUUACUACCGAACCUCGUAGGUCAACCAGAGUAAGAUCCGCACCAGAGUGGUACGGUAAUCCUGUUCUGGAAGUCAUGUUACUUGAUCAUGACGAACCUAUGAACUAUGAGGAAGCGAUGAUGAGCCCAGAUUCCACGAAAUGGCUUGAGGCCAUGAAAUCUGAGGUGGGAUCCAAGUAUGAGAACAAAAUGUGGACUUUGGUUGACUUGCCCGAUGAUCGGCAUGCCAUGGAGAAUAAAUGGAUCUUCAAGAAGAAGACUGACGCUGACGGUAAUGUUACUGUCUACAAAGCUCGACUUGUUGCGAAAGGUUUUCGACAAGUUCAAGGAGUUGACUAUGAUGAGACCUUCUCACCCGUAGUGAUGCUCAAGUCUAUCCGAAUCAUGUUAGCAAUUGCCGCAUUUUACGGUUAUGAAAUCUGGCAAAUGGAUGUCAAAACUACAUUCCUUAAUGGAUAUCUUAAAGAAGAGUUGUAUAUGAUGCAACCAAAAGGUUUUGUCAAAAGAUGCUAACAAAGUGUGCAAACUCCAGCGAUCCAUUUAUGGACUGGUGCAAGCCUCUCAGAGUUGGAAUAUACGCUUUGAUAGUGUGAUCAAAGCAUAUGGUUUUAUACAGACUUUUGGAGAAGCCUGUAUUUACAAGAAAGUGACUGGGAGCUCUGUAGAUUUUCUGAUAUUAUAUGUGGAUGACAUAUUGUUGAUCGGAAAUGAUACUGAAUUUCUGAAUAGCAUAAAAGGAUACUUGAAUAAGAAUUUUUCAAUGAAAGACCUCAGAGAAGCUGCUUAUAUAUUGGGCAUCAAGAUCUAUAGAGAUAUAUCAAGACGCUUAAUUGGACUUCCACAAAGCACAUACAUUGAUAAAGUUUUGAAGAAGUUCAAAAUGGAUCAGUGAAAGAAAGGGUUCUUGCCUAUGUUACAAGGUGUGAAAUUGAGUCGGACCCAAUGCCCGACCACUACAUAAGAUAGAGAGAAAAUGAAAGUCAUUCCCUAUGCCUCAUCCAUAGGUUCUAUCAUGUAUGCAAUGUUGUGUACCAGACCUGAUGUGUGCCUUGCUAUUAGUUUAGCAGGGAGGUACCAAAGUAAUCCAGGAGUGGAUCACUGGACAACGGUCAAGAACAUCCUGAAAUACCUGAAAAGCUAAGGAUAUGUUUCUCGUUUAUGGAGGUGACAAAGAGCUUGUCGUAAACGGUUACGUCGAUGCAAGCUUUGACACUGAUCCGGAUGACUCUAAGUCACAAACCGGAUACGUACUUAUAUUGAAUGGUGGAGCUGUCAGUUGGUGCAGUUCCAAACAGAGCAUCGUGGCGGGAUCUACGUGUGAAGUGGAGUACAUAACUACUUCAGAAGCAGCAAAUGAAGGAGUCUGGAUGAAGGAGUUCAUAUGCGAUCUAGGUGUCAUACCUAGUGCAUUGGUCCAAUGAAAAUCUUUUGUGACAAUACUGGAGCAAUAGCCUUGGCGAAGGAAUCCAAAAUUCACAAGAGAACCAAACACAUUAAGAGACGCUUCAAUUCCAUUCGCGAUCAAGUCAAGGAGGGAGACAUAGAAAUUUGCAAAAUACAUACGGAUCUGAAUAUUGAAGACCCAUUGACUAAGCCUCUCACGAGCAAAACAUGAUCAGCACCAAGACUCCAUGGGCGUUAGAAUCAUUACUAUGUAAUCUAGAUUAUUGACUCUGCAAGUGGGAGACUGAAGGAAAUAUGCCCUAGAGGCAAUAAUAAAGUUGUUGUUUAUAUUUCUUUAUAUCAUGAUAAAUGUUUAUUAUUCAUGCUAGAAUUGUAUUAACUAGAAACUUAGUACAUGUGUGAAUACAUAGACAAACAGAGUGUCCCUAGUAUGCCUCUACUUGACUAGCUUGUUAAUCAAAGAUGGUUAAGUUUCCUGACCAUGGACAUGUGUUGUCAUUUGAUGAAUGGGAUCACAUCAUUAGAGAAUGAUGUGAUAGCUUAGCAUAAUGAUCGUUUAGUUUUAUUUCUAUUGCUUUCUUCAUGACUUAUACAUGUUCCUCUGACUAUGCGAUUAUGCAACUCCCGAAUAUCGGAGGAACACCUUGUGUGCUAUCAAACGUCACAACGUAACUGGGUGAUUAUAAAUAUGCUCUACGGGUGUCUCCGAUGGUGUUUGUUGAGUUGGCAUAGAUCGAGAUUAGGAUUUGUCACUCCGUGUAUCAGAGAGGUAUCUCUGGGCCCUCUCGGUAAUGAACAUCACUGCGAGCCUUGCAAGCAAUGUGUCUAAUGAGUUAGUUACGGGAUGAUGCAUUAUGGAACGAGUAAAGAGACUUGCUGGUAACGAGAUUGAACUAGGUAUGGUGAUACCGACGAUCGAAUCUCGGGCAAGUAACAUACCGACGAUAAAGGAAAUAACGUAUGUUGUUAUGCGGUUUUGACCGAUAAAGAUCUUCGUAGAAUAUGUAGAAGCUAAUAUGAGCAUCCAGUUUCCGCUAUUGGUUAUUGAUCGAAGAUGUGUCUCGGUCAUGUCUACAUAGUACUCGAACCCGUAGGGUCCGCACGCUUAGCGUUCGAUGACGAUUUGUAUUAUGAGUUAUGUGAUUUGAUGACCGAAGAUUGUUCGGAGUCCUGGAUGAGAUCACAGACAUGACGAGGAGUCUCGAAAUGGUUGAGACAUAAAGAUUGAUAUAUUGGACGAUGUUAUUCGGACACCGGAUGAGUUCCGAGAGGUACCGGAUACCUAUCGGAGUGCCGAAGGGUUAUCGGAACCCCCCAGGGGAACUAAUGGGCCUUGAUGGGCCUUAGUGGGAAGAGAGGAAGGGCCACAAGGGGCUGGCCGCCCCCCCCCCCCUUGGGUCCGAAUUGGACUAGGGGAAGGGGGCGGCGCCCCCCUUUCCUUCCCUUCCCCCUCUUCCUUCCUUCUUCCCCCUCUUCCUUAGGUGGAAUCCUACUAGGACUUGGAGUCCUAGUAGGACUCCCCUCUCCUAGCGCGCCCUAGGAGGGCCGUCCGGCCUCCCCUCCCCUCCUUUAUAUACGGGGGUAGGGGGCACCCUAGAACACACAAGUUUCUCUUAACCGUGUGUGGUGCCCCCCUCCACAGUUACACACCUCAGUCAUAUCAUCGUAGUGCUUAGGAAAAGCCCUGCACCGGUAACUUCAUCAUCACCGUCACCACGCCAUCGUGCUAAUGUAACUCUCCCUCAGCCUCAACUGGAUCAAGAGUUCGAGGGAUGUCAUCGAGCUGAACGUGUGCUGAACGCGGAGGUGCCGUACGUUCGGUGCUUGGAUCAGUUGGAUCGCCAAAACGUUCGACUACAUCAACCGCGUUACUAAACGCUUCCGCUUUUGGUCUACGAGGGUACGUGGACACACUCUCCCCGCUCGUUGCUAUGCAUCUCCUAGAAAGUUCUUGCGUGAUCGUAGGUAAAUGUUUUGAAAUACUGUGUUUCCCAACAUAAACCGAAUCACACAGAACAAGGGAGAACCUUACUCUGAUACCAAUUGAAAGUGCUAGUUAUCGACUAGGGGGGGUGAAUAGGCGAUUUUUAUGAAAGUCUUCAAAACAUGGGGGCUUUGAAGACGAACAGUAGAAAUGAACCUAUUGAUAUGCAGCAGAAGGUAGACUACACUAGACAAGCCAUAGUCAAGUAAGCAAUGAAGUGAAAGCACGAAGACUAUCAGCAACUAGGUAGUAUAGAUCAGGAUGGAAGAUGGUAUGAAGCCAAACGGUAAAUAGUCUUCACACAGUGAAGACAAUCAUAUCAUGCAAGCAGACAAUGACUUCACGAAGACAGACUGAAAGUAAAGGGAAGUGAAGGAUAGAACCAGUAGCUUCUUGAAGGCAAGGAUUUGGUAGACCAGUUCCAGUUGUUGCGACAACUGUACAUCUGGUUAGGGAGGCUGAGAUUUAACUCAUAAGACCACGUCUUCACCUUAUUCCCCUUGAGCUAAGAACACUUAGUCCUCACCCAAUCACUUUGGUAAGUCUUCAAGGUAGACUUCCAAACCUUCACAGACUUCGUUCACUGGUAAUCCACAAUGGCUCUUGGAUGCUCAGAACGCGACACCUAAUUGGCUAGAGGAUUCACAGUCCUCAAGUGUAACAAGUCUUCAGAUCACGCGGACAGAAAUACUUCAGUGAUGCCUAACACUCUUUAGCUCUGGGUGUUUUGGGCUUUGUCCUUGCAAGGAUCUCUCUCUCAAAUGCUUCGGAGGUGCGUUGCUCUCAAACGACAAAAGCCGUGCACUAACUCUGAGCAUCCCCCAAUUUAUGGUGUAGGUGAAGGAAAUAUGCCCUAGAGGCAAUAAUAAAGUUAUUGUUUAUUUCCUUAUAUCACGAUAAAUGUUUAUAAUUCAUGCUAGAAUUGUAUUAACCGGAAACAUAAUACAUGUGUGAGUACAUAGACAAACAGAGUGUCACUAGUAUGCCUCUACUUGACUAGCUCGUUGAUCAAAGAUGGUUAUGUUUCCUAGCCAUAGACAUGAGUUGUCAUUUGGUUAACGGGAUCACAUCAUUAGGAGAAUGAUGUGAUUGACAUGACCCAUUCCGUUAACUUAGCACAUGAUCGUUUAGUAUGUUGCUAUUGCUUUCUUCAUGACUUAUACAUGUUCCUAUGACUAUGAGAUUAUGCAACUCCCGUUUACCAGAGGAACACUUUGUGUGCUACCAAACGUCACAAUGUAACUGGGUGAUUAUAAAGGUGCUCUACAGGUGUCUCCGAAGCUACUUGUUGGGUUGGCGUAUUUCGAGAUUAGGAUUUGUCACUCCGAUUGUCGGAGAGGUAUCUCUGGGCCCUCUCGGUAAUGCACAUCACUUAAGCCUUGCAAGCAUUGCAACUAAUGAGUUAGUUGCGGGAUGAUGUAUUACGGAAUGAGUAAAGUGACUUGUCGGUAAUGAGAUUGAACUAGGUAUUGAGAUACCGACGAUCGAAUCUCGGGCAAGUAACAUACCGAUGACAAAGGGAACAACGUAUGUUGUUAUGCGGUCUGACCGAUAAAGAUCUUCGUAGAAUAUGUGGGAGCCAAUAUGAGCAUCCAGGUUCCGCUAUUGGUUAUUGACCGGAGACGUGUCUCGGUCAUGUCUACAUAGUUCUCGAACCCGUAGGGUCCGCACGCUUAACGUUUUGAUGAUAGUUAUAUUAUGAGUUUAUAUGUUUUGAUGUACCGAAGGUUGUUCGGAGUCCCGGAUGUGACCACGGACAUGACGAGGAGUCUCGAAAUGGUCGAGACAUGAAGAUUGAUAUAUUGGAAGCCUAUGUUUGGACAUCGGAAGUGUUCCGGGUGAAAUCGGGAUUUUACCGGAGUACCAGGAGGUUACCGGAACCCCCCGGGGGGUUAAUGGGCCAUAGUGGGCCUUAGUGGAGAAGAGGAGAGGCAGCCAGGGCAAGGGCCACACGCCCCUCCCCCCUAGUCCGAAUAGGACAAGGAGAGGGGGCGGCACCCCCCUUCCUUCUUCUCCUCCACCUCUUCCCCCCCCCCAAGUCCUAAUCCAACUAGGAAAGGGGGGGAGUCCUACUCCCGGUGGGAGUAGGACUCCUCCUGGCGCGCCCCCCUUGGCCGGCCGCACCUCCCCCCUUGCUCCUUUAUAUACGGGGGCAGGGGGCACCCUAGACACAACAAUUGAUCGUUUGAUAUUUUAGCCAUGUGCGGUGCCCCCCCUCCACCAUAGUCCACCUCGAUAAAACUGUAGCAGUGCUUAGGCGAGGCCCUGCGUCGGUAGAACGUCAUCAUCGUCACCACACCGUCGUGCUAACGAAACUCUCCCUCAACACUCGGCUGGAUCAGAGUUCGAGGGACGUCAUCGGGCUGAACGUGUGCUGAACUCGGAGGUGUCGUGCGUUCGGUACUUGAUCGGUCAGAUCGCGAAGACGUACGACUACAUCAACCGCGUUGUGCUAACGCUUCCGCUUUCGGUCUACGAGGGUACGUGGACAACGCUCUCCCCUCUUGUUGCUAUGCAUCACCAUGAUCUUGCGUGUGCGUAGGAUUUUUUUGAAAUUACUACGUUCCCCAACAGUGGCAUUCGAGCCCGGUUUUAUGCGUAGAUGUCAUAUGCAUGAGUCAAACACAAGUGAGUUGUGGGCGAUAUAAGUCAUACUGCUUACCAGCAUGUCAUACUUUGGUUCGGCGGUAUUUUUGGAUGAAGCGGCCCGGACCGACAUUACGCGUACGCUUACGCGAGACUGGUUCUACCGACGUGCUUUGCACAUAGGUGGCUGGCGGGUGUCAGUUUAUCCAACUUUAGUUGAACCGAGUGUGGCUACGCCCGGUCCCUGCGAAGGUUAAAACAUCACCAACUUGACAAACUAUCGUUGUGGUUUUGAUGCGUAGGUAAGAACGGUUCUUGCUAAGCCCGUAGCAGCCACGUAAAACUUGCAACAACAAAGUAGAGGACGUCUAACUUGUUUUUGCAGGGCAUGUUGUGAUGUGAUAUGGUCAAGACAUGAUGCUAAAUUUUAUUGUAUGAGAUAAUCAUGUUUUGUAACCGAGUUAUCGGCAACUGGCAGGAGCCAUAUGGUUGUCGCUUUAUUGUAUGCAAUGCAAUCGCUCUGUAAUGCUUUACUUUAUCACUAAGCGGUAGCGAUAGUCGUAGAAGCAUAAGAUUGGCGAGAAGACAAUGAUGCUACGAUGGAGAUCAAGGUGUCGCGCCAGUGACGAUGGUGAUCAUGGAGGUGCUUCGGAGAUGGAGAUCACAAGCACAAGAUGAUGAUGGCCAUAUCAUAUCACUUAUAUUGAUUGCAUGUGAUGAUAAGCUCUACGUCCAUCUACAACGGGUGCAAGCCAGUUUUGCACACGCAUAAUACUUGGGUUAAACUUGACGAGCCUAGCAUAUGCAGAUAUCGCCUCGGAACACUGAGACCGAAAGGUCGAGCGUGAAUCAUAUAGUAGAUAUGAUUAACAUAGUGAUGUUCACCAUUGAAAACUACUCCAUUUCAUGUGAUGAUCGGUUAUGGUUUAGUUGAUUUGGAUCACGUGAUCACUUAGAAGAUUAGAGGGAUGUCUAUCUAAGUGGGAGUUCUUAAGUAAUAUGAUUAAUUGAACUUAAAUUUAUCAUGAACUUGGUACCUGAUAGUAUCUUGCUUGUCUAUGUUGAUUGUAGAUAGAUGGCCCGUGCUGUUGUUCUGUUGAAUUUUAAUGCGUUCCUUGAGAAAGCAAAGUUGAAAGAUGAUGGUAGCAAUUACACGGACUGGGUCCGUAACUUGAGGAUUAUCCUCAUAGCUGCACAGAAGAAUUACGUCCUGGAAGCACCGCUAGGUGUACCACUUGCGCCGGCAACUGCAGACAUUGUGAACGCUUGGCAGUCACGUGGUGAUGACUACUCGAUAGUUCAGUGUGCCAUGCUUUACGGCUUAGAACCAGGACUUCAAUGACAUUUUGAACAUCAUGGAGCAUAUGAGAUGUUUCAAGAGUUGAAGUUAAUAUGUCAAAAGAAUGCCCGGAUUGAGAGAUAUGAAGUCUCCAAUAAGUUCUACAGCUGCAAGAUGGAGGAGAAUAGUUCUGUCAGUGAGCAUAUACUCAAGAUGUCUGGGUAUAAUAAUCACAUGAUUCAACUGGGAGUUAAUCUUCCGGAUGAUAGCGUCAUUGGCAGAAUUCUCUAGUCACUUCCACCAAGCUACAAGAGCUUCAUGAUGAACUAUAACAUGCAAGGGAUGGAUAAGACGAUUCCCGAGCUCUUCGCAAUGCUAAAGGCUGCGGAGGUAGAAAUCAAAAAGAAGCAUCAAGUGUUGAUGGUCAAUAAGACCACUAGAUUCAAGAAAAAGGGAAAAGGGAAGAAGAAGGGGAACUUCAAGAAGAACAUCAAGCAAGUUGCUGCUCAGGAGAAGAAACCCAAGUCUGGACCUAAGCCUGAAACUGAGUGCUUCUACUGCAAGCAGACUGGUCACUGGAAGCGGAACUGCCCCAAGUAUUUGGCGGAUAAGAAGGAUGGCAAGGUGAACAAAGGUAUAUGUGAUAUACAUGUUAUUGAUGUGUACCUUACUAGAGCUCGCAGUAGCACCUGGGUAUUUGAUACUGGUUCUGUUGCUAAUAUUUCCAACUCGAAACAGGGACUACGGAUUAAGCGAACACUGGCUAAGGACGAGGUGACGAUGCAUGUGGGAAAUGGUUCCAAAGUCGAUGUGAUCGCGGUCGGCACGCUACCUCUACAUCUACCUUCGGGAUUAGUUUUAGACCUAAAUAAUUGUUAUUUGGUGCCAGCAUUGAGCAUGAACAUUAUAUCUAGAUCUUGUUUGAUGCGAGACGGUUAUUCAUUUAAAUCAGAGAAUAAUGGUUGUUCUAUUUAUAUGAGUAAUAUCUUUUAUAGUCAUGCACCCUUGAAGAGUGGUCUAUUUUUGAUGAAUCUCGAUAGUAGUGAUACACAUAUUCGUAAUGUUGAAACCAAAAUAUGCAGAGUUGAUAAUGAUAGUGCAACUUAUUUGUGGCACUGCCGUUUAGGUCAUAUCAGUGUAAAGCGCAUGAAGAAACCCCAUACUGAUGGACUUUUGGAACCACUUGAUUAUGAAUCACUUGGUACUAUUGAGAGAGCAACAGAUUUGUUGGAAAUCAUACAUACAGAUGUAUGUGGUCCGAUGAAUGUUGAGGCUCAUGGCGGGUAUCAUUAUUUUCUCACCUUCACAGAUGAUUUAAGCAGAUAUGGGUAUAUCUAAUUAAUGAAACAUAAGUCUGAAACGUUUGAAAAGUUCAAAGAAUUUCAGAGUGAAGUUGAAAAUCAUCGUAACAAGAAAAUAAAGUUUCUAUGAUCUGAUCGUGGAGGAGAAUAUUUGAGUUACGAGUUUGGUCUACAUUUGAAACAAUGCGGAAUAGUUUCGCAACUCACGCCACCCGGAACACCACAGCGUAAUGGUGUGUCCGAACGUCGUAGUCGUACUUUACUAGAUAUGGUGCGAUCUAUGAUGUCUCUUACUGAUUUACUGCUAUCGUUUUGGGGUUAUGCUCUAGAGACGGAUGCAUUCAUGUUAAAUAGGGCACCAUCAAAAUCCGUUGAGACGACGCCUUAUGAACUGUGGUUUGGCAAGAAACCAAAGUUGUCGUUUCUUAAAGUUUGGGGCUGCGAUGCUUAUGUGAAAAAGCUUCAACCUGAUAAGCUCGAACCCAAAUCAGAAAAAUGUGUCUUCAUAGGAUACCCAAAGGAGACUGUUGGGUACACCUUCUAUCACAGAUCCGAAGGCAAGACAUUCGUUGUUAAGAAUGGAUCCUUUCUAGAGAAGGAGUUUCUCUCGAAAGAAGUGAGUGGGAGGAAACUAGAACUUGAUGAGGUAAUUGUACCUGCUCCCUUAUUGGAAAGUAGCUCAUCACAGAAAUCUAUUCAUGUGACGCCUACACCAAUUAGUGGGGAAGUUAAUGAUGAUGAUCAUGGAACUUCAGAUCAAGUUGUUACUGAACCUCGUAGAUCAACCAGAGUAAGAUCCGCACCAGAGUGGUACGGUAAUCCUGUUCUGGAAGUCAUGUUACUCGACCAUGAUGAACCUACGAACUAUGAAGAAGCGAUGGUGAGCCCAGAUUCCGCAAAAUGGCUUGAGGCCAUGAAAUCUGAGAUGGGAUCCAUGUAUGAGAACAAAGUGUGGACUUUGGUUGACUUGCCCGAUGAUCGGCAAGCAAUUGAGAAUAAAUGGAUCUUCAAGAAGAAGACUGACGCUGACGGUAAUGUUACUGUCUACAAAGCUCGACUUGUUGCGAAAGGUUUUCGACAAGUUCAAGGGAUUGACUAUGAUGAGACCUUCUCACCCGUAGCGAUGCUUAAGUCUGUCCGAAUCAUGUUAGCAAUUGGCGCAUUUUAUGAUUAUGAAAUUUGGCAGAUGGAUGUCAAAACUGCAUUCCUGAAUGGAUUUCUGGAAGAAGAGUUGUAUAUGAUGCAACUAGAAGGUUUUGUCGAUCCAAAGGAGGCUAACAAAGUGUGCAAGCUCCAGCAAUCCAUUUAUGGACUGGUGCAAGCCUCUCGGAGUUGGAAUAAACGCUUUGAUAGUGUGAUCAAAGCAUUUGGUUUUGUACAGACUUUUGGAGAAGCCUGUAUUUACAAGAAAGUGAGUCGGAGCUCUGUAGCAUUUCUGAUAUUAUAUGUGGAUGACAUAUUGCUGAUUGGAAAUGAUAUAGAAUUUAUGGAUAGCAUAAAGGGAUACUUGAAUAAGAGUUUUUCAAUGAAAGACCUCGGUGAAGCUGCUUAUAUAUUGGGCAUUAAGAUCUAUAGAGAUAGAUCAAGACGCUUAAUUGGACUUUCACAUAGCACAUACCUUGACAAAGUUUUGAAUAAGUUCAAAAUGGAUCAAGCAAAGAAAGGGUUCUUGCCUAUGUUACAAGGUGUGAAGUUGAGUAAGACUCAAUGCCUGAACACUGCAGAAGAUAGAGAGAAAAUGAAAGAUGUUCCCUAUGCUUCAGCCAUAGGCUCUAUCAUGUAUGCAAUGCUGUGUACCAGACCUGAUGUGUGCCUUGCUAUAAGUCUAGCAGGGAGGUACCAAAGUAAUCUAGGAGUGGAUCACUAGACAUCGGUCAAGAAUAUCCUGAAAUACUUGAAAAGGACUAAGGAUGUGUUUCUCAUUUAUGGAGGUGACAAAGAGCUCAUCGUAAAUGGUUACAUUGAUGCAAACUUUGACACUGAUCCGGACGAUUCUAAAUCACAAACCGGAUACGUGUUUACAUUGAGCGGUGGAGCUGUUAGUUGGUGCAGUUCUAAACAAAGCAUCAUGGCGGGAUCUAUGUGUGAAGCGGAGUACAUAGCUGCUUCGGAAGCAGCAAAUGAAGGAGUCUGGAUGAAGGAGUUCAUAUCCGAUCUAGGUGUCAUACCUAGUGCAUCGGGUCCAAUGAAAAUCUUUUGUGACAAUACUGGUGCAAUUGCCUUGGUGAAGGAAUCCAGAUUUCACAAGAGAGCCAAGCACAUCAAGAGACGCUUCAAUUCCAUCCGGGAUCUAGUCUAGGUGGGAGACAUAGAAAUUUGUAAGAUACAUACGAAUCUGAAUGUUGCAGACCCAUUGACUAAGCCUCUUCCACAAGCAAAACAUGAUCAGCACCAAGACUCCAUGGGUGUUAGGAUCAUUACUAUGUAAUCUAGAUUAUUGACUCUAGUGCAAGUGGGAGACUGAAGGAAAUAUGCCCUAGAGGCAAUAAUAAAGUUAUUAUUUAUUUCCUUGUAUCAUGAUAAAUGUUUACUAUUCAUGCUAGAAUUAUAUUAACCGGAAACAUAAUACAUGUGUGAAUACAUAGACAAACAGAGUGUCACUAGUAUGCCUCUACUUGACUAGCUCGUUGAUUAAAGAUGGUUAUGUUUCCUAGCCAUAGACAUGAGUUGUCAUUUGGUUAACGGGAUCACAUCAUUAGGAGAAUGAUGUGAUUGACAUGACCCAUUCCGUUAGCUUAGCACCCGAUCGUUUAGUGUGUUGCUAUUGCUUUCUUCAUGACUUAUACAUAUUCCUAUGACUAUGAGAUUAUGCAACUCCCGUUUACCGGACGAACACUUUGUGUGCUACCAAACGUCACAACAUAACUGGGUGAUUGUAAAGGUGCUCUACAGGUGUCUCCGAAGCUACUUGUUGGGUUGGCGUAUUUCGAGAUUAGGAUUUGUCACUCCGAUUGUCGGAGAGGUAUCUCUGGGUCCUCUCGGUAAUGCACAUCACUUAAGCCUUGCAAGCAUUGCAACUAAUGAGUUAGUUGCGGGAUGAUGUAUUACGGAACGAGUAAAGAGACUUGCCGGUAACGAGAUUGAACUAGGUAUUGAGAUACCGACGAUCGAAUCUCGAGCAAGUAACAUACUGAUGACAAAGGGAACAACGUAUGUUGUUAUGCGGUCUAACCGAUAAAGAUCUUCGUAGAAUAUGUGGGAGCCAAUAUGAGUAUCCAGGUUCCGCUAUUGGUUAUUGACCGGAGACGUGUCUCGGUCAUGUCUACAUAGUUCUCGAACCCGUAGGGUCCGCACGCUUAACGUUUCGAUGAUAGUUAUAUUAUGAGUUUAUAUGUUUUGAUUUACCGAAGGUUGUUCGGAGUCCCGGAUGUGAUCACAGACAUGACGAGGAGUCUCGAAAUGGUCAAGACAUGAAGAUUGAUAUAUUGGAAGCCUAUGUUUGGAUAUCGGAAGUGUUCCGGGUGAAAUCGGGAUUUACCGGAGUACCGGGAGGUUACCAGAACCCCCCGGGGGGUUAAUGGGCCAUAGUGGGCCUUAGUGGAGAAGAGGAGAGGCGGCCAGGGCAAGGGCCGCGCGCCCCUCCCCCCUUGUCCGAAUAGGACAAGGAGAGGGGGGCGGUGCCCCCCUUCCUUCUUCUCCUCUACCUCUCCCCCCCAAGUCCUAAUCCAACUAGGAAACGGGGGAAUCCUACUCCCGGCGCACCCCCCUUGGCCGGCCGCACCUCCCCCCUUGCUCCUUUAUAUACGGGGGCAGGGGGGCACCCUAGACACAACAAUUGAUCGUUUGAUCUUUUAGCCGUGUGCAGUGCCCCCCUCCACCAUAGUCACCUCGAUAAUACUGUAGCGGUGCUUAGGCGAAGCCCUGCGUCGGCAGAACAUCAUCAUCACCACGUCGUCGUGCUGACGAAACUCUCCCUCAACACUCGGCUGGAUCGGAGUUCGAGGGACGUCAUCGGGCUGAACGUGUGCUGAACUCGGAGGUGCCGUGCGUUCGGUACUUGAUCGGUCGGACCGUGAAGACGUACGACUACAUCAACCGCGUUGUGCUAACGCUUCCGCUUUCGAUCUACGAGGGUACAUGGAUAACACUCUCCCCUCUCAUUGCUAUGCAUCACCAUGAUCUUGCGUGUGCGUAGGAUUUUUUUUGAAAUUACUACGUUCCCCAACAGUAGGGGGUGGGCUAUUUAUAGCCAGGAGGCAACCCGACCUGAUUUGUCCGAACUGACCCUGGGUCGCUAAGGAACCGACACAUGUCCAACGGUCGGAUUUCAAACACAUGCGGCGGCUUGACUUCGGCUACAAGUAAAGCUGACUCAUCCAGCUCUGGAUAAGAUUUGCUCUCAUUGUCUUCGCUCAAAGACAUAGGAUUUGGUUGAGCAUCACAUCAGUCACUCUGACUUUGUUCACUUGGAACCCACUUAGCAGUAUGGUGGUUCCUGUGACUCAACAAAGAAGAAAAGGAAACUACGGAACAACUAUGCUGUCGCAUUCCAUAGUCUUCACGUGAAUGUCAUCUCAUGUCAUAAUCUUCACUGCGAAUAUCUUCACAAACCACCAUUGUCUUCAAUGUCUUCAUACAUUUUUAGGGGUCAUCUUUGGUAGGUAAACCGAAUCAAUAAGGGACUACUACCUGUGUUAUCCUGCAGUUCUCACAAACACAUUAGUCCCUCAACCAAGUUUGUCGUCAAUACUCCAAAACCAACUAGGGGUUGCACUUGAUGCACUUACAGAUUUUUAGGAAGUCGUGCAACAAACUAAUCUAGACAUCCGAUUGCUACAACAACCUCCAAAUAGCCUUGAGUUUAAUUGUUUGGACCUCUGCUUUCAUAACUCCCUCCAGUAUCUAACCAACUGCAAGCCACCUACAAACAUCCAGGAACUGGUACAGGGUGUGGAAGAGGAAUUCGAGAACUAUGAUCCCCACAAGUUGUACAGAAGCUUUAUCACAUUAGAAGCAGUUAUGUUUGAAGUUAUGAAAGACAAAGGAGGAAAUUGUCACACCCUGAUUUUCAUGCCACAACACUUAAGCUAAUAAAUCAUGAUAAAAUGUGGUUUGACAAAAACUUUUGAGUGUUUUGGACCUUACCUUGAUUGGAUUUUGUAUGUUGUUUGCAAGUGCUCUAAAAAUCAAAUAAAUCCUCCAACUCCUAUACUUCAUCUCCUUUCUCCAAACUCUUGAACCAAUGAUCAUGCCAUGUGUAUAGGACAUAAAAAUAAUUUCUUACAAAAAUAAUUUGGCCAAAAAGUAUUUUCUAAAAUUAGUUUUCCAAAAACCCUUGAAUUGAGAUUUGCACUGCAAGUACUUGAUUUGAGGUGUGAAAAAUAUUUCAAAAGGUAUAUUUGAAACCUAUUAGAUAUAGGAUUCCCAGAAACCACAAAAAUAUAAUUUGAAAAGUUAUUUUCCUAUUUUAUUUAAAAGCUUUUUCUUAAGGCCAGAAAUGGUCUUUAAUAGGGAAAAAAUAUUUUAUUGUUUCAAAAAUAUUUGACAAAAUCAGGGAAACUCAGGGGGCAUAUAUUUCCCAUAUAUAAGAGUUUCAACACAUGGUCAUGUUCAAAAUAUUGGUCAAAUCCCUCAAAAACCCUUUCUGGAUAUUUCAAGCUUUUGAAAUAUUUACAAAGGAAAUAUUCCCCAAAAAUUCCAAGAAAAUUCUAUCAUGUCUCAUAUGACAUGUUUGAUGAGCUUGCCAAGCCUCAUGUCAUGGAGAAUAGUAUAACCCCAUGGAAUUCCCUCAAAACCAUUUCUGCCCAUUUCAAGGAUUUGAAAUAUUUCUACAGGAAAUAUUUUCAUAAAAAUCCAAGAAAAAUCCAUCAAGUCAAAAAUGCAUAUUGUGACCACCCUGCAAAGCCUCAUGUCAAUCAAGGUCAUUUUGGUUCACCAAAAUGCCCCAAAACCCUCUCUGACCAGAAUCAAGUUUGAACAAGUUUGUACUACCAACUUUCUCUCCUUGACCUCAACUUUUGUGAGCAUGUUCAUAUGCCCAAAUGAGGCCACUACACCAAGUAGUGCAUCAAGGAGAAGUGUUAUGCUCAACUAGAUCUACACAAGUCUAUUUCUGCUCAUUCCUAGGGUUUACAAAAGUUGCAUUGGCAACUUUGCCCAAAUAAGCUCCAAAUUGGUGGAAGGCCCUAAUUUUAUGUGUCAUUUCACCCUGUGGAGUCUCAUGGCAAUUGGAAAUCAUUUGCUUGCCAAACCCUUUAUCAAACACCUUCUGCCACUUAUCAAAAAUCACCAUUUUGACCACUAAAACUAUUCUCCUUGAGCUCCACUUUUUACCACAGCUCCUCCUAGACCUCUUCUACCUCCAGUAGCAAUGGCUGCAGCUCGGGUCAAUAAUUGAGGGGUGAAACCACCUCUUUUACCUCUCUGAACAGCCCUAGCACCCCUCUUCCUCACCUCCCUCCUCACUCCAGUGGCCACCCAAGGCAUCCAAGGCUUUCCCCACAUUCUUUACUCCUCCCUAGAGCUACCAGACACACUUUGUCGUGCCCACUUUGCCAAAAAAAUGCCAUGCCGGCCAUUUGCACGCUCUGGAGCGUGCUACAGUGCGCUCCCGCACUGUAGCCGCCCCCUGCCAACCGCCUCCGGCCACCUCGGGCCUCCCCAGCGUGUCUCACGAGGCCGCCUCGGCGUCUGGGACAUGGCAAGCUGCCGGCCCCCUCCUAAACCUCUCCCCUCUCUCCUCCAUGGAGCUCGCCCGAGUGCGCCGUAGGCCGCGUCCACGGUGCACCACGGCCCCUCUAUUUAGAGGCCCUCCCGAGCUCUCCUACGGCUUCUUCCUGCUCUCCCUCUUCCCCAGCAAUCUCCCAGACAAGACACCUCUACCCCUCGCGCCCUCCUGCCCCCUCCAUGGCUGCCAUGGUCGCCGUCGGCCUCCACCCGGCUCCGGCGAACCACUUCGGUGACGAACAUGCGAGCUAGGACGCUUCCCAGUCAGAAUGCCUGUAGGGUUAAGGCAGAUGGCAUGGGUCCAAGUUGUCAACGAAGAUUUCCGCUGCGAUGCUAUACUCAAGACUUGACCAUAAUGGUCCUACUUGUGUAAUAUAGUAUGUAUGGAUGUAAGACUCUUGUUAUUCAGCUUCUGUGUGUUCAGUGAGCAUUGAUCUCUGGGAUCACUAUACACAUGCAUUCGGUGAUCACGACUUAUGAGUCGGGGUCCCCAUAGAAAUCAAUAUAAGUUACCACACUUGCACAAGGAUCGUAUUCAGAAUGCUGGCAGGGAAAUAAUCAGUGUAUAUUGCGACAGUCAGGUAGUUGUUGAUACCAGGGCCAUUAUAGAAGAAAUUGAAAUUGCAAUAGGAAAAGAAAAGGGAAGUAAAGAAGUAGUUGUAGAAGGGAAAAGAAGGAAAAGUAAAGGGAAUGGAAGAAGUUGCAAUAGAAGGGAAAAGAAAGAAACAUGAAGAGAAGGGAAGUGAAGUGUAUGUCUUGUGAAUGUCAUGUGUAUUGGAUUAUUGUAAUUAUUUGAAUCUAUUGGAUUUAUUUGAAUUUAUUUCAAUUAUAUGGAUUUAUUUGAAUUAUUUCAACUUAUUUGAAUUUAUUUGUUGCUCGUCUACCCGUACUAGUAUUAGUCCUACCAGUCACCUGUUGUGCAGAGGGUGACUACACUUUUUGUUUAAUAUGGACAUGUGUAGGGUGCUUGCUUGCAUCAGGACAUCAGAAAAGAACAUACUCUCUUGUCUCUCUUGGGAGAGAUUAACUUUAAUUAAGCCAUUUCUCUUGCGAAGCAAGUGCCCUAUUUUACUGACUGUCAAAAAGCCAUAGUACCCCAAAAUAACUUCUGCUUAGUGCUAGAGCAGAUCUUCUCAGCUAAGAUCCUAAUUACUCCUACUAAUGAUGAUAUCUCCUUGGGGCCAAGUGGUUGGCAGUAUUACUCCUACUAGUAUUUUCAUGAUUCAGCGCCAUGCAAAUGUAUUCCAUCAAAAACAGAAUCAAAGACAUAAUGUGGGAGUAGUAGUGGAUAUUUAUUGCCCAUGCUGAUUAUUCACUUCACAGGGUUACCUAGUACUCCAUCAAAAACAGAAUCAAAGAUGGCAUGGCAUGCUUGACGUGAUGUAACUAAUCUUUGUGCCAUAAUCUUUCCCAUUUUAGAAAUGCACUAAUCUUUGCCAUGGAGUACUAUAGAUAUAGAUUGAGUAACUAACGGUGUUACUAAUCUUUGCCAUGGAGUAUUUCUAAAAUGCAUGAAGGUUAUGUAUAGUGAAGUGAAACUACAAUUUUGUCAUGGAUUGGUGAUGGUACUGAAAUUUGUUGGUAAAUCCUUCUGAUUUGGCAGGAUCCACUACUCACCAAGGCUUUUACUACCCUUCAGGAAGCCAGCUGCUUUCCAGAUCAUCAUUUAACAGGGGAGGAGGACACAAGAUAGUGGUUGCCCAGUGCUUUAUCAUCAACACAGCUGGUGCCAAAUCAUCUACUUUCCAUGGCAAUCCGUGAUGGGAAAACCAUUUUAGUAAGUUCAAGAGAAUAAAUAAGUUACAGAUUUCAUGCACAAAGUGCUAGACAGUAGACAUAUGGAGUGAGUUUUUUGCUCGUAAAUCUGCUCUUGCUUAAGCAAGUUUUUGACUGAAACACCUUCAGGAGUGUAACGCCCCGGACACACCCGUCGGUGGUCGUUACUCCUGGCGGGAUUUAGACUGGCCCCACAGAUCAAUACUAGUCUUUUCUAUGCACUUUGUCCUCACUCAUGCGCACCCGGGAGCAACUUCCCGGUCGGUCACCCAUCCUGAAACUACUCCAAGCUGAGCACGCUUAACUUUGGAGUUCUGUCCGAAUGGGCUCCCAAAAAAAGGAGGAAUUCCUUAUUGAUAUGAGUAGUCUAUCAUCCCUAAUAAGCCAGGCUAUCACAUACACCCCCACUCAGAGGAACCAAUGUCCUCGUCGAGCCACAGGAACGUUCCCUCUUGGCACAUACGUCUGUGCAUCCAGUCCGGUACAUGUACCAUGCCGUGUGCCACGACGGGUCAAAAACGUCAUGAACAACAUGACCGCGCACUUGUUCGCAAACAUCCGUGUAACCGCGAGGGUCGGCUCUGAUACCAACUUGUAAUGCCCCGGACACACCCGCCGGUGUCCUUACUCCUGGCGGGAUUUAGACAGGCCCCAUAGAUUAAUACUAGUCUUUUCUACAGACUUUUGUCCUCAUUCGUGCGCACUCGGGAGCAACUUCCCGGUCGGUCACCCAUCCUGAAACUACUCCAAGCUGAGCAUGCUUAACUUUGGAGUUAUGUCAGAAUGGGCUCCCGGAAAAGAAGGAAUUCCUUAUUGAUAUGAGUAGUCUAUCAUCCCUAAUAAGCCAGGCUAUCACAAGUAGACACCACAAAUCAUGGCCUUACCUUUGCUUGUUGGUGCAUUUCGAGCAUCCUGCGGCAGUCCAGCCUUGCGACAGGGGCAACCAAUGAUAGCCGAUACCCUCGAAACAGCCUCACUGACAGCUAUUUCCACUCUUUCCUUGCGGAAAACCUUGACGAUGUGUUCUUCCUCAUCUUGGUCGAUUGGCAUCGUCCUGCCAUUGAUUCCUCGCAGACCAACGCCUUUUUGGGACCACCUCAGCAUAAUAUUCUCAAGGAUGCCAACACUUUGAAGUAACUUCUUGUACUUGUUUCUUUCUUGGUGAGCUCUGAACCGCGCCUAUCAGAAUAAACAGGUGGACUUGCUUAUGGACUGAACAAAAUCCUCAAAACAUUAAGGAUGCACUAGUACACAUCACAUAAUUACUCCACGCGUAAUACAAUGUUCUGUUCUGACACAAAGAUUAGUUACUAAAUCUAGCAUUUUAGAAUUAGUGGCAUUUUAGCAUUUUAGAAUUAGUGUAUAUUUAAAAUGCUGUUGAGACAGUACUAAUUUCAGAGUUCAUAGUUCAUGACUGAAUUUAGAGACAGUAAAAAUCUUACUAAAAACAAAAUUGUUCAGAGAUCGAAUGCUUGCAAAAUUGUUCAGUUAACUGUGCAAAAUUGUUCAGUUAAUUGUGCAAAAUACUCCAAAAUCUAAACUAGCAGAACUAGUGCAAAUAUUUAGUAAAUUUAGUAAAUAUGGAGUAGAGAAGGGAGGUUGACCCAGGCUGUAGGACUUGGGGUUGAUCUGCAGCAGUGCAGAAAACUUGUAGCCGCCGCUGCUGCUGCCAAGUGAGCAGGCGCAACCCACUGGACAGCCCAGCCGUGGUGUUGCAGGCGCGGGUCUUCCACCAAAGAAACAACGAAGAAGACCCAGCCGCCAUCGUAUUCCUCGUGGAGUUGUCGUCACCAUCUUCCACACUCGCAAAUCCAUGACCUUUAGCUUGCCGUUGUCGUCGGGCUCGUCAGCAUUUAGCUUGCUGCAUCUCCUGUCGUCGUCGGGCUCGUCGGCCUCUAUGUUGUUGUUGGUGGUCCGGAUCCAGUGCCUCCGGGAUCUCUGACGGCGGUUCCGACGCAGCCGGAGUAGAGCGCGGCGGUAGCUGGGGAAAUCCAAGAUUCUUUUGAGGAAGGAGGGUGCUUGGGCAGGCAGGCGAGCGGUAGCUGCGGCGGCGGAGCAGGAGGCAACCACGGCAGGAGAGCGGGGGAGCAGGGGAGCUGCGGCGGCAGGGAGAAGGGCAGUUGCUGCUUCUAUCGGAGGAGGACGACGAGGAGCGCGGGUUUGGUCGGGAGAAACCAGAUGUGUUUUUUGCAAAAUUGCCCUCGCGACAAGAAUUACAGGAUGGAGGGAGUGUACUAGAGUAACAAUUUUUGUACAUUUCAUUAACAUAUUUCAAAAUUAUGGGUUUUAAAAUCAUAAUUAAAUUAUGUUUUAAAUAUAUGUGUUAAUUUUUAAGCAUUUUUGAAAUUUAAUCAGGUCUACAAAAGGAACAAAGUGCAUUCUUUCGUUUUUAAGGUUCUUUUGAAAGGCUUAAUUCUUCAUUCACAGCCUACUGCGGGCCUCUGGUCUCAAAUUUAGCCCAGGGGAUCGAAAUUUAUUCCGAGCGGUAUAGAAACUUAGAGCCCACUAGCCCAGCAAACCCUAUUAUCACGUAUAUAACCCCCCCCCCCAGCCGGCCCCCAGUCACUCCAGUCCUGCACUGCGCAGCCGCCGCGCGGGCGCGCACGCACUAUCCAGCCCCUCACCCUCUCCUCUACACACGGCAAACCCUAAUCCAGCCCCGUCGCCCAAAGCCCCAAACCCUAACCCAGCUGCGGCGGGCGACGGUCGAAUCUCCCAGCUUGCCGUGCAUCCGGUCGAUCUCCCACCUCUCGACACCUCGCUUGCGUCCACGGCGGCGCGAACAAGGCAUCGGCAGCGAAGCGAAGGCAAGGGUGCCCAUCGAGCGACGGUUGGAUCUCCCGGCUCGCCGCGCAUCCGGUCGACCUCCCACCUCUCGGCACCUCACGUCCACGGCGGCGCGAACAAGGCGGCGGCAGCUAAGCGAAGGCAAGGGCGCCCAUCGGGUGACGCUCGGAUCUCCCAUCUUGCCGCGCAUCUGGUCGAUCUCAUACCUCUCGACACCUCGCGUCCACGGCGGCGCGAACAGACGGUGGCAGCGAAGCGAGUGCAAGGGGGGCGGCGGCAGAGCUCUCAGUCGUUCCCACAUAUCUGACCUGAACCACCCUCCUUGGCUCUCCAGCAUUUCAUCUCAUCCGACUCAGUCCACGGCGUCGGGGUAUGCUAUUUUAUCCUCAUUCCUCAUUAUAUCAAUCGCUGUCCUCUGAUGUAUAAUUUGUAACGUGAUGGGCAAAUGCCUACAAGCAAUUCCUUAGAUUGAUUUAGUAUCUUUUAGUCCUUCUAAUUUGUUAUAUGAGCCUCUCUAUGUAUUUGUAUGUUGAGUUGCUGACAGAAUGGAUGAUUGUAUGUGUGCUUUACUUUUGUUAAGUGCAAACUAUGAUAUGAUUAAGUAAUCUAUUAUGAGGCCAUUCUAUGCAUAGUUCCAGAGCUAUGGCUUCACAAAUUAAAGUAAGUUAAUCGAAAGUAAAUGGUACUCCCUCCGUCCGGAAAUACUUGUCAUAGAAAUGGAUACAAAUGGGUGUAUCCAGAACUAAAAUACAUCUAGAUACAUCCAUUCCUUGGACAAGUAUUUCCGGACGGAGGGAGUAUUUAUGAAAAAAUCAGGUGUGCAUUUGGUAGUCCUUUCGCUCAGAAAACGUUAUCUGUUGGGUGAGCACGUGUAUGUGCCUAUGUGCUUAAGUUGUUUUUUUCUAUGAUUAUGCAAGUUUCUGUACAUGUUGACAUGAUGAAAAUAACUUGGUUAAUUUCAUAUACUUAGUAACAGUAUUGUCCUGGUUCAUUUUAUUCUUGUCCACAAAUAGUACUAGAUGUAGGUGUUAUACCGCGGCAUUAUCAACAACCCUAUCCUGGUAAUUGUUGUUAAGCUGUGUUUUCCCCAUGGACUAUCAAAUCUUGAAUUGCUGCUUUAAUAUGUGGUAUACUUUAGCUGUAGUUUACAGCUUUUUUAGUUUGUUCUAAUUCUGGCUUUUGAGUAUAUUUUGAUACUGAUUGGAAAAUUUGUGUUGAUUGUUUGAUUUCAAAUAUGUGCUGACUGUCAAUGUGUGCUGAUUGUUUUAUUUAAAAUAAGUGUUGUCUGCCUGCAUUCGGGUUACUUUUUUUUGCUUAUGUUUGAUAAUAUAAGAAUAACAUUCCGUUUUCUGCUUUUAAGGAAUGGAUCAAGCCCAAGCCUUGUUCUUCUUGCAAUGGAUCGGCGCCCACCGGACCCAAAUCGGCGCCCACCGGACCCAAAUCGGCGCCCACCGGACCCAAUUGACUGAAUUUUUUGAUCUUUACUUUGGAGAUGCUGCUGUCAUAUGCAGCAACAUUGGUCGCAACUAUCUGAAGAGUGCCUACCGGUUUGUCAUUGAUACAUUCAAUCGAGGGUAUUGCUGGCAUGGAUCAUUUUCUGUACGCAAUUUCCUGGUCGCUGGUGAAUUAUUUAUGAUGGGCAUACCUGCACUCCACAAGACUCUUGGUUUUCAUGACCUCCUUAUUGAUCUUAGAGCCUUGAGAAAUGCUUUGCUGCCAUACUACUGUGAAGGAAACCAACCUGGAAACGUGUCUGCACUAUUCACAGACCAUCUUCAUUAUAUUACCACUAAUGUCCCAUUAGGAAUUGGACCAUCAAUUGUGUUCCAAUCUAGGUUCAUUCGUCUGAUAUACCAUCACUUCUCGUUCUCAUUGCUGGAUCAUACGUAUUCGUUGUUUUCAGCACUUGCAACAGCAAAAAAUCAUCUUGGGCAGGAUGACGUACGCACAUUUAAUAUUCUCCUUCGACAAGCUUGGAAUGAUUUACUGAUGGACCAGAUUGCAGUAGUUGGUCAAAAUUGGCCUGAUCAAGCCGAACAAAAUCUGAUCUUUUAUGAAAUUAUGUGGUGGCAGAGCAGGCAGGCAGGGGUGGUACCUCCAAGGAGAGGAUAUACAGGUACACCUGAGUCAUUAUACAAUUUUGGAAGAAACAACAGAGUUCAUGCACCUGAAAAAACAAAGGUAUACAUAUUACUAUGUUUGUUGUAAAAAAAUGUCACAUUUGGGCUGGAGACAAAGCAACGUUGUAAAUUUUACCUCUUCUGUCAUUUCAGGGGCCAAAGGGAGCUUUGCUAGGGGAGAUUCAGCAAGUGCCACCCCAUGGUGCAGGGCGUUGGCGAUGGAUGAUCAUUACUCCUGAGGGGGAAUGGGGCUGGGCGUGGCAGCCUGCUCAAGGGCAGUGGUUCUGGCCGACGGUUCCAGGUGAUACCCAGUGGCGAAUGACCAAGUGGCCAAAUGCUGCACCAGUGCUGCCUCUACUACCAUUAUCUGCCCAGGUAGUGUGAUGAGAUCCCUUGGUUUCAUGGAUACAUAAAAUUUGAGGCAUAUACAUUAAACAGUGUCUUUACAUGCAAACUACACAGGACCAGAAAAUGGAUAAUCCAGAGAAUGUGGGCCAUAUGGUAGGGAAGGAGUUUGGGAUGUUCUUUGCUCAUGCCACGGCCUUUGUCCUCCUAUUCUUACAGUGUGGAACUCCAGAGUAGUAAGUUUUUUCUUCAUAUUUGUUCAAAUUUGGCAAAGAAAGUGCAUAGAAAAUAAUCAAAAUUUCUUCUGAAUACAGUAUUGAUCAGCCUCAUCAGAGAUACGAAGAGGCAAUGGAUAGUUAACUGCAGAGUAAGUACCUUGUACACACUUGUAUUUUCCGACCAGUGAAGCUUGAUGUUAUGGUCUGAUGCCAUUUUUUACACUUGUACAUGUGAACAUAAAUCACAUAUGUAUUUUACAUCAUGGAUUUAUAUUCUUGUCAUUCAAUCUGCUAGAGCCAAUUUUUAGUUGCGAAAUAGGCCUGAGAUAAUGUCCUAUUUUAUGUGAGUUUGAAUAGGGAACAUGAAGUUGACUAGCACACAAUUACUAGAGUUUAAAGUGUAUUGUCAGGUCUAUGCUUCUCUCGGUGUUCUUUUUUUGUUAGCUAAAGCUUGCCAUUCUGAUGGAACUUUGUACGGCACAUAUAUUUUGAGUAAAUUACUUGAAUUACAGACUCAAUGUACAUACUAUACCUCACUUACCACUACGAGCUACUAUUUAGGGAGAAUUUGUGUUGCUGAAAUUCCACGUGUAAAGACAUGUUUCGUAGAUCUACAUGUCUAGAUUCUAUUUGUUUUUAAAAAGUGCAGUUUUAUGUUGCACUUCUUUAUUGAAUCCAGGCCUGCGUAGCAUACCCCGAAAGUCUUAAAUCUGCAGCUAUGUGGAAUUGGCUCUUAAUUUUGUAGCUCUGUAAUUUUUGUACUUAAACAAGUACUCCCUCCUUAAACUAAUAUAAGAGCAUUUAGAUUACUACUUUAGUGAUCUAAACACACUUAUAUUAGUUUACAGAGGGAGUAGUUUGGUAAUGCUUUGUACUUUGGGGAUGGGGACACAUUUCACAUGAUACAUGUAGGGAUCCAAGUUACGGCCCCGCUAGAACCUGCUUUAUUUCCUUCCAUCACGCUAAUCCUUUGUUAAGAAAGUUUGAUCUUAACAUUUGCCUUUUAGGCUCUGUUUUAGGGUGUUCUCCUUUUUGGGAAUAUGCAACCUGGGCUGCCCAGGCAGUUUGGGUAUAGAUGGGACCUUGGAAAGGGUGAUUCAAUGUUUUGGGAGGAUAAAUGGAUAACUGACUAUCCUUUAUGCACCACUUAUUUGAAUCUUUAUAAUAUCUGUAAUGAGAAGAACCAUUCAACUUGUCUAUGAUGAACAAUUUCUCUUUGGAUAAUGGUUUCUGCUGUUGGUUCACAUUUCUCUUUGGAUAAUGAUCCCCCCAGGAGGAUGUUGCAUUCUGCUGGGGUGUAUACUGUGCAAUUUAUUUAGAAGAAAUAGUUUGGCUUGUCGUUUAUAACCCAUCUGCUCUACAGGUCAUGCUGUUUUCUCCCAUUGCCGAGGCACAGCUGAGAGGAGUUUCGAUGUUCCAAUGCUGGCAAGAUUUAAGUUGAAGGCUGCGGCUAUGAGCUUGUGGGCUGAUUCGCAAUGCGUUCCAGUUUGAUCAAAUUCUCCAAAAGUUGCACUGAUGAGCCAAUGCAUUGCUGAGUGAUUUUUUUUGUAAUUUUCUGUUGCUUAGGUCUACUUACUGAAUCAGUGAAUCUUAUUGAUUCAUGUUGCUCAUGACUUCCUUGUAAAAAAUUAACAUACUAUAGCAUCUUACCGGAUCUUUUUUUAUCAAUUGGCGUGUACUGUUUUGUACUGCCUCCUUUUGGAAAUAUUUGUCGGAUAAAUGGAUGUAUCUAUAGGUAUUUCAGUUCUAGAUACAUCCAUUUUUAUUCAUUUCCCGGACAAGUAUUUUCGGAUGGAGGGAGUAUUAUGUUUGAGUUUUGGAAUGGUAGUGUUUUCUUCAAGUAGGAAACUGAUAGCUCCUACUCCCUCUGUCUGAAAAAGCUUGUCCCAAGCUUGUUUCUCAAAUGGAUGUAUCUAGAACUAACUUAGUGCUAGAUACAUCAAUUUGAGGGACAAGUUUUUUCUGACGAAGGGAGUAAUAAGGAUUUCAAUUGCAAAACAGCAGUUUAGACUGAGUUUGGUUGCUGCAUUCGUUUAAGAUCAUUAUGCUGCGUUUGGAUGUUUGUAUUUGGGCUUGGAAAUGUGAUUUGGUUUUGGUAGGGGUUUAAUUCAGAUGAUCGAAUGUGCUUUGUGGUAGAGCCUGGUAACCGAGUAAAAUGCAGGUAUGGUAUACAUAUCACGUAUGCCACGUCGGCCAAGGGCCCGCAGUCAGACGACUUGGUCAUCACUGGAAGAGGGUGAGAUAACGAAGUUGUUUCCUACCCUAGCCGCCGCCACCAGCCAAGCGACUAGGGAGGCGAUCUCUUUCCUCCUAUCUCCACCAGCCGGGGCGCUGGUCCCCUCUCCCUUCGACCGCUGCUCCGGCGGGAGGGGGGACCCGUUCCUCCGCUUUUUAAAUAUAUUUAAAAAAUAAAGUAUGCUAUGUCGACACUUCUCACUGCACCACUUUUUCUGUGAGGUGCUCGGGCACUUUGGCCUGGAAUUUUAUGAGACCAUGUUCAUCAUCUAUUAUUUCAGUAAAAUCAGCUGAUUUGUCUGUGCACUCGAUUGCGCAGCCCAGGGCCUAAGCAAACAACACAGGUCCUUUAUCUAUGAAACUGCCGUCAUGGCCAUGUUCUCCUUGGCGAAAUGGCCUAUCCACCAAUGACGCUCAUCGUAUGGGACCCCAUAGUGAAAUCUAUGAGUACCAGGUCAACUGAUCAGUAAUUUCAGUGAAAGAUGGCAGUCACAAGACUUCUUUCGACAUAAUAUGUUGAUCAGCCAAGUGGAUCGUUCAUUACUGAGUGAUGGAGUUCCAGAAUGAUUAUGGGCCGAGCAGGUCGUUGAAUCCUAAUACCGUGAUGGAAUUCUCAAAAGCGGAAAACCCGAGAGUAACCGCUCAUCUGAAGAAGCCUCAAUCUCCUCAAAAUUAUGAUAGUCUGCUUGAAGUGACCUAACCGUUGGCGAAAGACUCUAUUCUGAAGGUUUUGACCUCGUGCCUUGGCUCGUUUACUCCUUCCUCCGCCUCGGUGUGGCUUUAAAUAUAUUAAAAAAAUAAAACAUGCUAUGUCGACACUUCUCACUGCACUGCUUUUUCUUUGUUUUGCCUUUAGCUCGGAACCAGCUGUCGUUGGCGAGCUUGCUAAAGCUAUCGAGGAGGGGGAGGGCGUUGAUAUGAAAUAUAAUUAGUCUUCGAGCAGGACCGAACAAGGUGUCCCCUUGUGAGCUGAUCUAGUAUCUCCAAAAAACUAAAUGCAGGAAAAUAGACCCAGUUGGUAUUACUUUCUCAAGCAGGUGCAAAUUUGCUACAUCUUGUAGGCGCAAUCUUCAGGCCAUCGUCGGAACAUCAAAAAGCGGUACUCCAGUAGGGGGUGAGGGUACAUCCCGAGAGGAACGAAUCCCCCCUUGAGCUAGUGGAGAGGAGCGUACUGCCGGGUUGCAGAUGCAGCGGUUGAACGUCUCGGAGCAGGGGUGGUAGAAGAGGAGGAGGCAGUCGCAGGAGGCCUCAGUUUCCAAGCAGUGAUUACAGAUGAACGAACCCUCUAGUCGCGCCACGGACUAGAACCGGUCGGCCGGGGCGACCCCUCCACGGUGGUCGAAUGGGACAAUGUCUAGGAACCAACCGCUGUUGGUGAGUUUGCUGAAAGCUAUCGAGGUAAUGGUCGCUCUCGACUUUGUUCUUCGGAACAAUGGAGCGAAUUAAUAACUUAUUGGAAAUAAUACAUACCGAUGUAUGCGGUCCGAUGAGUGUUGAAGCACGUGGCGGGUAUCUUUAUUUUCUGAUCUUCACAGAUGAUUUGAGUAGCUAUGGGUAUAUCUACUUAAUGAAAUACAAGUCUGAAACAUUUGAAAAGUUUAAAGAAUUUCAGAGUGAAGUGGAGAAUCAUCAUAGAAAGAAAAUAAAGUUUCUACGAUCUGAUCACGGAGGCGAAUAUUUGAGUUACGAGUUUGGCCUUCAUUUAAAAUAAUUUGAAAUUGUUUCACAACUCACACCACCUGGAACACCACAACAUAAUGGUGUGUCCUAACGUCGUAACCGCACUUUAUCAGAUAUGAUGCGAUCUAUGAUGUCUCUUACCGAUUUACCACUAUCGUUUGGGGGUUAUGCAUUAGAGACAGCCGCAUUAGGUUUUGGAUUUGUAGGUCGUGGUGUGUCGUUGGGGUGGUGGGGCCAGCGCUCGGACGAAUAAAUCUGCUUCAACUCCACUCCCACACCAGUGAUGCCUUUUAUGACGGUGUCUCGGAGUUGAUGGCAUCGUGUCUCUGCUGAUCCCUCAUAUCGUCAGCAUCUGGGUUCAUGGAUGGUGUUGGUGAGGCGGCGGCGACUCCAUCAGGUGUGUCUCUCCUUUUUCUCUGUCCUCGUUGCUGUGGCGUUGUCUCUGACGUCAUGGUGGAGCAGAGAGGUUUUGUCAUUCCGGAGUACGCGCAGGCGGUUGUCUAUGCAAGUGACAGCUGGAAGAUGGAGUAUCUUGUGUUGGGUCUGUGGUUGAAGGUUGACAGUUCUAUUUUCCUCCUCCGACGUCGUCGUCAUGCGGGGGUGUCAGUUCUGAAGUACGAUGACGUGUCCGGGGACAUGUUGCCCCGUCUGGUUCUUUCAACGGCUAUGAUUUUGCUUCUGGCAAACUACUUUGGAGGUCCGCAAAGCUGUUGAUCAAUGAAGGAGUCGCGUCGAGCUUGGGUGAAGAGGUGAUCUGUCUUUUACCCUUUGGUGGUCGCUUCGGCGGUGUCGAAGGAGAGGGACAAACGCUUGUACUUUGCAUAUGAUUUUCCUAUCUUUUCAGUCAUUGUUUGUGUUUACAUGCCAUGCAACUUGAUCUUUAUUCUAUAUAUAAAUGAGACAUGUAUUACCAUGAAAAAAAAGACAACUUGCUCAUCCCCUGGUCAAAUCGCAGUCGCUAUCCCCAAUCAUCACGGCGUCAACGUUGCAGACAGUUCAAUCUCCGGCGAACCUCCCAUCGCCGUUGGCAUCCUAACCACGCCUCCCCCUUCCGUUGCCAGCGGUGGCUCGCGCCGUGGCUUGCUGGGGCAAGCUUUCCGCAUGAGGCGUGACGGCGGGGAGAGCCCUGACGGCUCCCGGAGGCGGGCCACGUGCGUUCCGCUUCCAUGAAUGAGCAGAUGGUCGUGCGGGCACGUCCUCCUGGUGACGGCUGUCAGAGACUGUAGCGACGCUGUGACGCCCGCUGCUCUACUGACCGCCAUGGAGGUAAAGUGCAGCUUCCUGCCGUCGGAUGUUUAAGGUUGCAAUGCUAUUCUGAAUUUGAAGGGUUGUGUCUGUCGACCAUUGCUAUGCAGGGUUAUGAUAUGGAUUUGUUAUGAAACGAAAUUUCUUUGUGUACUGCAAGUAAUUGGUGGAGUUCUGAGACCGCUUUUGCUGUGAGAGUGCUUGUGCUGUGUAGUAUAACCGUGUCCUUUUGCUGAAUCAUGAACUGAGAGUACUUGUCUUGUGUAUGGCUCUCUCCAUUGCACAUAUUUAUUUGAGUAUGACUGUGCACUUUUGCUGAAUGAAAAUAAACAGUUUGAGACUACUUUUGCACAUACUUUUGCAUAGUUUAUGACAUGGCUGAGCUGAGAGUUCUUGUGCAUGAAAAGAUAUCAAUACAUGUGCAAGAAUAUUGCAAUUGAGACUGAACUGAACUUGUGCAUUUGUAAUAUCAGCGCAACAGUACUUGUGCUCAAAUGAUCUGAAUUUGACCAAAUCUGCAUGAACCACAACACAUCUGAACUGAAGAUAAUAGAAGUUCAUAUAUAUGACUGAAUCCGCAUCGAACAGAACAUUGUUUAACUGAAUUUGCCUGAACCGCACCACACAUGUAGGUCCUGGAUAGUACAUAAGCCAUAAUUUAGGAAAUAAAAGAGAGAUCCAACAGCCUGAUCAUAAGCAGAACAUAGCCAUUACAAGCUCUGUAGGUGAUCAUAAGCAAAAGACAGAAACACUUCUAGUAGUUCAUUAACAAAAGACUGAAGCACGUGCAUUUUACUCCUAGAAACCUCAUCCAAUACAGAGCCGAGGCGAAAUCCGCGCAGACAGCCGAGGUCGACGCCUCUCCUCUGCCCGCAGGAGAGAUUCUAUCUGUUUGACCGGUCGUCAUCAUCUUCUUCUAGCUAAUCUGGCUGCCUUCCUAGUUAAAUGUUGUAUCUUCUGAUUCUUCUAUGCUAUCCGAUGUGCCAUUGGAUUGAUCUCCAAGAAGGUAACAGCACUAGUUUGGACUUUGGAGGCCAUCAAGAUUCCCCCUAUGCAUUGCCACCUCUGCGUUCACCCACUCUAGAUCCACUGACGAUCUCAAAAGAAGAAGAAAAUGUGACGCGAAUUUUGAGGACAUGCGGCCACGCGAGGUCGUUAUCUCGUGCGUCGGCAGCGCGUCGCGAUCGGCAGCUAAUAUAGCAACUCCUCCCCACUAGCAAAUACGGCAUAGUGUUUUAUUUGUUCUUAGCCGGGAUACGCCCGCUAUACGCUCUCAUUUAUGGGCCAGUAUGCAUUUACUUUUGUACAAAUACAGCGUUGUCUGUUAGCUAGUCGACACGCUGGGACACCCGUUCGGUGGUGUGGUCAUAAACGCCCUGACGUCGGGUCCACCAUCAUUUAGCAAGCGGGCGAGCCGUCUCCGACCAGUAGCACUGUACAUCUUCUUGAAGCUGCGCACUGGAGGAGGCGCAAAGGGGGGGAGACGGCAUGGCUUCAGCAGAAACAGAGAAAUCCAGGUCAUCCCCGGCAAGAUCCAUAUGAAUACCCUUGUUUUCUCAGCAUCAUAGUACUAGACGAACUAUAAUCGACCCCCCUAUCUUCCAUAGCAUGUCGCCGAUUAUGGGGGAAAGCAACGGAUCUGUGUGCUCACGAUUAUCGUGGGCGAGUGCUAGUUGCCCCGAUUCUGCUAUUUUUGGCGUCGAUUCGGAGAGGCUGAGCAUGCUGCGAGAGGUUACCGAGGAUGACCCCAGUGGCAGAUUUGCGGAUUUGAUGGAUUCUGUUGACGUUAGGUUAGAAACAGGCAAUGUGGAUCUAGAUGACAAUAGGGCUUCGAGGAUGGAGAAUAGAUAUACGGCUCUUGAUGACAAAGUUGGAUGGGUUACAAGGUAACUAGUUCCUGCCACAAGUUAUCGUUUUCCUUCACGCCUCUUUAGAUAAAUCAUACAUGGGCUCACUUUCCUUGCCGUGUUCAGGAACAGGAAGGUGGCAAUGCCAGAUGAGAGAGCAACAAGUGCUGAAAGGGUGACAGCCCUGGAAACAGCACUCACAGGAUUUGCCGAAAGAAAAACAGACACGGUGGUGACACCAUCGGUUGGGCUGACUUUUGACUCUAUAAUCGAGGCCUAUGAUUUUUACAAUCUUUAUUCCUGGGAGACAGGGUUUGGCAUCAGAUAUGCAAAGAGCAGAACCAAUGUCAAAGGAACGAGAUGCAUGCAGGAGUUUGUGUGUUGCUGCUCGGUGAGUAACCACAAUAUCAUGCUGAUUCUUGCUUCAUGUUCGGAAAGGUCGGACAGGUCACUUACCAUCUUUUGAUUUUUUUGAUAAAAUCAGGGCAAGCCAAAAGAGGCGAACUCAACAUCAUCACGGUGUCAAUGCCAAGCCAUGAUAAGACUCUUGCGUAUAGAUGACGAUGGCUGGUACAUCAACGAAUUCAGGUCCAGCCACAAUCACUCGAUGUUGAACACAUGUGCUGAGAAACUCCACUUCCCUUCAUAUAGGCAUAUUGACAAAUAUACGAGAGAGAUAGUAUCUCAACUUAGAGAGAAUAAUGUGAACCUGAGCAAAGUUUACAACAUUCUUGCAACUUUUUUUGGAAGGGUAGAAAACGUUCCGUUCACCAAAAGAUGCUUGAGGACACUGUGUGGGAAGCUGAGUAGGGAGCAGGCGGACGAUGAUGUACAGAAGACUAUGGCCAUCUUUUCAGAAUUGAAAGUCCAAGACGGCGAGUUUACUUACAAUGUGCAGGUAGACGAUGAAAGUAGGAUACGCACUCUCAUGUGGACAAAUGGGCGUAGCAAAAAACAAUACCAUCACUUUGGCGAUGUGGUCACAUUCGACAUAACAUACAAGACCAAUCUAUACGAUAUGCCAUUCGGAAUUUUUGUUGGCGUGAACAACCACUUCCAGAGUGUGUUGUAUGCUGGUGUGCUCAUGCGAGAUGAGAAGGUCGACACUUUCAAAUGGAUUUUUGAUGAGUUUGUGAAGAUGAUGGGAGGGAAAAGACCAAUUACAAUUUUGACAGGUAAAAUGAAAUGCAUCUGUGUUAUUCCCUUUUAGUUGCGUGAAGAUCUAUGAUUGACUUGUAUGUCGUGUUGUGUAGACCAAGCCAGGGCGAUGGAAGUCGCUAUUGAGGAAAUAUAUCCAGAUGCAACACACAGAUGGUGCAAGUGGCACAUCCUGAAGAAGGCCAAAGAGAGCCUGGGGUCUAAUUACACAAAGAAGUCUGAUUUCAGGGCAGAAUUCCACAAGUUGGUCCACGAGAUGCUCACCAUCGAGGAGUUCGAGGACGGGUGGGCAGCGUUGCUUGAGAAGUACUCACUGACUAAGAACACAUACCUGACGCAAAUUUACGAAACAAGGCAGAAAUGGGCCAAACCAUAUUUUGCAGGAAAAUUCUGUGCCAGGCAAACCAGUACUGGAAGGAGUGAGAGCGCAAAUCACAUGUUGAAACAAUAUGUUCCACCUUCUUGCUCAAUGAAUCUUUUUGUCAAGCAAUAUAACAAGCUACAGUUUGACCGUGAACAAGAAGAAGGGUUCCAGGAGAAACGAACCAGGCUGGUAUGACAAAUUCCACAUAAUGUCCGCCCGACAACCAAAAACUCGUGGGGCAUUUAACGAUAUAUAUUUUCUCUCUUGUUGUUUUACUGCAGAGUGGAGCUGUCUUGAAGGUCAACACCCCACUAGAAGUGCACGCUAGCAAGAUUUACACCAGGAAGAUGUUUGAGAUUUUUGGAGGAAUAUUGUAUGAAUCCGGAAGCUAUGAUGUAGAAGAGAUCAUACCAAAGCAGAAAUACAUGGUGACCCACGUCAAGGCUGAAAAGCGAGAGAAAUGGUUCAAAUGCCGAUAUGAGGUCAAUGUGCUUGAUAAUCUGGGGUAUUUCUCGUGCAUAUGCAGCCUGUUCGAGCACAUGGGUAUUGUCUGCUGUCACUCGCUGCAAGUUAGCAAGGUGGCAAUUCUACACCUAGGGAUUUCAUCUCACCUCCAAUAUCUGAAUAAGCGGGAAACUGACUACCUGGGUUUUUUUAUCAUGCAUAUGUAGCUCCCCUGCUGCUUGGGCGAUGCACCUUCUGAUAUUAUAUGUUCUUCACAGGUCAUGAAUGUGCUCCGGCUUAGGGAGAUUCCCCAUAGGAACAUCUUGAAGAGGUGGAGCAUACAUGGCAGAGAUAAUUUGCCGGAUCAUCUCAAACAUUACCAACAGGACAUGGGCCCGCCGGACGCACCCACUUAUAGACAUUCUGCUUUGUACAUCACUGCCCUGGAGGUGGUUAAAAUGGGCGACAGAAACCUAGAAGCAUGCAAAUUCAUGUUGGAUGGAUUGGUGGAUCUUAGGGAGAGAGGAGCUGAGAUUAGCGCACCAAAUGAUGGCCUAGGCAUCGUUGAGCAGCAGGUCUCGAACAAUGGAGUUGCGGGUGGUUGCAGCAAGAAAACCAAGACUUGUAAGGUGGCGUGCUCUAUAAGAAGUGUUGAAGGGAAUCACAUAACGGCCAUAGGAGAAACAUCGGUGUCGGUUCAUCCACCAGCAAACCAAGGCGAGGGGGCACCGACGUCCAAAGACAUGGCAUCAGAAGGAUCCUGUCCAAAUGCAGAUAGCUACAAUUCAGACUUUUCUGAGGCUGCAUCCAGGUUUACUGUCAAUCUGGAUGAGAGUCUGCUUGCACCAGAAAGGAAAAAGAAACAUGGCCGGCCAACAACAAGUAGGGACAAGGCUCCAUAUGAGAAGGGAAGCAACAAAAGAUCAAGGUUUUGUUCGAUCUGUAGGGGCAAAGGCCACAAGUCAAGCACCUGCCCCGACCGUGGUGACGCCCCUAGAAAAGAAAGGAAAGUGGGCACAUGCAGCAAGUGUGGAGUGCCUGGGCAUAGGAAAACAACAUGCAGCAAGCCGCUCUUGUCCUCGAUGGCCGGUGUUCCUCCAUCUCAUUAGUUUUUCCAAAAUGUUUGUAUGAACUUCUCGUCCCCUGUAUUUGGUUGUUGUAUUAAUAAAAGUUCUCGAACGUUGUUGACUUCAAAAUGCAUCUCAGUAGGUGCCAUGUUUUUCUGUACAGUCACCCAUCAUCCAACUGGAGCACAUUGUUUUGCCACAAGGUUGGCUGUGUCCAUGCGUGUCUGGCUAGAGCACGUCUGUAACCUGGUGCGCCAUGGGUAAAUUUGAAAAUGGCGUUUAAGCCCGCGUCAGGUCACGAAGGUAAAUGAAGCAUUCAAGCUUACAGCUAUGUGGGGUCUGCAGAUUUCAAAAUUCAAACAUAUCCGCCCGCGCCUAGAGCGGGGGCUAUAUAAACACCUCGUGCAUGUGCUAGAUGGGCACAGCAAGCAUCAUGUUGAGCUCGUCUUCAGCUGUCUCAUACUCAGGAGGCAACACAGAAACAAUUCAGGUGCUCGUUCGCCUCUUCUUUGUUUCUUUCAGUGCGCACGUUUUGUUCCCCCUCCUCAUGCAUUACAUUUUUUAUGUAUACAGCGCGAGGUGCGUGCAGUUAGUACAGAAGGGCAGUUGGGGAGACAAGGUGUUGCUCAACCUCAGAACGAUGUAAGCUUUUUCCGAUGGUUGCAUUCUCAAUGAACACGAUGUUGGCUUUCAUGGAGUCUUACAGUUGGGAUGCACAAACUCUAUGAUUUUAGGGUAGCGUGCGUGCGGCAGAUAUCGGAGGUGAGAAUGAAGAAUGCGUGGCAGCCAAUGCAUCCCUGGAUGCAGAAGUUUAUGAUUUAACAGAAGGGUCGGGCGAGAACGACCCUCAUGAGUCUGCAGAGCUGGCGCAAGAGAUAAAACCUGAACCUGCUGAGGAUCGACUAUUUCACGUUGUAGUAUACAGGUGGGCGUGGGCUUCAUGGGAAGACGACGACGAGGUCGACAGUGUUGCAUGUAAAAGGCCCAAACUGUAUUGAUGCCCAAUGGGCCAGCUGUGGUAACCGGUUCGCGUGCGCCUAGGUGUAUGACGCUUGUAUGACUCAUGAAUAAAAAAUGUCCGACGGCGCAAAAAUUCUUUUCUUGCCUAUGGUUUUAUGAACACAGCAAAUGCAUCAUACAUGCCUACUGUCUGAUCCUAGGAUUUAGGGUUUGAAAAAAAAUGUAAACAAGCUGUCUGUAUAUCCGUUGGGUGUGUGUAAAAGAUGGUGUGAUAUUGCAAAAGGCAAAAAAAUAAAAACUGCAUUAUAGACAACACGCAAAAAGUUGGAAAUGAAAUGGCGUCGUUCGUUAAAUAAAAGUUGUAAGGAAUGGCGUCGGUUCGUUUUAAAAAAAAGUCGGAAUGAAUAGCGCCGUUAUGUUUGUAGCUUUCAACAUAAAAGAAAACCUAAUUUGAAAGAUCUAUUAAUUCUGGGGGAAAGACAAACCCUGGUGACGCACGUUAGGCCUAAAUUAGCCAGGGCGAGUUUUCCGCAAAGAAUAAAUGACUACACCCACCUUCUGCGUUGGUUUCGAAAAGGAAGGGGAGAACCUAAAUCGAAUAAUCUAGAUGCCGCUCUUCAACGAAUCGACAAGAAAAUUCCGCGUAGGAGUGGGUGCACGUCAAGAUAGAAAAGGAUAACAUAAUUUGAACGGUCCAUUCCUUCUGGGAAAAAGCCGAUCCAUGGUCACCCACGUGAAGCAGAAAAAAAUGCGCUGGUGAGAUUUUCCGAAACACGAACAAAUGUGUGUUCCCACACAUGACUUGCACUCGUGAAAAACCUAAAGUCGAAUAGUUCAUUUGUCGCUCUUCAGUGAAUCCACAAUAAGUUCUAUUGGGCACAAAACAGCCGCGUAGGAGUGGGUGUAUUCUAACCACAUGCAAUUCUCGGAGGCUCGAAGGCAACAUUUUCAGUUCUCGGUGUAAAAAAAGAAAGCCCGAGCCUACCACAAUGUUUACGAGAGGGCUUGGCAUUUUUUUCGGACAAUAGGUUUGAAUCUAAACUGCCCGCAUGUUUUAUGAAUGCUAGCGUGGGGCAUUUUAUUUGAUACGGUAGUUGACACAACCGCCACCCGCGAGAGUGUCGACGGCCGAUCAUCAGACACGAAUCUCAGCGGGACGAGAAANNNNNNNNNNNNNNNNNNNNNNNNNNNNNNNNNNNNNNNNNNNNNNNNNNNNNNNNNNNNNNNNNNNNNNNNNNNNNNNNNNNNNNNNNNNNNNNNNNNNNNNNNNNNNNNNNNNNNNNNNNNNNNNNNNNNNNNNNNNNNNNNNNNNNNNNNNNNNNNNNNNNNNNNNNNNNNNNNNNNNNNNNNNNNNNNNNNNNNNNNNNNNNNNNNNNNNNNNNNNNNNNNNNNNNNNNNNNNNNNNNNNNNNNNNAUGUUGGUGCAUAAAAUGAAUAACCCCAACUUUCUACUCUCUCAUACAUCUUCACGGGUCAGAAACCAACUGAAGAUUACCAAUGACAUGGACCCAGAAUGUCCAAUAUAAAUAAAAAAAUUGUGCCUCCCCGAAGGAAAGGUUAGUCAAAAUGUGAACAGUGGUGUGCUAUGGGGGGGGUGGGUGGGUGGGUGAUCUUGCGCUAGGAUUGCGUGACCUGCAUCCGUCAUCACAACAGUGGCUCUGGUUUUACAAAAAUGAGCGGGGGUAUGGGUUUUGAUGGGUGGCCAUGCUUCCUCUAGUUCGCUGUGUCUUGGGCUGCCUAGCAAUUUAGUCCCCGGUUGUCAUCUUGCGCUUGAUCGUGCGAUGGGUGGUUUGCAUACAUAAAGAGGCGUCGACCUGUAUAGUGCUGUGAGAAUUGAUUAGGGCGAUUUACUCUGUAAUUCUUUUUUUCAUAUGGAUUGGUGUGAAUGAUUUUCAAACUCGCCGCAGCGGUGCUCAAUGCAUGCAUGUGUGACCGGAUCACGUGUGGCCGCGUGUGUAGUGGCCCUGGACAGCCGGCUACAUGCUUGCAAAAGGUUCUUCGUACCGAGCAUGUAGUUUAGUUUAAUACAUAGACAUGGUAUGCUAGGAGAUCCCGACCGGAUAGAGGACGUACCGCGCCUUGAAGCCAUGCUCAGCCAGCGAGCACAGGCCAUCAUCGCGCUUUGCCGCCCUGGCAGUCCGAUUUGACGCGAGUAGACAGAGCUGUUUAGUCAGGCAUUACUCUUCUGUACUCUCUACCCCCUCCCCUCCGCGUGCAUAAGAAAGAGCUUGCCCGAGGGGGAGUCUUCCGAGGGAAGCCAUUCAUCUAUCCAAGAACCAGAGCACUCUACCACUGCGAGAGCUCUGCUUCUGGAGCGAGCGCAUCGCCGGAGUGGCGGCCAACUGCGAGGUGAGAAAAAAUCCCUUUGCUAGAUGUAAUACUUUCUCGCAUUUGCUUGGAUGUAUACUGAUGGGGCGCUCUUGUUUCUUGUUCCCUAUUCUCUUUUGCUCUCCUAUCCUUUGUUUCAUUUAGAUGUCCGGGUCUAGCCGUCCAUGUUGUAGCAAGGUUUAUGAGUCUAGGAAGAAAGCCGCGCAGCCAAAAUGCACAGUAGACAGUAGUUUCGCUCCCAAAGAUGUGUACGAAGCGGCUGUUCUUUUUACUGAUGAACAGAGAGAUGCUGUAAGGGAGAUUGGUCUCGGGGGGAUGCUAGCUAUAGGCAACAUAACCCAUGUGGAUCGGGAGAACUGCUGGAGUUUAUUCCUAGAUGUAGACCUUGAGCGUGGUGCACUCAAGAUAGAUGAUGGCGUUUACGUCACAUUCAACGAGGUUGACAUCCACAACAUCUUAGGAAUUGCACUAGGCGGAGAUAUAGAAAUAAAAAAGAGAGAUGUUGCGCCUUCAACGGCACAGCUAGCGCAGAUCAGAGAGUACCUAGGGUUGCACCCGUCGAGCUUUUACAUAACUGUCAGUGACAUUAGAUGGGCGUUGAAGAAACCAUGCCAGACCACCCUGUCUGAAGAGGACAAGAUCAGGAUCCAGGUCGGUUUUGCCAUGCUUUGCAUGGCAACUUGUUUUAGUCCUAGGGAGAGGAGGCACACUGUCCCAACGGAGGCGUAUGCUAUUUGCAUGGAGCCGGCUAACCUGCACAGGGUGAACUGGGGAAGAUACAUUCAUUCUGAGCUCAUCGGCGUAGCCCAGGCGGCCCAUGCAAUACACAGUGAAGGGAAGAGGCCGCAGCUAUACGGGUGCCCGCUAGUGUUGCAGGUGAGGUGCCUGUUUCCAUCGUGCGUAGGAAUUUAAAUUAAUAUUAUGUUUGUUCAGGGCUUGAACUAAAUUGAGUCGGUUUGCUUCCGUGGCAGGCAUUGUAUUUUGACUCGGUCGACACUUCUGCAUCUGUCCAGCCUGACCCGCUUGUGCGCCCCAGAAUAAAGUUCUACACUACCUCCAACUUGUCAAAACUGAUACUCAAAGAUACAGCCAUAGGCAGCGUUCCAAAGAGAUACGGUGUGAUGAAGGUGAUCAUUGGCCUUCAUCCCAUGUUUCUUUUUUUGUGCACACCACCCUUGUUCUGACCCAUGCAUGCAUGCAACAGGCCAGGCAUAUGACGGAUCAAAGCUUGCCAUGGAACAGAGAAAAUGUCAGGAGACAAAUACAGGAGGUGAUUUCAUUAAACCCAUUCUUUUUAGCCACCUGCAGAAGUGGUGCGCACUAACCAUUGUGUUUGGUUUUAGGCAAAAGCUUUCAUAGAUCGCUCACUGAAAGAGCACGCGCUGGCUAGUGCUGAGCGCAAUACUUUGUUCUUUCGCAACUUAACUGCACUUAACGACGGGACAAUCACCUACAUGAACGAGAACAUGCACAAAGAGAUUGAAAGGCACCUUGCUAACGAGAGGGUGAUGAAAAUGCGGGACAUGCAAGCUUUGCUCAAGUACGUGGAUGGGUAGGGCCUGGGUGAUUCAGUAAACGAGCUUAAAAACCAAGUGAUUGUAGUUGCUGCGCAAUCAGGUAACCAGGACAACGCACGUACUCUGUAUCUACCGUUGCAUUAAUUCAGUGUCUGUUCAUUUUUGGCAAAAAACAAAUGAUUGUUGGUUUUAAUGCGCAGGUGCGUACCAGGGGGGUGCUUCCGGGGAAGGAUGCAGUGGAGCACAAGCAGGAGAGCCUGACGAAAUGAUCCCCACGGCAGGCGUCCUUCGUCCUGGUAAGUUUUCCUCUUGCAGUGUGAUAGAUGCGGUAGAUGUUACCAAUUUAUUGAUGCCUGCUGAACAAGGAGUACGCGAUGCAGUUGCCGUCCGUCCAGUGGUAGUUGCUCCCGCGAGCUCUGCCCAUGGCCACAUUGAGCAUGCCGAGACAGGUGAGACCCAGCAUUUAUGCAUAUACCAACAGCGCCAAUGCUUACUUCAGUGAAUUAAAUGAGAAACUGGUUGCUUCCCCUCCAGGUCCGUUCCUUUUGCUGCCUGGGCAGCCACGCAACACCCACCACCCCGGUUCCGUUCUGCCGGGUGUGCCAAUAUUCAUGUCCAUGGGGUCUUUUGGCCAGUUGUAUCUAGAUGGUGGAUUAGAGAAUGUGGUGCAGCCUGUCCGGUGUGGCCAGCAUGAUGCAGGGGCUGGGCGGCCGAUUGGUGAAAAUAUGGGCUUCGUGCAACUGGGGAAGAGGAAAGAAAGGGAGGUGGAGGAUAGCAACGAGAUCAUUGUUUACCAGGGUAGAUGUAAGUGGUUCCUGUGAAUGGAAUUUACUUAUGUCAGGAUACUAAAUUUGUAGUCGCAGCUGAACGACGCUUGUCAAUGCAGGUGCAGCUGUUCAUGAGUUAAACUUGCUGGCAAGGUUUGGUGAGGAGGGAGAUGGGAGGAAGAUCGUUAUCUCCACAGAGAAUGGUGUCUCACCAUUCCGCAUCCCGAAGUUCAAUUACGAAUUUGUGUCGCCUCUAGUCGCCCAUGCCGCUUGGGUACAAAUACAACAGUUAGCCCCAGAUGUAUUGAACAGGUACUGUUGGUCCCAGUGCGUUUUGAGAAAACACUGAAUUUAUCGCAUGUUGUCUGUUCAGCAGCUAGCGUUAUAUCUAACUGAUCGCAUCCCCGCCUUUUUGCAGUGUCUAGGUCGAUCAAUAGGGUCCGCCUCAUGUGAAAAUGACUGGCUAUGAAAUUUAUGAAAACUUUUGUCAGACACUAGAUGACAAGGGUUUCGAAGUCGCAAACAUGAUGAUGAGGGAACAAGAUGCAAGGUGGUACGAUCCUUCAGACAGGGCGCGUUUCCGUCACCCAAUGCCGCCUUACUUUGCGGUACGUAAUUCGAAUCGGCGAUGUUUAGUUCAAUGAUCCAUACAUGAUUAUCGUGGCCUGAGCGUCUUGUUCGUUGUUUCGUGCAGUCCCGAAUCAUGGAGGUGGGCGACGGUUUCUUGAGCGAUCCUUACAUAAAAAACUUGCUUGUUGGGGAGCACCUGGGAUACGAUGUGGAGACAUGCCGCCUGGUAAUCCCCAGCUGAUCCAUAGAUCGUUAGUUCAUAACCAUGUUUUAGCAUGUUACGUGACAGUUGCAUGGAUGUGCUUUUUUUAGAUAACCGUGUCGUUCAAGGACGAGGGAGGUUUCUAUGUGCUCUAUGUUUUCGACAUGCUGAAAAAAAUUGCUCGCGUGAUGGAUCCGAGACGUACCCAGUGGAACCUUAUAGAGCUGGAGAGGCAACACGCACGGGUCCUCGACAGGAUGCUCUAUGGGCUGUGCAAGUGCAUUGACAAGUUUUUCAAAGGGUGGCAUGUCCGAGAAGAUGAAUUCAAAAGGGCGGCUCACCGCCUGAUGCAUGAGCCAUCGAAUAGGUAUGCGCCCCCCGUCCAUCCGCUUUGAUGUUUGAUCUGCAGCUUAGAAUAUCAAAUUUACGUAUAACUUGUGCUCGGAUGCAGCGAUGACACUCCGUUCUACACUCUACACUACACUAUGUGCUUUGAUGGGGAGUUCAUGACAGAAGGGAUGUGGGAGGUGCGUGCAUUGUCCUAGCAACUAUUUAUUCUCGGAGUGAUGAACUCUUUCUGAAUAUUUGUUUGGUUUGUGUUGUCAGGACAAGAUGCUGCGGUUCAAGCAGAAGCUCAUGAUGCUGGUGCUUACUAUGCCAAGAAACAACGCCCUGCCUCCAGCCAUCGUGUUAAACCCACCUGCCUGAAGCCUCUAAGGUUGUCAAUUGUUCGGACUCCAAAAAUGACUGCUGGAUCUACUUUGUAAUAUGAACUCCAAAUAUUAUUUGUAUAAUUAGAACUACCCAUGCCAAGGGCUUUAGUCGUCAGUGCACUCAUCUUCGUUGUGGAAGGCGCCUAUCGGGCGCAAAGUUCCGUAUCUUCAACUUGUAGACCUGAACACCGAAUAUUAUAUGUAUAAUUAAUUUUAUGUCAUGUUGUCGGAAGCAUCAGGACGAAAGCGUGUGUUUGGUUUGUUUCUUUGAAUAUGUUUUAGACAAAGCCGUGUGACCGCGUCUUCUUUUGGGUUAUUGGGCGGUUUAGCUUCAAAGCUUUUUUCCUUGGAAGAACAUCCACUCAAACACCAAUUAUCAACGGGAGUGGCACUCGUUUUAAUAGAAAUAGGAACGGUUUAUGCAAGAGACCAUGCAAUUAGUUAGAAAACCGGAUAAUUCGGUGUAUGUUUUGGGGCUCAUUUGUUGUUUGAGAAGUUAAAAAAUCCUCUUUGGUUCAAUUCGUGUACGGCCAAACCGGUUUACGUAGAAACCGCUCAUCCGGUUCAUCGACGGGAGUGAAGCUCAUCUUGAUAUAAACGGAAAUGGUUUACGUAGAAAACCACGCGAUUAGUUAGAAAACCGAUGAAUUCGAUGUAUGUUUUCUUUCUCUCUUCACCGCUAUCAUGGUGUCGGAGGUGUCGCGAAGAAAAAAUGUUUGGUUUUCUCUUUGCUUAUGUUUUAGAUAAAGGCGUGAAACGUGUGACCGCACCAAGGGGUUAAGUCGUCAGUGCACUCAUCUUCAUGGUGGAAUGCACCUAUCGGGCGGGAGUUCUGUUUCUUCAACUUGUGUAAUUAAUUUUAUGGCGUAAGACAAGUGCCGGUCAUUUGUAAAACUACGGUGUAUGACGAAUGCCCCAUGUUUGGUUUUUUAAUACUUUUAGAAAUCCUCUUUGGAUUGUUUUCUUGUCAACAUCACGAGGCAUGUCCCACCAUUUUUGUGUGUACCUAUAGACUAGAGCUAUGUUGUACGCAAAAUGCCCCUCUUUUGAAUUUGGAGAUUUAAAAAAAAUCAUCUGUUGUUUGAGUUCUUGGAUUCCAAGAAGCUAUUCUCUAUGGAAGAACAUCCAUUCAAAUACCAAAUAAUGUUGCGGGAAAAAAUGUAUGGUGUAUGACAAGUGGCCCUCGUUUUGUUUUUUUGGAAAAUGAGAAAAUCCUCAUUGUUUCAGUUCGAGUACGGCCAACACCCAAUCUUGGGGGAUUGGGUGGUUUAGCUUGGAAGCUAUUCUCCUUGUAAGAAAAUCCACUCGAACACCAAUAAAAAUUGCGGUGGAAAAAGCUAUGGUGUAUGACAAGUGCCCCUCAUUUGUUGUUUGAAAACUUUGAAGAAGCCUCUUUGGUUCAAUUUGUGUACGGCCAACACCCAAACCCACCGAAACACCAAUUUAUAUUACGUUGGAAAAUGUUAUGGGGCUCAUUUGUUGUUUGAAAAGUUAAAUAAGUCUCUUUGGUUCAAUUCGUGUACGGCCAAACCGAAUCAUCGACGGGAGUGAAGCUCAUCUUGAUAUAAACGGAAACGGUUUACGUAGAAAACCACGCAAUUAGUUAGAAAACCGAUGAUUCGAUGUAUGUUUUCUUUCUCUCUUCACCGCUAUCAUGGUGUCGGAGGGUCGCGAAGAAAAAAUGUUUGGUUUUCUCUUUGCUUAUGUUUUAGAUAAAGGUGUGACCGCGCCAAGGGGUUAAGUCAUCAGUGCACUCAUCUUCGUGGUGGAAUGCACCUAUCGAGCGGGAGUUCUGUUUCUUCAACUUGUAGAACUGAACACAAAAAUUUAUCUGUAUAAUUAAUUUUAUGAUGUAAGACAAGUGUCGCUCAUUUGUAAACUACGAUGCGACCAUGCGAAUAUUUAGAAAACUGGUUAACCAUGUAUGUUUUCCUUCUCUCUUGAAAGCUAUCAUGCUGUUGGAAGCGUCGCAAGAGAAAAAGUGUUUCGUUUCUUGCAUUCCUAAAACUUAGAAUGUGACACCACGAAGCAGGCAAUUUUUCCAAAUGCCCCUCAUUGGGGUUUGGAAAUCUUCAAAAAAUCUUCUCUUGCUUGGGGUCUUGAAGACAUUACCGGGCACGUCCCAUGUUUGCAUUCCUAAGAGAAUGCUUAGUAUGUGAUUUGUGUAUGAAGACAUGUAUGAACAACAUCGUAAUUUUGGUUUGGAUUUUGCCGUCACAGAAAACGUCGUCACCUUUUUCGUUGAACCAGCGGAGAUUGUUUCCUGGUCUCGGGCAAGAGAGCUGUCGACCACGAUGUGGACCGGAAACAAUGGUGCUGCCUCCUCCUCGUCGUGUGUGCGUCGGAAAAGUCAGCCAGCUAACUGCAUGUGGGCGCCAUCGUUUCCGUGCGGCAGAGAUAUUCUGAGGCGCACGCGAAUCUAGUUUUAUUGCUCAGCAGUGCAACAGUACUGGCGCGACGGGAGGCGACUGUGCUAUACGUCUGGGGUAGCUUGUAGCGUUGCAGGUAGCUAGUGCGUGUGUUCGAAACCCAUGGCGUUUAUACUUUGACCGAUCGAAGCCCACGGUCUUUGAUUAUAUAUUACACUCACCGACUCAUUACACGCAUUAGAGGGCGAGUGAUUAUUAUAUAUUACAAUAAUCGGUCCUGGUUGCCCAUUACAUGCAUUACAGUACAUAGAUAUUUGUUUACAGCCCCCGAAACGGGCUUGGUUGGCCACUAGACACAUUACACGUACUAGGGUGCAAGCCCUGUGUUUAUUUUAUAUGGAAGGGCAGCCAGCACGCGAAACUUAGAGCUCUUGGGUGGGCCAUGAGGUGAUUAGGUUGGUGAUGCUAUCCGGCAGGGGGGCCAUGUUGCCCUUCAUUUCAACGAGCUCGGUCAGAAUCUCCUGCCGCUCUCCUACGAUUGAUCCCUGCGUGGUUACGAAAUGCAUCGUUAGAUUGUCAACUAGCCAGUCCACCGGUCACAAAUCCAAAACGCACGCAAAUCGAAAAAUGCACCUGUGACAUAUCCGCAAGAACCUGGUUGCCAUCGAAGUGUUUUGCCACGCGGACAAUCCAAAUCCCGGUGUCCUUCCUGCGAUCGGAUUAGUAAUUUAACAAUGGAUUGUGCGUAAAACCGUUAAGCGAGAAAGAUAACUUACUGCUUGACUGUGGUAGGCGAAGUGACGUGGAAGAUUUUCUCCCAUCUAAUGCAAUCCACGUGCCAGUUGUUGACAGCUUGUAAAUCGUGGUGAAUAGCGCCACGUGGAGCUUGUCGGCGACGGCUUCCAGGAGGUCCGUGUGACACUGUGUGGUGCAGCUCCCGCAUGACGGAUCAAAAAUAUUAAUAUUCUUGCGCUGCAUAUCCCAGUUGUACAGGCACCAUCCAAAGUCGAAAAUGGUUGGCAGGAAAAACUGCAAAUGUCAAAGAAAAUGGAGUGGUAAGCAGCAUGGUCUGUAUUUUUCGCAUAUCGUUAAACGGGGUGGGUUAUUGAAGCAUACCAUUCUGCACUCCGUGAUGUUGUGUGUCAAAUGCGGCCCAAUGAACUGUGCCGUUGCAGGAACAAGUGUCCAGAUUUCUUCUCCAGCCAAAGCGGCAGUCUAAGAUAGAAGGUUGUCAAAUUCUAAGCAGAAAAAUGAGAGCGCUGUUGGUGAUAAGGUGUUAAUCAUAAUUUAGAUACUGACUGAUAUAUCUGGCUCUAGGAAUAAAUGAAAACGAGGCUGGUUGUUCACGUAAAGUGACUCGCCAUCGAUCUGAUCUUGACGUCGGAAUAUAAGAGAACAUACUUCGUGGUCUAAUGGGUCCUUUCCUAAAAUCUGGGUCAAUAGUGGGCUUGGGGUGAUGGAGAUGUACCUUGGCGUGGCAUGAGUUACAAAAGGCCUACGGACAAAAAGUGUUAGUUCGUGCGUGAAGAACAUUACUGGUUUUGGUACGAGGAUUGACGAAGUGGGUUGCAUGUGCCUUUCGAUUUCUUUAAUUGAGAUGCUCUUUAGGAAUCCGUCGAUGGCUUUCCAUACAGGGACUUGAAAACUUGGACGGCAUUUGCCAUCAAUCCAGUGCGACACGGCGAACCCCACGUGCGCCCGCUCUUGCUUCGGUGGCAAUUUAGAUGAAGCCUGGCCGAACAGGACCGUGUCGGCCGGGUGCGCUGCAUCUCCGUCCAUCAACAUAAUCAAACCCGCGAGCCCGUCCCACCACCCCUUCUGCUCGUCUGCUGGUGAUUGACUUGUGAACAAGGUUUUGGCUUGUGUGGGCGUGACAAAACCCACCGCGCUGGUGGUCUCCUGGUCUGCCGGGAAAGAUAUGUCUAAUCAGUAAAAAGGCUUGUCCCGCUUAGCACUAAGAAAAGAACACGAAAUCGCGAAAUCAAUCGGUAAAAAAACACACCCGGGACAAGUGGCCCUUUCCUCUUCUUAGGCCCGGAUGAGGCCGAUGACGUGAACUUCUGACCAGAAGAGCUUUCCCUAUGAAAAAAAAAUGAAACAAAAGGGUUUAUUCGUCUAGCCGGUGGCGGAAUAAUUAGGCACGAGUGCAAGUAAUGGACGUACCAUCGGAUUCGGUCAUUUCUAGCUUGCGACGGUAGAUGUUCGUGCACUGUGGAGAACCCGAGGGGGCAGGUGUGGUGAUGAUGCAUGGUACCGAUCGGAGGCUGCAGCAUAUGCACCCCUCACCGAGCUCACUAACUAGCGAGUUGAGAAACUGAGUGUUCUCCUAUAUUAAGUCAGUCUUGAGGGUGUUUGCAAUCCUAAAAGUGGUGGCGUUGUGCCGCUUCAUCAGCAUCCCGACACUCGAACUUGCCUGGGGCAGACCAGUCAAGCCUUAUUUAUUGAAGUCGGAUAAUGUGGCGUGCCCGAUGAAAUAGAUGCGCGCAUGCAGCAAAAAAAUGAUCGUUGAUUACAAAAUGAUUGGCAUACCAGUUUUGGGUAAUUAUUCUUUAGAUACGUAGAUAAGUCGCCUCCGGUCGGCAUGCAUGGGAAAAGAGGAGCUGGUGUGAUUGGAGUGGGUGACGCUCCAUGCGGCACUUGGGGCAGCCUGAACGAGAUCAGCUGCGGAUUAGCGAUGGUGUGGGUCCCGUGUGGCCUAGCUGGCGCCCGUACUCUGUUGCAUGGUAGGCCGGGCAGCAUGGGAGCCGCGCGGCCAACUGGAUCUGAUGGGGUGUCCCACGCACUCCUGGUAUAGCACACCUGAUCAGCCUCGCGGAUCUGUACAGUUGAUAUAAUUGCGGUUGAAGGAUCAACAAGUGGGUUCGUAAAAUCAAAACAUGGUUUUUAGAGGUGAAUAAUAAAAAUCGGAAAUUCAAGAACAGGACCAUUGCGCCGGAGAAGUCUGUACUGCCUUUCCCCCAACGCUGCACUGUAAAAGCAUACGCCUGAACUGCAUGUCGUCGAACACAGCUAUUCGAGGGAAUGUAGUGUGCAGUAGGUUGAAAAUCCCGAGAUCAAGGUUGUCUAGGUAAAAGACCUAUUUACAUAAAAUAAAAUGUUAAACGUGCGUAUGGGCACAAUUGAUUCUAGCGGUAGAAAUCCUGAAACUAACCUGCAAGAAUAAAUGGCAGGCGUGGAGAUACGUGACAGGUCGUCCUGCCCUGAGAUCUGCUUUUACUCUUGAACAUGCAACCAUCAACUCUUCUAUCACGUACUCGCACCAAUCAAACUCGCUAACGUGGUCUAUCUGGACGAGUGCCCCCCAGUAAUGCAUGUUUGUGUGAUCGUGGGUCGUCGACGGGGCAAGCAGAUGCCCCAUUACGAAAAUGACAAAUGCCAUUUUGAAACUGUCUAUCUCGGGUUUAGAACUUGACUCGUCUAUUGGUCUAACUAGUAUUUUCUCGACAGUAGAUAACAGGUUUUUACCGCUCGAGUUUAUACUUAGCACAUCGCGCACGUGGUUUGUCUCGACGAUCAAUGCUUUCUGUAUAUGUACGCAGCCAGACGGUACUCCAAAAACUUUGAACACGUCCGCUGCCCUAAAGGACAUUUGUCUGCCAGGACGGAUGUAAAUAGUUCUAGACAGCUCAUCAACUCUAGCCAUGAUCCAUAUACUUAAUCUCAGGCUAAUCCUUGGCAAAUGUGGCACCUCCAGUAUGCCUUCAAAACCCAUCUCCUCGACAAGAGAUUGUUUGAAGUCAUCAAAGGAAUCAAGCAUGGCACGUACUUUUGUUGGAGAGCAGCGUGACGUUGGGGAGGGGUUGCUCGUGUCGUUCGUGCCCUGGGGGUGCAUGGGUUCAUCCAUCUGCAUACACACGCACACACGCGCGGACAAGGGGGAUUGAUUACACCUUCACGAGUACAGAAUGAAAGAAAGGAGCAACGAGAAGAAGAUGCUUACCUUACGUUACCGGUGUCCGGCGACGGCCACAACACGGCGACAGUGGUGGUGUUUACAGAGACGGUGAAUCACGUGUUUGUGGCUGUGUGCUACCAGACGAAGGAACCGUGUGGUGUGUGGGUCAAGGCUCGGGCCGCGGGAGCUCAAUUUAUAGAGCACGCGUGCCCUGGCGUCUUCUGCUCCGUUGCAGGCCGUUGUAAUUGGAGCAAUCAAUUAAUCAUGGGUGUGGCAUUGAUGGGGCGCAUCGCCUUCUCUUAUUGGUGCAUUCAAGUGCAUGGCGGACGACGACUGGGCGAUGACUCAUGACUCCACUCUCUCUUACAAAAAAUACGUGUUUGCAUCUGUUUCUUGAUUAGAGACAGUCUAAUUACGACGGCGGGGGGUACAUAAUUAAUUGCACUUAGCAGCUCCCGCCCUUGCAUGGGCAAGCUGGACGUACUAACUGAUACAUGCAGAUCGCUAGAGAUACUGUAACAUACGAAAAGGAAACGGCAUUCCCUACGCAGAGGGGAUACAGCCCAUGUGUGACUACGACAUUGCCCUGUUCAUGGCCAUGGCAAUGCGGUGGGAACAUCAAACUCCACUGAGCGGCAGCAAGACGAAGGCAUGUAUGAGUACGACACUACGUACGCAGGACGGGGUGGUGCUUCAGAACUUGAGGAGGAAGAUAGUGAGCAUGACCACCAAAUUCGCGAGGCACAACAUCAAUAUGUUCUUCAGGAAUGCAUGGUUCUGCUCGAGCAGCGCGACGUGGCGAUGAACCGACGCGUGCGAAAUCAGAUGUCCCCACCAUUGGCUUAAGUACUGUAUGUACUUGUUCUCCCACUUCCAAAACUUGCACCCUCCAUGCUGCAGAAUGAACAAGAAUCAGCAUGCCCCGGAGAACAUGAGCUGCGAGGAUAUGAAAAAACUUACCCCAUGCCGUUCGCACUUGUAGAAGUGCCUCCCUGGGUUUAGUUCUGUCCCGGAGACAAACCACAUGACGUAGCCGGCGUUGCAUUCGGGGCAACGGAUGAGCAGGAGUGGCGGCAUCUGGUUGCUCGUGUGAUGAGAUGGCGGUGGUGUCGCACUGCUACGGGACAUGGACGAACACAUGCUUUGCAAGCCCAGAUAAUCUGAGAAUAAUGGAGAAUGGGAGAAGCUUGGAAUGGCCAUCCAAAGCAAGGAAGGAUGGCGUUUAAAUAGCCAGCGAGGAGCGUCGCCUAGCUAGCCGUUGCGACUAAACGGUGACCAACACGAUCUCCCUCACACGCCUGAUGCGGGUAGCCGUUGUCACUGCCGGGCAGUAAAUGCGGUCGCUGCCUUCCGUUUUAGCUAGCCGUUGUCACUACCAGAUGCCAUGUGGGCCUUCACUGAUGCGCAGAGAUUAAUACGAGAGCUAUACGAGAUGGGAUACGCUGCCUAGUGGCCUUUAUACGCGAACGUCGUAUUGGAGUUAGCACGAAUCGUGUGGGGACUACCAGUGCGGAUAACGACCUCGCGUGGCCGCAUGUGCACACGCGAUUUAUCGGUUAUUAUGUGGCAUGUUCAAUAUGUUUGCCUUUAGCAAUCUCUAUAACAUGUCUUAUUACUAUAACGACAUUGUUUUGCAAUCGAGAUUAAGUUUUCUCGCACAACAAUAUUGAUUUGCGAUUGAGAAAUAUAAUAUUUUUUUCUCGCAAAACAAUCUCAUUGCGAAUGAGAUUAAUUUUCUCUCGCAAAAUAUUAAUUCACCCUGCUGAAUUAUCUUGCAACUUGAUACAAGAACAUCUCAUUAAAUUUGAGGUGUAUAUAAUUCAAGUUUUUUCACUUGAACAUCAAGUUUGCAACAUCAUUACUAUUCAUUUAUAAUAGUGGUGUAUUUCUGUUGAGUACGAUGUAUUCCGGAAUGUAUGUAUCUCCAUGUUCACUACAUGUCGAGAUUAAUACGUCUAUUUGUAAUUGAGAUUUUCAAUUUCUUGCAAAUACAUAUGCAAAAUUCUUAGUGAUUUCUUCAAAUUGAUGUAUUGGGAUCCCGAGGUAGUGUGUAGAUCUACUGCUUUGCAGAUUAUCACCACUACUGUUUAAGCCUACAUUUUGUCAAAUUUGACAUUAUGAUUGCACAACAUUGUGCACUCCCAUGCAUUUUACUAAGUCAUGACAUAAGGCAUUAGGAGUGAGUAUCUACUGAUUUCAUCAGAUUAUACUCCCUAGUGCUGCGAGAUCUACUUCAUUUUGGAGAUUAUCUUCAAGGUGUCAUGCUUAGCAAUUUGAGAUUCACAUUAAUGGUUUCAAGAUAACUUCUUGAAAUAUCCAUUAAUUUUACAAUAUUACCAUGAUGGUCUUCAAUUUACUAAUUGUAAAUUAACUAUCUCUGGUAACCGAUGGCUAGAGAAUUUGAGGCAUUCGCCCUCAAUCGCCACCACUACCCUACCUGGGCAUGGACAUCAUGAUCACUCUUGUGUCUUGUGGAAUAGUGUGUGCAAUCCAAGACCACAUGAUUAACCUCUGGUCGGAAUCACACCGCUAAAAGAAAAAUAUUGUCUUAUACAUCAUAAGGCAUUAUAUCGAUUCAGAUCUCUGCAUCUGGUUAUUCUGUAUCAGCAAUUCCUAGGACACAACAGACCUCAAGGGCAAAGGUUUGGAGCUCACUUCAACCUUCAACCCGACAUCACCAGCAGUGACGGGACCCUAUGGGCACGGAGAAUAUGAUGGUUGAAUAUGACUCAACUAACAUGUUUGAAGACUUCGUCUAGUCUCUCAAUCUCCUGAGUGGUCAACAUAAUUUAUGUCCAUUUAUGAUGUUCUAAUAAGAACAUAAGUAUUGUUGUCAUCAUAUAUUGUAUAUCACAAUAUAUUGUAUCAGCACUUUGUUACAAAUAUAUUUGUAUGUAUUCUAUAUAUCUGACAGUGAUUUUCAUAUUGAGAAUCUUCAUGUCUAUAUAUAGAUUUCUACGGGAGUCAAUCCGAUGAAAAAUGAUAUGUGCCUUGUGGACAUAUGCACCACAAACUCUAUACUCAGGGAAGUCUAAUGUAUUUUAAAAUCGCUAGACGCGAUGAGGUAUUUGUUGGCUCAACUUGAGUCAUAUUUACUAUCCCUGUGGGUACCCGAGUAACAUCGGGAUGCUUUAUUGCUUCCCAAGUUUAACUCGUACCCUACUAAACUAUAGAGGUAUCCGUCAAAAUAGUUUCCAUAGCGAAACUUAUGAUGACAACAAAGAGAAAUAUCUUCUCUUUACCAUAUGCAACGGAUAUGGCAAGCACAUUCUCUAUGUAUCAUCGGCAUUGCACUACACAUACUACAAAACCCGUAGCACAUGUUGCGUACGAGAUAGUUUUCCAGAGUGUCUUUUGCAUGACAAACUUGGCAUUCCUGCUUUGGUCAUCAUUGACAUUGGGUUGAAACCGAAACUAUCAACAAUUCCACUGGUUUAUGAUUGUUAUGAUGCUAAAUUCUAAUAACAUUUGGAUUUUAUGUGCACUACAAGUGACACAGGAAAGCUAAUUUUAAGGCUCGCACACCUUAAAGUCUACGCUGAACCACUCAGACUCCUUGAAUGCAUCAAGUCGAGGUAAGUGGCUCUUCCCAGCCAUUGAGUAGACUAUUCAGGUAUCCAUGGUUCUAAAAGACAUAUUUACAUGAUGUUCUUAAGUGUGUGCUUUAUUCACACGAAACCAUUGGCCAUUAUCCUGACAUCGAUUUCAAGCAAAUUGAAUGGAUAACAUUGCAGAAUUCUCCUUGAGGGCCAUCUCUAUGGCUUUUGGAUUGAAAUUUAGCAAUUUGUCCUAAUGUCUAGACUCAAAAUGGUUUGGUAGAAUCCUAUCCAAAGAGUUAAGCUCAUUGCAUUAUCUUUACUUUGGAAUUGCAACUUACCAACUUUACGUUGGAGUCAUGCAGUUUUACACGCUCAUGAUAGAACUGCAUAAUAUUAUUCCCCACUAUCUUUGAUAUGUGGAUAUCUACCAAGUAUUUCCUAUCUGCGGUAAUUCGGUUGCAUACCGAUAUCACCACCCGGCAUACAUCAUUGGCCCCUCAACAUAUAGUUGGGAUCUAUGUGAGGAAUAACUGUAUUUCCAUCAAUACCUCAAGCCCCUCACAUGGGGAGUUAUUCAAGGCCAGUAUGUUGAUUCAAUGAGGAACAUUUCCAGGCAUUAGGGGGAGAUUUCAAGUACCAUAAAGAAUGCCAGGAAAUUAGUGGAGUGUUCAACACAUUUUCUGCCUCAAAUCCACAUACUCAAAGAUCUGAACCAUGCGUUUAGAAGAUUUGCAUCACAUUGCAAAUAACCUGCUAGAUUCAUUUACUGACUAUAAAGGUGUCACACAAUCCUAUAAUCCUGCAAAAAUAUGCCUGAAAGAGUGAUGGUACCAACAAAAUUCACUCCACUCCCUGUUCAUAGCAACAAAGGGAGAUGUAUGGCAGAAGUACAUCAGGAUUCAGCUUCCCGCAAGCAAGGAUAUCAAGGCCUGUGAAUCAGUAAAUGCAAGUCAACUUCACGUUGAGAGACACCUAAUGGGUAGUAUACACCCAAUGGACGGGAAACCUCCACCGACCCAGGUCAUAGUGCACACAAUGACUAGGACAUCGGAAUACCCGACUCGAUCGCAUUGGGAAAUCGCGAGCAGUCACCAUGGGUAACGAUAUUUCCAUCAAGUCUAUAUUGAUAUAUAGAUUCUGGAGAAUCAUAUAACCGGAAGUCUACAAUUGUCGACAUAUAUUUCUCAACUAGAUUGCAAAAACCUUUCAAAUGAUUCAGAUCCAAAGACCAUGGCCAUGGCAAAGUGUGAACAACACUCGGACUGAACUCAAGCAAAGGGUAUAAUCUAGGUAGAAAUGAUCUUGCUCAAUAAUGGGAAGGUAUUCAUAAGCAAUACCUACACCAGUUUUCUUCUGGAAACGGAAUUGAGAACAAUGAGGUGGUGAAACAGAGAGCAAGUAUUGUAGCACAAGGGUUCACGCAGAUACCCAACUAUUCUCCACAGGUGGAAUCUUCUUUCCGAUAACUUAUAUCAUUGGCAGUACAAAAUCAUCUAUCUCUGCAGUUGAUAGAUGUAGUGAUUACAUAUCCAUGUGCAUCACUAGAUUCAGACAUAUAUGAUUGAUUCCCGAUGGAAUCUCAAUUCUGAAUCGAAAUACAAAAUGCAACAUACAUUGUGUAAAAUCAGUAAGUCACCAUACGACUUAUCGUUGUCGGUACAUUUGGUACAACCGACUUAGUGAGUUCCUUUCCACAAGGAUUACUCCUACGAUGAUGAUUAUCCAUGUUUGUGUGUCUGCAAUGACGACACAUGUAAUCAUCUAAAUGACGGAGUUUAAAAUGAAGGAUCUGGGUAAACCAAAACACUGCUCGUUACUACAACUUGAGCACCUUCAUUCAUACAUUAUGGUACACCAUGUUGUCUAUAUCCAAAAAAUAUUGGAGGAACUCAUUAUGGACAUAUCUUAUCCAUCCAUAACUCUCAUGGUAAUUCAUUCUCUAGAUGUAGAGAAAGAUCUAUUUAGACCAAGAGAUGAUGGAAAUGAGAUAUUGGGACUCAAUGUUCCAUAAUGCCAUUGGAUCCACCAAACACAAUUGGUUGGUACUCAAGAAUAUCUUUCGAUAUCUCCAAGGCAUCAAACAUCUUGUCCUGGUUUUCAGUUUCACAGGAAUGUGAACUCCGAUAUCAUUGGAUACAUCGAUCAGAUCCCACUAUGUCGGAUCGUAGACAAGCUUAGUGUUCCUAUUAGGUGUGGUAGCCAUCUCAUGGAGAGUCUUUGAAACAGACCUCAUGGCUACAUCCAUCAACCAUUAUCUCAAGAUAAUGUUUCUUGUGUUGUCCGGAUGCAAACAGGUUACUAAUAAGCAAUAUCUUUAUAUUGCAUAUCUUGCAAGUCGAAUCAUGCAACUGAUUUGUUCACCAAGUCUCUACCAACUUUUACAUUCCAGAAACAUGUUCAUGGAAUUGGUAUAUGACGGCUUUGGAAUUUGCAAGAAUCAGGGGGAGUAUCUUCCUGAAUUGUUCCUGUUCAAUGCAUCAUAUUAUACUCUUUUUCCCUUCAUGAGUUUACUAUACAGGUUCUCAUAAAGGUUUUUAAUGAGGUAAUAUCAACAUGAGAUCAUAUGUCAUACUUUCUGUUUUCCCCACCGGGUUUUUUGGGAAAGUAUAUACGACAUAUUUAUUGUUCUCUAAACUCUAUGAGUUUUCUCGUAUUGAGUUAAAAGAGACAAUAACCAUUAUAUGUUGCAUCAUUUUCUCCUUAUUUUUCCCACUGGGUUUGAAGGAGUUUAGCAACAUAUCAAAUAGUAUACUCCUCACAUUUUUCCCACAGGGUUUUUGGAGGAGACUUUUUCAAGAUGAUGAUAUUACAUGGACAAGUGUAGAUUAGGGGGAGUGUUAAAGCUCAAUUAACUUGUGGUAAUUAUGGGGGAAUCUCCCCUUGUACCAACCGCAGCCAGUCUGCGUUGGCAACUGUCGCGUCGGUUCCUAACAUCUCUCCCGAACGGAUGCCUCUUCGAUGCAUCGCUUCUGCCUGUAUAAAUACCUACAAUCAUCUAAUGAAAGGACACUCAUUCACUUUUACAUCUGUGUCGAGGCUCUCUCGAUUGUUCUCUUGUUUCCCUUUCAACACUCACAUCUAAAAGAAUUCAGAUAUUGCCCCUCUCUCACGGGGGUGAGGAGUACAAGUAGGUCUACCUUAAAAUCUACCGUUGCAGAAAAAAAUAUACAUCCGAAGACUCCGGGAACCAAGUCCAAAUAAUCGAUCAAAGGGGGAAAAAAGUGCACAAAUACAACGUUCGGAAACUUCAACACCCCCACACUAACAACAUCAUCGCAGACACACCAGGGAAGCUGGUGUGUGGUCGAUCUCAGGCGCUUGUUCGUGGUUAACCUCGAACAUUGGUCCGGCCUCCGGGUUUCAUUCAGGAUACUCCGAGCCCCUCACCGAGAGACUCUGGACACAGGGUCAGAGAAACCCUCAGACACUACGGAGUCCUACUGCACAUAUGAAGACUCCUAGUUCCACACAUCCAAUAUAAAUCCGAUUAUGUUGUACGUUUUGGUCUGACUUUUGUGGCGACAAAAGGAUAAAGUUGAGCAAUGAGCGCCUCCCUUUUCUUUCGGCAUCCAUUGUAAUUAGUGUGGCUACCCCAUGACUCAAGGUGAUUACACAACAUCACAAAAACAUAGGAAAGUUAAAAUAAUUUUUUGGAAAGCCACUGCCUAAAUUCCUUUUACUUUUCGAGGGGGGAGGGGGCGUCAAUGCCCUGGAACAUUUGGCACUGAAACAUGUUUAUACACUUAGCGUGCACACACACAUUAGUGAAUUAAUUGUUGGAUGUUAAUUAUAAGAAUCCAUUUAGAGACCUAGAUGUCCAUUCAAGACUAUAACUACAAUCGCAUGUGCUAUAGAAAAUGCGGUAUUAAUGAGAAUUAAUACACAAUACCCUCCUCCAACUACAAACCACUCUUUUUUGUCCUUAAGCUAUGAAAGUGACCAAACCGGUUCCUAAACUAUUCGGGUGGCUCAUCUUAUCCUUCUGCCCAUGUGGCGGUAAAUGUAGCCUACCAACUGGGUAGAUGAAGGUCUUAGCACAUGUUAUGGACUGAAUUUCCUAUUAAUUUGAUCAUGAUUCAUUAACAAACACCUCUUAUAUACAAGGGUAUUUUAGUUUCGUUUUUUGCUUGUGCAAAAUGUUUUGUGAACAUCCCUUGUCACGAAUCAGCAUGCCACGUGUCUAAUCAUAUGAUCAAGUUGAUGAAAAUAUGCCCGUCCAGGGCCUGGCUAGGCCACGGCGGUGGUGUCCAGCGUUCUGCGGGAGCUUCACGCGUGGUGGUCCCCUCGGGUUGAUUUCCAAGACUGUGGCGGCGUCAUCCUUCAUCCCUUCGGUGCUGUGGUGGCCACCCUAUGGCAACUGGAGGAUAGAUCUGCGCCGUGGGUUUGGAGGACCGCCUAUCCGUUCUUUUUUUUGAGAUGGAACACAGCGAUUCCAUAAAUCACACAGGCACAGCAAGAGAGCUGGCCAGAUACACCAAUACAUCGUCAGGGACACCAUCGGUCCACAGCUGCCUAGCGUCUGUUCGCUUAGAGCCUACGGCUGCUAGUGCAUAUGCUAGUUUAUUACAGCCCCUGGGAGCAUACAUAAAUUCAACAGAAUUAAAGUUCAACCGAGCAAAUACGUACUCCUCCUCCUCCACCAAAAAAGCUAGGGUUUGUGCCUCUCGCCGGCUCGCCGCAGGUCUGCCUCGUCUCCGGUGGCCCUAGGGCCAUGGAGGCAAGGUGGAUCCUCGUAAGGGCCGUCGAGAGGGCUCCGUUGUUAGUCGUUCCUUUCAUAUUUGUUAGGGUUUCUGUCCUGCUCAGGAAGACGAGAUGGCGGCGGCUCCCUGAAGAUGGAAUAAAGGUCUCCCCGCCUAGCCCCCAUUCCAGUGGUGCAUCUAGCAUCGUUGGUGGGCGUGUGGAGGUGUGUCUCCAGCGGAUCUAUCCUCGGUGGAUUUGCUCGGAUCUGGUUGUUUUUCGUCUAUGUUCGCGUGUCUUCGGAUUGGAUCCUUUCGAUCUACGUUAUCCUUCAUCGGCGGCGGUUGCUGUUCUGGUGCGCUGGUUCUAUGGGGCCUUAGCACGACGACUUCCCGACUGUCUACUACAACAAGUCGUGCCCGACUCCGGCGAGGGAGGUGCGAUGACAGCGGCGCGCCUUCGGCUCGCUUCAGUGCUUGUAGUCAUCGCUAGGUGGUCUACGGACCUAGAUGUAAUUUUUAUUAUUUCUGGUGUUCGUUGUACUGUCAUGAUUGAAGAUGAAUAGAUUGGAAGUUUUUCGCAAAAAAAAAGUUCAACCAAGCAAAAGACCGGAUAUCUUUUAGAAGAACACCUUCAGGAGCCAAGUCGUACUCCGUACUCUACAAAGCUUUCACCAAAGAUUGGCAAUCAGACUCCACUUGGAUAGCCGUCAUUCCCCAAGAGGAUGCUGCGUGAAUUGCUUCCCAAGCAGCAGUCGCCUCGGCCUGGAAAGCACUGGCCACAUGCUGAAGCUUGCCAGCCCCUGAUCCCCUUAUGUCGCCACUGUUGUCCCUGGCCACGAAUCCCCAACCGCCACACCCAGUAGAGACAUUGAACGCCCCGUACACAUUAAUUUUCAUCAAGUCACCGAGCGGUUUCUGCCAGAAACGGUGUUCCUUGGGUUGUGACUGGGAUUUGGGAUUACUGCAUAGUUGUAGUGAUUCAGCAGCCCAGAGCCUAGCGGACACUGCAGUCCUCUCCACUGUGUCUGAAGACUCCCCAGCGUUAAUUUUAUUGCGGCAGUCCCACCACCUCCACAACAUACAUGUAACAAGCACCCGUUGAUCUUCAGGUAGAUCCAGCACUGCUUGUAUAACUUCCUUUGCAUGAGUGCAAGCACACAACUUUUCACGAAUCUCAUCCAGCUCGAGACAACGCCACAACUUUUUAACCUGUUUGCAUCUCAGGAACAAGUGAGCCCCAUCUUCAUCUACCCUUCUACAACAUACACAGAGUGUUUCACAUUCAACCCCUCUCCUUUUCAGAGCUAGCUUCAAAGGUAGACUGUUGUGUGCUAAUCUCCACAUGAACUGUUGGAUCUUUGGUUGGCAGGGGAUGUCCCAAAUUUUCUUUCAUGGGAAACAGAGUUGUUGACCUGAGAUUGAUGACGAGGCUGAGGUAGCAUCUCUUGCUUUGACGUACAGUUUGUAUGCAGAUUUUACUGAGAAUUGGCCUUUACUAUCAGGGAACCAUGCAUAGAAAUCUUCAAACUCUUCUCGGAUUGGCGUCGCAAGGAUGACCUUGGCAUCUGCGUCAGCAAAGAUAUUCCUGACCAGCUCCCUAUCCCAGUUUGCGGUUUCUGGAUUAAUGAGUUCACAUACGCGAGUAAGAAGGCGCCUUCUUCUUGGCGUGAUGGGAAAUCUCUGGCCCUCCCUAUUCAGCCACGGAUCCUUCCAGAUAUUGACCUCAGUCCCAUCACCAAUUCUGCAUAUUAGGCCCUCCUUUAAUAGAUGCACACCCUUCACGAUACUCCUCCAAGUAUAUGAGAUACCAGGUGCUGGUGCAGCCUCAAGAAUUGAUGUAGAUGGAAAAUAAUGUGCUUUAAGAACUUGUGCAUAAAGGGAGGUUGGGUUCUGGAGGAGCCGCCACGCCUGUCUUGCAAGCAUAGCGAUGUUGAACCCAUAUAGAUCUCAGAAUCCAAGGCCCCAUCCUUCUUCGGCUUUGUCAGAGUCUCCCAACUCAACCAAUGCAUAGUGUUUUGCUUCUCCUGCUUUGCCCACCAAAAUCUGCAUAUCAUGCUCCCCAUCUGCUCGCAUAAGGAUUUAGUGAGGUCAGAACAUGACAUGGCAAAAGUAGGGAUUGCUUGAUCACAAGCUUUAAUUAGGACAUCCUUCCCCAUCUUAGACAACAAUCUCUCAAUCCAACCUUGGAUUCUUUUCCAGAUUCGUUCCUUGAGAUACUGAAAGGUUUUUGCUCUAUCUUGUCCCACAUAAACAGGUAACCCCAAAUACCUUUCGGAUCUAGCCUCCGUAUUGAUAUGUAGCUCAGCCAGGACACUUUGCUUCCUCUCCCUCCUUGUGUUUUUGAUGAACAUGACCGAUGACUUAUCAUAAUUAACAAUUUGUCCCGAGCACACCUCAUACAGAUGUAGUAUACUUUGCAGAUGCCUGGCACUUUCGCUUGUAGCUUUAAUCAGUACCAACGAGUCAUCUGCAAACAAUAGGUGGUUGAAACUUGGGGCUGCAUUGCAAAUACGUAUACCAGUCAGAGUUCCAUUCACUUCUGCCCUGUUCAGUAAGGAGGAGAACCCCUCCGUGCAAAUGAGAAAGAGGUACGGUGAGAGGGGGUCACCUUGACGGAGGCCGCAUUGGGGCAGCACCACAUCCGUACACUCUCCAUUCACUUUGAAUCUGUAUGACACCGUGGACACACAAAGCAUGAUCCGUUUGACCCAUGUCUCCUCGAAGCCAAGUUUAUACAUCAUCUUUUCCAGAAAAUCCCAUUCCACCCUUUCAUAGGCUUUACUCAUGUCCAACUUCACUGCAGCGAACCCUUCCUUUCCUCUUCUCUUUCUCUGCAUAUAGUGUGUACAUUCAUAAGCAAGCAAAAUAUUAUCCAUGAUCAAUCGGCCCGGAACAAAGGCACUUUGGUUAGGUGAGAUAAUGUCUGGAAGGAUUUGUUUCAACCGAUUUGCAAGUACCUUAGAGACCAACUUAUAAAUAACAUUGCAGAGGCUGAUUGGUCUCAAGUCUUUCAUGCAUUCCGGAUUUUGCACCUUAGGAAUCAGCACAACACAAGUCUCAUUCCACCCCUCGGGCAUGGGUCCCCCAUUUAGCACCUCAAGCACUUCUGCGACCAAUUUUUCUCCUAUAAUGUCCCAGUAUUUUUUGUAGAACACCGAUGGCAUACCAUCGGGUCCAGGGGCCUUCAGGUCACCAAUACUUUGGAGAGCUUCAAACACUUCCUUCUCAGAGAAGGGCUCAUUCAAAACCUCAUUCAUUUGCGGGGUAACACGUGCAUCAACCUGACUCAUCAUCUCCUCCAUUCUUGUUGCCGUGUGGGGCGUAAACAGAUUAAGAAAAUAGCUAGUCACGACUUCCUUCAUGGCCUCCUUCUCCUCCACUACAGUACCAUCUUGUCUCCUCAAUUUCUUAAUGUGGUUUUUCUUCUUUCUAUCCGAGGCUGCUGCAUGGAAAAACUUCGUAUUUCGGUCGCCUCCCUUCAUCCAAUGGACAUGUGCCCGCUGUCUCCAAUAUAACUCCCUCCGAUCCUCGAGCCUCCCCAGUUUAAAUCUAAGUAGUUCCUCCCUCCGAACCUGCUCUGCACUAAUGCUGCUCCUUCGACACUUCUCCAACUCCUUCUUUGUUUUGCUAAUUCUUUUAUCCAAGUCCCCCAAAAUAUUUCUACUCCAGUCCACUAAUUCAACCAUGACUCCUUUAACAGCUGCUGCCACCCCUUUUCCUUCCAACUGCACUCCCUUCUUCCAAGCAUUUUCUACCAUUGCCCUACAGUCCUCUUCCUCCAGCCACUUCGCCUCAAACCUCGGCGUAGAGCUUCGAGUCGCGCCUUGCUGUCUCUUAGCUCCUCCUUGUGUGUCAAUGAUGAUUGGUCUGUGGUCCGAGUGUCGAGGAUCUCCGUUAGUGACCUUAAAAGCAGAAAACCGGUUGCACCAUGAUUGUGUAGCCACUGCUCUGUCAAUCCGCUCCUUUAUGUAAUUAACUGCAGUAUGGCUGUGAUUCCGCCAUGUAAAUGCAUCUCCUAUGAAGCCCAAGUCUCCAAGUUCACACGCCUCAAGUGUAGCUUUAAACUUGUCCAUGCAAUUCUGUGAUCUAGGUGCCCCCCUUCCUUCUCCCAUGGGUGUAAAACCUCAUUGAAGUCUCCUGAGCAAAGCCACGGUUUGUUGUUUUGUACCUUCAGGUUGCUCAUAAGACGCCAAGUUUUAUCCUUAUCAUCAUGUUUUGGCUCCCCAUACAUCCCUGUAAAUCGCCACACAAACCCGUCCUCUUCCGUGAUCUCCGAAUCGAUGUGAUAUCUAGACAUGAAGCCCACCACUCUCAAGUUCACCUCAUUCUUCCAGAAUAAUGCCAAACCUCCACUCUGACCUUCACAGUCCUUAACCAUCAUAUUCGUAAGGCCCAACUUCCACCGCAGCCACUCCAGCCUACUACGUACCAAUUUCGUCUCCGACAAAAAGAGUACGUCGGGGUCCUCCUUCUCCCGGAUAUCCAGGAGUCCUCGAAUUGCCGGGCCAUUCCCCAAACCCCGGCAAUUCCAUGUGAUGAUUCUCAUUUCUGCUCGCAGGACUGACUCGGCAGUCCCGCAUUCAAAACGGUGUGUACUCCCUCCAUUUCUUGGGUACUUGCUUCGUUCCCUUUGAUUUUCUUCGGUGACCCCUGGCUGUCCACUUCCAUAUCCUCCCCCUCCUAUUUUUUUCUAUUAUUACUCCACAUGUUUUGUCUUCCACACUCUCCCUGGGUUUUCUCUUGAACUUCCCAUUCCUCCCUCUUGGUUCAGCCCUUGGGCUGUUUACAAUAUUUCCUACCCCAUCUUCCUCUUUGUUCCCUGGCACACUGUGGUUUUCAUUCGACCCAUUCCCAACACCCACUAUCACACCACCACCACCCCUUACUGCCGUCUCUGUAAUGUUUUCCAUCCCAGCCAGGCUUGGAUCGUUCCCCCUUCCCAAAAUCAAGUUGUUUUUUAUUCUUCUCUCCCACUGCAGUGUCAUUAGCCCCCUUAGCAGUUGGACCAAUCUUAAGUGGACUCGUGACCUCCUCCCCAUCAUCAUUCUUCUUCUUACCCCCAUCAGUUGUGCAAGUUGGUGGUUUCCUCCACGAUGGUGCAUCACUCCUGCUCUUUCCCUCACUAUUCAACCAACCCUUCUUCCUUCCCGAGCUGCCUCCACUCGUCUCCCUCGGUCCACCCCGGACCAUGUAAUAUGAUUGAGGCUUCUCUGGGGCAUAUUUCAUCCAUCUCCCGAAUUCAGCAGCUUGUCCCCUUUUGAGUUUUGUUUUACAGUCCUUAUCUAAAUGCCCCAGCCUACCACAUGUGUAGCAGAAGUCUGGCAAAAACUCGUACUCAAAACGGCACCAUAUUCUUUCAUCUUCCUUUCUCUUCUUCUUCCUCCCACCCGUUUCGUCUUCCUUUUCCCUCUCUUCCUCCUCCUCCCCUCCCUCCUCCUCCAUUGCCCCAUCAUCCACUGGAUCAAUAUCCAGAAAGAUUCCUCGCAUAAGUGGCUCAGCAAUUCUGAUUCACACCUUCACUCUCAGGCACUACCCCAACGCCGAGCCAUCCUCACCCGAAUCCACUUCUACCAAUUCCCUAUCUCAUCUGCUAGAUCCUCCCCCAUUUCCUUACACAUCAUUCCCAAAGGAACAUUAAAAAUAUGGACCCAUAUUGGAACUGUUUCAAACACAUAUUCAUCUAGUGUCUUCCUAGGGUCGAAAUCCUCCAUCACUAGAAGCUCCUUGCCGAAGGUCCAUGGCCCGUUCUCGAGCGCCUUUCGUUUCCCUGCCUCCUGAUGGAACAUAAACAGAAAUCGGUUCUCCCCCAUCUCCUUGACCUCCAGUCUCUUCAUCGGGCACCACACUCGCCCCAGCGCAAUUGCCAUUCCUUCUGCAUACCCCGACCUGUCCGAGAUCAACUUCCCCAUCGCCUUUGGCACACUUCCCUCCCUCGCCGUCCCCCUCUUCCAGCCCACCUUGACUCCCCUCCUCUCUGCCUCGGACAGGUUCAUCUUCUUCAACAUUCCUUCGACUCCCUCCAUGCUACCCCCCAGCCUCCAAACGCCCGUGCGUCACCGGAGAAACAAAAAAAACUAGGGAUUUGGUGGAAGUACGACCGCGUGCCCCAGACUCACACGGAAGGCCUCUGGUGGAGAUGGGUUGGGAUCUAUGCGGACGAGAGAGGGAGGUUGGGUCGCUGGCCUCCGAAGCUGCCGAAGGCGGCUGGGACGAGAUGGAUCUGCCGCCGCCAGGUUGGGGGACGAGGAGGCGAACCCUAGGUCGCCACAAGAAGCGUCAGACAGGAGACCAAGCCGUCACACACGGGACGGACGGUUUGGCGCCUAGAUCCGUUCUUGGCGAGCUCUGGUGAGGGCACGACGUGAGUUAGGCCAACUUCACCUCACGUCCCCAAACGAACGUCCAGUUUGGCUGGAUUUUGUCUCUUUGGAGCGGCAAUGGGUUCGCUCAUGUCCCCUUCAGUUGGGUCCUGGGCGCGCCUAACGCGCGGCCGCACCCCAAAUCAUGUCCGGAGUGGACGUGAUUAAAAGAAACUAAAAAACUAAAAUAAAGCGAACAUCCAGUUUGGCAUAAUUAACUUAAAAAUAAAUAAAAAUGCCGCCCGCGCGCUCCUGCCGUGGCCGUCGAUGCCGUGGCCGUCGCCGUCUUCGGUGGUCGCCGGUGUCGUCGUCAUCGCUGACGAGGUCGACAUAGUCCGGCGGCGUCCAGAGGUGGGACGGCGGUUCAUGGUACUCGGUGGCGGGCCGGAAGGCGGGAGGUGCCUGCACCACCUCCUCCCAUGGCGACGCCUCCUGCUCCGGUGACCGCGGCGGCGUGGGGCACCAGUUCACACCACCCACGGCGUCGGCCAUCUCCGGAGCCGUGCACGACCAGCUCCACUGCUGGCCCACCAGGCUCGGGUGGAACGCGGCCACCAGCUCCUCCCCCAUCACCUCCUCCGCCCUUACCAUCUGCAGCUCGGGGAAGGCGACGUCGCCGGCCAAAAAGAGAGCCACCAUCUACUCGAGGCCCCGCCAUUGGCGCUCAUCGUGCGUGUUCAUGGAGUCCUCCAUGACAUGUUGCAUGAGCUGAGCCUCCUCCUCCACUGUCAUGCGAGGAGGUGGAGGUGGCGAUGGAGAUGGGGAAGGCGAUGACGUGGGUGUGAGGCCGCGCACCCGCGUACUCCCGCGCACCUCCCGCCGCGGCCGCCGCGGCCCGGACGACGUGCCGGCGAAGUAAGAGGCGCGCCGCACGUCGUGCUCAUCCCUUAGCCACGUGUCCCAGAGCACGGAGUCGGGGGCGUACCUAUCGUCGUAGUAGAGGUCACCGGGGAGGCGGCGGCGGCGCACGAUCUCGUCGUGGCGCGCACGGUCGCCCGUCGGGACCGGCGGGAUCGGGACCUGGUCGGCGGAGAGGUGCCAAUUGUUGGGGAGGUGGACGUCGCUCCACGGGAUCGGCGUCAUCGUCUCCUAAUAGCGCCGGCAUACAUCCGCGUUGAUGUACUGCCGGUUGCGCUCGCCGGCGGCCCUAGGGCCGAUGGUGAAUGGGGCAGGCGCGGGGGCCCGACGCGGUGGCGAUGCGGCCUCCUCUUUCACGGAGCCGCGGCGGCGUCCCGAGGAGGAGCCAGCCUCGCGGUCGUGCUUCCCCUUGCGGCCGUGGUUCCAUAGCCCCAUUGCUGCGAGGCAUCCGGCCGGCGAGUUCGAGGACAGGGAGAGGCUAGGGUUUGGGGGUGUCGGGUUUCGAGGAGGCAGCGGGUUGGAAUGGGGAGUGUGGGCGACGACCGGUCCACGGCUUCCUCAUUUAAAAAGGACGGCGGCCAUUCGCCCGGGCGGAUGACAGGUGGGGCCAACCGCGUGUGCACAUUAAUGUCAAGCGGUGGGAGGUAGGUGGCCGCCUGCCACGCGGCCCCGACGUGGACGAGCGCCGCGUCCAUUUGCUGUCCGCCGCGACCCAAACCCGGCGCAUGUUUGCGCUCGAAAUGAGUCGGCCCGGACACAAAACGGACCAGAUGGGUCCAGGCCGUCGCGCGCUGGGCCGUCCGGUUUGUCCCUUUUACCCCAAACGGACGGGGCUGGACGGGAUAGGGUCGCGCGGCGGAGUUAGUCUUAUGAGGUCGUGAAGGUGGGGCUCAGUGGUAAACGCUUCAGUGGUGGUGUGUGCCUUGCUCUGCCAGUGUCGUCGCAGGCGUGCUUGGGCUGUGGAGGUGCGGGUGGCCUCUGGGCGAGCUAGCCACUUUGUUGACGUGGUGCGAUGGAGAGGCAUCGAGCAGCUUGCUCCUUGUUCGGUUCACGUGGUCUUCCACUGGCAUGUGGCACGUAUCGGUGGUUUAGCCUUCUCCUAAGAGGCUCAUCGAGGUGGAGGGUCUCUGGGCUAUAGGUGAAAGCUUUGGUUGAGAGGGGUGGGUACCGGCGACGAAGGCGUUGAUAUGUCUUCAACGUAUUUAUAAAUUUUGAUUGUUUCAUGCUAUUAUAUAUUUGUUUUUGAUGUUUUAUAUGCAUUAUUAUGCUAUUUGCUAUUAUUUUUAAGACUAACCUAUUAACCUAGAGCCCAGUGUCAGCUUCUGUUUUUCCCUUGUUUUAGAGUUUCGCAGAAAAGGAAUAUCAAACAGAGUCCAAACGGAAUGAAAUUUUCGCGAUGAUUUUUCUUAGACCAAAAGACAUCCAGAGGACUUGGUGUACAUGUCAGGGAAGCCAUGAGGCACCCACAAGGAUGGAGGGUGCGCCCACGGGGUAGGGCGUGCCCCCCACCCUUGUGGGCCCCUCGUGACUCUGCCGACCUAUUUCUUCCGCCUAUGUAUUCUCAAAUAUUCCAAAACCUACCAAGAGAGCCACGAAAACACUUGUGCUAGUCUAUUACUAAAAACUGUAACGUUCGUCAUUUACAAAAAUUUCUUAAAAAUGUUCAGAAAUAUAAAAAAGUGUUUAUAUUUUUUCAUAAAAUGCUCACAAACAUAUUAGAAAAAAUUCUCAAAUUUUCAAAAAUUCCAUGUAUUUUUUUAAGAAAUAUAUUUUUAAUAAAUAAAUAAAUCUCGUGUUUUCCUGGAAAACCAAAAUAAAAACCCACUGAAAACUAAUAAAACAGAAAAAAACCUCAAAAAAAGGAAAAACAAACUCACUGGAAACAACUCGCUACCGAGCCUUACACUACAUGGGCCGGCCGCCCCGAGCGUUCGAGGAUCUGUUGCGACCGAUCUGUCAAAAAGGUCUGUCUCGCUCCUUCGGUUCUUCCCCUCGCUCAAUCUGUCUCCCUCGUGCCGCCGCCUCGCUAGGGUUCGGCUCCACCGUCGCCGCCGCGCACCGCGACCGCCUGCCGUCGCGGCGCACCGCGACCGCCUGCCGCCGAGCGCCUCGACCGCCUGCCGCCGCCGCCACCACCGCCAUCCCGGCGCUUCCCACCUUCGGUCUUUUCCACGAUGCUCCGUCUCCGGCCGUCUGCCCUGACUCCCAGGCAGCCAUAGUCCGAGCUCAUCUACCCUGAUUCCCUGACAUCGACCCCCGAGCUUCUUUCCCGUCAAUUCCCAGGGCUAGGCCAUUCGCCGCCUUCCACGAUCCAUAUCUUCAUCGGCACCCUUUCACUUCCGUCAUGGCAAUGCAAGACCAUCCUUCUCCGUGUGGCCACCACCCCCAAAUCCUCUUGGAUAAAAAAUGUUUAGUGGGCGAGUUGAAAAAUUCCACUACCGCAAAAUCCAAGAAUAGCAAAGGGGUUCACUUGGAGGUUUCUUUUGAAGCAGUUGACCCUCCAGCCAUCUCACUGUGCCUGGUCAGCUGCGUUGAUCAGACCGGGGAUCGCUUGACAGCACCGCCUCGUAUACUUGGUGUAACUGGAGGCUUUGUACUGCUGGCUAUCACCUUCUCGGACAGUGUCAACCGUUACUUGUUCAUCGACUAUUUUGUUUACAAAGCAGGGCCUGAUUUCGCCUCUCUUCAUCUUCUUGCAAGGCCAUACCCGUCUUCUUUUUCGCCAAACAUGGCUGCCAUCUUGCCUGUUAGUGAUAACAGUGAAGACUUUGCUGUCAUUUUCCCACAUGUUGAAUAUUUCAGACUUGAGUCUCGCGAACAUUACACACUCCACAUAUAUCGAUCUGACACGAAUGAUUGGCACUCUCAGGUCGCUUGUAUCGCUGAGGAUAAUGAGACAAGGAAUGCCAGGGAUAAGCUAUUGCUUCAUAAUACCAUGAGCGUGGCAUAUGCAGAAAAGGGUAUCAUAGGUUGGAUUGAUCUCUGGUGGGGAAUUCUCUUAUGCAAUGUUUUGGAUAAAAAGCCUACCAUCCGUUUUGUUCCGUUGCCAGUUCCGGAACCGUGUGAUACGUCUGAGUUCCAUUUGAUGUUUGAGAAUCUCACUCCAAGACCACACCGUCAUGUGACGAUAUUCAAUGAUUUGAUCAAGUGUGUUGAGUUAGAUUUUCAUGUGCAAGAUGCUUUCUUCAACAUGAAGCGAGCAAAGGAUUAUGGCUGGAUGGCUAAAACAUGGACUAGAUCAAUUUAUUCAGAUGUUUGGUGUGAUGGCUUGACGAUUGAUACGUCUGAGAUAUCUUUCACCGACUCAAGUUUGCCGAAUUUGUUGCCUGGGAUGUUUGAUGAGGAAAACAAUUUGACUUGGAAGAAAUUGACUAGUGCUCGUCCUACAUUAAGCUUGCUUGAUGACAAUGUUAUUUACAUUAUGGCGAACGAGAGCAUGUGCCAUCCGACAGCAUAUGUACUUACUGUGGACACCAAAAGUUUGAAGCUCGAGUCUGGUGCGCAGUGUGCUCCUCAAAAGACGGCGUGGUUCGAACCAACAUAUGAACCGUGUGUUCUUUUUAGCUCUUUUGGCACGACUUCAGGUACUCGUCCCUAAUAAAUUUACGGAGUUAACAAAAAAUUGUAAUAACCGGAAAAGCACUAGUUAAUAUGGUAGUCUGAUAACACAUGUAAUUAGUUGCUUUUUUGUUGAUGAAAACAUUACUGUUGCCUUACAUUAUGCUUUGCAUUUUUUUGCAGAGUUGGUUAAAGAAUUUGAAACCAAAGGGACAAUAUUUGAAAUCAAGGAAGGGCCGGUGCUCUCGGUGGUGUCGAAGCGUCUCCGUGUGCUGCGGAAGAAGCAGAAUCGCAUCGCGCAGAUGGAGGAGUCCGUCGCUGCCGGCAAGAUGCUUAACCAGGAGCAGAAGGAGCUCAUGCACUCCAAGCCCGUCAUCGCCGCGCUCAUUGACGAGCUUGAGCGCCUCCGCGUACCACUCUCCACUGCUCUCACCAAGGAGCUCUCCACCGUCCCUGCACCUGCUGCCGGUUCCUCAUCCUUUGGCUCCGAUUUGUCCAUCCAGGACCUCCUCGCGCUCAUCUACUUCGGCUCCCUUUUUUAUGUCAAGUCACCGAACGAGUUCAUCGCCACCAUGGUUGCGCGCAAGAACGAACGGAGCAGCUGCAUCACCCACGGCUACGUAUGGGAUGAUACCGUGGACCUGCUCGUGGAGAACGACCUUGACGCAGUGUCUGCUGUAGCGGCCCUUGCCGCGACUCGCCCUUCUUCCGCAGAUGGUGUCUCCCACCAUGACGCACUCCAGGCAUGUGCCCAUCAUGCCCGCCUAUGGCUAACCCGUGCUGAUGCGCCGAUCCACCCUGGCUCCUCUGUUACAUGUGAGGGUUGAUAUAGGUUUGUAAUUUGGUUUGAUUUGAGGUGAUUGCUGAUUGAAAUUUGUGGCCUUUUGCUGUAGAUGCUGCGGUGAGGUCCAAGUUAGACAGGAUCAUGGCAUCAGACUACUACACAGCACCUGCAGUUGCUGGGAACCAUGGAGCUGAAGGUCUGCAGGCACAGAUGAGCAUGACCGACUCACCAGAGGCACCAUCACUCAAGGAGACCCUAGCUGCUGAAAAUCACAAGGUGAAAUAGCAAAUUGCACUCCUUAGUAAUUUAAUAGUAUAUGCUUAGCAUGGUGAAGUGAUCAUUGCCCUGAAACUUUGUUCUGAUCUUUGUCAACGAUUGAUCUGCUGUAGUGCACAGUGCUCCUAGUAUUAUUAUUAUCAUCAUUGUUGCUGCUGCUGGUGCUUUUUGUGCUGAUUCAGUAGUAAUGAUCAAUGUGGAUUAUAGCUUUAAUUGGAAAACUGUAAGGUCGAUCCAUUUGGGGUGUAUAUUAUGCUGUUUCAUAUGGAUGUUGUGCGCCGUUGCUUAGAUAUAACAGACAGUGCCUGUGCAUUGGUGUUCUGGAAAAAAUGCUGAAAAUAAUAACUUAAAAACUAUGAUCUUUGUAUAAUAUUAUGUGUAGUGCUACCACUAUCUAGGUACAGGAUGGUCUCUAUUCUGAUGGGUCUUCGCAGUUUGCAAACAUAGUAAUUGAGUUUUUGUUGUAUUAAAGAUUAUAAAUAUCACGCGCUAGAAUUCAUCAUAUUGUAGUCAUGCAAUAACAUGAUUGUUUAUUGUACAUUUGUUCCUUUUUUACUUUGUUGGCCAUUACUUAAAAUGCUGGUUGAAAAGAACAGCAAUCCCAAUCCCUGGUAUCAAAACAUUCUGAAAAGGAUACACAUGUAAAUUCUCUUGUAUUUUAUUACGUUUGUAAAUUUAACGGAAAAAGCUGGCAUUUCUGCAGCAUGAGUGGAGAAACCAAGUUUAGCGCUCUGACAAUAUUUGUACCCAUUGUGUAAAACAAGUUUGGAGGCGGCCUCUCUGCAUUGCAGUGUGCAGGGGUAAGGCUUGCCUCGUAUAAUCCUUCCCCAGGCCCCACCUGGCGUAGGAGCUUCUAGCACUGGGUCUUCUUUUUUUCUGUACAAGUUUUGUGCCUCUAAAGAUUACAUUUUAGAGCCCAGAUUUGUUUCUUUUGCUCAGGCGCAAAAAAGUGUUUGUUUUUCCAAGAAAACCUACUGGAAUCUGAAUGGUUCAAACAUUUGCAUGUGUAAUUUUACCUGAAUUUUAGACACUCAGAAUUAUUUAUUUACCGUCCACUGAAGGAGCACAUGCUCCUGGGACCUGGGGACCAUUUUACUCCUAUCUGUCAUUCUUACUUCUUGUUGCUUAUCUACUUUAUGAUUACAAGUCUAGGACUUGUGACCAACAUUACUUUGAUAACACAACUUAAUAGUUGUAUAUUCUUUGGGUCUGGUAAUAUAUGUUCGUUGGCAUCCUAGCUGUGUACUUUGAUAUUAUUGCUAGAUUACUUUUCUGAGUUGCAGAUUCUCUUUCAUAACUAUAGAUCAUUCGUAAUCUUUGUUAAGUCCCGAGGGAUCUACUUUGACUUCCAUUAGAGGAAUUCUUAUUAUUUUUAGCCGCAAUCUCCUAGGCGCAAUGCUGCUAGUUGCAGAAUCUAUAGCCCUAUUGUUCUUGCCAGUUUUGCAGUUCGUUGCGCAAGCUUGAUUGUUGAGAUAGUAUGUAAUUAUUUACUCAGCAUUAAUAUGACAUGGGUAAAGCUCCAGCCUCUAGGGCUCAUCAUAAAAUCACUUGCAAUUUAAAUAUGUAUAGAAGUUAUAGUGUUGCUCUUUUGUGUGUGCUAACACUAAAGGUAGUGUCAUUUUCCUAAAUUGCAAAAUGGGAUUUCUAACCUAAGAGUUCACGUUCACAGUUCUCCAUUCUUUAUAACAACAUUGUGAUAUUUUUAGUAACAAUUUUAUGCUGGCAUCGCUUCUGCAUUGAUUUCCCUAGAUUUAAACCUGUGUGUACGUGUACAGUUCUUUAUGCUUUUAAAACUAAAAAUCAUGGUAUAUUCACUGUAAAUCAUCCAAGCAUCACCUACUGCAUGUUGCCUCAGACAUUAUAUUUAGAAACUGUACAAUGUCCAUCUCCACCUUUUAGUAUUAUGAUUAUUGGAACAAAAGCUAGACAGCACUGUCAUCACCUUACUACACCUUUGGUAAUAUCACAGUUCUUUGGUGUAGAGUACUAUUAAAAUGCACCUACAUACUCCCUCCGUCCGGAAAUACUUGUCAUCAAGAUGAAUAAAAGGGGAUGUAUCUAGAUGUAUUUUAGUUCUAGAUACACCCCUUUUUAUCCAUUUUGAUGACAAGUAUUUCCGGACGGAGGGAGUACAUACCUAUGAUAAAUCACUGAGGUGGGGUACACAUUUGAAAUGAUGCAUUAAUAAUUAAGUAGUUCUCCUGGAUAAAUUGUGCUGUCUUGCAUUUUCCAAACAGCCAAUCAUGAACUUGGGUUAUCGUUUAACUUUUGUGGUGUUUUCCCAUUGUUUUGGGUUGCUGGGAAUUCAAGUACUGUUUUUAUUUUGUGCCAUAUGAUGAGAGACCUUAUCCAACUCACAGCGGUCGUCUGGACACUUAGUGUGUAAUGGUGCAUACAUAUUUCGCUGAUGGCAUUUCAGUUUUUUAUGCAUAAAGGAUUUGAUUUCCUGGAGAGCAUUGUGUUAAUGCAAGUUUUAGAAUAACCCGAACUCCUGAAACUUUUGCCUCGGUCUUCACUGAAGAUUUUUGGCGUUAUUUGCUGGUGGCUGCCCUGUGAGCCAUGCCCAUGCUAGUGUCUUGGUAGUUGGUGUAGAUUGAUAUAGAGAAGAAAAUGUAGGUACAUGUAAUUGUUAUUCUUGAUGAGAGGGUCACAUUUCCUAGAGGACUAUAUGGUUCCUCCUGGUUAGCCGUAGUCUGAUUCCAAACUCAAUGCCCUUAACUUACUCGACUGGACUCCUUGCCUCUGUAGGGUCAGUCGUAUAAUAAGUAAAUAUAUCUCAAGCAGGACAGCAGUUGCACUUUGCUAGGAGGCUAAGCUGCCAGCUAUAGUAUUUUCUUUUCAGGGAUGCCUUUUUUAAUUGUGCUGGAUGCAAAUAAUCAACCACUAUAUCCAGAAAGCAAAAGCACUACUAAUUUUCUGAUACUAGCAUAUGUGAUCAGUCAUGACUAUGAAUGUUCACCUAAAGCACUACCAUGUACGAAGUGUUUUCUGCAGAUGAGAUUAAAACAAGAUAUCUUGCUAGAUUUAUUAUUUUGGUUACUGUGAAGUGUUUCUACUGUUGCUUAGUCGUGUUGGCUUGGUUAUUCAUUUUGUGUUUGUUCUAACACCCAGAAGCUGAGCUAUGAUAGACUGAAAAAUGGUACACAUUUUGUAAUUAUUAGAUGAGUGUUUAUAUUUAAAAUUUACACGGUUUUAAUUGGGGACAUUUUGAGGGGUCAAGUAUUUUGUUUGUUGACCUCUGAAAGUAGAAAUGAUUAAAGCUUAUAUUGAUCUUGUUGGUAUGUUUACUUGUUGACAGGAGGACGAGGAAGAUUCCUCGCAUGCCACAGAAAUCGACAAUGAUCAUUAGUCUAAUGCAGCCGAUGUGCAAAAUGUGGUAAUGACUGGAUGACCUGUGGAGUGUUUUUCUGUGUAUAUAAUAUAUAUCUGGCUGAUACUAACAUGCCAACUUCAGGAUGGUAAAACCCUGGUGAACCCUCGUGUGGAAUAUCGCGUGGCUGAGGCAGAGCAGGAGAAAUUUGAUGUGAAAGAACAAGAUCAGAUGUAUGCCGAGCCAAAAAAGCGACAGUUUCAGCACCCUCGGCAAUCUUGUCAGAAUCAGCGAGGUGGUGAUCGUGGCUGGAGGGGGGCCUACCCUAAUGGCCGCAGCGGGCAUGGAGGCGGCCGUGGCAUGGGCAGCAGAUACGAGAAUGGGCGUGGAGGUGGUGGUGGUGGCGGCCGUGGCAUGGGCAGUGGAUACGAGAAUGGGCGUGGAGGUGGUGGUGGUGGCUGUGGCAUGGGCAGCGAAUACGAAAAUGGGUGUGGAGGUGGUGGUGGAUACCAGAAUGACCGGGGUUGUGGUGGCGGAUACCAGAAUGGCCGGGNNNNNNNNNNNNNNNNNNNNNNNNNNNNNNNNNNNNNNNNNNNNNNNNNNNNNNNNNNNNNNNNNNNNNNNNNNNNNNNNNNNNNNNNNNNNNNNNNNNNNNNNNNNNNNNNNNNNNNNNNNNNNNNNNNNNNNNNNNNNNNNNNNNNNNNNNNNNNNNNNNNNNNNNNNNNNNNNNNNNNNNNNNNNNNNNNNNNNNNNNNNNNNNNNNNNNNNNNNNNNNNNNNNNNNNNNNNNNNNNNNNNNNNNNNNNNNNNNNNNNNNNNNNNNNNNNNNNNNNNNNNNNNNNNNNNNNNNNNNNNNNNNNNNNNNNNNNNNNNNNNNNNNNNNNNNNUGGUGGCGGCGGGUACUACAACAACGACGAUGGGUACUACCAGCCGAGGAACUUGAACAACAGGGGCAGGGGCGCAGGGAGGUGGCCACGCGGACACCGAGAGAAUUGAGGCAAUGGCAUAUGUGGAAGUCUGGGAGGUCAGGAGAGGGAAGGGGCAAUGUGAAAGUCUGGGAGCCAUUUUGUUAUUAUAGAACUACGGAGUAUGUAAUAACCUAGCCUGUGGGUAUGUCGCAAUCCAGUCCCUCCCCAUCUGCGAGUUUUUUUGUUGCUCUAAUGAGUGCAUAAUGGUUGGUUGGUAAAUGUGGAAUCUCGUUGAAAGUAGCUUCAGGUCAUACAUGUGUUGCUUCUUUUUCUGGCUGUGUGAGUUGUCAUAUAUUUCCGGUUGGUUUAUUAUUUUUGUUAGAUGUCUUUCUAUGUCAUUCCUGUUCAUUUUCCAGUGUUUGUGUUUGUGUUACCUUUGUUUGUUCUGGCCUGUAUCGUAGCUCUUCAAAAAAAGAAAAAAAAUACUGUUUGUUUCGGUGAAUGCUGAUCGAGAUUUUGGCUUUGUCUUUAAUAAUCCUGAUAAGUGUCACCGUAGCCGAUUAUGCAUAGUUGCGGCUAGGUCUUGCAUGCGCAGGAG
rnacentral:lncRNA from 1 species